rnacentral:lncRNA from 1 species
GCAACUCCCAUCACACUCCUCAAAAAAACUCCCACCUUCUCCGUCAAAUGCAUGUCACAAACACCUCAAAGCGGUGAACCGGAGAUUUCAAAACCAGCAACCACCCCAACACCACCAAAGAUCAACAUUCCUCCUCCUCCGCCACCUGCUCCAAAGGUCAGCACGAAGUUCUCUGACGUGUUGGCGUUUAGUGGACCUGCACCGGAGAGGAUCAACGGAAGGUUAGCCAUGAUAGGGUUUGUGUCGGCGAUGGCUGUGGAACUGAGCAGCGGUCAAGACGUGUUCACCCAGAUCGGCAACGGCGGUGUUGCGGUAUUUGUCGGGACAAGUGUGGUGUUGACGUUAGCGUCGUUGGUGCCGUUGUUUAAAGGAGUGAGUGUGCAGUCGAAGUCGAGUGGACUGAUGACAUCAGAUGCAGAGCUUUGGAAUGGGCGGGUUGCGAUGUUGGGUCUGGUGGCUUUGGCUUUUACUGAAUAUGUUAAAGGCAGUGCCCUUGUCUAGAUAAUGUAUCAUAGACUUUUCUAUUACAGAAUUACAUCUAAGAUAGGCAAAUGUAUAUUCUUUUGAAUAUUUAUGUGUAUCGAUUUACCAUACAUAGUUCAAAUCAUGAAAAUCAAUUAAUCAUGUUUUUUUGAUAAUAUAGUAUAAAACAAAUAUGAUCAAUCAAAUUGAACGAUUGUGGUAUCUUUCAAUAUAAAAUUCUUUUUAUAAAAUUAAACAAACAACAUACUAAGAUAAAUUUUAGAGGCAUGAACCUAGAUUAGCAAUAUAAGAGUCAAAGUCUACAAAGAUAUUGAAAUCCUAGUUUCACAACUUCCUCUUUGAAUGUUGAACUGAGGUGAUCUUCAUUAAUUCAGACCAAAUAUGUGCAUAAGUCCAGCCUAGUCAAUUAGCCAAUUUAAGAUGACAAGUAUCCAAAAUUCAAAUACAUUACAUACCUCAAUUUCAAACAAAACUGAAAAAUAUAAUGACUAAUGCUCACAAAAUGAUCACUUUCGGGGAGUGGUCACAGUUAAACUACCGGAAAAGCGCUGCAAACUCAACGUUACAUCUGCUCCAUCACCAAUUCCCUAAACAUUGGAAAUAGUUACCACUCUAUAUCAUUUAUAUUUAUAUUUUAUUUAUUUUUUAAAAUUAGAUUAAAUAAAAAACAUAAUUAUAAACUUAAGUAAUCAUUUUACUAAUUAAAAAAUCAACUAAACAUAUUAUUAAUUUUUAAAAUUAUUAAACAUAUCUAGUUAUAUAUAGUUGAGGGUUUAACUUAAUUCAAAGAAAAAUAAAAGGGUAUAAUAAGAUUAAAAGACACAAUUUUAGAGACCAAAUUUGUAACUUCAAUUAAAGCAAAUUUGAAUCGUCUUCUUCACCUGUCUUCUUCAACCUUUUUCUGAAAAACGGGUCAUUGCUCAAUACCAUUUUUUUUUCUUUUACUUUGAUGGAUACAAAAGAAAAGGAAAAAAGGGUUAAAUACGUGACCUUUGUUGUUGCUACUUUCUUAUUCGUUGUCUUCAUCCGUCUUUGCACCCACGUUACACCCAAACCACUGGCCUUAGGGGCGGUGUGGACAUAUCCUUAGGCCGGACACAUCAGCAAGAUGCGUGGGUUAGUCCUCCCACUCCGGUUAGCCUUAAACACUUAUUAAAAGCUAGUGGACGUCUUUGCACCCACGUUACACUCAAACCACCGGCCUUAGGGGCGGUGUGGACGUAUCCUUAGGCCGAACACAUCAGCAAGAUGCGUGGGUUAGUCCUCCCACUCCAGUUAGCCUUAAACACUUAUUAAAAGCUAGUUUAUUUCUUGUUAGUUUGAAAUCUAAUGUUAUCAUCAAAUCUAUACAAGAUUGAGAUUGAUAUCAGAGUAACAAUCUCCAAAAGAAAAAUAUUUUACUCAAAAGAAUAUAUAUAUAUAUAUAUAAUGAAUUAUAUCCUAAGAAGUACUAUGCAUGAGUAUAAGAUUACUAUUAUCUUGGGAUCUAUUAAUUGGUAACUAAGCAUACUUCCAAGUUACUAUAUGAAAUUUAGUUAAGGAUUAAUGUCAAGUUGGGUGCAUGCACCUCACUCAAAGGCCUUGUAUUUUUAUCGGUCCCAAGUGACAUCUUACAAGGGCCGUUUUGGAGUUUUUUCUUUCCCCAAUGUAUUAACAUUUAUUUUUUUUUGAUAUUUUUGAACUUUUUAUUUUCUUAGAAAAGUAUACAAAAUAAAAUAUAUACAAGUUUACUUGAAGAUAUGAGUGUUUAUCAGGUUAUUCUCUUGAACUAUCUAUUCUUAGAUAUGAAUAAAUGUGUUUGUCUUUAUCAUUUUUCCCCUUUGUCAAUUCUUGACUAAUAAGGUAAUAGUCGUUCUUGGUGAGGGAUUCACCUCUCUAUUGAUUCUUCAUUCUAAUUAAAUGUUUGGAUUCAACAAUGUCCGAUUGAGUAGUUCUUUAAAACCGCAUUCUACCAUUUGCAUCUUUAUAUUAAUCCCAUGAAUUGGGGAUUCCAUAAACUGAAACUCUUGGAGCUCAAUAGUGUAGUUGAAAAACAUUUGUCGAGCCUACCACUUCCAUGAAAUAGGAGAAUUUUUUCAAUAAACUAAGUAGUUCCUUCUUUAUGGAUCAUCUUUUCGUUACUCGACCCCUGCUUACAUGCGAUUCCUACUAGAAAAUAGAAUUGCAGACUAACUGCAGCUGCAGACAACCCUUCGUUUGGCCAGAAGGGGUUUGAUAUUCCUUGGAGAAAAAUCUCAUCCUGAAAAUAACAAUAUCCAUGAACACAAUGGCUACGAAAUACUGAUUUUCUUAACCGACGAACCGAAAUGUUACAGCCAUAAUGCUGAAACCUCAUUACUUGCCCGCCCUUUAAACAGGUAGAACCAUCCCUGAGCAUAGAAACAUAAACUAAAUCCUGAACCCUCCAGCUGAGGUCUUUGAUAUCCAAUUUUCUUGAUCCACAUCUUUCUGAGUAUAGAUGUUGCACUAAUACACUCGCGAUUCCCAAUGCGAGCUUUCACCAAAAACCCACUCGAAUAUGGCCACUCAUAUUCUUCUCGAAGACCCUUCCCUACAUCUAAUGAGCGUCCAAUUAUGAAUCUGCCCGCAAUUCCUGACUGGAGACACUAACAGAAACAUGCAUAACUGAUCCUCGAAACAUACCGACCACGAUCUUCACCCAAAACCAAACCAUAUGAUGUACCAAAACCUUAUUAACCCUUGAUCCUCUUCUAUUCCAUUACUGACCACUGCUUCGCCGAGCAAGAGAUAAAUCCAAGAAUUUCUGCUUUACAUCCAACCCCUUAUAGAAUCAGGUGUACCCCCACCUGGACAACCACUUGAGACAAUCAUAAAGAACUUUAUGACUUGCGACUUUCCAACCAAUCCCAACUUGAAAACCACAACAAUAGCAACAACUUGCGAACAACCAAAAAUAUAAUGUAUACAUCCCAUAAGGACUUUCUGAUUCCUGACAGAUACUCCCAACAACCUUUACUACUUCCUUUAUCCAACCAAUAGAUUUACGACUCGCUCGUCUCCCAUCAGUGUAUCGAUACCGAAAGCACCACAAGCAGAAUAAAUGAACAACCAUGUUCACUAGGCCCUCAAAGUAUGACUGGAAUACCCCUUAUAAUGUCCUCUGAAUAUGUUUGGAUUGCCUCUGAGCCCACAACAUGAAUCUGGAAUGCCCUCCCUGGCCUUCAGCCCAUGUCUGGAAUGCUCUCGAUAUCACAACGACCUUGACGCCAUCGCAUCGCUCGCCCAUCACUCCAGGCCCACAGAUACUCACCUCAUUCCAUUCCCUUGAAGGGACUUAAUCAAUUCCCUCACCACGCCAAUUGUGCAUCACAAAGAUGCCACCAAAGCAAACCUUACAAAACAUGGACGUACGCGACCCGUGAAUAGGAAAAUAGAUGCACCAUUGGCCCGAUUCGAAGGCUAAAAUCCAAAAGAACCAUGCACAUGAUUCGAACCAAGUGCUCCAAUGCUAUCUUUACCAGAUUACAUGAACUACCCCCAUACACAUACUUAAGAAACCUAGAAUAUCAUCCAGAGAGAGAAGGAAUGUCAGAUAUAAUCUAAAAAUACCUCAAUUAAUAACAUAAAACAUCCCCAUGAUCAGUUGAAACAAGAUCCCAUACUUGAUUGAGACUGAACGGAUUCCAUCGCUACACAACUAGGUUGAGAAGACUUCCGCGGAUAUCGAAGGUUGCCUAAACCUGAGUCUGCUAUUAACCAAGUUCCCACUCCACCAUUGAGGGUAAACACACUCGAAGGACCAAAGAACAUAGAUCAUACCGAACUUGAUGACAGAUUGGCCCGACCACUGCAUCUCGGCUGACACAAUUAAACUUCCGAGUGAACUUUUAUUGAAUGAUGAACCCCAAAAUUAGUGGUCGAGGACACAUUGACACUUAAUCCAGAGAAUCAAGACCCACAUGGAACUGAACAUACCCGCUUCUGGAAAGAUCCACUGACUAACGUCUGCCUAACUAAUCUGAAAAUAGCAAUCCAACAACAAACUCGCAUAUCCCUCAAUGGCUAAAAAUACUCAACCUUAGAAUCCCUAUUCUCCCCCACUUUAGGCUCAAACUACCACUUACUGGCGCUAAAACCAAAUCAUAACUCAAACCAUCUUGAGCAUGUACUACCCUUCCUAACCCUGGAAGUUACGAGUCUGCUCACUGCUUCCCCGAACUCGGAAAAACUGAAAGGGCGUAACCCUAUAUCUUAUAUUCUUCAAACCUAGAGAUAUGAGUUGUUACUAUGAGUUGGUUAUACAUUUGAUUGCACGAAAACGCAUUGGUAACUCGAUGAUAUAAAACGUGCCUUUGUGUAUGAUUCAACAAGUAGUAGAACAAGCCAUAUGAGUCGAAGUUUAUCCAUUCCUUUUACCUUCAGGAUAAAAGCGAUAUCCAUGGGCCCCUCGAUGAUUUAUUAAUGAUGACACAUGUGAGUGCUUGGGCAAGCCAUGACUGAUUUGAUCUGUUCAAUCAGUCAGUCAUCAUGAAUCGGAAAUCAGGAAACAAUAAAUGGAUAGAGAUAAUGAUUUAUAAUCCAUGUCUUAGUCCAUAUGAUAUUUAGAAUGGAGGAAUAUAUGAUCCCUUAUCUAAUGGACUAGUCAUUGACAAAGGUCAAAGUUCAUCGACGAGGUCAGAGUUCAACAACGGCUUUUGAGAGUUACGAUUGCCAGUUGGUUUUUGAAGUCAUCCUCAAUAAUAGUUUUAGACUUAUCCAAGUAGGAGACUAUUGGAUUAGUGUCUAAGUCCAUACCUAUAAUUGGUAUGUACUUGACCGUACUCGUCAUUGUCCAUUUGGGUUGCAUGGCAUCGGAACAUUUGGAUAAACUGUUUGUGAGAAAAGGACAUUUGUGACAUAUUAAUAUAUUAUAAGUUCUAAUAUAUUAAUAUUAAAUCAUGUUAUUUAAUUAGUAUUGAUCAAGAAUUAAUUCAGACUUAAUUUAGUGAUCAAAAGAGACUAAUUAAAUAUAUGGGGAUUGAUUGUGUAAAUCAUUCAUUCUUAUAUAUGUGGGGUUAUGAUCCAUUAUUCCUUAUGUUGGGUUUAACCCAUGUGGUGAUCCAUGGAUACUCCAUGGAGGUUAAAACCCAUGAAGCAUAAGGAAUUCGUAAAGUCAUGGGUUACAUAGUGUAACCCUAAUGCGCACACUAUAUAAGGACCCCUUUAGCUCAAGAAACGGCACUAGUGAUACUUAUAUGAGGGCUAGCCGAUUUCAACAUAGGGUUCUUCUUCUCAUGGUUAUUCCAAGUGUUGAUGAUGUUGUGUGNNNNNNNNNNNNNNNNNNNNNNNNNNNNNNNNNNNNNNNNNNNNNNNNNNNNNNNNNNNNNNNNNNNNNNNNNNNNNNNNNNNNNNNNNNNNNNNNNNNNUUUCCAUUGCAGUCAGAGGGGCCACAAGAAGGCCCAGUGUCCGAGAUUGUAUCCAGUAGGGCAGGUGCCAGCUCCUGCCCUUGGGAUUUCGAGUACCGCCAGCAGUUGUCGAGGCCCGGCAAGGGUGCCUACGGCUCAGAGCCGAGUUUUCCGGUAGAUUUCAGCAGGGAUUCGAGCAGCACUGAGUAAUGAAGGUACGUAACUUUUGUUUUUCUGUCAGCUUAUGUCAUGAUUAUAUUGUUAUGGUUCUGCAUCAAAUUGUGGUAUAAGUGUUGUGUUAUAGUGUGGCUUGCUUGUGAUUAUGUUAUAUGCCAUUUGCAUACCUCGGAUAAUUGGUUGGUAGUUAGGGAAUGUGCUCUUAUGGAGAAGGUUUCGGAGGAUGCAGNAUGGUUGGGAGAGAUUUGGUUCGUUUCGCGAGUUCGGAGUGGUUAGUGUUGGGUUGGAUUGGUUAGAUCCCUAGCUAUGGCAGGCUUGGGCUCCUUAGCAGAAUGAUUAUGGAAUGGCAGCAAAGAUCGGGAUCUCUUUUGAGUGUGAAGCAGCAAGGGGUAAGCAGGAUCGAAGUGGGGGAGAACCCUCCGGGUAUACAUGGAUAAGAGUCUCGUAGACUCAGAAUGAGUGCGCGGCCUCUGAGAAGAAAUGGUAGUAGCACAGUGAUGGAUGGAUUGAGAAGUUCAGAAUUGGGAGUUCGAGAACUUUUCCCAGCAGUUAGUUCAUGUAAUCGAGAUGGUUAGAAGCUGGUUGGGAAUCCAGGAUUGGAGGACCACCUGUCGGACGCAUGAGAGUCGGAAUGAAGAUCCUGAGAACGGGUAACAAGAGAUGUUUUCGUAUUAGUAGCCAGUGUCUGAGGCAGCAUGCAGGUUGUGUAGAUUCAGGAGUUGGGAGGUUGGAAACUUCCCAACAAUAGCUUCUUGUAUCCGGAUUAGUAGACGGUUGGUUUGGGAACCAAGCCGAAGGAUUCCUCGACGAAGCGCUAAGUAUAUCAAGGAUAUAAGAUGUCGAGGAUGAUGCAGAAUUCAAAGUCUAAGGACUGUUUUUUUUGAGAAAUCGGGAUGAGGAAUCACUAGCAGGACUAGGGAUAGUCAGGAUGUUCUCGAGAUAGUAGUAGUGUUGUAAGUCUGCGGGGGUAGCCGUAGCAUUCACUAGCAGUCAGAUAGCAGUAGUAGUGUUGUAAGUCUGCGGGGGUAGCCGUAGCAUUCACUAGCAGUCAGAUAGCAGUAGUAGUGUUGUAAGUCUGCGGGGGUAGCCGUAGCAUUCACUAGCAGUCAGAUAGCAGUAGUAGUGUUGUAAGUCUGCGGGGGUAGCCGUAGCAUUCACUAGCAGUCAGAUGGUAGUAGUAGUGGUGUUGUAAGUCUGCGGGGGUAGCCGUAGCAUCCACUAGCAGCCAGAUAGUAUUAGAGAGUUGUAAGUCCGCGAGCGUAGUCGCAGCCUUUUAUCAGAUUGGUAAGUAGCAUGAGCGCGUGUUAGACGCGGGAAAGCAGUUGUACCCACCAGUUCGGGUGUAGCAGUGAGGAUAUGGGAAUCCACGGGUUAGAUUUCGGAUUUCCCAAAGGGAUCAGUUACGGCUAAGUUAGCAAUUUGGGCUUUGGAUCGUCACAUCAGUUAUGAGAUCAGAGUAGCAGUGGACCGUUAGGGUUCAGGUAUGUUGCGGACUACAGUCAGUCUGGGAACCAUCAUGUUGUUAGUCGUGGAAUUGAUGAUGUCAGGAUGUGACGUAUGGACCCGAUCGGUUGGAUCGGAAAGUUGCUAGAGCCUCAGUGACAGGAUAACUAGUGGAAACUAGUCCUAGAGGAAAAUUUCGUUCAGAAGUCGUGGAAGCGACUAAGUGAGGAGUCCCUUGACUCCACAGUUGGGUUGGAGUUCAGUGUUCCAGUCAGUUCAGUGUUUCAGGCAGCUCAGCGUUUCAGGCAGCUCAGUGUUUCAGGCCGUUCAGCGUUUCAGUCGGUUCAGCGUUUCAGGCAGGUUCAGUAUUGCAGCUAGUUCAGUGUUUGGAAGGUUUCAGGGUUUUGGGUUAGUAUUGCAUUUGCGUUGGAAUGCAAGUGCUGACGGUAUAGUUGGUUGAUUUGGAAUUGGCAAGUCCCUCUCAGCAGGAUCAGUUGAGCCUUUUGCCGAGUAUAAGUGAUUGGUAGGGAUGGCUAGGCAGGUAGCUUUUCAUUCAGGAAGAAAGGCUCGAGUAAGUAGGAGAUGAGUAAGCAGGUGGGAUAAAAGCAAGCUGGUUCCAGCAGCAUCGUUUCAGUAUGAACGGCAGGAUGGAUAGAACAGUUAUAGAUAAUCAAAGUAUCUUUAGGAGUCGCUGGAAGAGACUAGGAGUUUGCGAUGGAGUGUAGUGACCGGUGGGAGUCCGGUAACUCAGAUAUAGGGAGAUUGGUUAGACCAGAGUAGUCUCAGUACAUCCGGUAGGCGGAUGGGAGGCAGCAGGAUUUUCAGUCGGAGGAAGUAACGUUGAGGAGAUUAUGGGAAAGAGAAGGAUUUAGUAUGUUCUAUCGGUAGUGAUCGGCACUGUGAGUGGCCGGAGUGAUGGGCAAAAGAGUGAGGGAUUUUCCAGACAAAGAGUUGGAGGCAGUUCGCAGGCAGUUGAUCAUAGCAAACUUCGAGGACGAAGUUUAGUUUAAGUAGGGGAGAGUUGUAACACCCCAAAGAUUGGAAAGUCAAGAAAAGAAAGAAGACCUCAAUUUUAAGAAGAGACUCGGCGAGUCCAAGGAGGGACUCGGCGAGUCCNNNNNNNNNNNNNNNNNNNNNNNNNNNNNNNNNNNNNNNNNNNNNNNNNNNNNNNNNNNNNNNNNNNNNNNNNNNNNNNNNNNNNNNNNNNNNNNNNNNNNNNNNNNNNNNNNNNNNNNNNNNNNNNNNNNNNNNNNNNNNNNNNNNNNNNNNNNNNNNNNNNNNNNNNNNNNNNNNNNNNNNNNNNNNNNNNNNNNNNNNNNNNNNNNNNNNNNNNNNNNNNNNNNNNNNNNNNNNNNNNNNNNNNNNNNNNNNNNNNNNNNNNNNNNNNNNNNNNNNNNNNNNNNNNNNNNNNNNNNNNNNNNNNNNNNNNNNNNNNNNNNNNNNNNNNNNNNNNNNNNNNNNNNNNNNNNNNNNNNNNNNNNNNNNNNNNNNNNNNNNNNNNNNNNNNNNNNNNNNNNNNNNNNNNNNNNNNNNNNNNNNNNNNNNNNNNNNNNNNNNNNNNNNNNNNNNNNNNNNNNNNNNNNNNNNNNNNNNNNNNNNNNNNNNNNNNNNNNNNNNNNNNNNNNNNNNNNNNNNNNNNNNNNNNNNNNNNNNNNNNNNNNNNNNNNNNNNNNNNNNNNNNNNNNNNNNNNNNNNNNNNNNNNNNNNNNNNNNNNNNNNNNNNNNNNNNNNNNNNNNNNNNNNNNNNNNNNNNNNNNNNNNNNNNNNNNNNNNNNNNNNNNNNNNNNNNNNNNNNNNNNNNNNNNNNNNNNNNNNNNNNNNNNNNNNNNNNNNNNNNNNNNNNNNNNNNNNNNNNNNNNNNNNNNNNNNNNNNNNNNNNNNNNNNNNNNNNNNNNNNNNNNNNNNNNNNNNNNNNNNNNNNNNNNNNNNNNNNNNNNNNNNNNNNNNNNNNNNNNNNNNNNNNNNNNNNNNNNNNNNNNNNNNNNNNNNNNNNNNNNNNNNNNNNNNNNNNNNNNNNNNNNNNNNNNNNNNNNNNNNNNNNNNNNNNNNNNNNNNNNNNNNNNNNNNNNNNNNNNNNNNNNNNNNNNNNNNNNNNNNNNNNNNNNNNNNNNNNNNNNNNNNNNNNNNNNNNNNNNNNNNNNNNNNNNNNNNNNNNNNNNNNNNNNNNNNNNNNNNNNNNNNNNNNNNNNNNNNNNNNNNNNNNNNNNNNNNNNNNNNNNNNNNNNNNNNNNNNNNNNNNNNNNNNNNNNNNNNNNNNNNNNNNNNNNNNNNNNNNNNNNNNNNNNNNNNNNNNNNNNNNNNNNNNNNNNNNNNNNNNNNNNNNNNNNNNNNNNNNNNNNNNNNNNNNNNNNNNNNNNNNNNNNNNNNNNNNNNNNNNNNNNNNNNNNNNNNNNNNNNNNNNNNNNNNNNNNNNNNNNNNNNNNNNNNNNNNNNNNNNNNNNNNNNNNNNNNNNNNNNNNNNNNNNNNNNNNNNNNNNNNNNNNNNNNNNNNNNNNNNNNNNNNNNNNNNNNNNNNNNNNNNNNNNNNNNNNNNNNNNNNNNNNNNNNNNNNNNNNNNNNNNNNNNNNNNNNNNNNNNNNNNNNNNNNNNNNNNNNNNNNNNNNNNNNNNNNNNNNNNNNNNNNNNNNNNNNNNNNNNNNNNNNNNNNNNNNNNNNNNNNNNNNNNNNNNNNNNNNNNNNNNNNNNNNNNNNNNNNNNNNNNNNNNNNNNNNNNNNNNNNNNNNNNNNNNNNNNNNNNNNNNNNNNNNNNNNNNNNNNNNNNNNNNNNNNNNNNNNNNNNNNNNNNNNNNNGUCAGCUUCGGACUUCGGUCCGAUGGAGGGGGCAAGGCCCCAGUCAGUUAGCUUCGGACUUCGGUCUGAUGUCAGCUUCGGACUUCGGUCCGAUGGAGGGGACAAGGUCCCAGAUAGUCAGCUUCGGACUUCGGUCCGAUGGAGGGGGCAAGGCCCCAGUCAGUUAGCUUCGGACUUCGGUCCGAUGUCAGCUUCGGACUUCGGUUCGAUGUAGGGGGCAAGGCCCCGUUAGUCCGGACUUCGGUCCGAUGCAGUGGGCAAGGCCCAAUAUGUGCUUUAUAUGUUUUGUAUGAUAUGUGGUAGAUUGGGGGAGCUCACUAAGCUUCGUGCUUACGGUUUUCAGUUUUGUUUUCAGGUACUCGAUUUCCAAAAGAGGAGCUCGGGAAGAUUGCAGAGCACACACCAUAGUCAGUUAGCCUGGGAAUGUUUGACUCUGAUAAUGAUAUUAUGUUUUGAAUUGAAUACUCAAAAGUUAUGUUUGACUUAUGAUACGUUGUUAUAAAUCUAUUUUUAGUAAUGUUUAAAAGAAAUUUUUAGUCAUGAUUUUUGGGUCGUUACAAAUACCUUGGAAUAUUCAUAUUUGCAUGUAUAAUAGAGAAAACGUAGAUCCAAGGUAUUUAGGGUUGCAUGUACACCAUAGGAGUGAUAGAGUGCUCAAAACCCAACAAAUAGGUCCGAGUCCUUCAUUCUAAGAUUAUUUAACCUUCAUAGCAUGUAAUUUAUUGUAUUCACUUGAUGGUUAACUCCCAUCAACAUGGGUUCCACAAAGCUCAAAGCAAGGAACAUUCGGGCAGAGAAGUCGGUUGUCACUAAAACGCAACAAAAUUUGACAGAUCCUCAUACAAAAUCCUCAAUCUCAAACUCCCCGCACCACGGGUGCACCUUUGCCCUGCUCUCACUCUCCCCAGAGUGGCUAAUCAUUCCUCGUGCUGACCAGCUAUACACUGUACCCACUCAUGAAACUUCCACCAACCCUACAACACUCUUGUAUGCUAGCUGUACAUAACACUGGAUCCUAUAGACAGUCGAAUAUCUGAUCCGAACCUAAGUCCUUCAUCAAACAAGAACAGAAAAUAAGGCCGAAUGAAACAUUCUCAGGCUAAAGAAUCUUAGUUAUGUACAACUAUAAUGCAUACUCUAAGCAAUUGUAGUAAUGAUGUCAAUUUCAUCUAAGGAAGAACCCUAGGCUAUCAUGCAUCAUAUAAUCAGGAAACUCUAUCAUGCAAUUCCUAUAGAUCCCUAGCCUAUCACUAACAUGCUAUUUUAACAUAUCACAAGAUCAAUAACAGUGUAGCAAUUUGGGGUCUACUUACUGGCUCCGACUGAUCUUACACAUAGUAUCCUCUUUAGUUUGAAAGCGACUUUGAAAGUUAUUUUUAAAACCUUUACUUUGAAAAUUAUUUUUUAAAAAACCCUUUUUCCUUAGUUUGAUACUGGAUUCACACGAGUGUUCCUCCAAUUCACUCAAACCAAGGCUCUGAUACCAACUUGUAACGUCACAAAAAUUUCAACAAAUUGAAACCUUUCGAAACAACCCAUUUAUUAAGAAAAGUGUUUUGACCCGUAGGCGCUUUGUACGCCUUGAACUCCCGGAAUGAGGGAGUUCGAUUCCUAAUCUGACCCGUAGUGAUCUCAGCUCAGAAAGAACAAUUUGCUCCUCUAUAAUCUCCAUGAUCCCCUCCUUGACGGUAUUGAAAAUCACUGGGGUAGCGUUAAGGAUGUCGCGAGUAACAUCGACUACGAUAAUCUCAUGCAACCUCUCAUCAAUCGGCUUUGCCGCAGAUCCUGAGCCCGAUCCCGAACCUGAACCUCCUCGCGUAGCCAUCACCAUCCUCAACUGAAAAAUACAACGUAGAAAGCAAUUGAUAAGGAAUAUCAAAAGGAUUUCUCCCCACCAGACUGAUGGUUUUUGAGCACUACACCAUUCCUAUGGUGUACAUGCAACCCUAAUGCUUCAGAUCUAUGUUUUUCUCAAGUUAUACAUGCAAAUCAAAUCAUCCAAAGCAUAAACCCUAAAUAGCAUACAAUUUUUGGAAUUUGUAACUUAAAAAAAAAGUUAGAAGAAUACAUUUUCCUUGUAGCUUGUAGAUCUUGACCUUCAAGAGCUUAGUGCCUCAAUUGUUGCACUCUAGUGAGUCACAAACACCAAGUAGCAAUUUGGAAGAAUAUGAGAGAGGUUAGGAGGCUCAAAAUCGGCUAGGGUAUUAUCUUAGAAGCAAUUGACUAAUUUCAAGGUGUCAUGGGGUAUUUAUAUAGUUGUGCAAUUAGGGUAUUUAACUGAAACCCUAAUUCUCUGCUUAGGCCUUAAGCAAUCCAGUAGAUCCUUCCAGAAGGCCUCUUAUGGACGAAAUCUAUGUGGGCUAUACAUAAGAUUUCGUCCAUCCCUUCUUAGGGAUCCACAUGCUCAACUUGGCAACUACCAUAUAAUUGCAAUAUCAGUCCUUGUAAUCUAACCAGUCUCUUUUGAUCACCAAGUUAAUUCCAAAUCAAUUCCUGAUCAAUACUAAUUAGUUAAUCUGAUUUCUCAAUUAAUAUACCAUUCUUAUAAUAUAUUAAUAAAUCAAAAUUAACCUCUUUCUCCAUAAUUCAUCUAGUCAAGUUGCUAUGGUGCAGGCAACCAAAAGCACCAUGCUACUAUCGGGUCAAGUACAUACAAUUUAUAGUUAUGGGCUUAGACACCUAAUCCAACAGUCUCCCUCUUGGAUAAGUCUAAUAACUAUAACUACAAGUAUGACUUCAAAAUCCGAUUAGCAAUCGUAGCUCUCAAAAGCCGCUGUUGGAAUCUGACCUAGUCAAUAUGUAACAUCCAUAAAUUUUACACCAAAUUUAAACUUUUCAAUCAUAAAUAAAAACCAAAUAGCAUUAUGUUUUCAAAUCAUUAUCCAUCAGAGUGUCCCAAAAUCAUAACAUAAGGAUGAGGAGUGGUAGGUCACGCCUACGCGUUGCUAGAUCUCCUGAAGUACCUGGAACAAUAAACCGAAAACUGUAAGCCCGAGGGCUUAGUGGCUACCCCCAAAAUACCUAUACCACAUUGACAAUACCAUAUCAGUAAUAAUCAAUCAAUCAACAUGCAUAUCGGGCCAUCGGCCUGACUGGACCGCCCUAUAGGGCCUACAGUCUAUCUGGAUCUAUCCCGAGCCUUCGGCAUGACUGGUCCGCCACAUGGCCCUACAGUCUCCCCGGACCGAUCAUAGGGUGUGCAUACUUUCAGCACAAAGCAGGACCGCCUCAACCCAACUAACAAUCAAAUAACUAUGUGCGCAUAACUAUCAUAUACUGGCAUAUACAAACAUCAAGCAUAUCUAUCACUGGUCAUCAAUCAUAGAAUUCCCUCGUAACUAGAGUACCGACCUAGCAGGUCACUAACAUACCAAUCCCUACGGAUCAUAAGAGCAUAACAUACUGUCUACCCUGAUUCCGAUCAAACAGAUCAUAACCACAUAUAGCAUACCAUAACAAUAAAAACUAAAGGGUCGACCUUGGUGCUGUAGACCCUAUCGAUAUAGUGAGGAUAACUCACCUCAUAGAUGUCGACUCGGAAGGUAAACUCCAAAUCUCGGAUCAAUUGACACAGGCCCCACCACAUAUCGCAUAACAUACACGUAAGUCCUUAACCUUAUAAGGUACUCCAUAACCUACUAGUCAACCCCUGAUCAAAGUCAAAGUCCUCAGUCAAGGUCAACAGUCCAUGUUGACCUCAACUCGCCGAGUUCCUUGAAGCAUAUUCAAACUCGCCGAGUCAUCGGGGUGACUCGUCAAGUUCCUUUGAUUCUCGAUCAAACUUUAAGGCCACCCGUCGAGUUCCCUCCUUGCAACUCGACGAAUACACAUGCAUACAUAUCCAGGAGAAAACUCAUCCGCCUCGCCGAGUUGUUCUUCAACUCGUCGAGUCUAUGGAAAUCAUCAUCGGACUCGUCGAGUUGUUUAUCCAACUUGUCGAGUUCACGACCAUCUUCAUGUGACUUGCCGAGUCAACCUUGCGACUCGCCGAGUCCAUUCAGUCCGUUUUCCAUACAGAUCUAUUUUGAGUCAUGCAGCGGCUCCAACUCACAGAUCUAAGCUUCUAGGACAUGCUUAUCACGUAAGGAUGCAAACUUUACGUGCAUGCAUGGCUUUAAAGGCUCCAAAUGCCAAAUCUAAGAUCUUAAUGAGGCUUCAUGCUCAAUAGGGACCUCAAUCACGACCAAAAUUGUAACUUUAUGCUUCUAGAAUCCGAAGAGGGUCCAGAUCUGAAGUUACAACUUCAGAUCUAGCCCAUAGCUCAUCAUACCAACUUGAUAUUACAAGAAAACCCUAAAACUCAACCAAUAGAGGAGAUUCAUAAGGAAAAUGAUGGUUUGGGUACGUCUGGAAGAUGAUAUCUGAGAUGAGUGUUGAUUUCCACACUCUAAAUGCUCCAAUCUCCUUCUCCUCCAAGUCUUCUCCUUCCAAAGAUCCUCUUUUCAAGCUUCAAACACACACAAGGCACCCACACACGAAUAAGGGCUCUCAAGGACUCUUUAGAACUGUAAAUAGGUCCAAGGGAGGCUAAGGCCCCUUUAAAUAGGGAUACAAACCCCAAGAUUUAGGGUUUCAUCUGCCAACUCCUACUCACCAAGUCCCAAUAUGGAAUCGUCAAGUAGGUCACUUAACACGGGAUCUCACCCCGCUGCUACUCGACGAGUAGGGCAACCAACUCGUUGAGUAGAGCGUAACUCAAUACAUCUUAUUUAAAACAAUACCUAAGAACCGGGGCGUUACAAAUCUCCCCCACUUGAACUAGACCUCGCCCUCGAAGUCCGCUGGAACAAACAAUGUCGGGUAAUGCUCGCUCAUCUCCGCCUCCGGCUCCCAUGUCCACUCGGAUCCCCUCCGAUGUUCCCACUGUACCUUUACCAAAGGUAGUUCCUUGUUCUGCAGAAUCUUCUUCUUCCUUUCCAAAAUAGCCACAGGCCUCUCCACAUAGUUCAGGUGCUCAUCGACCUGAAUGUCAUCCAACGAUACCACUGCCUCCUGGUCCAUAAUGCAUUUUCGCAAUUGCAAAACAUGAAACGUGCUGUGGAUCCGGCUGUGCUCCUCCGGAAGCUCUAGCCUAUAAGCCAGCCUGCUAACCCUGGCAACAAUCCUGAAUGGCCCAAUGUAACGGGGACCUAAUUUUCCCCUCUUCCUGAAGCGGAUCACACCCUUCCAACGUGAAACCUUCAGGAGGACCAUGUCACCCACCUGAAAUUCCAGUAUAGAUCGGCGUCGGUCGGCAUAACUUUUCUGCCGACUCUGAGGGGUCUGCAAUCGCUGUCUAAUCUGUUGUAUCAUCUCGGUAGUUUGCUGAACUACCUCUGUCCGACCCAUUACCCUGUGGCCAACCUCGCCCCAACAGACUGGGGUCCUACACUUCCGCCCGUACAACAGCUCGAAAGGCGGGGCGGGAAUACUGGAAUGAUAGAUGUUGUUGUAGGCGAACUCUACAAUCGGUAGGUGGGAAUCCCAACUACCAUCGAAAUCAAUGACGCACGCCCUCAAAAUAUCCUCGAGGGUCUAAAUGGUCCGCUCACUCUUGUUGGAUAAGGUGUCUAAGUCCAUAACUAUUUCUGGUCAGUACUUGACCCGACCCGACAUGGUCCAUUUGGGUUGCAUGGCACCAUGCAAUUGGAUAGACUAAAUGAGAGAAAUAACACUUGGAGAUUAUUAAUAUAUUAUAAGUUCUAAUAUAUUAAUAAUAUUAUUUAAUUAGUUUGAUCAAGAAUUAAUUUAGAAUUAAUUAAAUGAUCAAAAGAUAACUAAUUAAAUAUAUGGGUUGAUUAUGUAAAUCAUCCAUAUCUUGUAUAGUGGGCUAAGAGGCUCCAUGGAUUAUCAAGUUGGGUUCUACCCAUAGGAUGCUCCAUGGAUGCUCCAUGGGAGUUACAAACCCAUGGGUCAUGGAAAUGAAGAGUCAUGACACAUUAGGGUUUACAUGGUGUAACCCUAGAUGUGUCAACACUAUAUAAGAAUCCCAUUCUCCACCAAAAUCUGACACACAUAUGAAACAAGAGGGCUAGUCCGAUUUCAAGAAGUGUGUGUUCUCUCAAAAGUCUUUCCAAGAGCAUUUGGUGUUGUGUGAAGCAUUUAAGGCAUCACACUUGGGGUGCUAGGCUCACAAGGUUUCAAGGAACAUAAGCAACAACAAGGUAAGUUAUUCUAUCUUUCAUUCAAGUUAAAAAUUGUUCCCCAUGUAUGCUAGAUAGGAAUAUAACCUUGGAAUUCAACUUUGCAUGAUAAUUAGACAAACAUAGAUCCAAGGUUAUUAGGGUUGCAUGUACACUUAGGAAGUGUUAGAAUGCUCAAAACCCAUCAGUGGUAUCAGAGCCUAGGCUUGUUUGUUUGUUAUUUGUGCUUAAAAGUUGAAGAAAGUCGAAAAUCUUGCUGUCUGACUGAUGGACUCGGCGAGUCCAUGGGGAGGACUCGACGAGUUCAUGUGUAUCUUCAACCUACUCGGCGAGUAGGUUUAUGCACUCGGCGAGUAGGGUCGACAGAGUGCAGAAUUUCGACUUGUGUUGCUGGAAAUGGAUUAGAAUCAUUACCCUAAAAUGUUUUGGUACUUGAAAACUUAUUUUAGAAGGUGUAAUGUCUUUUCUAACUCAUUUACAACAACUAGUUAUCAAAAUUACAAAGAUUAAAUGUGAUUUUGAUUCUUGAAAGUGUUCAUAUUCAUAUUCUUGUUCUUAUGAUGUUUAGAUGAUCAUAGGAAUUAUUUGUAACCUAUGUGGUAGAUUAAUUCAUGAUCAUAAUGUGUUUUAAUGGAGUCCAUAACUUGUCCUCAAGUUAUGGAAAACCAAAAGUCUCUUGGAUUAAAAAACAUUAAAAGAACACAAGAGUUAGGAAAAAUGAAAAGUCCUCAUUUUAUUACUCUAUUAAACUCAUAAGUUACAAGAAAUGAAAAGUUUUGAAAGUUUACAAAACUUGCCCUCAAGUUUUGGAACAAGUAAAGUUAAGUUAAAACUUUAGUUCCAACCCCUAGAAUUUUAAAAGUUAAAAUUCAACCCUUAUACUUAUAUUAUUAUGAUUUAAUAAUUAUAUAUAUAUGUAUAAGAACAAAGUCGUCUUACCGCUAGUACGCCUCAUUCACGAAGCCGGUCUAUAAGGUGGGUAUAAGGUUGUUGCCUAUAAAAUGGUGACUUAAUGGGUGUCCACUCUCACCCACCGCUUGCUUGAUCGGUGGAGGGUCGUUAGCCGAACGGGUAAGACAAGGACUUAUUAAUUCUCAUUCAAAGUAUGAUGAAUAUUAUAAAGUAACUAAAUGUUUUAUUAAAUUCCCAAUCUUAGUUACUUUAGGAAAAAUGUGAAUAAGGUGCUAUUCCAUGAAAUUACACUUUACACUUUGAUUAAGUCGUUGGUGGAGCGUGUGUGGUUAACCGGCACACUAACUUGGACUUAACAAGGUAGGUAAAGGGUGACUUAGGGUUUAUUAUAGUAUCGAUGGAGCGUGUGUGGUUAACCGGCACAUCGAUUGAGUGAUAAACUUUAAGGGUACCAAGUGAUUUGCAUGGUUACUUCACACCUCGUUUUGUGAUCCUCGGUAUCCCAGUCACAAAACUUGGAGGGCACACUCGAGAUUGAAACAUGCCUUUGAAAAGUUCAUUGAAUCUCAAAGAAUCUAGGAAUUUCUAAGAACCAUUCAAAAACCUAAUACUAAAAUAUUGCGGUUUUCGUGGUGGAAAUUGGUGAAUCGUCAUUCACCUACCUUUCAAAUAUGAUAUAGCUUAGAUUACGGCAUACCUCUUCUAAGUUAUAUUAUAUUGUGAUUGGAUCCUAGCCUUAAUAUUACAUUUGGGUGUUUUAUUAAGGACUCUCUUAUAUCUAAACUAAUCUUGUCCUCUUUCCUUCAGAUGUCUUUCAACAAUGCUUCUGGCUCUAAUCCUAAUGGCUCCUUUACCCUUAUGAACUUGUGUGGGAAAGUCACCUUUGAUGGAUCCAACUUCAAUGAGUGGAUCAGAAACAUCAGGAUGAUUACCCGCUACGAGGACAAAGAAUAUGUCCUUGACAAGGAGCUUAAGGAGAUUGAUGAGUCCACUGCAACUCCUCAGGAGAUCGCUGAAUUUCGGGCACAUGAAAGGGAUGCUACGAAAGUGGCUUGCAUCAUGAUGGCCACGAUGACAGCGGAACUCCAAAAGUCUUAUGAGGAUUUCUACCCUUAUGAAAUGCACCAAGAUUUGAUGGAAAGAUACCAUCAAAGUGCAAGACAAGAGAGGUAUGAAAUCAUCUGCUCCAUGAUAACAACCAUGAUGAAGGACGGGGAAUCCGUCACGAGCCACAUGCAGAAAAUGCAAAGGUAUGUGGAUCGUUUGCUGAAGCUUAAUGUGAACUUCCCGGAGGAUCUUGCAAUAGAUAUUAUUUUGCAUUCCUUACCAUCGUGCUAUGAUCAAUUCCGCAUGACAUAUCACAUGAACAAGGAAGAAGUCACCCUCAGCAAACUUCAGGGACUUCUCAAGACCGCAGAAUCAGGUCUUAAGGGGAAGUCGGUUGCUAUCACUCCUACUCAAAACUCUACUCCGGUUUUGGCAAUCGGGAAAAGUCGAGGGAGGAAGAGAAAGAGCUCUUCUAAGGGUACCAAGGUUCGGACCCUUGAUGGCUCUUCUUCAAGUGGAACCAAGAAAGGUUUCAUUACUCCUUCUUCUGACCCAAAAGAGGCUGAAUGCUUCUAUUGCCAUGAAAAAGCUCAUUGGAAGCGGAACUGCCCAAAAUACCAGCAAGAUGUGAAGGAUGGGAAAGUUAAACCCAACCAUGCAGGUAUUUACACUAUCAUUUCUAAUAACUCACCCCAUUCUAAUUCUUGGGUCCUUGAUACCGGGUGUGGUAUUCACAUUUGUUGUGACUUGCAGGGACUAAGAAGAAGUGAGGAUGUGGAGCAAGGAAGGAUAAACUUGAUCAUGGGGAAUAGGAAAGCUAUACCUGUUACCAAGAUUGGAGUUUAUACUUUAUCGCUAAGUAGUGGGUUUAGUUUAGAUUUGAAUAAGUGUUGUUAUUCGCCAGGAAUGGCAAGAAAUAUUAUUUCCUUUCAUGCUUUGUACAAACAAGGGUUUACCUUUUCAUUUAAUAAUGAAGUUGGUUCUAUAGAUGUUUUCUAUAAUAAUGUCUUUUAUUUUAAAGCAUUACCUUGUGAUGGUGUGUAUGAAGCUGUAUCUGUUGUAGAUAACUUGGGAAAUAAUGUUUUGUGUAUUGAUUCUACUAAUAAUAACUUGGAUAAAGCAUCUUUAUGGCAUUGUCGUCUUGGACAUAUAAGCAAGAAACGCAUAGGCCAACUCCAAAAGGAUGGAGUCUUGGAGUCGUUUGACCUAAAGUCAGAUGAUAGUUGCGAAUCAUGCUUACUUGGAAAAAUGACAAAGUCACCCUUCACAGGUUCGUGUGAGAGGGGUGAAGGUUUGUUGGACCUUAUACACACGGAUGUGUGUGGACCAUUCAAACAUGCCACAAGGGAUGCUAAUCGUUAUUAUUUGACUUUUACUGAUGAUUAUAGUAGAUAUGGAUAUGUCUACUUGAUCAAGCAUAAGUCAGAGACUUUCGAGAGGUUUAAGGAAUUUAAACAGGAAGUCGAGAAUCAAUUGGGCAGGAACAUUAAGAUGCUUCGAUCCGAUCGUGGUGGUGAGUAUCUUAGUUCAGAGUUCCUCGACUAUCUAAGGGAAUGUGGGAUAGUCUCACAAUUGACACCUCCCAGGACACCACAGUUGAAUGGUGUGGCUGAGAGGCGUAAUCGAACCUUGUUAGAUAUGGUUCGUUCCAUGAUGAGUCGAGCUACGCUACCAAUCUCAUUCUGGGGGUAUGCCUUAGAGACUGCCGCCCAUAUUCUUAAUCUAGUCCCUACAAAGAAAGUUGCCAAAACUCCUCACGAGAUGUGGACUGGUAAAGUACCUAAACUAGACCACAUCAAGAUUUGGGGUUGCGAGGCUUUCGUGAGACGCGAGACUCAUGAUAAGCUCGAACCUCGAAGCGAGAGGUGUAUUUUCAUCGGUUACCCACAGCGAUCCUUUGGUUACCUCUUCUACAGACCUAGUGACAAUGUGGUCUUUGUAGCAAGAAGAGGAGUCUUUCGAGAAAGAGAGUUUAUAAGCCAAGGAGACAGUGGGAGGCAAAUUGAUCUUGAAGAAAUUCAAGAAUCAAGCGGUGAAGGAACUUCAAACUCUAGCCCUCAACUUGAGGAGGAAACUCCUGUUGAGCCAAUUGACAAAUCUGUACCUCUGAGACGUUCCACGAGAGUUAGGAGUGCACCUGAGCAUUACUAUGGAUUCCAUAUUACUGCAGAAGGUGAGACACUUAUUAGUGAUGAGACACUAGUAAGUCAAGAUGACCCUAACAGCUACGAGGAAGCCAUGGCAGGCCCCGAGUCUGCUAAAUGGAAAGAGGCUAUGGAUAGCGAGAUACAAUCCAUGUAUGACAAUCAAGUUUGGAACUUGGUUGAAAAUGUACCAGGUCGUAAGACAGUAGGGUGCAAAUGGGUCUUCAAGAAGAAGACCGACAUGGAUGGUAAAGUACACACUUAUAAGGCUAGACUGGUUGCAAAGGGCUUCUCUCAAAUUCCUGGAGUGGAUUAUGAUGAGACCUUUUCUCCGGUAGCCAAGAUUAAGUCUAUUCGGGUUCUGUUAGCCAUAGCUGCAUUUCAUGACUAUGAAAUAUGGCAGAUGGAUGUCAAAACCGCUUUCCUUAAUGGAAAGUUGGCUGAAGAUGUUUACAUGAGUCAGCCAGAGGGUUUUGUCAGCAACGAGUACCCUAAUAGAGUGUGUAAGCUUGAGAAAUCCAUUUAUGGAUUGAAGCAAGCACCUCGCAGAUGGAAUCUUUGCUUUGAUGAAAAGGUCAAGGAAUUUGGCUUUUCUAGGAGUGAAGAUGAAUCUUGUGUGUAUGUCAAGGCUAGUGGGAGUAUAGUUAGCUUUUUGGUAUUGUAUGUGGAUGACAUACUACUCAUAGGAAACGACAUUCCAACCCUGCAGGAAGUAAAGUCCUGGCUUGGGAAGUGUUUCGCUAUGAAGGACCUUGGUGAAGCUGCCUAUAUUCUAGGGAUAAGAAUCUUGAGAGAUCGGAGUAAAAGACUAAUUGGACUUAGUCAGAGUACCUACUUGGAUAAGGUGCUGAAGAGAUUCAGCAUGCAGGAUUCCAAGAAAGGAGAGUUACCCAUCCAGAGUAACACCAGAUUGAGUAAGACACAAAGCCCUAGCACUGAGGCUGAGAUAGCAGAAAUGAGUCGAACACCUUACGCUUCGGCUGUAGGAUCGAUCAUGUAUGCUAUGACGUGUACUCGACCCGAUGUAGCUUUUGCCUUGAGCAUGGUUAGCAGGUAUCAGGCGAACCCUGGCAAGGCACACUGGACUGCGGUAAAGAAUAUCCUCAAGUACCUACGGAGGACUAAGGACUGGGUCCUUACCCUCGGUGGGAGUGAUGACUUGAGAGUUGUAGGGUAUAGUGAUGCUAGCUUCCAGACUGAUAGGGAUAAUUUCCGCUCUCAGUCGGGCUGGGUCUUUACCCUAAACGGAGGAGCAAUUUCUUGGAAGAGUUCCAAGCAAGAGACAGUGGCAGAUUCUACUUGUGAAUCAGAGUAUAUUGCAGCUAGCGAAGCAGCAAAGGAGGCGAUAUGGCUGAAGAACUUCAUUGGAGACCUUGGAGUUGUACCAGCUAUUAAAGAGCCAAUGGAAAUUUUCUGUGAUAGUGAAAGUGCUGUUGCCUUAGCCAAGGAACCAAGGGAUCAUGGGAGAUCCAGACACAUCGACAGAAAAUACCAUUUCAUUAGACAUCGGAUCGAAGAAGGACUCCUCGUGGCAAAGAGGGUAUCAUCGGAUGAGAACCCAGCAGAUCCCCUCACGAAGGGACUGAGUAGGGUUAAGCAUCUCCAGCAUGCUCGGAGCAUAGGGCUGAAGGAUGAUAUAAGUUUUAGUAGUUAGAUAACCCAGAAAUUUGUAAAGUGUAAUUGACAUUUGAUGAUGAAUAAAAGGUGUUUUAUUUAUGAGUAAAGUGUUGCUAUCUCUUGUCAAUCGUUUACUAUAUUUCUUUUGCAUGUUUUGACUUCCAGAAUAAUUUUGUUUGGUGUAACAUAUUAUUCAAACCUCCACAGUCGGUCAUAUGUCGGAAGUAGGUAUGAAUCAAGACUGUCAUGAUGGGUUGUAGAGGUCUAAGGUGUUGGACAAGGCUACAACAAUCAUGAGUGCUCAUAAGUUCUGAGCAUUGGACUCAACCCACGCUCACUGGAAUCACUUCAUGGAAUUCUAUCUCGAGUGAUCGUGAGACGGUAAUAUCAUAUAAGUCUUCAAACCUAGAGAUAUGAUUUGUUACUUACAAGUUGGUUAUGCAUUGACUGUACGAAACCGCAUUGGUAACUCGAUGUUAUAAAACGUACUUUUGUGUGUAAUUCAAUGAGUGGUAGAACAAACAUAUGAGUCGAAGUUUAUCUGUUCCUUCUUGGAUUAGAAGCUGAUAUCUGGGCCCCUCGAUGAUUUUGUUUUGACCCAUGUACCGGGCCCGGUCAGAACUAAGUUGAUGUGUUCAAUUAAGUUCUAUGUCAAACAAAUCGGAAAUCGGGAAACAAAUGCUGGACAAUAAGCAAGACAAUGUUCCAUGUAUUUGUCCGGCUGAUAUCUAGAACGGAGGAUUAUAUGAUCACUUAUCUUAAAUGGCGUACCAUCAUCUUCUCAGUUCCGAGAGACCUUGAAAGAGCUACGAUUGCCGGUCGGUUCCUGAAGUACUAGAGAUAUAGUUAUUAGACUUAUCCAAGUGGGAGACUGUUGGAUAAGGUGUCUAAGUCCAUAACUAUUUCGGGCUUGUACUUGACCCGACCCGGCAUGGUCCAUUUGGGUUGCAUGGCACCAUGCAAUUGGAUAGACUAAAUGAGAGAAAUAACACUUGGAGAUUAUUAAUAUAUUAUAAGUUCUAAUAUAUUAAUAAUAUUAUUUGAUUAGUUGAUCAAAGAAUUAAUUUGGAAUUAAUUAAGUGAUCAAAGGAUAACUAAUUAAAUAUAUGGGUUGAUUAUGUAAAUCAUCCAUAUCUUGUAUAGUGGGCUAAGAGGCUCCAUGGAUUAUCAAGUUGGGUUCUACCCAUAGGAUGCUCCAUGGAUGCUCCAUGGGAGUUACAAACCCAUGGGUCAUGGAAAUGAAGAGUCAUGACACAUUAGGGUUUACAUGGUGUAACCCUAGAUGUGUCAACACUAUAUAAGAAUCAUAUUCUCCACCAAAAUCGGCUACACUAAGAAACUAGAGGGCUUGGCCGAUUUUGAGAAGUGUGUGUUAUCUCAAGAGUCUUUCCAAGAGCAUUUGGUGUUGUGUGAAGCAUUUGAGGCAUCACACUUGGGGUGCUAGGCUCACAAGGUUUCAAGGAACACAAGCAACAACAAGGUAAGUUAUUCUAUCUAUGAUUCAAGUUAAAAUUGUUCCCCAUGUAUGCUAGAUAGGAAUAUAACCUUGGAAUUCAACUUUGCAUGAUAAUUAGACAAACAUAGAUCCAAGGUUAUUAGGGUUGCAUGUACACUUAGGAAGUGUUAGAAUGCUCAAAACCCAUCAACUCUGCCCAUCAGUCUGCGGAUGGAACGCCGUGCUAAAAUGUAGUCUCGUGCCCAGUUCCUUGUGGAACUUCUGCCAAAACGGGAAGUAAAUCUGACAUCCCGAUCGGAAACAAUGGAAAAUGGGACCCCAUGGCGAGAGACAAUCUCGCGGACGUACAGGUCGGCCAACUUCUCUGCCGAUGAACUCUCCCAUAUGGCUAGGAAAUGGGCACUCUUGGUCAAUCGAUCCACGAUGACCCAUAUAGCAUCAAACCCCUUUUCCGUCUUCGACAACUUCGUGAUGAAAUCCAUCGCGAUCAGUUCCCACUUCCACAUGGGAAUCUCUAGAGGCUGCAGCUUACCGUGCGGCCUCUGAUGUUCGGCCUUGACCAUCCUACAGGUCAAGCACCUCUCAACAAACCAAGCGAUAUCUCGCUUCAUACCAGGCCACCAAUAACUCGAACUCAAAUCACAGUGCAUCUUGGUGGCUCCCGGGUGAAUACAAAACUGAGACUUAUGAGCCUCCUCCAUCACUGUCUGCCGGACCCCUUCGGACAUCGGAACCCAAACCCGACCGUAACGGGUCAACAAUCCGCGGCUAUCCUGAACAAACCGGGCGCUUUCACCCUUAAUCCUUUCCAACUUCCAGUUCUCCGGCCUCAUACCCUCAAUCUGAGCAUCCCUGACCAAACCCACCAGCGGGGAAUCCACCGUUAUCCUCAUACACUUGGCUGGGGGUAAAGGACCCAACUGAAUUACGGCUCAGAGCAUCCACAACUACGUUCGCUUUACCAGGAUGGUAAAGGAUCUCAUAAUCAUAGUCCUUGACCACAUCCAGCCACCUGCGCUGCCUCAUGUUCAGGUUCGGCUGAUUCAUGAUGUGUCUCAAACUCUUGUGAUCCUUGUAUAUAGUACAACGGACCCCGUACAGAUGGUGCCUCCAAAUCUUGAGAGCGAAGACCACCGCUCCCAACUCAAGAUCUUGCGUGGGGUAUCUCAUCUUGUGCGGCUUCAAAUGACUCGAUGCAUAAGCUAUCACUCAUCCCCUCUGCAUGAGGACUGCCCCCAAAUCUGUGAUGGACGCAUCACAAAAUACCACAAAACCCUCAACUCCCUCGGGGAGUGUCAACACCGGCUGAAUAUACUGUUGAGCCCUAGCUGCCGAACAAAACCCUGAUCCCAACCUGGUGCCCUCACCAUAUGUAGUGACAAAGAACAUGGUUUGGCAUGCGGAAUUAAAGCUUGCACAAUUGAACAUGGUGAUUUGGGUGUUUAAGAGAUAUAUUGAAUGUAUAUGGUGUUACAAAAAGGACUAGAUCUAGACUACAUAAUUAACACACACUUACACACUCACUUCUACAUCUCUCAAGCACACCUCUAUAAGUGGACAAACCCACCUUAUAUAGAGGGGUUUACAUGCCUCUCUCUCACUCUAACAAUCAAAUGGGUCUAAAGGCUAAAGCACCACAUGCAAGUGGGUUUUACAAAAGUCAAACAUUUACAAAGUCAUGAAUGAAGAGCUUUGCACCCCAACAUUCUCCCCCUCAAAGUUAGGAAUGAAUCACCCAUUUCAAAUCUUCCAAAAUCAAGCACUACGCGGUUCGAGCCUCAAAGGUGACACAUGUCGAAACGAACUUCAAUCUUCAAUUCUUCCAUGACUCUUCAAUUUGGGCUCUAGGAUGUGAGACCUUACAAACCGAGCAGCAACGAAUGAUUAAGAGUAUUCCAAACUCCAAAUAAUCACCCAAAAGUUGCGCAUAAAAACACACCCCAAAAAUCUUCAAUAAAACCAAACCCAUUUCGAAUACAUCACUUCCGAACAUCCAAUUACAUCAUCUCGUAGGCUUCAAAACUUCAAGAUCACUUCGGUCUUCAAAUCCGCGUAAUAUGAAAAAUUCAAGUUCGAAUUUCCAUAUAAAACUUCUCCCCCUUUUUAUAAUCGAAAUUUGAUUAUAAAACUCCAAAGGAAAAAGAACGUGCUAUAUUCGGAAUUUUUCAUGUCAAAACUCCCCCUUAACAUGUGGCAUAAACUUUGAGCUUCAAUCCGGAAAACCCAAAAAAUAAUCAAUUUGUUUUUCCAUUGCUGUUCAUUGAUCUUGAAGCCCUUAACAUGUGGAAUUUUUCACGGAUCGCCUUUGACAAAAUUUCUCAAAAAUGGGUAGAAAUUGUCAAUUUCAAAAUUCUGCAGUGACCCGUUGCGCCCAAAACAGCAAAAUAUGCAAAACUCUCCCCCUUUUCCAAAUCUGGGUAGAAAGCGUCAAUUUGCACAAACUGCAGGGGCCUGAAAUGCACAAUCUUCAAAUUUUAGCAAAAAAUAGUCCUUUUUCGAUUUUGGGUGAAAACUGCCAAAAAUUCGAAGUCUGAGGGACCAUUUUCGAAAUUCUGCUCUUUGUUCACAAUUCAUACGAAGAUUCCGCAAAUAUUCGAAGCUCCAAAUUUUUUUUUGAAAUCGGGUGAAAAGUGUCAAAUAUUCAGAAAUUGUGUUAAUGUUCGAAGUGCCAAAAAUUCGAAGGAUCAGGGGCCGUUUUCGAAAACUUGCCAUUUCAUCAAAUCAUACGAAGCCUUUUUCCAUUUGUCAACUAUUCAAAACAAUAAGGGCCAUUUUCAAAAAUUCUAUCUUCCUUCUUUUUAAUUCAUAUGAAGACUUUUUGACAAAACAUAUCAAGCAUACGAAGAGUGACUGUGAACAGUAAUGCACAAUGAUACCCUUCGUAUGUUAACCCAGUUCUUCGUUUUUUUUUUCAUCUAUUACCCUUCGCCUUUUGCAAUCCAUUCAUAUACCCUUCGUUCCAAAAUCAUCAAAAUCAAUAGAUCCUUCGUUCAAACACCCUUCGUAUGAAUCUUUUAACAUCUCUUCGUACAAAUCCAAGUUUUUCCCAAACCAACACCAACUUAGUCUUCGAAAAUUAGUAACCCAAACCAAUUCUUCGCUUUUUGGUGUAAACCAUCUGUUCUUACAGUUCUUCUUCACUUCGUACAUCAAUCACCAAAAACCAAUCCUUCGUUCAUUAACCAUGUAAUGCCCUGUCGUCCAAAUUGAUUUCAUUAAAAUCCAAAUAGGCUUCGCUUUUCCAGUUGAUGCCAAUGAACAAACGUGAUCAACCAUUUGAUUUUACAGUUCACUCUUCGAAUCUUAACCCAAAUCGAUCAUUAACCCUUCGUUUUUUCAGUUUAUCCCAAAACUGAUUCCACUACUUUCAUUCUUCACUUUUCAGUUUAACCCAAAACGAACGAAAUCGUUUCUUUGUUCCUUACAGUUCUUCCCAAACUCAUCGACAUCAAGAACAAACACAUCUAUUCGUUCACUACUUCAAUCGAUAUCAACUUAAUCAACACAAAUCAAGCUUGCAAAAUCACAGAAUGAACGGAAUCAACAAACCAAACUUGAUUAUCAACCAUACGAAAUCAAAAUCAUCAGACUUCUCUAUUUAUGUAAACUCGAUUUUGACUUUUUGGUUGACCCUGACAAACAACAAAACUAUUGAUCUUUAAUCCAAUUUUGGAUCAAACACCCAUUUUUAACAUAAAUCGUAACAUUCUUCAACUGUUCUUCAUCGAGUUCUUGACCGAUUUUAUCAAAAUCAAAAACUAAAUUGUUGACUUCUCAACUACAACUCGAUCAUAAUCGACUGAUAAUUAUCCAAAUCAGAUUCAGUCAAUUCAUAAGUUCAGAAUCGCAAAUCGUUGAUCAACUUUCAUAAGCGAAAAAGAAAACUCAAGAACAUUAUGAUUACAAGUCAAAAUAUGUUUGAGCUGAUUACAAGAACAUUAUGGUACAACCGAUAAAAGCGUACGUACAUAUCAAACAAAGAACAACGAAUUUUAGAAUUAAAUCACAUUGGAUGAAUUUUGGGUUCCAUCAAAGAUAUCGGAUAAAAAAAUAUGUAUGGGCUCAAAUUUAAACAUGAACAGUGACAGAUUCGUACAUUGGAUCAUAAACGAACAAAAUAUUGGGCUGUUGAUAACCACACAUAUCGAAAUUAUCAAAUAAGAGUAUGAAUUGGGCUCCAAGUUCAUUUAUGAACAGUAAGAUGUCAAAAUUUUUGGCUAAAUCAAAAUAAAUGGAUCAUAAUGAAUUUUGAGCUCAAAUCUCGAUUCAAACGAACAACUGUAAAAUCGAGUCGAACAAACAAAUAUGAGAUUGGAUCGGACUUUGAUCAACGAAAAAAUUAUUGGAUCAUAACAAAUGGGUUUUCAAAGAACAUUUGAUCCAAUGAGUCAAACGAUCAAAAAUUAAGAACGCAACGCACGAUUCAAAGAGAUUAAGAGAGAUCAUAGAGAGAGACUCACCAAAAUUGAUCAAAUUACGACAAAAUUUGCCAAACCGGGAAUCAUUCUUCAAAUAUCACCUUGAUCUUGAAGACCCGCUCUGAUACCAAUUGUUGUGACAAAAAUACUACAAGUUCUCCCCCACUUGGGGUUCGAACCCCCACCCGCUAUCCCUCAUAGUCGAUCAUGGCGCCAAAACGGCUAAGCCAAUCCAUCCCUACAAUCCCAUAUACAUCCCCCAUGGGGAUAGGAAUCAAAUCUAUCGGGAAUGACACCCCGAAAAUCUCCAACUCGCAUCCCCGGUAGACCGAAGAAAUAGAAACCCCGUGCUCUUUGGCGAUCGAAACUCGCAACGGGCACUCAAGAUCAUCCAUCGGCACACUAAACCCUCUAGUGAAAGUCUGAGAUACGAAUGACCGACUGGCCCCCGAGUCAAACAAAACCAAAGCAGGCAAAGAAUUUACUAAAAACGUACAUAAUCAUAGGUACAACCAAUAAGUACAACACAAAUACGAUAACUGAGACAGAGAAUAGAAACGUACCAGCAACCAUAUCCGGUGCUGACUUGGCCUCCUUGGUCGUGAGCUGGAAGGCACGACCCUGAGCCUUCGGAGGCUCCAACUUAACUGGCCUCCCGUCUCAAAUCAUUACAGUAGCUGGCACAGAACCCUGCACCGACUUCGCGGCGAGCUGCGGACAACUGGUCUUCACAUGACCAACCUGAUGACAAUGGUAACAAAUCCUCAUAUCUGUGGGAGGGGCGGGCUGAUGGUAGCCCUGGCAUAGUGCCCCUCCUUUCCACAUUUGUGGCACCCACUUCCUGCUCUACAAGUUCCCGAAUGAACCCUGCCACACUUUCCACAAGUGCGGCUCUGCUGACCCACACCGUGUAUCAGCGGUCUUAGCCCGCUUAGGCGCCGGCUGAGACUGUGCCGGUGCCUGACGCUGCUCCUUCAGCUGCUGCUCUAUCUCAACUCACGCUGCCUCGCGGCUUCCUGAAGGUCCCGGAGGGUAUCACAACGCUGUGUAGCCACAAACUGCCAUAUAUCCAUCUUAAGCAUACUCAGAUAACGAGUCAUCUGAGACUGUUCUGACGCAAACUCUGGGCAAAACAUAGCCCUCUCAGUGAACAUCCGGGUGAUCUCCAUCACCGACUCCCCAUCUUGUCUCAAUGUCAAAAACUCCUGAGCAAGCCACUCCCAUUCCACGCGCGGAACGUAGCGGGUGCAAAACAUAUCCCGGAACUGCUCCCAAGUAAUAGCAUCCCACUAAUCAUCAGAAUAUGAACCUGUCUUCAAUCUCCACUAGUCCUUUGCCCCGAGCCUAAGCAGUUUCAGAGCACACCUGACCUUCUGGUCAGCAGGACAUGAGCACGUGAAGAAACAGCCCUCCACGUCAGACAACCACCACAUAGCCCUGAUCGCAUCCUGUGUACCAUCAAAUGUCGGGGGCUUCGUAUUAUCGAAGUCCCGAUACUGGAAAGCCCUGCCGGCUCCUCCUCCAACCCCUGCCGCAGUUACAGCCUAAGUGGCUGCAACGACAGCUAUCUCUGCUAGAGCUGCAUAUCGCUCAACAAAAUACUCAACCAUUGCGGUCUUAAUCGACCCAAACAUCUCUGGCAGCUGUGCUCGGAACAUAGCAACAAUCUUGUCUUGCAUGAUCUCCCGGAUCCUGGCAUCCAACUCCUUGGUCCCUAUUUGUACCACGGGCUUAGGUGCUACCGGCACCUCCAACCCUCAGUCUCCCGACCCCGAUCCUGAUCUUGAUCCAGAAGCAACACGUCUCGUCACCACCAUACUGAAAUAUAUAUACAAGUCAUCAAAUAAAUAACAUAAUGUCGGGAGACCAAAACCCACAAACCCUAGGGGGUGUGAUUUCCUUGCUAAGCAUAUGGGUCCUGUGCUUUAAGUAGUACGGGCCCAUACUACCUUCCACACCUACCCAUAUUUGUCUCAAGUAACACCACAACGCCCUAACAAUAUUAUCAACAUAGAAAUGCGCUCAACCCUCACUUCUAGGGGAAUACCAACUAUCUCGCACCUAGUCUCACCACUUAUCAUGACUCACACAUCCAUGAAACUUCCAUCAUCCCCUGCCGCGCCAGUGCAUGCUAGCUGUACGUAACACUGGAACCAAUAGACUUUCGAAUAUCCAAUCCAACCCAAAGGUCGAAUCAACAUUUUCAGGCUAUAAGGUCUUUAUUAUGAACAACCGUGAUGCAUACACUAAAAAUCUACAGUUAUGAUGUCAAUUCCACAUACAAGAAACCCUAGGCUAAUAGGCAUCAUGUAACUAGGCAAAUCUAUCAUGUGAUUCCUGAAGAUCCCUAGCCUAGCACUAGCAUGCUGUUCUAACAUAUCAUAAUAUCAAAUAACUAUAUGGUAUUUUGGGGUUUACUUACAGGCUCCGGCUGAUCGUACCCUCUACAUCCUCCAUCCUUUAUUUUGAAAACCAUUUCAAAAACUUACUUUCUGAAAAUCUCCUUGAUUUGAGACUGAAUUCACACGAGAGUUCCUCCAAUUCACUCAAACCAAGGCUUUGAUACCAACUUGUAACAUCCAUAAAUUUUACGCCAAAUUUAAACUUUUCAAUCAUAAAUAAAAACCAAAUAGCAUUGUUUACAAAAAUGUUUUCGAAUCAUUAUCCAUCAUAGUGUCACAAAAUCAUAACAUAAGGAUGAGGAGUGGUACGGUCACGCCUUCGCCACUACAAGAAAAAGACCCUUUUACGACGCGCAAGCAACGACACUCGGAGAUUUAUGUUACGCAAAAGAGAGUGACGUUAAAAAAAAUGUUAUCUCUUUAAAAAAUUUAAGAAUUUAGGUUGCACAUUAUUGCGUGCCCUUAAAUUAGUGUCUCAUGUAAAAAAAUUAAAAACACGAAGGGCACUUUAUCUAAAAGGUGCGCCGUCUAUGAAUGUCGUUUUAUAUUUUUUUAAGGAACGCGCUUCUCCUUAGAGGGAAAAUGAAAUCUCCAAAUUUUUUAAACCCCCACCUUCUUCUCCCUCGUCUCCACCCCCUAAUCGAAGCUACCAGUUGAACAACCCCUAAUCCACACCACCACCUUCUCGUCUCUCCUUCUCCACCAGGUUUUCUCUCAUCUCUAUCCUCCACCUUCUGGAUUGUAAAGGCGUCAUUUUAUAAUUCUUUUACCAAACGCACAUCCAUUAUCCUCAAUUACAAAAGGCGUCCAAAUCUAGGGGUUUUUUUUCAAGAAGAAACCAAACGGGAGUGCUCUCUUCAACAUUCGAUACCUCCGCUCGCCCCACCUGCUGGCGACCUUGGUUCUUAUAUCCUCCCAGUUUUUUGCGUUCUUCUUUCAGAAAUUUAAUCGAACAAGAUCUUGUGCCAGGCAGUUAAUCUAACGAUGGCGACAUUUUGAUUUUGAUCUCAAAAUACAUCAAAUACGAGCUUAUGUUGGAACUGAUUACCUAUAUAUCUUUUCCUUUAUGGGAUAAAUACAUCGAAUACGAGUAACAACAACAAUAGUGUUCCAAUCUUGCAUUGAUAUACACACACGGAUAUCGGAGCAUCCUAAUCAGCAAUUGGACCGCUAUUAUAACAGGUGAUAUACAAUUUUUUACGUAGAAGAGCCUCUAGCUUUUGUUAGGUCCAAAAUAAACUAAACAUGGUCAUACUCUUUCCUACAGUUUACAGCUUUAGGGAUUAAUAGCAAGUCGCCCUUUAUCUGAACUAAAAACCGCUGAGGAAGUUGCAGCUGCAACAAAUUCUAAAGACGAAGCCAAUAUUGAAGAAAAUGAAUGGGAAUUUCAUCCGGAUGCAGUGGAAAAACCUUCUAAACCUGUAAGUGAAGGCGUAAUAGAAGCUGAAGAGGUGGAGUCUUAUAUUGCCAUUAGAGAAGAGCUGUACAAGAAGGCUAAAGAAUUUGAUUCAAAGAUUAUUGAUUUUGGGACUGCUAUCAGAAGACCCUACUUGCAUAAGGUUUUUAACAUUUUUUUUGAUAAUGUAUACAGAGGCAACCGGAGAUUCACUUAUUCACUUGAUCUUACUUGUGAACUUUGAAUAUGUGUGGGUCCGAAGGGCUUCAUAUGGACGGAAAAGUGAUAUAGGAUAACGAAAGGAAUAUAACUGUUAACAGUUGAUCAAAAUCAAAAGAUACAAUUGGUAUUCUUUGUUUAGGUUUUGUUACUGCUUAAUAUAUAACUUCUGCAUGUUAAUUGCCACAGAGACGACAACCUUUAGGGUUUGCGUUAAGGUUGAUUGUUACAGAGAUAUGGAAACUUUAAUGAGAAAGCUUAACUGAAGAACUUAUAAAACGACUAGAGUAUAGAGUUUCCUUGGCUGAUGAAUGGAUUAUCUCUAAUUAUGUAGCAGGUACUCCACACUCAAACAAACACUGAUAUAGUUUCGUAGGCUUUCAAGUUUCAAUAUUGUAUUCCUAUUUAACAUACUGAGUCUACUCUUGCAAAAGUUGUGGCGAAUUUUUUUUUCUUCAUGCAACUGUAUCACAAAUAUAGCUAACUGGAAAUAUUAUUAUGAUUAGGUUAUCUAGUUCUUCAUUUAGACCUCUACUUGUAUUGCCUAGUUAAAAUAUAUAACUUUUAGCACUUUUUGUGUUUAUUUGGACUGAUUAGAUGUUACAUGGUUGAGAAUUUGGAACUGCUAUCACCUUUGUAUGGUUACCUUGGUUGUUCACGGUUGUUAUCUUCUAUACAGGUUUAAGAUACAAUCAAUCACCUAUUUACUAUGGGUGAUAGUGAAACAGUUGUUGCUCAAUCAUCAGCUAUCCAAGAGCAUCCAUCAACUACAGUUAAUAGAGAUUUGGCUGCUUCUACAGGUAUCGAUACCAUGGAUGUAGACAAUGUCAUUCCUCAUGAGGAUGAUCGAGCAUCCAUCCAGGUAGUAUCUUACUGCUGCUAUAGCAACCCCCUAUGUUCUUUAGAGUUCUUGGGCAUAAACUUCCUCUUUUUGGUUCAUAUGGUGGCUUUUUUAUAUAUAUUAGUAGAAAACCAUGUUACACAUCACCCAAAAAACAAAAUGAAAAGAAACUGAACAAAAAACUAUGAGUUUUGAUUUAUGUUAUAGAUAAUAACGGGCAUUUGAUUACUUAAUAGUUUUUAGAAUCAGUCGGGAGUCUUUCCAAGAAUUCAGAAAGUUUUCAAGAAUCAAAAGCUACAGAGUCUUCUUUGCACUUUUUGAAUAGCAACUAGCAAAUCCCUUCUAUCUUAAUGUUCUUUAUAUAACUUAUUUGCUGCAUGAAAUCUUUUCUUAAUGCAUAAGAAUUUCAUGCUUUCAGACUUUACUUACAUGGUUGCUUUUUAUAUCAGGCAUCACCCGAACAUUGUUCUAUUGCUUUUUAUCAAGAGGGGUAAGAACUAAGAAUUACUUUCUUAUUUUAUCUUUUUCUGUUAUUUUUUCAAUCUGAUAAUUUAUAUAUAUUUAAAAUGACUUGUGAUAUUAAUUUGUCCAAUAACUUUUGAUGAGCAUGUGCGUAGGGGUAAAACGGGAAGAGGAAAUGCUCGGGAGAUGGGCUUUGAGAGUUUCCUUGACUUUGUUCUAGCCCUGGAAAACAAAGACACUCCAGAGGGAAUUACAUAUCUUUAAUGAUGUUUAGAUCUUAAUGGAAGAGGCUUCUUUACAACAGCUGAUAUUCACACCCUUUUCAGGUAUAACUAAUUAUUAUUAGGAAAUAGGAAAUUGAAAAUUGGAAGUAAAGGAGGGGAGCAUUUAAAGUUUAAAUGUUGCCUGAUAUACCCUUCCUACAACAAAAAAUAAAAAUGAAAAAUCUCUGCUUUUCCUACUUGUUGCACGCGAGACACGUCUGCAAGCCUCUUGACUAUGAGAUACAUAUUUUCACCAUAUAUUAGUAAUAAAAAAAUAAAAAAAUGAUUUGAUAAUUGAUUGGUACACUACACUACAGGGAUGUGCACCAAAAUUAAAUUUAUUUACUAUUAGUGGAAUUCAAGAUAUGUACAGGAGUGUUUGUUGCCUUUAUAAUUGGUACAAUGCUAACAUGGAGGACCUUGGCAUUGACAGGUUUUAAAUUAGUCUAAAUUAUAUUUAUUUACUACUAGUGGCAUUCUUAUGGAUAAAGAAAAUAAAAGGUGAUGAAUUCUAGUGUUCUGUUUGCAGGAUUAAUCCCUUGUGCUGUUCUAUUAGUGGGACUUUUCUUUGUACCAGAAUCUCCUAGAUGGCUGGUAUGUGAAGUAUCAUGAUUCAUGAAGCUGUUUAAUUUAUCUUCAAGAAAUUAUGUUUGACAUCAUGCAUGCAGGCAAAGAUUGGAAGAAAGAAAGAGUUUGAUGCAGCCCUAAGAAAACUUAGAGGGAAGGAUGCUGAUAUAUCUGAGGAGGCGGAUGAAAUCCAGGUGUUCAUUUCAAAGCUCUCAACUUUUUUUCUUAUUUUUGUUAACGAAUAAAAAUUAUAGAAUUCUUUUUAUGUGUUAUCAAUGGGGUCUUGAAUAUGUUGAUAGGAUUAUAUAGAAACACUACAAAAGCUCCCGAAGGCCAAAAUAUUCGAUUUGUUUUAGAGAAGAUAUUUGCGAUCUGUCACUGUAAGUUUAUUUUCUUGAUAACUCUUGUUGGCUACUUUAAAAAAAAGAUUUUUAUAAUUGUAGUCCGAAUCUUGUUUUGACCAUACAUGGUACUUUUUUUUUUUUUCUGUAAUUGUAGUCUGAAUCUUGUUGGCUACUUUAAAAAAAGAUUUUUCUAACUUGCUCCUGGACGUGAUUGUGCUAUUGAGUUUGAUCUUGGAAGUGGAAGCUAUAAUGUAACUUGCUAUUGCUCAUACAACUUUUGUUGGAAUGUGAGUAUCAUAAUUCAUGCAUUUUUAUAAAAGUUUAAAAUAUUAGUUUAUGUUUUUUCUAUAUAAAAGAUAAAAUAUUUUUGUUGCUAUUGUUGUAGUGUACAAAAGAAACUCAUCGCCUUGUGGACUGUGAAACUGUGUCCAAAUGGAUUAUGAAGAAAAGUGCAGAGUCUGAAAAUAUGAAUUGGUAAAGGUCUAAAUUGCCCCUUGGCAGGUAUGCUGAUCGAAUUGCUAAUGCUAAAUGGGAAGUUAAAGAACAUGGAAUGGAACGCAAAGGUGAUUAUUUUUAAUUUUAGCACCAAAUAUUUUAAAAUAUCAUUUUUUUUAUGUUAAAUCAUAACUAUAACUCAAGGUGCUAUAUCUUUUAUCUGUUGUUUGUAAUGUUGAUAUGAUAACAUUAGUUAAUAACAUAUUUAUAUAACAACUCUAUCAGUUAGCUAAAACUGAUUAUGUCAUUAAUAUAUUAAAUUUCAUAAUUAUUAUUUAUUACAUUAAUGCUUUUAAUAUGUUCUUUAGUUGCUUACACCAUCAGUUCUCAAUGGUCGAUUAGUUAAUGCCCACCAACAUCUCCUAGCACUAAGGAUAUCAGAUUAUCUUGGAAUACACCAAGUUCUGUGAUAUUUUCAAUACCAAUCAUAAGGAGGAAUUACAAUAUGGUGUUAUGGAAGGAGUCAAUCUCUUAGGGAAGUAAUGGAGCCAAAAGAAGGUAGUCUACUCUAGGUGCAGUUUGUUAUUAUUCUAUUGGUGAUUUGAAGCAUGGAGUUGAUUCCUCCUGCAAGUGAAGUUACUUAGUUGGAAUUUGAUGUACAUAGUAGAUUAGAUGCAAAUUUAUUUAUUGUAAGAAAUAGAAUUGUAUGACAUUAAAUUUAAGCAAUGGAUUCUAUUUUUUGUAUAUAAUAUUUUAUUUUCAGUUAUGAAACAUUAAAUACAAAUUUAAUUAGAAAAUAAGUAAACCUAUAAAGAUUUUUUUUAAACAUUUAAAAUUAUGAUACGCAAAAAUGUGUGUCAUCUUCAUUUAUGACAUGGCCUUUCUUGACAGGGGCUUUCUUAAUACGCAUUACGUGUCAUUAACACGCGCGGCGUAAGGUUACGACACGCGAAUGCGUGUCAUCUUCCUUUAUGACAGGGUCUUCCUUGAUACGCAUUGCGUGUCGUAAACGCACGUCGUAAUUGCGCGUCGUAAAUGAGCGUCGUAAAUGCGCGUCGUCUAUAAACGACGCGCAAAAGCGCGUCGUCUCUCUUUAUGACAGGGCCUUCCUUGACACGCAUUUGCGCGUCGUCUGAGCCUUUUACGACGCGCAAUGAGCGUCGUAAAAGGCUGUUUUUCUAGUAGUGCGCCCUAGCGGCAUAUCACACACACUCUUGUUUCCGCAGUUAUGAGUUCAUUAUGGGAUUGAUACUUUGAUAUUUUGGUUGUUUACAUGUUGUGGAUUUCAAAUUUGGGUUUUCGAUGUGAAAUGGUUUAAUUGAACAAUGUUUUNGGCCAUCGGCCUGACUGGACCGCCCUGCGGGGCCUACAGUCUAUCUGGAUCUAUCCCGAGCCUUCGGCAUGACUGGUUCGCCACGUGGGCCUACAGUCUCCCCGGACCGCUCAUAGGGUGUGUGGGCCUUCAACACAAAACAGGAUCGCCUCAACCCAACCAAAAACAAAUAACUAUGUGCGCAUAACUAUCAUAUACUGGCAUAUACAAACAUCAAGCAUAUCUAUCACUGGUCAUCAAUCAUAGAAUUCUCUCAUAACUAGAGUACCGUCCUAGCAGGUCACUAACAUACCAAUCCCUACGGAUCAUAAGAGCAUAGCAUACUGUCUACCCUGAUUCCGAUCUAACAGAUCAUAACCACAUAUAGCAUACCAUAACAAUAACAACUAAAGGGUCGGCCUUGGUGCCGUAGACCCUAUCGAUAUAGUGAGGGUAACUCACCUCAGAGAUGUCGACUCGGAAAGUAAACUCCAACUCCCGGAUCACUUGACACAAGCCCCACUACCUAUAGCACAAUAUACUCGUAAGUCCUUAACCUUAUAAGGUACUCCAUAACCUACUAGUCAACCCCUGAUCAAAGUCAAAGUCCUUAGUCAAGGUCAACAAUCCAUGUUGACCUCGACUCGUCGAGUUCCUUGAAACACAUUCCAACUCGCCGAGUCAUCAGGGUGACUCGUCGAGUUCCUUUGAUUCUCGAUGAAACUUUAAGGCCACCCGUCGAGUUCCCUCCUUGCAACUUGACGAAUACACACGCAUACAUAUCCAGGAGAAAACUCAUCCGCCUCGCCGAGUUGUUCUUCAACUCGUCGAGUCUAUGGAAAUCAUCAUCGGACUCUCCGAGUUGUUCAUCCAACUCGUCGAGUUCACAACCAUCUUUAUGUGACUCGCCGAGUCCAUUCAGUCCUUUUCCCAUACAGACCUAUUUUGAGUCAUGCAACGGCUCCAACUCACAGAUCCAAGCUUCUAGGGCAUGCUCAAAAGGGACCUUAAUCACGAGGCGAUCCUGUUUUGUGUUGAAGGCCAAGUUUCUAGGGCAUGCUCAAUAGGGACCUAUUUUGAGUCAUGCAAACUUUACGUGCAUGCAUGGCUUUAUAGGCUCCAAAUGCCAAAUCUAAGCUCUUAAUGGGGCUUCAUGCUCAAUAGGGACCUUAAUCACGAUCAAAACUGUAACUUUAUGUUUCUAGAAUCCAAAGAGGGUCCGAUCUGAAGUUACAACUUCAAAUCUAGCCCAUAGCUCAUCAUACCAACUUGAUAUUCCAAGAAAACCCUAAAACUCAACCAAUAGAGGAAAUUUAUAAGGAAAAUGACGGUUUGGGUACGUCUGGAAGAUUAUAUCUGAGAUAAGUAUUGAUUUCCACACUCUAAAUGCUCCAAUCUCCUUCUCCUCCACGUCUUCUCCUUCCAAAGAUCCUCUUUUCAAGCUUCAAACACACACAAGGCACCACACACGAAUAAGGGAUCUCAAGGACUCUUUAGAACUGUAAAGAGGUCCAAGGGAGGCUAAGGCCCCUUUAAAUAGGGGUACAAACCCCGAGAUUUAGGUUUUCAUCUGCCUGCUCCUACUCGCCGAGUCCCAAUAUGGACUCGUCGAGUAGGUCACUUAACACGGGAUCCCACCCCCGCUGCUACUCGACGAGUAGGGCAACCUACUCGUCGGGUAGAGCUUAACCCAAUACAUCUUAUUUAAAACAAUACCUGAGAAUUGGGGCAUUACACAAUAACGCGUCCUUUAGAUAAGGGAUCAUGUAGUCCUCCAUUCUCAAGAUAUCGUGUGGACAAAGACAUGGAAUAAAGUCAUACUCAUUGUCUAAUAGUUUGUUUCCCGAUUUCUGAUUUGUUUGACAUAGAAAUUAAUUAAACACAUCAAUUUAUUCCUGACCGGGCCCAACACAUAAGUCAACACAAAAUCAUCGAGGGGCCCAAUAUAUCGCUUUUAAUCCUCUUAGGAUAAAAGGAAGAGAUAAUCUUUGACUUAUAUUCUUGUAGUAUUUACUUCUUAAAUCGUACAAAAUAAUACGUUUAAUAACAUCAAGUUAUUGAUGCGUUUACACACUAUCAAUGCACAACCAACUUGUAAACAAUAACUAAUAUAUCUCGGUUUAAAGACUAUGCUAUUAUCGUCUCACAAUCAUUCAUGAUAAAUUCCAUCAAGUGAUUCAUAUGAGCUUGGGUUUAAUCUAAUACUCAAAUAUUAUUUCAGGAGCACUCAUGAACAUUGCAACAAACCUUUGCUAUGUCCAAACACUUAUACAAUCUACAAACCAAUUCAUGAUAGUCUAACCUCAUAGCCUACUUCCAAAGUAUGAUCGACUGCGGAUAAUUCGAAUAAUCCUAUUAUUCUGGAAGUCAAAACAUGAAAAAGUGAAACAAUAGUAAACAAUUUACACAAGAUAGUAACUUUACUCAUAAAAAAAAACCUCUUUAUUUAAUCAUCAAAUGUCAAUUACAUUUUAUCUAUUACAAGUUUCUAAACAAUUAUCUAACCACUGAAACUAAUAUCAUCCUUUAGACCAAUGCUCCUCACAUGCUGUAAGUGCUUAACCCUGCUUAGACCCUUUGUGAGGGGAUCUACUGGAUUCUCCUCUGACGAUACCCUCUUGAACACGAGGAGUCCCUCCUCUACCUGAUGUUUGAAGAAGUGGUAUUUUCUGUCGAUGUGUAUGGAUCUACCAUGAUCCCUUGGUUCCUUGGUUAACGCAACUGCUCCUUCGUUAUCAUAGAAAAUUUCCAUAUGCUCCUUUAUGGCUGAUACAACUCCAAGGUCUCUGAUGAAGUUCUUCAACCAUAUUGCCUCCUUCGAUGCUUCGCUCGCUGCUAUGUACUCUGAUUUGCACAUUGAAUCAUCUACAGUCUCCUGCUUGGAACUUUUCCAAGUCACUGCUCCUCCAUUCAGGGUAAAUACCUAGCCCGACUGAGAGUGGAAGUUAUUUCUGUCGGUCUGAAAACUAGCAUCACUAUACCCUAUCACUCUCAAAUUUUCACUUCCACCAAUUACAAGGACCCAAUCCUUCGUCCUUCGUAGAUACUUAAGAAUGUUCUUUACUGUUAUCCAGUGAGCUCUACCAGGGUUCCUUUGAUAUUGACUAACCAUGCUCAAAGUAAAAGCCACAUCAAAACGAGUAGACGUCAUAGCGUACAUGAUCUAGCCAACGACAAAAGCAUAUGGUACUCGACUAAUUUCCACUAUCUCGGCAUCGGUACUCGAACUUUGAGUCUUACUCAAUUUUGUAUUGCCCUGGAUUGGUAACUCCCUUUCUUGGAAUUCUCCAUGCUAAAACACUUUAUCCAAGUAAGUACUUUGACUAAGUCCUAUUAGUCUCUUACUCGUAUUUCUCAAUAUCCUUAUCCCUAGAAUAUAAGCAACCUCUCUGAGGUCCUUCAUAGCGAAACACUUCCCAAGCCAGGGCUUAACCUCUUGCAAAGUUGGGAUGUCGUUUUCUAUGAGUAGUAUGUCAUCCACAUACAAUACCAAGAAGCUAACUAUACUCCUACUAGCUUUGACAUGCACGCAGGACUCAUCCUCGCUUCUUGAAAAACCAAACUCUUUGACUUUCUCAUCGAAACAAAGAUCCAUCUGCGAGAUGCUUGUUUCAAUCCAUAAAUGGAUUUCUCAAGCUUGCACACUUAGUUUCGGUACUUUGCAUCCACAAAACCCUCUGGCUAAUUCAUGUAAACAUCCUCAGCCAACUUUCCAUUAAGGAAAGCAAUUUUGACGUCCAUCUGCCAAAUUUCAUAAUCAUGAAACACAACUAUGACUAGCAUAACUCUUAUAGAAUUGAUGUUGGUCACUGGUGAGAAGGUGUCGUGAUAGUCAACUCCCGAAGUUUGAGUGAAACCCUUCGUAGCUAGUCGUGCCUUGAAUGUGUCCACUUUCCCAUCCGUGUCGGUCUUUUUCUUGAAGAUCCACUUACACCCGACCGUCUUACUACCUGUUAUAUUGUUAACCAAGUUCCUAACUUGAUUUUCAUACAUGGACUGAAUCUCGUUGUCCAUCGUCUCUUUCCAUUUUGCAUACUCUGGGCCUGCCAUGGCUCUCUUGUAGUUGUUAGGUUCAUCCAUAUUUAUUAGUGUACUAUCACUAAUAAACAUAUCACCUCAGCAGUUAUAUGGAAACCAUAUAACACGGGCGGAUCACUAACUCUAGUGGAACGUCUAAGAGGUAAGGACUCGUCGAGUCCCACUAUGGACUCGUCGAGUUCAUCUGUCAGGGGCCAGAAAUCGAUUAUUUUCAGCUUUGAACAAUUAACCAUGACAUCAAAUACAACAUAAAAACAGCCUAGGCUCUGAUACUACUGAUGGUUUUUGAGCACUACAACAUUCCUAUGGUGUACAUGCAACCCUAAUGCUUCGUAUCUAUGUUUUUUUCAAGUUAUAUAUGCAAAUCAAAUCAUCCAAAGCAUGAACCCUAACUAGCAUAAAAAUUUGGAAAUUUGUAACAUAAAACAUAGUUAGAAGAAUACUUUUUCCUUGUAGCUUGUUGAUCUUGACCUUCAUGAGCUUAGUGCCUUAAUUCUUGCACCUCGAUUGAGUCACAAACACCAAGUAGCAAGUUGGAAGAAUAUGAGAGAGGCUAGGAGGCUCAAAAUCGUCUAGGGUAUUCUCUUAGAAGCAAGUGGUUGAUUCCAAGGUGUCAUCGGGUCUUUAUAUAGAUGUGCAAUUAGGGUAUUUGAUUGAAACCCUCAUUCUCUGCUUAGGCCUUAAGUAAUCUAGUAGAUCCUUCCAGAAGGUCUCUUAUGGACAAAAUCUAUGUGGGCUAUAUAUAGGAUUUCAUCCAUCCCUUCUUAGGGAUCCACAAGCCCAAGUUUGCAACUAGCAUAUAAUUGCAAUAUCAGUCCCCAUAAUUUAAUCAGUCUCUUUUGAUCACAAAAAUAAUUCCAAAUCAAUUCCUGAUCAAUACUAAUUAAAUAAUAUGAUUUCUCAAUCAAUAUAUCAUUCUUAUAAUAUAUUAAUAAAUCAAAAUUAACCUCUUUCUCCAUAAUUCAUCCAGUCAAGUUGCUAUGGUGAAGGCAACCCAAAUGAACCAUGCUACUAUUAGGUCAAGUACAUACCAAUUAUAGUUAUGGGCUUAGACACCUAAUCCAACACGGGCUCCUUAGAGCUUUCAGGUCUCUCCUUGUCUCGGGUACAAGUCUUGUGCUUUUAGUAGUACGGGCCCAAUACUACCUUCCACACCUACCUGUACAUUCCCCCAAGGCCAUACCUGAUACCUCUAAUUCACCAAAACAUAGAUAAAACAUGACAUACGAAACACAACACAUAUCCUAGAAUCCUUGGGGAUUUCUCAAUCCUCAUAGAACCAGAAGUCUCAAUCAACACCGCAGGUUGCCUUAUGCAUGCAAGUUAUACAUACAUAUAAUCACAUAGACUGUCAAGUGAAGUUUCUACCCUAAGACCAAAAUGAAGCAAGGAACAAGAAGUAAGGAAGAAUCCAUCGUUCUAGGGCUAUGAAAUCCUACACGUAUACAACUUUGAAAGAAUACACUUAGCAAAUAACAAAGACAACAUCGAUUUCAAGCAUUAUAUUCAUAGCAUUGAAUUCUAGCUAGUAGGCUACAAGGCAUCACACAAAUCAGACAAUUCUCAUAACUCCUGAAGGUAUCCUUAGCCCUAUUCUAGCAUGCAUUUCACACAUUAACAUACUGGUUGUAAUUCAUAAGCUUGGUUAAAUUUUUGGAAACACUUACUUGAGCUUGGCCGAUUGCGUGCAUUGCACUCUCCCUUUUUACUUAAGAAAACCGGUUUAAGAAAAAAUUUACUUUUGUUUAUUUUUUAAAAAGGGUUACCAUUUCCUUAGUUUGAGUUCUGACACACCUUCGAGUGUGGCCGAAUUUCUCAAACCAAGGCUAUGAUAGCAACUUGUAACAAUCCAAAAAUCUAGAUAAAAAUUUUCAUUUUUUUAAAAAUAGAAAUUACAAUCAUAAUUUGUUUAUGAAAAUCCAUUACAUGAUUUCAUAUCAAAAUAUCAGAGUAUCGCUAUCGAUAAAUGAGGAAAUUCUUGGGAGUGAUGUUGCGCCAUCAAGCUGGUCCAUUCCCAUCAAUACCAGAAGUACCUAAAAACACCCAAAUAAACUAUAAGCAAAAUGUAACAUCCCAAAAAUACAGGCAAAAAAUUUCAUUUUUAAAUACAUUAUUAUAACACCAGCAGUAUAAUAAGACAUCCAUAAUAUCAUGUCAUGUCAAAACUAAAGUAGAAAUAAUCAAAACAUGUUAUAAUAAAACAAUAUCAAGGUGUAAUCUCAAAGAUCUCAUGUGCGGAAAACCAUAGCGUGAUGCACUGUGAUCAAGCCGACUCCUUUCCUUUAAAAACGAGUACCUGAAACCAAAACUGUAAACCGUAAGCAUGAAGCUUAGUGAGUUACCCCAUCAUACCACAUACCAUACAACAUACAUGCUACGAAGCAUAUCUGGGUGUUGACAUACCCCUUUGGUAACUUUAACCGAUAUCCGGGGACUGUUUCACCCCUAUCACUACCACAUAAUAACAUAGCAUAACAUAUAUAAAUAUACUGUCAUGCAUAUAUGGGUGCCCGACCUACCCCUUCGGUAUCUUUCAACCGGUAACCGGGAGCUAACCUCCCCAUCGGUAUCUUUCAACCGGUAACCGGGAGCUAACUACCCCUUCGGUAUCUUUCAACCGGUAACUGGGGACUAUUUCACCCCUACCACUACCACAUAAUAACACAACAUAAUGUACUGCAAGGCAUGCAUGGGUUCUGACGAUCCCUUCGGUAUCUUUCAACCGGUAUCCGGGGACUAAUAUUUCACCCCUAAUACUACUAACUCAUAUAACAUAGCAUCCUAGAACAUAGAGCAUAUCAGAUAGUUGUAAACUAGACAAUUAUCACAAAGACAAUCAUCUCAUACAUAGUCACCUACUAGUGGGUCAGCAUUGGUGCCUUAGACUGUCACACCCCAAAACCGAGAACGGCGGAAAUGUUCUGGGGCGGAGGACGUCAUGUAUAAUAUCAACAACAAUGUAAAGUAGUAAACAAGCAACAACAUCAUCCAUUGCAUUAAUAAAAUAAUUAUUAUACAAUUGUAUUCUGUCAAAUUUUGAUAAACACUAAAGCAUAAAUCAAAAUGAAAGAUAAGUCUUGAACAAGCUCCAUCUUCCUUUCUCCUUGCAUCGGUACCUGUCUAUGAUGACCUGAGGAUACAAGUAAUUUUGAAAGCGAGUAUCAGCUUUAAAGCUGGUGAGUUCAUAAGUAUAUAAGUGUCAUUGCCUUGUUUGUGAAAAGCUGUUAUGAAGGCCAUGAAAACCUUUAAAUGAAAAUGUUGAGGUAAGUAUGAAAUCCCUAGAAAAAACCCUUAUUUUCUAUAAGUAUGAAAUGUAGUCUUCUACUAAGACCCGAAUGUUCUGUACGUAUGAAGUGUAGUCUUCUACCAAGACCCGAAUGUUUUGUAAGUAUGAAGUGUAGUCUUCUACCAAGAACCGAAUGUUCUGUUUGUAAAAUGAUAGUUUUCCCUUUGUAUUGACUAGUACUAAAAGUGCUUAGUCUAACUCAUCGUCUAUGUGAAUGCAUCACAAAAUAAAGUAAACAGGAAAAUGUACUACUGUAAGUGUUGUCACUGGGUACUAGGACCAACACAGCCUAGGUAAAUAUUAUCCCGAGGUACUAGGGUUAACACUACCUAAAAAUAAAGUAAACAGGAAAAUGUACUACUGUAAGUGUUGUCACUGGGUACUAGGACCAACACAGCCUAGGUAAAUAUUAUCCCGAGGUACUAGGGUUAACACUACCUAAAAAUAAAGUAAACAGGAAAAUGUACUACUGUAAGUGUUGUCACUGGGUACUAGGACCAACACAGCCUAGGUAAAUAUUAUCCCGAGGUACUAGGGUUAACACUACCUAAAAAUAAAGUAAACAGGAAAAUGUACUACUGUAAGUGUUGUCACUGGGUACUAGGACCAACACAACAUCGCAUUAAGCGAAAUGUAUAACCUAAUGAACAUCCGAAGAUUGUCCAAUUGUCCUCUGUAGCAGCAGCAGGUGGGUGGAAGGGUUAGUCCCAAAUCGAUCUUCCUAAUAUAAGUAGUAACCUUAGACCUCCGUAGAUGGUCAUCGACCACUGGUGCUAAUCAGUGGGGUUCGGAAUGGUGAGUCCCGCCUAGAUAUCCCAUUGAACCGGGAUAGGAAAGAUAAUUUACACAGAAAGUACUAAUAAAUUAUCCUCUUAGUUCUAAGUACAAGUAUCCAGGUAAGUGAAUACAGGAUAAUGCACCUAUGUAAAAGUGUUCCUGUAUGGCAUUCAUGUAUGUGCGUCCAUGUAACAGGUAAGUAUAUGUGAACAUAUUCAUGUAUCAGGUAAGCAUCUGUAAGUACUCAUGUAUCAGGAAAUGUACUAGUAUAGACUCAUGAAUGAACUGACUCUUGUGUGAUUCUUUGUAAUAGAAAUAAUGUUUGAUAUCUUCAAAUUAUCCCUAUGAUAAUUUACUGUAAUAUAACUGGAUGAUCAUGUAGGUUUAUACACUCUUACUACUCAAGGGUGUGGGAAACUAAAUGAAAGAUGUAAACUAUAAACUCAAUACAUAUAUAAGAAUAUAAGUGUAUAUGCAUAGUUUAGUUCAAGAAUGUAAAAAUGGUUUUGUAAGACCUCUUAUGGGUUUUGAACAAUAAUUAACAAUGACUUGAUGUCAUUUUAAUAAACAUUUCAAAGGUAAAACAUUUGGUAACAAUGUGUUUUUAAUAUGUAAAACCAUUUCAUGCAUCACAUUUUGUAGCAUGUGAAAUCCGUUAAAUGACAAACAUAGUUAUAAAAUGCAUAUCAAUGAUUCAAUAACAUGUAUGUUUCUACUUGUAUUCCCCCCAUUAAAGCAUUUAAAAUCAUUUAAAAUAUUGAUUAGGGGUAUGAACUCACUUGAUUGAAGUGGUUGAUUUGAAAUAGUCCAGAGAAGAAUCAAGCAGAACUUCGACAGGAAGAGCUGAAAACGCGGGAAAAUCUCAGGAUUCUCGGGAAUCUCGGGAAUCUCGAGAACACAAAACCUUCCUUCGGGACUUGAAGGUGAAAACCGGGGCUUUGGGAGGGUCUCGGGGGCUUAAACGCAGAGUUUCGGCGCGAGAAAGAAAGGAACUGAGCAAUGGAACUCGGAGCCCUUGAAAUCUAUUUAUAGGGGCAUUUUUGGGGUGUGCCACGUCGUGGCAAGUGAUGGCCACGUCGUGGGGAGUCAAACCUAUCCUCUUCCAUUGAUUGGACGCCCUCAGUCACUUGCCGGGUCGCGGCAAGCUUGUGCCACGUCGUGGGGCCUGACAGCAUCGGAUUUUGGGCCCCGAACUUGUAAAAUCCAUAACUUUCGCAUACGAGCUCCGUUUUCGACGUUCUUUAUAUGCACACAUAGCUAAAAAUAUGAUCUACAAAUCUCGUUUAGACUUCAAUUGCAAAUUUUGACUUUAUUUUUAAUUAUUUAUUUUUAACGGGUCGGGACACGAAAAGUCUGUUAAAAAUCCAUAACUUCUUCAUCCGGUGUCCGUUUUCGUCAGACUUUUCGCCGUUGCGCUACUAAUGUUGAGACCUUAGAUUCUCAUUUAGGUUGUUUUGGCACNUUUGGUCAAAAGUAUCUCGAGCUCUAUUUCGAGUUUUUAGCUGUCUACUGCUAUACUCGAAUCUUGGAAAAAUCAUAACUUUCUCAUACGAAGUCAGAUUUGGACGUUCUUUUUAUGUACGCUCACGGUUUGAGGUUAUCUAUAACUUUCAUUUAGAUACUUAAGGCUAAAAACUAUUGUAUUGAAACUUCGCGUUUUUCGUUUAAUCGGUGUUGUCGGUUUUGCCGAGAAUCUUCGGUUGGUCAUAACUUCUUCGUUAUAACUCGAAUUUUAGGGUUCUUUAUAUGUACUAAAACCUUGAUACGAUUCCUACUACUUUAUUUAACCCAAAUAAGAUUUUAGGAAAGUUAUAUUUUGACCUAAAUUUGAUUGGUUUUACAUUUCAUUGUCUCGAAAUAUCGGGUUGUCACAUAGACCCACCUCUACUGGAAGGUAAUUCACCUCGAAUGCAGAAGCUUCCUAAAGAAAUUCUUAUUGCUGCCCUGCCCACUUCCCGAGCUAUCAAUACCAAUCAAUAUACCAAAUUAGCAAUUGGUUCCCAUACCAAAAUCCUUAAUCCAUGCAUGGGAUAAAAUGACCAUUCUACCUAUGGCCCAGUAUGAUCCGGAAUUAUGGCCAUAACCCAAACAAAAGCCCAACACUAUAAUGUCCAUAAUACAAUCAAUGGCCCAAUUUUCUAAAUUGGGCCCAAACCUCUACGUGAGUCUUGCCAUGAGGCCCAAUCAUUCUUUCCAGUCCAAUACACCUCAUAUUCUGAUGGCCCAAUAAUAAUCCAAACAUUUAAACCCAAAAUGCUAAAACUCACUCAUGGCAUGGUCCAUGGACUAGUUUUCCAAAUUGGGCCCAAGACUUUAGUGGGCCUCUACAAAUAAAAUAUCAACCCCAAAACUGAUGGCCCAAUAGCGCCCAAAACAACAAGCCCAAAAGAUGGCCCAAACUGAAGCCUAAAAACCAAAGUCCCAUUCUGCUGAGUACGCGGGGCGUACUCAGCUUGUACGCUAAGCGUACUGGCUUAAGGGCUUGUACGCUACAUGUAGACGCUUGUACGGCCAGCGUACUCCUCCUGUUGACCAACUCUCAAUCCUAGCUCUUAAUCCAUUAAGCCAAGACGUCCAAAACCUCAAAAUGGCUUAAUAUAAGUGACUUGACCCGUAAAGUCGAAUGCUUUAAGCCUUUGCAUGGCUUAUUUAAUCCCAAACACUAAAGAUGAAUUCCAAAAGGUCAAAAUCACUCCCAAAAUGUCUUAGAACUUCUUAAUACCUUAAGACCUCAGUCCAAACUUCCAGAUCUGAUUUCAAGGGACUUCUUAAGUCAUAAAUUUUCCAACUUUAUGACUUAGCAUAACUCAAUGGGGCCUAAAUCUAAAACCUAAGUUCCAAACUUCAUUAAAUGAAUACCAAAUCAUGCAUGGAAGGUUUAUACCUCUCAAGAUCUAGACUUUAUGACUCCAUAACCUCAGUAAGGACCAAAUAAGAGGCUCAAAGGUUCUGGAGUAACUUCUACUCACAAGAACCACCUCAAAGGGACCAAAAAAACAUAACAACGUACCAUUUUGCUAGAUCUACAUGAAAAAGUUGUCAAUGUUGAGACUCUAUACCUUCAGAAGAUAGAUCUAGGUGCACAAAGCUUGGAUUCAAAAGCUCCAAGUCAAACAAUGACUCUUCAAGAAGUUCCUUCUUCCUCCUCUAGCACCAAAACACACCAAAAAUCACUUUGAAGCUCUAAAAUUACUCAAAUGGGGGCUAAGGGUCGAUUUCUAGGGUUUGGAGGGAUGGAGGAUGAAGGUAUUAGGGUUAGGUUAUGAGAUAAGGAGCUUAAAUAUGCUCCAAGACCCUAAAAUAGGGUUUUGAUCUAACUGGCGUACGCUCAACGUAAUUAUGGUACACCCGACGUACUCCAAAGAACAUUCGCGACCAUCCUGGUCAGUAUGUCCAGCGUACUCUAAGGUACGUCCAACGUAUUGCCUUCUUCACUAGUACGCCCUGCGUACUCUUUGUGUACGCCAUGCGUACUCGGCUAACCCUGAAAACCAUGAAACUUCUGAAGGCCAUAACUUCUUCGUUAUAAGCCCGAUUCCAAUGAUCCUUAUAUCCACGGAAAGGUGACGAGAAACUCUAUGCAUCCAUCAACUUAUUCUCACCUCAAAACCUUCUGAAAAAAAAAUCCAAAAUUUAUAAAGAUCUUCAACUACCACUUUACCGAUAUACCCCUUGGCUCCAAAACACGAACCGAACACCCGAAUCACUUAUAAUACAUCACCUGCACCCAAAUGGGCCUAGAUACUACCUUUUCAAAAGCCCUAAUACUUUUGAUGACCAGCCUUCAGGCCACAUCGUUAGACUAGAAGUCAAUCCGGAACAGGGCGUUACAUAAAAGCUUAGUGAGUUCCCAAAAUACAACAUAACAUAUAACCACAGAAUACCACGCUAUAUACAUAAGAUUGCCAUAGGAAACCCCUAUGGUCUUUACCUGGAAUGCCAUGGGCUACCCCCAUGGCCUGAUAUCCAAGUUCCAUGUGCUACCCCCUUGGUCUUUACUUGGAAUGCCAUGGGCUACCCCUAUGGUCUUCACACAAGUGCCACGGGCUACCCCUGGGGUCUUCAAAUAAUGAAUUCAUAACAACUAUCAAUGCACAUGUCAAACAAUGGGCCGAAAUUAGUGCCUUCGACCCAUUGAUAUAGUGAGAAGACUCACCUCAGACUGCUGAUAAAAAUACUACUCGGCUAUCGGUCCAGAUAUCUCACACUGAAUAUACACAAGUUAACCUAAUUAGAAUUAAGUCACAAACUCAAGGCAUAGGCCAAAACCCUAAUUACAAACUCCUCCAAUAAGGCCCAAAAGCCUUUCUCCUUUAAUGGGCCUAACAUCCAAGCUCCAAAACAAUUAUAGGCCAUAAGGCCCAAAAGGCCCAAACAUGCCACCUAUGGUCCAACAACAAGUUUAAAGGCCCAAAUACUCUAAUAGAUCCAGGCCCAAGGCUAAGUAGGGCCCAAAUGGAUCAAAGGCCCAACAAUAGCCUAAAACUCACUGGAAGCAUACGCCCAAUGUACAACAUAUAUACGCUUAGCGUACUGGGUUAUUUGGUGGUACACACAGUGUAAAAGCUAGUACGUCCAACGUACAAGCUGCUUUGCACAAAUAGCCAUUAAGUGCUUACUUCAUGAAGCCGCUUCGUCCGAUUCCAAAUCUUGGUCAUCAUAAAGGUUGUAGGGCAAAAAUUUUGUAACUUUAUGCCUUUGAAUGCCAUAUGGGAACCUAACACCUCGUUUUAUCCUUUAAGACUCCCUUUAAGAUCUUAAACUCAUGCAUGGUGUCAAAACAACCAUCAAGUUAACAUUUUUAUGGUUUUAACAUGCCAAAGGAACUCAAAUCAAACAUUUCUAACCUCUGGAGUUGCUCAAACUCACAAAAGAGGAUCCAUGGACCAAAAAUGGACUUAUUACCAAACCCUAACUCAAACUAGCGAAAGGAUAAGCAAGGUCUGGACUUUUUACCUCCAAAAGUUCCGCAAGAUGAAAUAGAUGCAGGAUCUAGAAGCUCAACCACGUAUAAGACUUGAUCACAACCUUCUCCUUCUUGCAAACACACUAAAAUAGCCACCAAAAUCACUUUUAAUAUCACGAAUCACACUCACUUGCAAAUUAAGGUUUAGGUAUGAUAAGAGGCAAUAGAAGUUGUUUAGGGUUAGGUCUAAAUGGCAUAAGAGUGUUAAAAUGGGGCUAAAAUUAGGAUUUUUGUCUUAGGCCACGUACGCCCCGCAUACAUUGUGCAUGUCCGAGUCCAAACCACCCUAAUAUGCUAAGCAUACACAUAUGUACACCCAACGUACGUAGGGACCUCCUUUGCAAAUAAGUUUCAUUCCAAGGGUUAAAAGGGUAACUUGCAUUCCGAAUGUUACAUAUAGAUAAUCAAAUACUUGAUUCUACCCUAAGCCCUUCAUCAACCAAGAACAUGAAAUAAAGCUAAACCAAAAAUUAUCAGGCUAUAGAAUCUUAAUUAUGUACAACUAUGAUGCAUACACUAAGCAGGUACAAUAAUGAUGUCAAUUCUAUAUAAGAAGUAAUCCUAGGGUAUCAAGCAUCAUAUAUGAGGAAAUUUUAUCACGUAAUUCCUGACGAUCCCUAGCCCACCGCUAGUAUGUUGUUGUAUCAUGAAUAACAUAUCAAAUAACAGUGUGGGUAACUUGAGGUAUGCUUUCUUACCGCGGCUGACCGUACACAUCACAUCAUGCAUUCCUUGGUUACUUUUGAAAACCAUUAAAAAAAACUUUUACAACUCCCUAGUUUGAGUUUGGAUUCACACGAAUGUUCAUCCAAUUCUCUCAAACCAAGGCUCUGAUACCAACUUGUAACACUCCUAAUAUCAUAGAAAAUUAAAAAUUUUAAAUUUCAACCAUUAACCAACAUUGUUUAUAAAAAGUGCUCAUUGCUUCAAAAGUAUUAUUCAAAAUCAUAGUUUUUCCCAAGACAUAAAAACACAAAACAGGAAGAUGUGCACGAUCACGCCUUUGCCUUCCCGCGAUUAUCAGAAGUACAUGAAAUAAUAAACUGAAAUUGUAUUUCAAAGCUUAGUGAGUUCCCCCAAAGUACCAUCAUGAAACAUAUAAAAUACAUAGAUUAACAUGAUGGGCCCACAACCUCCCAGUUGGAUUACCUUGGCCCACAACCUCCCUGUUGGAUUGCCCUGCAUACCAUAUACUGGGUCCAUAACCUCCCAACCGGGUUGACUUGGCUAGUUUGUGGAGUUUGACCUAUUUUGAGCCAAGUAUAUUUUGGAUAAUUUGGUAUUAAUUUAAGUUGGGAAAUAUUUUGGGAUAAUAGGUGUUGAGUAGAGCCGGGUGUCGGGGAAGACAUUUAUUCAGCUUGUGUUUAGACUGAGAGGUGAGUUUUCCUCACUAUACUUACAAGUCGAAGGCAUCAAGGCCGACCUAAUGGAUUGAUAUCCUGUUAGAUACUAAUUGAAGAUAUGUUGAGUAUGCGAUACAUCUGUAUGAUUAUAUGAUAGGUAUUGAUAUACAUUAGACUGGUAGAUCUGUAGGACUACAUGUGAUUAUUGGUUGUGUAAUCACCUGUUUGUUGUAUGUAUAUUAUCUAUUAUAUGUCGACAUGUUACUUUAGGGUUGAGAAUAUUGCUUUGUGCUGUCAUUCGACAGACCGUGACAAUCCAACCAGAAUGUUUUGGGCCAGAGUAAUCCAACAGGGAGGUUGUGGACACAACAUGCUAAUCUAUGUAUUUUAUAUGCUGCAUGAUGGUACUUUGGGGGAACUCACUAAGAUUUGACUUACAGUUUCAGUUUAUUGUUUUAGGUACUUUUGAUGAUCAUGGUACGAUGAAGGUGUGAUAACGCACAUCUUCCUAUUUUGUGUUAUUGUGUCUUGGGAAAAACUCUGAUUUUGAAGAAUACUUUUGAAGCAAUGACUCUUUUUUUAAACAAUGUUGGUUAGUGGUUGAAAUUUAAAUUUUUUAAAUUUCUAUGAUUUUUGUAAUGUUACAUUGGUUUGGCUUGUAACCGAUCUAAACCCCCCACAUACCCUUGUUAAUCAUAAAAGAAGAAUCCAUUUAGAACUAACUAUGUUCAAAAAUAAGAACCAUAGUGUGUUAAAUAUUCAUUACCUCAAAUGUAGGGAUCUUUUGAUGUCGAAGAACAUUAGUUAAGAUAAAUUAAAAAGGAUAUUCAACUAAACCAAAGGUCUUUUGGCCUAGCACUAUCAUAUGUUGGAAAUGUGACCCUUCCUAAUAUCAGAAAAACGUGUUAUUUCGAUUGCUUGGAUUACACUGAAAGUCAUGAUACACUUACGUAUUAAAGUAUUUCGAUGGUACAAUCAAAAUUUAAAUUGGAUAAAAUUCUGUGAGAACAACAGAGAAUGAAAAUGUUAUGAUUCUUGUGUGUACCAGAUUCAAAUGACCAAAAAGGGAUAUGACUCCUUGUCCGAAAAUUGUCAUAUUUCCAGUUACAAACUGCCACAAAACCAUCACUAAACUGACUUAGUCGGCUUAACAAACAAGAACUACAUAUUUAACAUACAAAGAAAAGCUAACAAGUCUCCUGAUACUUGUAAAAAUCAAAUGAUGUAAAAAAAUUAGAUAUCAAAAAAUCUAGUAUUAACAUAGAUUUAAUUAAACUUAUAGAUUAUCUGUUUAUAUAUCAUGGAAAUUUAUUCCCAAGGUCAUCCUUAACUCGUUAACAAGUUUUGGGUGUAACGAUAUAACAAUAUCUAAUCAUUACUCCUCUGAUAAAAUUUUGGAUUCUGUGGUCUAUAGGUUGCAUUUUUUGUUGCUAAUAGGAGUAGAAAAGCUAAAAUCAUUUGGGUCGAUUGGAUUCAUAAUCCUACUUCAACUUGCACUCUUAUGUAAUGUUUUUUUUCCUAGCUUACUGCUAGUUUUUAUAAAAUUUUAUCUUGUUCCGAAAAAACUCCUCUUAUAUAUUGGUCAACUUUGAGAUACAAUUAAAAAGGUUCUCUUGCCACAUCACACGCCAUCCACCCCAACGACCACCACACAAUAAUAUCGAUUUGGUAUAGACCAACAACUAUCUCUUUCCUCAUCUCCCUCAAAUCGGUCUUCAUUUCCUUUCUUUUCAGUUUGCUUUUUAAUAUUCAUACAUAGAGACUCAUUUUUGAGAAGUUAAGACACAUAAAUGUGUUUAAUAUUGGAAUCCCACAUGACAAAGUAGCAUCUAGGGAUGUCAAUGGGGGCAAACGGGACGGGGGUUGCAUUCCCCACCCCCACCCCCAAAANNNNNNNNNNNNNNNNNNNNNNNNNNNNNNNNNNNNNNNNNNNNNNNNNNNNNNNGCCCCCGAUUGAUUUUGGGCUACCUUAUUUGCACUAAAAGAAGUUCUUGUUUGGACUAAUAGAAACUAUAUUUUGGGUUAUAAAUAGAUAUUUAUAACAUAAUUUUACAUGUACAAACAACUUAAAACAUGUUUUAUUUUGAAGUUUUGUAUGCAAAAAUCUUUUUAUUGUUUAUUAUAUUUAUAUAAUUAAUAUAUGUCAAUUUAUAUAAUUUAUUAACGGGGCUCCCAUGGGGGUUUCGGGACGGGACUACCAACCCCUGCCCCAGCCCUUGAAAUUAAAACGGGGGUUAACCUUGCCCCUGCCCCCGUCCCCGAUUAUUUUCAACAAAUGCCCCCAUACAAGAUGGGGUCCCCGCGGGAUCGGGGUCCUACGGGACUUUUUGACAUCCAUCGUUAAGUAAAGAAUGUUUGUGACGAUGUAACUUCCUCUUGAUAUACAUAUCUUUUAUUAGAGACCGACCGAUGUCAUCCUUUAACACUGUAAAUUUUCAAACAAAGUUUUCAUUUUAAAACACAAUAAAACACAUGUCACAUUCCUUUCAAAAAUCACAAGUAUCAAUUUAUCAAUACAUUUUAAAAGUUGUUUAUCGCAAAUCCAGAUCCUCAAACAUAACUCUUUUCUCUUGUGUGUACAAUCAAACCGGUGCCUUAUCGUGAUCCUGAUAAGAACCUGAAACACAUAACACAUAACAUGGUAAGCAAGAAGCUUAGUGAGUUCCCCAAAACACCACAUACAGCUCAUUAGCCACUCGAGGCUAUAACACAGUAAGACCCUCCGGUCAAUGUAUCUCAGUGGGAUCCUCCGGUCCCAAACUCUGAUGGACCCUUCGGCCGAAUAGAAUUUUCCACCCGCGUCCAAGAUUCACAUAUACUCGACGAGUUUGGGGACUCCAACUCGUCGAGUCCCAAUGCAAAAAUGCAAAAAUUCAUAUGUAUAAUACGUAUCGGGAACCGGGCGUUAGAUAUUGGUUGUAUAAUCAUUUGUCUGCUGUAUGUAUAUUAUCUGAUAUAUGUCAACAUGUUACAUUAGGGUUGAGACUACUGCUUUGUGCUAUCAGUCAACAGAGAGUGGCAAUCCAAGCAGGAUGUUAUGGGCCAGGGUAAUCCAACCGGGAGGUUGUGGACACAACAUGCUAAUCUAUGUAUUUUAUAUGUUGCAUGAUGGUACUUUGGGAUCACUCACUAAGCUUUAGCUUAUAGGUUCAGUUUAUUGUUUCAGGUACUUCUGAUGAUCGCGGUAUGACGAAGGUAUAAUCAUGCACAUCUUCCUGCGUUGUGUUAUUGGGUCUUAGGAAAAACUCUAAUUUGAAUAAUACUUUUGAAGCAAUGACUUUUUUAAACAAUGUUGGUUAAUGGUUGAAAUUUAAUUUUUUAAAUUUCUAUGAUUUUUGGAGUGUUACAUUGGUUUUGGUUUAUAACCGAUCUAAACCCCCACACACGCUUGUUAAUCAUCAAAGAAGAAUCUAAUUAGGACUAACUGUGUUCAACAAUAACAACCAUAGGGUGUUAUAAAUCCAUUACCUCAAAUGUAGGAAUCUUUUAAUAUCGAAGAACGUUAAUCAAGAUAAAUUAAUAAUGAUCGUAACAUCCUGUUUAUUAAAUAAAUAAAUAGAUAAAAAUUUGAUGAAAGAAUAGUCGCCCUAAAUUCAUAUUAUUUAGUGGGGCGCUGGUUUUGGGGAGCCGAAUGGUAUAAUUUGGAUUAUUCGGAGGUUAAAAGUGUAAGUUCUAGAUUUAAUUUGAAAAUGAUUUUAGAAGUCAUGGUGUGUUUAGUAAUUAAUGGACUUAAAUAGAAAGGAUUUGAUGGCUUAAGGGGGUGAUUGGUAAUUUCGGGACCUAUUAUGAAACGACUUUCAGAGAGAGGGGUUAAAGGGGUAAAUUUCUGAUUCAUUUUGAAAAGAUUAAUAGAGGGAAGGCUACUGUUGUUAUUAUGGGGAGAAGUUUUAUGGGGAUUGGGGUAUAAGACCUGUCAGCCCGGUAAACCCUAAACCUAGCCAUGUGUCCCAGCCGCCGCCACCUUAUACCCCCCCCCCNNNNNNNNNNNNNNNNNNNNNNNNNNNNNNNCUCCGGCGCCGCCGCCAUCAUCCCGUUUCCGAUCAGCGAGCUGCCGAGAAGCUACUCCAUUGGACUUCUGCCACUCUUCUCUUAUCCUUCUUCAGUCGUUGCCAUGUGAGGCCUCAUCCACCACCCGCUACUUCAUCGUUGGAGUGCUACCACCACUGUCGGUGCACCAUUGUUGUCGCUGCUGUUGAGGCCAAGGAUGAAGACGGAUGUUGGGACGUCGGGAAUGAAGAAGAACAAGCCACAAGUCGCUGUAACGUUGGUUGUAGCGCUGCUGCUCCGCCACUGCCCAUUUCCGUUAAAGACAAGGUCGUCACUUGUUUCUCGUGGAUGGCUUAGUCGGAGGUGUCGUUCGUUUCCGUGUGGUGCUGUUCCUCCGUGAGCUGCUGCACUGGUGGUGCUGCCACUGUUGCCGUUAGUGUUGCUGCCACUCUCUACCGUUGUCGCCGUACGCCACCAGGUGGGUGGCAGGGUUCUUUUGCGAAUGAAAACAGUUUGUUUGUGUGUGUGUGUUGUAUGUGGUGAUGUUUGGCCUGAAUUAACGAGAACAAUCACCACCACCUUCGUGAGGUGGUAGCUGCCACCAUGUACCACCACCGGCCACCACAAGGGUGGAUGUGUAUGUGUGUGUAUUGGCAUUUAUGUUGUAAAUUGUAAUUAGUGCUAGUGUAAUCAAAAGAAAAACUCAAAACCACCACCGUGAGGUGGUGGCUGCCGCCACCAGUCGCCGUGUUGGAUGGCGGUGUGCUCUGUUUAUAUUUAGACUUUGUUUGGGUUGGACAAAAUAGACUAGACCCAUAACCACCACCGUGAGGUGGUGGCCGCCGCCGUGAGCCGUCGUUGACCACCACUACACGAGGUGGUAGUGGGUGGUGCCUGACUUAGGAACACCCUAAUUGUCUUAAUGAAACCUUAAUGGGCCUAAGGACUUAGCUUUUGGGCUUAAUUGGAUUGUAAUGGGUUGGAAACCCUAAUUAGGGUUUAGAAAACCCUAAUUUUGGAAUUAUUGGUUUGGACUUAUCGGGACCCACAUUUGGGACCAUUGGAGUGAUGACUCAAGCCCGUUUUCAUUGUAUGCUUGGACUUAAUGGAUUAAUGUAAUGACCAAAAUUCUCUAUGUUAGUGAAGUUGGUUUUCCGUUACAUAGAAUUAAGUCGUACAUGCGUCUAGGAUGUGAGAUUAGACCGGUUUAUAUAAAAAAAAAUAAUAAAUAAACAAAAACAUAUUUUUUAACAUUUUAAGAAUUUAAUAGGGAUUAAAAUAAUUUAUAAGAUUUAGUUAAUAAUUAUAAUGAGCUAAAGAUAUUUAAGUAAUAUUACGAGUUAAAUAAAUACUCAAAUUAUUAAAAAGUGGCUUAUUUUAUGUGUAAAUUAAUCAAAUUAAACGACUAUAAAGAAAUAAAAUAAAAGAAAAGGUAAAGUAUAUAUAAUAUGGCCAGGGUUAAUAAUGAAUUGAGUAUAAAAGAUCAGGGACUAUAACUGUAAAUUGGAAUUCAAUCGGUGAAUUGAAUUCUAUAAGCUCGUUACCACUGAUAAUAAAUUUGUUUUAAUUAAUUCUAUUCGAUUGCCGCAACCUAUGUUCUUCUUAUUCGUUUCCGUUACCAGGCAACUUAUUCGCCUUGCCGAUUACACCUUCUCUUUAGGGUUGCCAUAUUUGUGUCGACCAGAAAAAAAGAGAGAGAAUUGAGUGUGAGAGAGUGUCUGCGUGAGAAGGAAUGAACGAGGCUCACAUCCUACUGCUAUUAGAUCGAAACAAGGUAAGCUCUUGAUCCCGAAAACCUGUCAUGUUUUUUUUGUUCAUCAAUGGCUUAUUGUGAAUAUCUUGCUGCCAAAAUACUUGUUUUUAGAAGCCACACAAACCCGUGAACUACUUCAAUUCAUCUCUGUCAAGCCUUAGGGAUGAAGCACCCAUGUUUGAGUCGUGUCGGGCUUAGUCGAGACAACCCCAUAAGCCAUCAGAACACCAGAAUCACAUUUUGGAAUGGUGUCUUCUCUAAAGCGUAGCCUCAAGUCCCUUAGACGCUUUGUUAAGGCUUUGAAACAGAAGCAGGGGAAGCUAUAUGUGUUCUUUCGCAAUUUUAAUGCAUGCCUCUGAAUUGCUACCGGACAAUCAAAAUAGACUAAUGCUUGAUGGAAUAUGAUAGUUACAGACAUAAUGGUUGUAUAGUUUCACUAAUGACUAAUUCAUAUCUAGACUUAGCUAUUUAAAUCAAUAGAAAGAGUCUGGAUAACAUAUUUCAUGAUAAACACUUAAAGAUUAAUUCAUCGUCUUGUGUUAAUGUAUGUAAUUCCAUAAAAGUUAAGAUGUUAAAAAAAUGGAUUGCCUACGUAAUAUUGUCUAAUUAGAAGUCUACUUCACACUAGGGUGUCUUAUAAAUAUAUGAGUGUAAUUUAUAAAAGAGUUUCAGUAUUAUAAAAAGUGAUUUAAUCACUAAUUAUAUGUCAAGGAGCAUGAUAUGAAAUAGUUGAUUAAAAGCAAUUGAUUACAAAUCAGUGUCAUCGGCUAUAAGGCUUCCUUAUGGUUAGUUAACAUUACAUUAUUCAUGAUACAACUUAAUUAUACUAUAGAUUAAAAUUGUCUAUCCUUAGCUACAGUAAAUAUGCUAAGGAUUUGGCAAAAAUGAUCCUCCAUCUAUAUGGGUAUUUAUAAUUCUGGAUCAUUUCUUUUAAGAGGUUAUAAUUUGCUAUUUUCUAUAUUUUGUGUAUACGUGUCGUUCUUUUUACUGAUCAAAGGUUUGAUCGUGUGCGUGUCAUGGACACGCGUUUUUUUCCUGUGUUUAUUAUCGAUCACCCUAUUCUUUUCAUCUGCCCACCGCCCUUACUUCCAACAUAUAUUCCACCGGCUUCCUCAUUCAUUUUUUCAUUAUCCCACCCCUUCAUUGACUAACUUCACCAACUGUGUUAUUCUUUCUUUAAAGAAGCUCAUCGGUUCCUUAUAUGUUUUUUUCAGGGCCUAUGUUUGUUGGAAUCCUUACGCUUGCUGACGUCUUUUGUGAUUAAGGGAUAAUUUUGUUCCUGGUUGCAUAUUUGAGUCUCAGGCACUCACUUCCUUUCUCUUUCUCUGUUUUCUUUCUACUCAUGGCAUCUCUAAUGGCAUUCUAUUACCGUGUUUGUAGGUUUACGCUUCGAAUUGUGUGAUUUUGUAUUUUUCAUUUCCGCUUUCGCUCUUGAAGAUGAGUAGUAGAAAUCGAUUGGAUGGUGAUUACAAAUACCUCUUGUCAUAUCGAUUUGAUUGUAAGUAUCUCACCUCUAAUUUGUUUUCUUUUUUUGGACUUUGUUGUUUUUUCAAAUAACACUUCUUACCUUCUAAAGCUCGGUUUCAUACACUUCUAUCACUUUUCUGUUAUCAAAGCUUCUUGACUAUGGUAAAUAUGGAAAAUCCUGUGACAUGUAUGUUUAUGCCCACAAAGUGUUUGAGGAAAUGCCUUUUGUGUUUAGGUGCCUGAUUGUUAUUCUGUUGAGUGUAUAAUUUCACAAUAUUGCGUAAAUUUUUAUUAUUGAGGCUCAACUGUGUAACUUGAACUGUUUUAUUGUAGUCUUACGGUUCUCUCCGUUCGAGGCAACAUACGACACUCACAUUCCACUACGCUGAAGCAUGAGACUUUCCGAUUUGUUGGUCUUGCCAAGUAGAUUCAGAUAACAUUUUCUUUCCAUAUAUUCUUCUAAAAAGCAGUAAUUUAUGAAAUUCUCAUUCUACAAUCCAGAAAACUGUUAAAAAGGAGCUUGAAAAUCUCCAAAAAGAUUAAUACUUUUAUUGAUUUGGCUAUUACCAGUGCUUUUUCAAGGGAAAUUAAAACAAUCAAAGGGAAUUUUCUACAAAAUACGUAAAUAUGUUAAUAGCUGUGUGUUUUUUAUUUUUUUUUUUGAUAGCUAAUUAGCAUUGAAGUGGUAGAAUGAAUUGGUUAUUAUUUACCCAUAUACCAGAUUAUGUCAUCUCUCUAUAUGUUUGGAAUGUUUGUGGGUUUGAUAUGUUUGCUGCUACUGUCACACCACAGUUGAAAAAACAUAUUUCCCUGCUAAAGGGGUUGUGUAAUUGUGACCAUUUUACAGUUUUGAUUUCAAAAUUAUAUUAAAAAAUUUAAAUUGCAAUCAAACUCAUAACAUGUGCAUGUUUGACUGAUUGAGUUGUCCUACAUCUCAAAAAAUCAGGGAACAAUCGACGGUGUUGACAUUAAGCCAACUUCAAAUUCGUGGGUCACAGUAACUGGAGGUAAUUUUCUUUCUUGAAUGCUUUUGGUUCACCUGUCAAUUUUAGUAUUUAUUUGAAGUAUAAUUUGUGUUUUGUAAUGUAAUAAUAUACUCUCACACAGAAGUUUUUAAAGCAGUGCUAUAUAGGAAAAAAUUAUUAAACUUCUACAAAGGGCAUUAGCAAAGUUAUGGGAUAAAACUUUAAACGGCCUAAAACAUUAACAAACUGUGAAACAGGGAAGACAAAAUUCAAUGGUUUUUAAAGAUUUUUGUUUUUUGGUUGUCUACGUUAACGAUCCUGCUGUUAAAAUGUUAUGAUUAUGACUAUUUUGUCCUUCCUUUCAUUACUUUCUGAAGGUGGUAAAGAAAAGGGAUAUAAUCCAAGGGUAAAAUGGUCAAUUUACAAAUUUCACAGCUGUGAUGUUAAGUUAGAUGGCCUAGGGAUGAAACACAUUACCAAACAGUGACAUAUGAAAUUUUUGUACGACGUUAAAGUUUCAUAUCUAUAUUUCAAAAAAAAAAUUCAUUUGCAAUUUUCAUCUGUAGUUCCCUGUUUUUGACUAUUUAUUGCCUCUUUUAUAUUGUGAAAAUUAUGUUUGGGUUGUUGUUUAUGAGGUAAUUGGUAUUGAUGUCAAUACAUAACUUUCAAAAGUGUUAUCUGCCAUACAGGAGAAUUUGGGAAAACAAGCACAUAAGCAAGAAAAAAGAAGGGAAGGUCAUAAUGUAAAAAGAGAAGGUUAUGACGAUGAGAAUUUAAUUUUGCACCUUCAACUUUAGUCACUUUCAUCAUUUUUAAUGACUCAUAGUUUCUUGCCAUUCUCAGUCUAUUUUGAUUUUUAGAUAAACUUAUUUUAUUGAAAACUUUUUUGUAUUAUCAAGGAACAUCAUUCGAUAUCUCAACUGAAAAUUAUGAUAACAACAUUACUAGAUGAGGUUGUUUAUGAAUUUUUAGCUAUAUAUUUUGCUGCUAAAAAAAAGAUAAGAAUACCUUGACAUUCUGACCCUCGCGAAGCGAGGCUCACCCUCUAGUUAAUAUUAAACCAAGGUGAUUUGUAAUUUAUAAACUACGAUAGACUUAUCUAAUCAAUUAAUAUGACAUAAACUAAAUAUAGUUUAAUAUUAAUCAUGUUUAUCUUAGCCUAAACUAAAUAAAUAUAUACUUUUUGUUUAGGUAUUUGUUGAGUAAAAGAGCUACGAAUUCACGUUUUGAAGUGAUUUCACUACCGAACUAAAGGUGAGUCAAUAGACUUUUCAUAAACCCUAUAUAUAGUCGAAAACUACUUUCCGAAAAUGGCUCGAUUAGUCAAAUUAGAAUAUUAUUAAUUGUUGAUAUUAUGCCUAUAUGUGCAGUAUGAGAUAUGCCAUUGUUUUGCUUUCUGUGACAUUUACAUGCUUAGUAAAUUUGGUUUAUAUGUCUAUCUUGGUACUUGAUACGAUUAAUUGCAACUAUGAUAUGCUAUAUGAAAUGUUUGAUAUUUGACUAUGACCUUGUUGAGUAUCUUUUAGUAUAAACUAGGUUACAACCCGUGGAAACCAUGGGUAAAAAAUUUAAAAACAAAUUUAUAUUAUUAAUAAGAGUUAAGAUUGUCAAUCCUUUUGUAUUGAUUAUUUAAAAUUAAAAUUAAUACAAAUUUGUAAAAAAGUAUAUAAAUUUGAAUAUAUGUUAAAUAGAAACGCAAUCAAUCCAUCGAAAGUUAAAUAUGAAUAUAACUAAAAUGCAUCUUUGAAUAUGUGAAUGAUUUAUGAAGUGUGAGGGCAAAUCAUUAUUUUUUGUAAUGAGGGAGCAAUCAAGAAACACCAUGUGGCGUCUAUUAAAGUCUGAAAAUCAAAUAUCGAAACGAACUGAAUAUUAUGGAUUACAAUUACAAUGCUAUAUAAAGAAUAAAUUAUUUAAAAAAAAAAUGUUACAAAAAAUAGAAAAAAACACAAUUGUUAGAAGUUAAUGGGUACGAAGCAUUUAUAAAUUCCUAAAAACUUCCUUAUACACAACAUUUGAAGUUUUGUUUGUAAGUCUACCAUCCUUAUCUAAAAUUAACAAUUUCAAUCCUUCUCUACUUUGAACUCUAGAUAAGGCAACAUACUGUUGUCCAUCUGAAAAAAGGAUCCUUGAGAUACAGACCAACCUUUAAUAACGACUGGCCCUGACUUUUAUUAAUUGUCAUUGCAAAACAUACAGCCAAUGGAAAUUGUCUUCUUUGAAAUUUGAAUGGAAUUUUCUUUCCAGAUGGACUUAAAGACAUUCUUGGAAUAAAUGUUUGCUUUCCAAUAUUAGUUCCAGAUAUGAUAAUUGCCUCAAUAACACGUUUGCCCAGAGAUUUCACUUGUAGUCUAGUGUCGUUUCAUAAUCCAUUUUUCUGAUCAAUGUUUCUUAGUAACAUAACUGGAACACCGACUUUUAGAAUUAACUUGUGAUUUGGCAAACCUGAUACUUUAAGACCAUUUAAAAUAUCCUGGGAGUAUAAAUUGGGAUCAAACUGAUCAUGAACAAACUCUGAUUGGCAAAGAGUAUCUGAACUUAAAUAUUCUACUUCAUCUUCGGGAAACAAUGCUAGCAAACGAUCAUUGAUUUGUUGGACAACUUCAUUUUUUGGAGCUAGUAUAGCUCUUUCUUGAAAAUAACUCGUACCGUUGAAUUUUUCAAAGAUUGAAGGAUAUACAAACUCAAUUAAUGAACCUAUAGGAUCAUGUGGAUCAUUAAUGAGAAUAUCAUUCGGAACAUCAAUAAUCGAUUCACCAUCCUUCAAACCACCAACUUUUCCUUCUCCUAUGUCCAAAAGCCAGUUUGCAAAAUUAUGUAUUUUUUGAAUAUCAUAUGGAUCCUUUCCAACGGUUAGUCUCAUCUUUUUUGUUAAUCUAUGGACUUUGCAUUGUUGCCAUAUAUAUGAAGAGCUUAAAGAAGCAUUAACGAUAUUUUGUCUGCUACCUCCUUGAACAACAGGUAGAAUCUGUCUAAAGUUUCCUCCAAAAACAAUCGCUUUCCCUCCAAAUGGAAUAUUUGAGUUGGUAGACUUAUCAAACUUACAUACAUCUCUCAGAGCUCGAUCUAAAGCUUCAAAUGCAUGUUUGCGGACCAUAGGUGCUUCAUCCCAGAUAAUCGAUGAGCUUUUUCUUACUAAUCUGCUGAGUUCACUAUCAGGCGGUAUCUUACAAACAGAAUACUCCGUAAGAUUCAACGGAAUUAUAAACCGAGAGUGUGCUGUCCUACCUCCAGGCAAUAAUAAAUAUGCAGUACCACUUGAAGCAACAUUUAAAACUAUAUCACCAUUACAUCUAAUUGCUGCAGAUAACGUCUUCCAAAGAAAGGUUUUGCCUGUUCCACCAUAUCCAUAAACAAAAAACACACCUCCUUUAUUAUCAUUGACUAUAGUCAUGAUAUCAAGAAAAAUAUUGCUUUGCUCGUUUGUUAAUGCAUGAAACAUACUAUCAAACUCUUUCUUUAAAAGCGGUAUGUCAUACUCUAGCUCCUCCAUGAUAAAUCGAUUUGUUGAAGAAGAAACUGUAUCGAAAUCAGGGUAAGGCCUUUGUUUAUAAUUUUUAAGACUGGUGUUGUUAUGAAGUAAAAUCUGUUCGAUCUCGAACAAAGUCAGGUUUUUGAGUUGAUCCUUAUUGAGUGAUAAACCUGUAUAAAAUGAACAAUAUGUCAAAAAGAAUAUAAUAUUAAACAGUUUAAUGGUAAUAAAAAAAUUAUACCGUGCAUAUUGAUAAUAUAUAGUAUCCGUUUUUACAAAUACUGAUAGGAAAUUAUAAUACCUGGAGACUUUAAUCUACGCUGUUGGUUGUAAAGAAUACCAUCCGACAAGUGUUGCCAUGUAUUUUCCCAAACAAACUCUGGUCUACCCAAACUGUUAGACAUUAACAUCGUAGCAAAUAAGAAACGAAGAUAAAAACCAGUUCCUGAAUGACUUGCUUCCUUAAUUGCAUCAACGUAUUCUUUGUCAUCAUCUAAGAGGCCCAAAGCAUAGCAUGCAUCUCGAAAAGUAGGAAAUUCUUCACCGUUUACCGUGCGAAUUUCUUCAAAUGAUUUUGGACCUUUCACUUUAUUUAAAAGAAUCCGUAAGAAGUAGACUUCGCCAAGUUUAGGUGAAACAGAGUGAAUCCUUCCUAUUGAACGUCCAAUUUUCCUUGGCUUCCACAACUUAUCAUCAGGUUUCCAAACAAACUUUGUAGGAAAUUCAACAUAUGUAAGUUUUCGUGCAUCUUUAUUAAUUUUAUUACAUUCCAUCCAAGAUGUGAACAUAGAAGCAGCAACUGAAGGUUGUUCAAGAACAUCGUCAAUAUCAUCGUCUGCAGCAUAUAUGACUUGUUGUUGAUCAGGAAGAUAAAAAGGUAGUCGCAUCACAGAAGGAUAUCGGUAAUGGACAUCGUAUUUAAAUAUUCGCCAUGAUGCUUCACAUGCAGAUAUAUAUCUACAAUCAUAAUAAUCUUUUAUUUCAUCGACAACCUUUUCGUGAUUAGAAUCAGCGUUGAUGUCAUCAACAAUUAUAGCUCUAUCUGGACCUUUGUUUAUAUAUUUAAACAUAUACUUUAUGGAAGAUCCCUGAUUGCACCAUUCAACAUUAAUGUGUGCCUGAUAUCUUUUCAACAUAUAUUUGUUAUAUGGAACAACAUUUCUGUUGUCUAACUUGACACCUGAUUUUUCGACAAAAUAUCCAUUGUUUCUUCUCAUAUAUAAGGGAUAACCGUUGACAUCAACCGAAGAAUGAUCACAUAAUUGCUUUGGAAAAUUUUUCGAACAUUGCUUGUCAACCAUGCAUGGACAAUUCAUAUUUUCCAGCUCCAUAAGGACCAUGUAUCAUGAAUUCACUUACAAGUGAAUACAAUUCUGGAUCUUCAUUGAUAUUUGGAAUCUCAGCAGAAAUAAUCGGAUCAAUAUAUUCAACAGUAGGCCGCUUGGAGUCGGCAUGCAUAAACAAACAAAUAUGACUAUGUGGCAAACCUCUUUUUUGAAAUUCAAUUGUAUAGACCACUGCAAAUUAAUUUUAUAAAUAAGAUAAUCUUUGUACUGGAUGAAAUAUAUUUGCAAAUAACAAAAAAUAUUAAGAAACUAAAUAAUCAUUAUAAAAAAAUAUUAGAAAUAAAUACAACUUUUAAUACCUCCUUGUACAAUGUCGAAAAUUUUAUUUUCCCGUAUGUCUUUAAUCAAAGCAUCGAGAUUUAUUUUGAAUAACCUACAUAAGAUAUCAGGUCAAUCUUCUGGAUGUAGUGAAGUGUUAUGAAGAAACCUUUUAACUUUAGGCCAUUUUGGAUUACAUGUAAAGGUUAUGAAGAAAUCAUGAUAUCCAAUCCAUUUACAUAAGGACAUGGCAUCAAGGUAGUUUUACAUCAUAUAACGUGCACCACCAGUGAAUGAAGAAGGUAAGAUUACACGUUGUCCAACAUUGGAUAUAUCUUUAUUCCCUAGGUCUUGUUGAUUACGUAAAUUUUCAUAAGACUCACAUCUAAGAAUUUGUUGUUUGCUCCUUAUGAAAUGUAAUCUCUCACUUUCAAUCAUAGUAUAAGCAUCAACCAAAAACUGUUGGAACAACCUUUUUGAAUUAAUAAUUAGUGAAAAAUAUUGAUCCCUGUCUUGUAUUCUAUAAGAAAAAAAUUCUCUCAUUGUACAGUUGGGCCUCUUGCUGUUGCUUAUUGGUGUAAUACCUCGAUGUGGUAUGUCAACCCUAUAACCAUCAUCACCAUAUGGAAACAGUAGUGGAUUCUGAAAGAGGAAGGUAUGAUGGAUGUAAUUUACUAAUACGCCGUAGAGAACCUGAUGAAGUUUGAACAACAAUAUAUCUUUUAUCAAUUGAAUCACCAAUAUCUCAAAUAAUUAAAGCGGCAACCUCAGAAGCAGAUGGUAGGUUGUAUAUCCUUCCAUCUUGGUCCCUGAUUCCAAUAAGUCUCAACUUGAUAUCAACAUGAGGUUUUUGAUGAAAACAAUCCCUAACCAUUCUAUAAGACUGAACCAAGACAUUAUUUGAAUCCAACAUCAACUUCAAAUCUUGUAUAAUAUCAUUAUCAAGGACAGAAGAAUUUGAUGUAGAUCGUUGAUUCUCUCCACUACAAGUAACAUGAACAUAUAAACAUAAGAUAAAUAAAUAAUAUAAUGUUGAUGAAUAAGAUAUCUAUUAAUGUGAUAAUUGUGAAAAGUGUACCCAAAACAUGUUCGUCUAUUCGCGAUCUCAUUAUCAGUAUCGUAUAUGUACAACUGAGAGAAUUUUGGUUUUAACCCCUGUUCCGGUAAAAGGCUUCCGAUACUAUGAUAAUUUUGACCGCUAAGUCUAAAAAUGUAUGGAGCAUUUCCUCUAUUGAUUGAGGAAUCAAUCUUUCCACCCAUUGACGUAAAAGAAAACAUAGAAUUGUAAGAACGAAUGUUCUUCAUGAAGUGUUUGCUUUUAGAAUCUCCCGAUGUAAAAAGAUGAACAUAACUUGAAGGUGAAUUCUUUAAAGCUGGUAGUUCUACUUUGCCAUAACCACAACAUAAACAAUAAUUUUGAUUCGACUUUUUUUUUUUUACAUCUGAUAGAUUCAUCUUUCCAUAAUUUUGCAAAACAUGUUUGGUAUACAACAAUCUGAUCACCAUGAUCCAAAUAAUCUGUCAAUUAAGGUUGACAUAAAAAUGUUAAUCAUGUAAGUUUAUAUAAGUGAAAAAUAUUGAAUGAACAAAUGUAAAUAUUAUAUUUUUAUCAAAAUUACCUUUUGAUAUACCGUUGUAUAUGUUUUGAUCAUUUUGGCCAUCGAUUUUGUCUUGAUCGGAUCUCAGACCAAAUAUUGGAAUAGGAGUUAAAUUUGGCAUUUUUUUCUUUGCUUUAUUAUUUGGAUUAGUUAACAUGACUGAAGACGAUUUUGAUGUUAUUGUAGAUGAUUUGUCGGAUGUGUCGCCAUUUGAAAAUACAGAGAAUUGUCUAAUAUUUGUUAACGGCGAUUGACAACUAUUAUUGAAAAUAUCCAUGGCUGGGGGAAAAAUUGAAAGUAUGCAUUGUUAAAUAUGAUACAAUAAUAAUAUAUAUUAUAAAAUAAAAUGGUAAAAUAAAUGAGUUACCGUUGGAAAUGUUAGAUAACGGAGUUCUAACAUUUAAAUGUGAAGGAGGAGUUUGUAACAUUGCUUGUUUUGUUAUAUAUGCACUUGUUUUAGAUCAGAAUGUGCUUUUAUUUCGAUGUACAACUCCUUUGAAUUCAUAUACAAAAAAAUGGUUAUGAGAAAUGUAAAAUUGUUUAAUAAUUAUUUUAAUAUUAUAUAAAUAUGAAUAUUGAUAAAGAGAUUAUAUAAAAAGACGAUGAUGUAAUAAAUUUUAUUACAUAUAUUUAAAAAAAACUUAAAAAGUUUAAAAGCAAUCAAGUAUGUUACCGUUUGAAUCCAAUCUGAUGUUUGGUAACGGUGUCUGAAAACUGUUAUUUGGAAUAUCGAUGACUGAGAAAAGAAGAUUGAAAUGUACAUUAUCAAAUAUGAUACAAUAACAACAUAUAUUAUAAAGUAAUAUGGAAAAAUAUAUGAAUUACCAUUGGAAAUGUUAGAUAACGGAGUUCUAACAUUUAAAUGUGAAGGAGGAGUACGUAACAUUGGUUGUUUUGACAUAUUUGUUGUUGAUGUAGAUGUGGAUACGCUUUUAUUUCGAUGGACAACUCCUUUGAAUUUGAUUGGAAAAAAAAUCUUAUAAGAAAUGGAUAAAUUUUAAAUAAUCUUGUAAAUUUUUAAAUAGUAUAUGAAUAUUAAUAAUGAUAAAUAGAUUAUAUAAAAAAAUGUGGAUGACAGAAUUUUUAUUUUACAAAUUUAAAAUAGAAAAAAAAAGUGUAUAAGCAAUCAAGUAUGUUACCGUUUGAAUCCAAUCUGAUGUUUGGUAACGGUGAUUGAAAACUGUUAUUGGAAAUAUCCAUGACCGGGAAAAGAAGAUUGAAGGUAUACAUUAUUAAAUAUGAUAAAAUAAUAAUAUAUAUUAUAAAAUAAAAUGGUAAGAUAAAUGAGUUACCAUUUGAAAUGUUAGAUAACGAAGUUCUAACAUUUAGACGUGAAGGAGAAGUUUGGAAAUUUGAUUUUUUUGACACAUUGGCACUUGAUGUAGAUGCGGAUAGGUUUUUAUUUCAAUGCACAAUUCCUUUGAAUUUGUCUGCAAAUAAAAAAAUUGUUAUAACAAAUGGAUAAAUUUUAAAUAAUAAUGUAAUUUUUCAAAUAUUCUAUGAAUAUUAAUAUACAAAAUACAUGACACAAAAAAUGAGCAUGUAAGAAUUUUCAUUUUACAUAUUUAAAUAAAGAAUAAAGAAUAAAAGUGUAUAACCAAUUAAGUAAAUUACCAUUUCCCUUCAUUUUAAAAAGAUGUGAUGUUGAUGAAGUUGUAUGAAUUCAUUCGGUCAUAACUUUUUUUUUAUUGUCCAAGUAUAAUUUUCUUAUUUUUCUUUUUUCUGUAGCCUGAACAUGAUAGAUGUUCCUAUUUGAAUCUGUAUAAGCAUAUAUACACACAUAAAAUAGUUAUAUUCAGAUUAAAAACAUUGAUAAAGAAAGUUGUAAAAUAUAUAAUGAACGUACUGUUAUCACCUGGGUUAGUAACAUUUGUAGAAGAUGGAAUUCGACCGACUGAUGUAGUGUACAAAGGUAAUUGUUUUGUAUUAUCCAGAUAGAAAUUAUUUAAUUUUAUCUUCUUAUUAGUCUUAAAAGAGUCCAUGUUAGUAGCUGCUAUCUGAAAUGGAAAAAGAAAUAUAACUUUAUACAAAAACAUUAUAUAUUGAAAAUUAUUUUCAAAUUUAAGAAUAAAUAAAUAAAUAUUUCAAAUUUAAAAUAGUAUGCAAUAAACCCAAAGAAAAGAAAGUAUUAUGUAUUAUUGAUGUGCACAAAAGUACCCACUAAUUUUAAUAUUUAUAACCUAACAAACUUAGAAUAACUAUGCACUUAUAGGCAGUGUACCUAGUCAGAUUACAAUAUAGCUUAGGUAAGUCGGGUGUCGAUCACAGGGAACGGUGGUGAAUUAAUUUAAUAUAUUUGAUUAUAGGUUACAGGUCACAUGAAAAGAAUAAAGAAAUAGUUUAAUAAAUCUCAAACUAACAAUUAAUUAACAACUUUGGAUAAACUAACUGGAAAGCAAAUCUCUUCAGGUACUUUGGUUUAGAUAAAUUACACCUUAAAAAACAUAGACAAUUGUAUACACAAGUUCAUUUAUUCAUGUUCACCGAUUCCUAAAAUGAUUAGAUUCGCGUUCACUAUAACUAAUCCUUUAGCAAACAAGUCAAUUCAAACAGUGAUCAGUUGAUUAAACUAACAUGCUUCCUAGUGUUCAGUUCGUAUCAAGCAAGACUUGUAAAUAUAGUUAAUCAAAUUACUAAUUCAAUUUAACCUCUUGUUGAUGGUCAUCAAACAAGGCUCACACAUUAACUUACUUAUUCCCAAGUUAAUCCUAGUUUCACAUUCGUUAUUCCUAGACUUAUAAUCUCGAUGGUCAUCAAAAUCAUAAGAGACAAGCAAUCAAACAGAUGUUCAUAUAACUCAAUUUACUUAACAAUUAACAUCAAAUAAUUAUCAUUAAUACGUAAGGAUCUUUUAACAAGCUUGGCAAGAUAAAUUAAACAUAAACAAACAAUUCAAUAUAGCAAUUAGUCUAAUAAUCAAGGUUUCAUUCAAUCAUAAACACAAAGUAAAAGGUUUUUACACCCAAAUCAGAAACUAAAUACAGAAUAGUAACACAAUGGAAUGCUAAACAUGGUCACGUUAACAACCCAUAUGAUUACCGACAUGUAUCCACUCUCCAACCCUUCCGAUCUUCACUCCUGUUAGCUUAACGGCCUUCCGGCCGCCUUCUAGACCCUCAAAACGGCUUAACAGAAGUUUAAUAUCGACUAAAUUAGGUUGGAAGUCGAAUCCCCCCUUCUGGUUAGCUGAUAAUCGACUUUUAUAACCUUUGUAACCGACUUACGUACGCUGGGCGUACUAAGGGUUUAUACGCGAUUGGAGUUAUCCGAUGCCAGCCGUUACGUGGGGCAUACACAAGAAUUACGCUGGGCGUAACUCGUCUUAGCCAUUACGCUUGGCGUACAAGUAAAUUACGCGGGGUGUAAUCGUUCCUCCAGCAUUUUCCUUUCUUUUAGCCUCUAAGCCUGAUUUCCGCUUCAGUCUUUUCUUUUGUGCUUUAUCGACAACGAAUAGCUGCAAAUCAUAAUUUAAAGCAUUAUGAGUACUUUUUAGUUCUAAAAGAGAAUAAUAAAGGCCAAAAUAUUAAGAUAUAAUGCAUAAAAAUAUAUAUAAAAAUACACAUAUCCAAAUACCCCACACUUAGUCUUUGCUUGCCCCCAAGCAAAUUUUAAUUUUAUUUUACCAUUAUCGCAUUAAACAAUCCAUUUAAAACUCAACCAUUAUGCCAAGACCUCAACGCAUGCAUUUGUGUCUAAAAUUUUCCUAAAAUACCCCCCUACUUUAAAUACUCACAAUCUUCAUAAACACUUGCCCACUUUUUACGAACAAUGCUCAUUUUAUGCAACCCUCCGAAUCCAUCCGCAGAAAACCUCCUUAUCCUCAAGGUAUUUUCCUUGAUAAUUUGAUCUUUGAUUUCUUUGAAUUCACCAUCUUAUUUGAAUUGAUUUCUGGUAUCUUCAACUUUUUUGAAUUUCUUGGAAUUUUGAUCUAAUUCUUCACUUUAUUCGCUCCAAAAUUCUUCAAACUUUUCUUGCAAUUCUUUUUUUUUUUCUUUUAACAUGUACCUCACUUUUUUCACUCAAAACCUACAAGCUUAAGCAGAGGCGCUCAACCUCAACCUUUAUCGGUUAACGAUAAUAAUUUUCCUGGAUACAUUUCAGGUUUAGGCUGCUAAACAUAUUGCAUCCCUCAAACCAAGCGGGGUUAUGUUUUUGUUCCAUGAUUUCACUAAAAUAAGGGAGGCCACAAAUGCACUAUAACGUAUAUUGGCUCAACUAAACAUUUGAGUUCUCAUCGGAUCAUCUCAUACAAUAUUAGCAAAAUUUAAAUUAUCACUAGAUUUUUCUAAAUUAAACUAUUAUUUCAAGUUUUAAAAUUUUUAAAUUUCCUAAAUCUAGCAAUUUCCUAACUAUUAUUUUAUUUUUAUAAUUUACUAUUACCGACCCCCUACCCCACACUUAUUUCAUACAAUGCCCUCAUUGUAUGCUAAAACGAAUUAAGAACAUAAAAAGGGAGAAAAAGGAACAGACUCCCCUGGGUAGUUGUGGCGAGAUCGAAUGGGGCUGCUACAAGUUGCUCCAAAUAUCGCUGAAAGACUGAAAACUGAACUGCUGCUUCUGAAUUUGUCGAAAAAUAAAAUCAAGACUGCCGACUUCAAAAAAUGUGGUGCACAAUAUUGCAAGUAAAUGCAAUGUGUAGUAACCAUGACGUGGGAAAGUGUUGACCACAUCAUGUCUUCAAAAAUGACAUCCUCUUCUCGCGAUGAAAAAUCCUCCACAGCAUAGGAAAGUGUCAGCCAUGUCGUGGCAGCCGGGAUGAUACGUCUUCCUCGCGUCAAAAUAGAACUCUAUGGUGUGGGAACAGCUCAUCAUACCAUAAAAGGUAAAAUAUCGUAAAAAUGCCAAUCGUCUAAAUGAACGCUCACGAAAUCAAUAUGCACCCCACACUUAUGACAAAUUGUGGGUCUUGACUAUACUUUUCGAACUCUCACACGACUCUCUCUAGCAACAGUCGGACCUAGCUGCUAAACUUACUGCCAGCUUUCUAAGGGCGAAAAUUCUGCAGAGAUCUAAACAACCAAAGAGCAUCAACAUGGAAAACAAAAAUAGAACAUCCUAAAUUAAAGUUUAAUUACAUACCAAAUAAAAAACUAAAACUAGAAACACAAAAAUAAACUAAAAAUAACAUAAAAAUAAAAAGGAUAACUAAAUCACUCAUCAUCUCCAUCAUCAUGCUGCUGUGUCCCAGAAGUACCGGCCCCAUCAUGUCGUGGCCGGAAUGGUGGAGGGUAAGGAACCGAGUACUGAAACCCCUAGUGGGAAAAGAAUACGGUCAACGCAUCCCCAUACCACUAUUGUUGCCUGUCCACAUGUGCAACAUACUCACUAAGGUUCUGAACCCUCAUGUCAAGACAGUCAAUGCCCUGAGCUAGGUAGCGCAUAUCAAUCUUCGGCUCAGGUCCCUGUUGCGCUCCCCGAGGAGCAGGUCUACGCUGCUGGACCCGUCUCGGCUGUGGCUCGGCAGCACCCUCCUCGUCCGCCACAUCAUCUGCUCGUACNNNNNNNNNNNNNNNNNNNNNNNNNNNNNNNNNNNNNNNNNNNNNNNNNNNNNNNNNNNNNNNNNNNNNNNNNNNNNNNUGAUCUCUCGUUAACAACUGAUAUGAUCGGGCUAGUCGCGUGAUAAAAUGCCCUCUGCACAUCGGGCUAUCCUCCCGAAGUCCCCUGGCCCUCUGUCCCAAAUAUGCAGCUAAAGCAACUGGAAGGUUCAGGUGCCUCCCUGGAGUAACAAGUGCCCAUAGGAAAUACAAGUCUAUCGAAGGCACUCUCUCACUAUUCUUAUGAUGCGUGAGAGUCAUGGAAAUCAACCGGUGCAACAGUCUAUAUGUAGUAGACCGAAUCAUCCUACCCCGUGCAGUAGAUGGCGUAUAAACUCCCCCUGUAAUCUCAGCCCAAAAAGUGUGCUCAUUAUAUUCAUCUGGCCGCUCCGUGAGACAAUCAGCAAGGAAUGUCGGGAAGUGGACACUCCUCGUCUCAUCUGCUGUGUAUAUACCCACUCAAGUCGCAAGCUCUAUGACACUGCACUCCCGACUCACACCCCCCAGUCUAAAGGCAAAAGUUGUCCUAUCAUCGGGUGCCUUCCUAGGAUCAUAGGAAACUGUAGCGUAAAACUCCAACAAAAAUUCCCGAUAAACAGGCUCCUGGAUCCUGAACAAUCGUGCCCACCCCUGCCAUACGAACAAUUCCACUCCAAUCGCGUCCGAGUGCGUGUAUUGCAAAAAAAUCCUGGAUCAGUGUAGCAAGUCCAGUCCAGGUCGCCAAUUCCCAGUCGAAUGAUGGUGCUAUGUCGAUCUCCUUGGUGAGCAGCAAACUCAAACUGUUGACAUAUCGUGCCCGGGUUGCAUCGUUCAGAGUUUGCGGAAAUUGUAAGAAACGNUCAGAGUUUGGGAAAUUGUAAGAAACGGUGAUCGGUCACAUCCUCGGGUGGGUUGGUCCUUUGAGUUCUUCGGGCCAUAAUCUGCACACAUAAACACAAAACCAAACAAAAUAUAACAGCAUUAAAAAAAUUUUAAACCAAAAAAAAAUGGUGCUGGAUAUGGACUGUACGCUGGGCGUACGUCCAGGUUCCACGAAUAUGUGUUCUGCUUCCUUUUCUUGUGCUAAAGUUAUAACCCAUAUCAAAAAAUUUCAAAUUAACCAACUGCAAGCAAUAAACACAGCAGGGCAAACACAUGGGGCAUAUCGAGCUUCGUGGUCCAAGACAGUAGAAAAACGGGACCACUCUAAAAAAUAUGAACCAUUCUCCUGUUCGUUCCUUAUCUUAUCAAGAUUAGAAAGCACUACAAAAGAAAAACUUCAUUGGGGCAGUCAAGAAUCGAAGUCAACAGGGUUACGCUUAGCGUCCGUCCCCGAGCUCAAAAUGAUGGGUCUAUCACGGGAUUAAGACCAAAUUAGGUACUAGGGUUUAGUCCAUUGAUGGAAAUCGGUCUUUUUAAGUCCUAAUCAAAACAUACAAUUAUGAAAUCGGCCCUAAUUCAAGAACCCUAUAAACCCUAGAUUUCGAACAAAGGCAUUUUGCAGCUUAUUCCAUCGAUUUAAACACAAAUCCAAAACAUUGAGUAACCGAAAAACUUACCUGUGUGCUGAAUUUUACAAGAAAAGAAGCAAAAUUGAAAAUCCUUGGGAGAGCUUGCCGUCACAGUUCGUGUGUGCGAAGGAAAGGAUUUUGAAAAAGUAACAAAAAAGUCAAGGGUCAAAAGAUAUAACCUGGUCACCGAUUUACGCUGGGCGUAAAACAAGGUUACGCUGGGCGUAACUCCAACUCCAUGAAAAGUCCAUCCGCGAUCCGGGGUUUAUUACGCUUGGCGUAAUUAAAAUUACGCUGGGCGUAAUGAAGUAUUCCUUUUCUUUAACUGAAAUUUCUUUUCUUUUAACUAUUUAAUUAAGGGACUAAAAACUUAAUUAUUUUUCUUUUUAAUUUCUUCAGCAACUGAUGACUUUCCGAUGAGUAAAAAAAAUGAGACGUCAUAAUCACUUAUCUUUGUCAAGAUCAAACAACAAUGGUUGAUUAAAAACCUUUGCACGCAAGAAUUGGUUUGCGAAAACACCCACUUUCGGGACCCGUUAGAAUAUUUCCUUUGUUUUCUUUGCACCUUUAACUAAAAGCGGAACAAGAAGUGACCUAACUAGUCAAGAACAGCAAGAGUUCGGUCUUCCACUUAACCACCACAAUACGCCUUACUAUACUACGCCUCAUGGAUUGAGUUGGACAAAUCAACAAAGUAGUAAGCCAACCAGGUCAAGAAUUUCCUAAUCGCUUGGAUUCUCGAAACCCAUGCAAAAAGUAAAGUCAAGCAAUGUGUACAAUCCCAAAUUCCUGCAAUUAACAACAAGAACCUUCCCGACAAGUGAAAUGAUAUCAACGAAAACCAAACUAAAAAUAAAAACUAACUAAAAACAAAUAACGAAUAAUCAAAAAAACUAAAUUAAUGACAAGCUGUUCCCGGCAACAGCGCCAAAAACUUGAUGUGCACAAAAGUACCCACUAAUUUUAAUAUUUAUAACCUAACAAACUUAGACUAUCUAUGCACUUAUAGGCAGUGUACCUAGUCAGAUUACAGUAUAGCUUAGGUAAGUCGGGUGUCGAUCACAGGGAACGGUGGUGAAUUAAUUUAAAAUAUUUGAUUAUAGGUUACAGGUCACAUGAAAAGAAUAAAGAAAUAGUUUAAUAAAUCUCAAACUAACAAUUAAUUAACAACUUUCGAUAAACUAACAGGAAAGAAAAUCUCUUCAGGUACUUUGGUUUAGAUAAAUUACGCCUUAAAAAACAUAGACAAUUGUAUACACAACUUCAUUUAUUCAUGUUCACCGAUUCCUAAAAUGAUUAGAUUCGUGUUCACUAUAACUAAUCCUUUAGCAAACAAGUCAAUUCAAACAGUGAUCAGUUGAUUAAACUAACAUGCUUCCUAGUGUUCAGUUCGUAUCAAGCAAGACUUGUAAAUAUAGUUAAUCAAAUUACUAAUUCAAUUUAACCUCUUGUUGAUGGUCAUCAAACAAGGCUCACACAUUAACUUACUUAUUCCCAAGUUAAUCCUAGUUUUACAUUCGUUAAUCCUAGACUUCUAAUCUCGAUGGUCAUCAAAAUCAUAAGCGACAAGCAAUCAAGCAGAUGUUCAUACAACUCAAUUUACUUAAUAAUUAACAGCAAAUAAUUAUCAUUAAUACGUAAGGAUCUUUUAACAAGCUUGGCAAGAUAAAUUAAACAUAAACAAACAAUUCAAUAUAGCAAUUAGUCUAAUAAUCAAGGUUUCAUUCAAUCAUAAACGCAAAGUAAAAGGUUUUUACACCCAAAUCAGAAACUAAAUACAGAAUAGUAACACAAUGGAAUGCUAAACAUGGUCACGUUAACAACCCAUAUGAUUACCGACAUGUAUCCGCUCUCCAACCCUUCCGAUCUUCGCUCCCGUUAGCUUAACGGCCUUCCGACCACCUUCUAGACCCUCAAAACGGCUUAAAAGAAGUUUAAUAUCGACUAAAUUAGGUUGGAAGUCGAAUCCCCCCUUCUGGUUAGCUGAUAAUCGACUUUUAUAACCUUUGUAACUGACUUACGUAUGCUGGGCGUAAGUCGGAUUACGCUGGGCGUACUAAGGAUUUAUACGCGAUUGGAGUUAUCCGAUGCCAGCCAUUACGCGGGGCGUACACAAGAAUUACGCUGGGCGUAACUCGUCUUAGCCAUUACGCUUGGCGUACAAGUAAAUUACGUGGGGCAUAAUCGUUCCUCCAACAUUUUCCUUUCUUUUAGCCUCUAAGCCCGAUUUCUGCUUCAGUCUUUUCUUUUGUGCUUUAUCGACAACGAAUAGCUGCAAAUCAUAAUUUAAAGCAUUGUGAGUACUUUUUCGUUCUAAAAGAGAAUAAUAAAGGCCAAAAUAUUAAGAUAUAAUGCAUAAAAAUAUAUAUAAAAAUACACAUAUCAAUUAUGUAUUAUCAAUAUUAAUUUUUCUUCAAAAUAAGUUGAAUAUAUCAAGAUAAAAAGUAUAUUCAAACUAAGAAAAUAAACCAGAAACACACAUACAAUAUUUUUGAACAACAAAAGCAUAAAAGUACAUACAAAAAAUAUAAAGACAAAGAAUUUACCAUUAUGUCCCUAGAGUACUAAUAAUGAGAAGAACAAAGAGAAACUGAAAUAUAAAUUUAUAUAGUUGCACUCAUGAAUGACUAAAAUAACACGAAAUGUAUUAAUUGUCAAUGUGGUUGAGCGCAAAUUACCAUUAUGUCCCUGGAGUACUAAUAAUAAAAACAAAAAUUAUAAAAUCCUUAAAAUAGUUCUAUAGAUGGUAUACUGGUAAUUAAAACAAUCAGUUUUUCCACAUGCCUCUUAAAAAAUCAUUUACAACCAUAAAUAAGUUUACCAAUAUACCCGUAACACAUUAAUUUUGUAUAUGUAAUAUGUAAGAUAUGAGAUAUAUGUGGCGAGGGCAUUUUCGUCCUUUAAACAUACUUAUAACAAUUAACAAACCUCAUGAUACAUUAUAACAGUGGAUAAUGGAUCGACAUACAUAUAUACUUUUCCUUUUAAUGAAGAGGCGUGAAAUAUGCAAUUGACAGAAAUGCCCCUUCUACAAGACACACCUAUUUAAAUUGCAUAAAACCACACCGCUUAACCUAUUUAUUCAUAUUUGAUGUUAGAGUUCUAUAAUUACCAAGGUGUUUUUAUCUUUUACUUAAUAGAAAUAUGUCUCGAUCAAGUAAGUUCAGGUAUAUGUUUUUUUUAUCUAAUGCAAAUAUAAUGACAUAAUAAGUAAAAUAAGAGAAAAACUACAAAAUAUUGGGUAAAAUUAAAAAACGAGCCACACCCUUUAAACAAACCAUCAUUGGGUUAUCAAAAUCAGUAACAUGAAUGUAGUCACUAUAAAUUAUAUGCAAAUAGGUAUACAUGAGAAAUAGCUAAAAUGAAAAAUGAUAACUACCUCCACCUUAUAGUUUAUAAAAAAUAAGGCAAACACCUUAACUACAUGCAUAGAUACUCUACUCCCAAUACUAAAGAAAUUAGUCUACAAAUGGCUUUAGUUAAUAUGUUUUUGGUUUAAACCGGUUCAGAUCAAUGACAAAAAAAUAUAAUUAUAGUAAAACAUGACAGAAAUGCCCCUUAAUUCAAAAUGGGACCAAUCAAUCAAGUAAUACAAAAUACAAUCACGUAAUACCUAAGCAGAGAAAAUAUAACACAAAAAACAGAAAAAAAAUUUAUUUCUAUAAAACAUGACAGAAAUACCCCCGAACUAAAAAAAUAAAAAUAAUCAAAAUUACAUUUCUAUUCGUAUGAGUUUGACGGUACUUUUAGGUUUCUUUGUGUAAUCCGUCAAUGAAUCUGGCCUAUGAGUUUGACGGUACUUUUAGGUUUCUUUGUGUAAUCCGUCAAUGAAUCUGGCCUAUAAACAUGACCUGAACCAAUUUUUUUACUUGGUGAACCAAUUUAAUAGAAAAAAAAAUUUGUUCUAAUUACCAUUCUACCAUUUGUAACUUGGGAAUGAUUAAUUAACAUACAAAGGUGAAUUUUCUCUACCUGCUGCCUUACGUUCAAAAUGACAAAAUUGUAUUGGUAAACAUGAACCAAAAUGGACAAAGGUUUCAAUUUUGGACAAACACAGUAAAAAUAUGAACCAAAACAAUAAACAUUGAUAUAAUUUUGCGAUGGUAUUAUCUCCAAAAGAAUAAAAAAUUUCAAUUUUGCGAUGAUAUAGUUUCAAUUUUGCGAAGAAGCAACGUAAGCAGUAAACCAGAUUGCGGUGAGAGAGAGAGAGAGAGGGCCUGCCGCCUGCGAUUGGUAAUUUGUGAUGGUAUCUCUCGACCGAGAAAGGGGAGCGAUUGAUGAACAGAACCAUAUUAAGAGGAAUUAUGAUUGUCAAAUAAGUUUUUGAUCGUUCUUUUGAUCGUUGUUAUUUAGGACAAUAUCUCAUAGUGAAAUACGAAUAAGGUAUCAGUUAAAGUGUCACACACACGCAUACACAUUAAGAAGCAUAAAUAACUUUCAAUUUUGCGAUUAACACAGACAUUGAGAAGCAGGGGCUUACAUAUACACAAUGAGAAGCAGAAUUGAGAAGCAGAAACUUACCGAAGGAUUGAAGUCGUUGACACAGACUCCAAUAACUGAAGUGUCGAUGAUGCUUGAUUGUUGGAAGACAAUGCUGUAAAGAACCUUGGAAACACGAUGCUAUAAAUAAAUUAAGAAGCAGAAUUGAGAAGAAGAAACUGAAAUCGAGAUUGAAGUCUAAGAUUGAAUAUCCGAUAAAUAAUUAGUCCAUGAUUCAGAAACUUGAAAACAUAAUGCUGUAAAGAAAUAUUGAUUAUCAUAUUUUUGAAAUAUAUAUUGACAAUAAUAUGAUCAAAUCGACAUAAUAAUCAAAAUUAAAUGUAAUCGAUGUGAUUGAUAUGGAUACCAUAAUAACAUGCUCUUAAUCGGGUAAGAAAUGAUUUUGAGUUAAUGUGUACAACUGGUAGCAAAGAUAAAAAUCGGUAAUUAAAAUAGGGAGUUAUAUGGAUUCCAUAUUGGAUUCAAUAUUCAAUUUCAAAUUUCCAUAUUCCACAUCGAUUACUACGUGAAACAAUAAAAUAACAAAAACGGUAUUUUACAUUUGUAGAAUACUAAUUAAUUGCAGAAUACUGAUUUUUUGAAGUUUAUAAUUUCACUAUAAAAAACUGUAAUAACAUAACCAUUUUUAUUUUUCUGAUUUAUUUGAAGUAAUUUAGACUUAUAAUACCUGAAAUAGUGGUAUGUGUUUUAGAGUUUUGUACAAGAGCAUUGUGUUUUUUAAAAGUAUUUACAUAUCUACGGUACUUUUAAAUUUAUUUACUAAAAGAUUGUAAAAUUUUAAAAUUCAUGUGGACCUAUCCCUUUUAUACCAAAAAUAUAAGAAAUUAAUUAUGCGCCUCCCCACCGCUCAUUUUUCUCGCAUUUGUCGCUGGAAAAUGAUGGCCAACAAGAUAAUUUCAAAACAUUAUAAAAAGAUUUCUCUUUCGCUUGUUUGCUCGCUAGAAAAUGAAAACAAACAUAAACGGUCAUAAAUAAAAACAACCAAACACGAAUUAAAUAUAUUGACAGAUUUAGAUUCUUCCGGCUGCGAACUUGGUUUGCUCAUUGGAAUAUGAAUACAACCAAACAAUUUGGAAAUCGAAAAGGAAAUUGUUGGAAAUGCACCACGUUCAUAGAUCUUGUGCCAAAACAUUUCUCGUAUAUAUUUGUUUCAAACAUUGGUCGUUCAAUCAAUGUCAUAUAACUUGGAAAUUUGGAGGGGGGAGGGGUUGUUUAACAGAUGAUACCGAGGGUUAUGAAUGGGUUAGUCGGUGGCAAGGCGGAUGUAGAGGUUCAUCCGCAGUGUGGUUUGGGGAGAAUUUCAGCAGUGUUUUGGAGUUGACGAUGUCGGACGGUGAUCGUGUCAUAGGUGUAAACACUGCACAACACAACAUGUAGACUAGGUAUUACUGGCAAUGCUUGUUAUGAAAAAAAUAAAAAACCAGUAGACUUCAAUCGUUGAAGCAGGGAAAAUGUGGUUGUGGUAGGUUCAAUGGAUGUAUGCGCACUCAUGCACAGUAGGGGUUUGCAGCGGUGCUAAGGGUUGCCAAAUGGUUUUGCAAGUAAUGUGAGCAUCAAAAGACAAUUAACAUGAUUUCAUUUAUUUUAUUUAAGUACAAUUAAAUGGGAAAUAAUUUUAAAAGUACUAUAUUAUAGUAAAUAUUUUUCUUAACCGCUACCUUUUAGUAAAAAACUAUGUGUUUUAAACAGGUAUAACUGUAUAAAAAACCUAAGAGUUUGCAGAGGUUCAUGGGAUUACAUCUUAGUGGUAUGUGCUUUAAGGGUAAACACAUUUUUCUUCUUUUAGGCUAGAUUUAUUACAUCACAAGGAAUCCCGUGGCGAGGGCAUUUUCGUCCUUAGGAUAUAUAAAUUUUGUUUCCGGUACUGUUUUGUACUUUGUAGUGCUUAAGAAACGGGAAGAUAUGAUUAAGUUGUGAAUGAUCUGGAUCCAUAUCAAUGAUCCGGUACUAUUCUACCCUUUGUAAGAGAAAAACACAUAAAGUCACAAACUAUAUACCCCUGUUGUGAAAAUUACCAAUAUGUCACUAUAAAAAAAUGAGCAUUAUUUUGAACAGGUUGUUCUAAUUACCAUUCUACCCUUUGUAACUAGAGAAUGAUUAGUUAAUAUGUCAUGCAUUGUUUCCUCCUGUUGCGUGUUCAAUAUUAUAACAAUCAAUAAACAAUUUUAAUGGAAUUUAAAUGAUUGAAAUUGUAGAGAUGAACAAAAGAAUUGACAAAGGGCAAAAUUGACAUCUAAUGCAUUGUUUCUUCCUGUUGCGUGUUCAAUAUCAUGACAAAUCUCAUUUGACAGCUUCAUUACAAUUUUUGUUUCAUACAUUACCUCAAAUAAUAUACAAGCACAUUCCCAAGAAUGCAUUCACCGAUAUACCAUUUUAUUGUGAAAAUUACCAAUAUGUCCAUGUACAAAAAAUGAGUAUUAUUUUCAACAGGAUUUUAUUGAAUUUAUUCAUAUUUGAGACAUCUUUUUUAUAGAGCAAAUAUACUUAUAACACGAAAAUGAAAAGUAGAAUGGUAUAUUUUUUAAUUUUUUUGAAUUUUAUUGCAAAUAUAUUGGUAAAAAAAAUCUUUAAAAACAUAAUGGUUUCCUUCUUUUACACUAUCAAUAGACACACAUAUAUUAAAAGAAGAUUAAUCUAAUUACAGGCAUAACCCAAAAAGCAGUUUUUUACUUAAGAUAGAGAUUAGCAGCGUAAAGAAACCAAGAACUAUCAAUGUUUGAAUACUGAACACCACGAAGAGCAAAACUGUCAAACAAAAUCCCCAAAAAAAAUAAUUCAAGAAUAUUGUUGGUGCAUAAAAAGGACAAUCUAAAAUUACUUUUCAAGCUUUGGUAUUAAUAGACCUGUGUUUCCAUCCACCCUGGAAUUCAAGCGAGGUAUUUUUGUCGACGAAUUCACAUUAUCAUACUCAUCAAUAUCAAUGCUAUCUCCAACGUUUCGCUUUUUUACCAUUGUGGGCGAAUUAAACUUGAACGGACUUGUAGCUUCUAUUUGUCAUGCAUGGAAGGGGUCAAAUUAUCACUGGUUUGUUAUAUCGCGUCCUUAAAGCAAAAACCCGAAACAGCGUUAGUACGAUAAUAUUAACAAAUUAACAAAAAAAUAAUUUAUAAAAGGAAUUUAUAUAAAAUUAAAAAAUGUGGAUUUAUAUUAUAACCUUUAAUGACUUUGUUUCAUGAGAUGCUUCGUGAGAUGCGAUUUUGUAUCGUCAGCAUUUGUAGAAUUACCUCCCUGCUUCAAAAGUUUAAAUAUGUAUUAUCAUUUGUGGGAUUAAAUUUUUGUUCCAUCAAGAUUUACAAUUAAUUAGUGACGAUCAUUAAAUAAAAGUAUGCAUCAUAAUAAUUAAUUAAUUUUCAAAAAACAUAAAAAUAUAUGUAUAUAAAUACCUCAACAGCUAACUUUUUUUCCAAAACAUUGAUAAUGUUACUAUCAAGCGUAUAGCCAAGUAUCCCAAAACGAUUGUAGUUAUUGGAUACGUUAAAACUAUUAACAUCUAACACGAAUGCCAUCUUUUUAUGCACCAGACAGUUGAGGUCAUAAGGAUACAAUCUCGGAUCAUCACCAGCCUGGAAAGAAUGAGUUAUGUAAUAUUAUUAUGGUUAAAAGCACAUUAAUAUAGAUAAAAUCAAAUAGAUAAUAGAAUUUAAUAAAACAAAUAAUAUAUUUAUAGUAUGUCUGUUUGAUUUUCUCUAUGGGUUCACUUGCACGUUUUUUGACGAGUUUAUAAGCAUCUCUAUCAAACAUAGUGAGUGUGAUUGUUCCAGAUUCAUCUUGGACACGAAUAGGUAUUUUAUACCUACAAAAAAGUACGACAUAAAUAUCAUAUUAAAUAUUAAAUAUGUUUAAUGUGUAAUGUUUGUUAAUGUAUUUAAUUUGUGGGUGAACUAUUGUUAAAUUUUAAAAACCUUGGAACUGAAGAUAUCUCCUUUUUUUACACUUAGAAUUAUAACAUUCAACAACCACACUUGCAUCACCACUAUCUGGACCGCUGAAAACGUUUCUUGGUUCAACCUUCCUUCCACAUUUUGAACACGCAUCAUAAUACCAAUCAAUAUCUUGUCGGAUACCAUAAAUGGUACCAACAAUGAUAUAUUUCCCGACCUUAAAAAAUAUAAAAUACAAAAAGAAUCAUAAAAAAAAAUACAAUUAUAAUAUUAUAAUAAACGAAUAAUAGAUAACAAAAUCACAUUAAAAAAAACUAAAUUAUUCACAUACCUCUUGUGGUUCUAGCAAAUCGACAACAUUUUUAACGUUGUGAUUUGUCAAAAAGUCAUCAUAUUCAUUGCAUGAUUGAGAGCUAUCAACGGUCAAAGAAGAAGAAGGAUUUUGAAUUCCUCGUAAUCCAACCAUGUUGUUUUUUUUAUUUGAUAGAUUAAUUAUGAAAUUAGUAAAAUUAUUAAAAAGAAACAAAAAAAACAAUGAAUUAUUAAAAUAGAUUGUUACCUAUCUGUGAAUGUAACAAUUUCGGGAAGAUCAACAUUUAUGAACAUCGGUGUGUGUUUAUAAUAACUGUUAAAAUAGUUAAAAUAAUGAGCAAUAUAAAAGCCUAAAAUAACAAAGGGGUCCUUUUAUAAGAAAUGUACCGUUAUAGACAUUAAGUCUUGCAAACUGCAAAAUAACAACCACACGACCAACUUCUUUAUGUGCUUCAAGAUAAGAAAUCAAUUGGUAUGCAAUAUCUCCAAACAAUGUGACGUUAACCUGCAAACCUCUGCAAAAACAGUACGGGUUAAAUGAUAAUAUAAUAAUAAAAUUACAUAUGGCAGUUGUAACCUAAUCAAUUUAAUAUAUAAUAAUAAUAAUAAUAAUAAUAAUAAUAAUAAUAAUAAUAAUAAUAUAAGAUAUAAUAUAAGAAAAGUUAUGAUUUGUAAAGUUAGCCGAUGUUUGGAUUUGCUGACAUCACGGGAAUCAAGCUUUCCUAACGAAACAACUUCACCAAUAACAUCUACAAAAUGAUAAUACAAUAUGUCAAAAUGAUGUAAAAUUAAAGAAUUAAAUAUAAGAUGCAAUUAAAUAGGGGAAACAUUUACCAAUUGAGUUAUUAGAUGUAGCUGUUGCAGAAAUAAUGCUUUCAAACGAUACACAACAAAAGUCAUAUGUUGUUUUGGACUAAAAAGUUAGACAAUCAUUAACAGUUUUUCGUCCAUGCAAGUUUAACUUGGAGAGUACAUCACUUAUUUUAAAAAUGUAUCUGUUUGGAGCUAUAGUGGGGGAUCGGAUGUAAAUUGCUUUAUCUUCUUUCAGUUUUAAAAGUGUAUCUCUUGGGUAGACACUUGCUCGGAUUUUUGUACCCUAUUCACAUAUCGUAAGAAUAUUAUAUAUAUUGCGAAACAAUUGUAUAUUAAUUUAUAUAAAUUGGUCAACAUUGAAUCAAUUAUUUGACCAUGAAUGAUUUUAAAUAAUAUUAUUGGAAUGAGCAAAUAAACAAAAAAAAAUAAUUUUGAAUAAUGUAAUUAGAAUAGGAUAUUUUACCAUCUCAUCCAUUAAUAUCAUUUCAAGUGCUUUGACAAUACUAGGGUUAACUUUGGAUAAUGAUCUCCACAGCCGGAUAAUACACACUUUUAGUGUUUAAUCAUCCCUCAUGUUGUCUAAGUCUUUGAUCAAAGUGACAUUUCUAUCUGCCAUUGUCACUAUAAUAGAAAGACAUAACAUAUUAAGAAAAAAUAAUGGAACAAAAUUACACAAAAAAUAUAAAGACAAACAUAAUUACAAUUAUGUCCCUGGAGUAGUAGGCGGAUAAAAAGAUUCUGAAUAAUACAAUAAAUUAUUAUAAAACAUUCAAACAUAUUCAAACAAACUAUAUACCGCUGCUGUGAAAAUUACCAAUAUGUCCCUGGAGUUGUAGGCGGAUAAAAAGAUGAAAAACAAACAGGGCAUUUUCGUCCAUUGAACUUACUUAUAACAUGAAAAAUAAAAGUACAAUGCCAUUAUAUGUAAUAUUUUCGAAUUUUGUUGCACAUAUAAUUUUUUUUUUUGUACUGUACUGUUGGAAUACAUUUUUCUUUCCUUCUGUUAUUUUACUUUGUAACUAUUGGAACUAAUGUUUAUUAUGUUAUAUAAAGAUAAGCAUUGAUGGAAAGGAUACUAUUAGGGAGGAUGAUGUUGAUGAAUUGACUUCCAAUUCCAUAGUUACAGAUUAUGAAAUAUCAAGCAUAUCAGGUUCAGAACUAAAAUAGAACAAAAUUACACAGAAAGACAUAACAUAUUAAGAAAAAAUAAUGGAACAAAAUUACACAGAACAUAUAAAGACAAACAUAAUUACAAUUAUGUCCCUGUAGUAGUAGGUGGAUAAAAAGAUUCUGAAUAAUGCAAUAAAGUAUUAUAAAACAUUCAAACAUAUUCAAAUAAACUAUAUACCCCUGAUGUAAAAAUUACCAAUAUGUCCCUGGAGUAGUAGGCAGAUAAAAAGAUGAAAAACAAACAGGGACAACCUCAGUGAUUCAAGCAUAUCAGGUUCAGAAAAAACAAAAAACAGAGAAUUAGAUAAAAAGAUGAAAAUACAUUCUCCAUAUUUUACAGAUUUACAGAUUAUGAUAUAUCAAGCAUAUCAGGUUCAGAAAAACAAAAAACAUAGAAUUUGACAGCCUCAGUGAUAAAAUCGGUAAUUAUAAGUAAAACAAUAACAUACAACGUUAAUGUGGCCUAAGUCCUAAUUCAUAUAAAUCUGAUUAUUUACCAAUCGCAGGCGUACCUUCAAUAGUUCAAUGGGAUAGACUCGAAGAAGCAACGUAAGCAGUAAAGCAGAUUGCGAUGGGGGUAGAGAGAGAGAGAGAGGGCAUGCCGCCUGCGAUUGGUAAUUUGCGAUGGUAUCUCUCGACUAAGAAAGGGGAGCGAUAGAUGAACAGAACCAUAUUCAGACGAAUUAUGAUUGUCAAAUAAGUUUUUGAUCGUUCUUUUGCAAUUAACACAGACAUUGAGAAGCAGGGGAUUACAUAUACACAAUGAGAAGCAGAAUUGAGAAGAAGAAACUUACCGAAUGAUUGAAGCCGCUGAUUGAAUAUCUAAUAACUGAAGUAUGGAUGAUGCUUGAUUGUUGGAAGAUGAUGCUGUAAAGAAUGAUUCAUAUUUGUAUGCUUCAAGUAUAUAUUGAACAUAAUAAGAUCAAAUCGACCUAAUAAUCAAAUUUAAAUGUAAUUGAUAUGAUUGAUAUUGAUACAAUAAAAAGAUGCUCUUAAUCGGGCAUAUAACGAAAUUGAUUCAAUAUUCCAUUCGAUUUCCAUCCAUAUUCCAAAUUCCACAUUCAAAUUGCCAUAUUUCCAUAUCUAAUUUCCGUAUGUAAUGCUACGUGAAACCAAGCAGGGGUAAAAAUGGGAUUUAACAUUGGCAAGAAAGUGAAUUUUUGUUAGGACACGUUUCAAACAGGUUUUGUUUAUUAGAUAGGGAGAUGUUAUGAAUCUUGGUUAUGAUAAUACGAAUAUUGUAUGCUUGUACUUGAUUUACGAUCGAUUAUGUGGGGUUAUGCAUAGAGGGCAAGGGUAGGACCUAACACUUAGCAUGAAACCCUAUCCAGAUACAUUCGAGCCUCGUUAGUUGAGAAAUACCUUCUAGGAAAAGAGAUUAAUCCAUUUACGAGUUGAUCGGUCUUUCUAGAUGCCCGUGCGACACAUUGUACGCGUACACUUCGGUGUUUGCGGAUUGGAGUGAUGUUGGCCAUUCGAACGAGGCUUGUACAGACAUCACGUAGGUGUUGGGAGGUGGCGGACGAAUGCCACUGCUUGUACCAACACCAGAACGGCACCGCGAUGUACUUGUACAUUACAUAGUCGGAGUAGUGAAAGUGGAGUCUUGGGGUCGGUGUGGCAGGGGGGGGUCACGAACCACCUAAAGCACUUGGUUGUCCAGACACACAAGUAGCGAACGGGUUUUCCUUUUGGGUUAGGUAUUACUACGAGACUACCUAUGCCUAUACGAUUAUGAUACAUUUUUUUUUAUAUGAUGAUAUACGAUUACGAUAUGAUUAUGCAUGAAAUACAAUUGAUGUUACAUAAAUGAAUGAUAUGUGAAUGGAUGAUACAAAGUUGAAUGAUUGAAUUUUAUGUGAAAUAUGAUUGAUUAUUGAUUGGUAUGUGAAUUUUGUUUAUAUGAUUAAAAUAUGAAUGAUUGACCCGUUAAGGGAUGGUAUGUUUUCCCUUUGAUUGUGUACAAACUCUUAUUGGCUCACGAAGCAUUUGUUGACACUUGUUUCUUUGCUUUGUGCCUUUAUGAUUGGUACAGGUAGCUUAAGAGCUUCGCUUGGUGAGAUGGGGUCAUUUUUUGGUAGUUUAUCCUUAGAAUAAAGAUGCCACUUGGAAACGUUAUUUAUUUUUUGAUACUUAUGCUUCCACUACAAUUAAAUACUUUUGAUAUUUUGGUUUUAAAUUGAACGUAACUUGGUGGUUUGAAAUGUUUUUAAAAUAAAUAAUGUGUACACUCUUCCGUUGCAUUUUCCGUUAAAAGAUUUUAAAAAUAAAUGAAAUUUUUUCGCGAAAAAUCAUGACUUUACAAUUAAAUCCUUAAUAGAUUAAGUCCUUAACAGGUUAAGUAGGAACACUUAACCCUAAUCGUCAUUUUAUGUGAAAAACCCUAAUUGGGUUUGGGUUCUUAUUAGGUCACUUAUUGGACUGAGUUGUUGUGGGCCUUUGUGGGCCAAUUGGGAACAUAUUUAUGGACUAAGGAAAUUAUUGGUCUUUAGGAUAAGGCCCGUUGGAAAGGCUUGGGCCCAAUUUGGAAAAUUGGGCCAUAAUUAGGCCUUGAUGAUUAUGAGACUGGAUUAAAUGGUUGGGCCUUAAGAUAAGCCCAUGUAGAGGUUUGGGUCCAAUUUGGAAAAUUAGGCCAUAUGUUGGGCUUUGGUCCAUAGUUUGACUUUUGGGCUUUUGGAUUGGGCCUUGGAGUUGAAUAAAGCUAAGUCAGGGGUAAAAUAGUCUUUUACCCUAACCAUGGAAUUAUGGUUAUGUAUUGGAACCCAAUUAUUAAUUGGGUGUCGUUUUGAUGUUGAUAGUUUAGGAACCUAUCAACCAGCAGCUAAGAUUUUACCCGUGGAACUUGAGCAAUGCGAAGUGAGUCUCCUCACCAUACCAACGGGUCGAAGGCACCAAUGUCAGCCCAUUUUAUGUUAUGUGAUACACUAGCUAAAGUUGUAUUAUGUGGCAUGUUAGCUGGUUAUGUCAUAGGAAGUAUGCUAGUGGUAUAUGUGGUAUGCUUGUAUGGAAGACCAUGGGAGAGCCCAUGGCACCUGGAUGUAAGACCAUGUGGAGAGCCUAUGGCUUUCUUACUAUGUUUUAGUGUUAAUGUAGAUUCACUAUUGAUAUGUUUGGUAUGCACGUAUAUGUGGUAUGCUAGUGAUUAAGUGAUAUACUAGCUGACUAUGUGGUAUGUGGUAUGCUAGUUGUCUUUGUGAUACUUGCAUGAAAGCCCAUGGGAGAGCCCAUGGCACCUGGAUGUAAGACCAUGCGGAGAGCCCAUAACUUUCUUACUAAAGACCAUGGGAGAGCCCAUGGUAACCAGAUGUAAGACCAUGUGGAGAGCCCAUGGCUUUCCUAUUAAAGACCAUGGGAGAGCCCGUGGCAUUUAGGUGUAAGACCAUGUGGGGAGCCCAUGACAUCCUGGAGUAAGACCCUGGGGACGAGCCCACGACAUCCUUAUAUGUUUAUAUUCAUGGCUUAUAUGAUUGAUAUGACUUAUGUGGAUAUGUAGCUAAUAUAACUAAUAAAUAUUAUGAGAUUAUGUGGAUUGUAUGAGGUAUGCUCUGGGGAAUUCACUAAGCUUCGUGCUUACAGUUUUGUUUAUGGUUUCAGAUAUUUAACUUUAGGAAAGGAAGGGCUCAGCUUGACCGCAGCGUACACACCCAUGCUUUCCACAAUGAAUGAAAUGUUUUAAUUAACAAUGUUUUGGAAUGAUUGGAAUAAAUGAUAUCUAUGUUUGGGUUAUAUUAAAAAUGAAAUUGUUACCCCUGAUUUUUGGGUUGUUACAAUGAUAUUCAAUUAAAACACAGGUCUUUUGGCCUAGCACUAUCAUAUGUUGGAAAAGUGACCCUUCCUAAUGUUAGAAAAACGGGUUAUUUUGAUUGCUUGGAUACCAUUGAAAGUCAUGAUACACUUUCAAAUUGAAUUAUUUUGAUGGUACAAUCAAAAUAUCAAUUGGAUAAAAUUCAGUGACAAACAGAGAAUGAAAAUGUUAUGAUUCUUGUGUGUACCAGAUUUAAAUAACCAAAAAGGGAUAUAACUCCUUAUCUGAAAACUAUCAUAUUGACAUUUACAAACUGCCACAAAACCGUCACUAAAUUGACUUAGUCAGCUUGACAAACAAGAACCACAUAUUUAACAUACAAAGCAAAGAGAAAAAGUUUCCUAAUACUUGUAAAAAUCAAAUGAUGUAAAAAAAUUAGAUGUCACAAAAUCUAGUAUUAACAUAGAUUUAAUAAAACUGAUAGAUUACUUGUUUAUAUAUCGUAAAAAUUUAUUCCCAAGGUCAUCCUUAACUCACUAAUAAAUUUUGGGAGUAACGAUAUAACAAUAUCUAUUCGGUACUCCUUUGAUAAAAUUUUGAAUUUUGUGUGGUCAAUAAGUCGUAUUUUUGGAUUGCUAAUAGGAGUAGAAAAGCUAAAAUCAUUUGGGUCUAUGAGCUUCGUAAUCCUAUUUUAGCUUGCACUCUUAUGUAAUGCUAUUUUUCCUUGCUUCCUGCUAGUUUUUAUAAAAUUUUUUGCUGUUCCAAAAAAAAAAAAAAAAAAAAACUCCUCUAAUAUAUUGGUCGGUCGACUUUGAGAUACAAUUAAGAAGGUUCUCUAGCCACAUCACACAUCAUCCUCCCCCAAUGACCACCACACAAUAAUAUCGAUUUGGUAUAGACCAACAACUCUCUAUUUCCCCAUCUCCCUUAAAUCAAUCUUCACUUCCUUACUUUUCAGUUUGUUUUUUAAUAUUCAUACAUAGAAACUCAUGUUGGAGCAGUUAACACACAUAAAUGUCCUUAAUAUUGGAAUCCCUCACCAACAAAGUAGCAUCGUUAAGUAACUAAUAAGUUAGAGACCAUACGUACAAAUUAGCCCAAACCAUAGGGACCAUUCGUGUAAUUUACUCUUCCUCUUAAUAUACAUAUUUUUUAUUAGAGACAGACCGCUGUCAUCCUCAAUAUAAUACAUGUGUCCCCAAGUCCAUUUUGCAAUUCUUUUUGGAUUUGGCAAACUUGUAUAUACAAUUUCCUCUCUUUACUUUUCAUAUGUCAUAACCUUUGCUUUAGUUAUUGCUUUCUUCUUCCAAUUUCUUGUCACCUUGUAAAUAUUUCUUUGACCUCUCUUCUUUCCCAAUUGUCACUACUUAAUAGAAAUUCUUUAAAAGGAGUUUCUUUAUUUUGACCUUGAACCUUCUUGCUCCACCAUUCCGAUUAUUAGCUUAGCCUUUCAUCCUUGACGGAUAUGGCCUCCUGCUACAAUUACCAUGUAACAGAGCCGGCCCAAAGCAAGUUCAUCCAGUGCCUUUGAACAUGGCCCAAAAAAUCAGAGGGCCCAUUUUUUUUCAUUCUUUAAUAGGGUAUGUUCAUUUGGCCCAAAAAAUUUAGGUUAUAUCCAUCUAUAUACUCAGUUAACGAAUGCAGGAAGCAGGCAAGAGGGAGCAGGAACUCAAUUUUCGGGAAAAAGAGAACUCUUCGGUUUCUUCAUUGGUAACGCACGCAUGGAUAAUAGGAAUCAUCAUUGCUGGAACGGUAACAUCAAUUUACAUUCAUUUAUCAUUCAUUCUAUUCCAUCAAUUUACCUUCACUUCUUAUUUCUUCCUUCUUUAUCUUCUUCUUCACUGAUCAGUUUUUACAAAGAUUACCAACAAUUUUAGAAGAUUCAAAAGAAGAAAUUCAAAGCCAUCAAAUUUCGAAAUCAGAAGGUUCAAUAUCAGAAUUCAGAACAAUCAAAAUUCGAAAUAAGAAGCUUCAAAAUCUUACAGUCUUACAGUCUUACAGUUUGAGUUUCGAAAUCAAAGGUAUAAUACUAAAAUUAAACUUUAGUUUAUUGUUUCAUGGGUUUGUUUUUUCUAAUUGAGUAAUUUGAUAAUUUCAGAUUUCUUAUCGGUUCUUCUUUUUUCAUUUUCUUUAAUUCCAAAUUACUAAAUCAGGAUGAACAAUCAACAGUGAUAUCAGUUUUCAAAAAUUUGAACUUAGAAGGAACAAGGAAUUGAGGUAAAUUCUAAUUCAGAUUUCUACUUUUUAUGUUUUUUUGUUUAUGAUAAUUUCGAAUUUGUAAGAACUAAGAAGUAAUUAUGAAUUUAUGAUCUCAUCAUUUCAGAUUGCAAAUUUUCUGAUUUCCUUAGAAUCAUAUUCUUGUUUUUUUGAUUUGAAGUGUCGAUGAUAAUAAGGUAAUUUUUGGAUUUCUUAUAUGAUAUCAUUGCAGAUUUUGUGAUUUCUUUAGAAGCAUAUUCUGAUUUUUUUUCUUUGCAGUUUUGUUACAUUCUUUUGGUGAUUUGAAGUGUGGAAAAUCUGAACCAAGAAGGAAUCUAUAAAUUGGAAGUCAUAAAUAAGGUCGUUUCUUUCUUUUCUAUAACUUAUUAUGCCUCCUAAAAUAAAAAAAUAUGCAUCUGGAUAUGAAAAACGUAAGAAAAAACAAAAAAUUGAAGAAGAUAAUAAAACUCAAGCAGGAUCUAUGGAUAAGUUUAUAACAAAAAAAACACAAAACUUUACGAAAAAUGAAACACAAAAUGUUAAUGAAGCUAAUCUUGAUAAAAUGAUAAUGUUGAUGUUGAUGUUGAUGUUGAUGUUAAUGAUAAUGUUGAUGUUGAUGUUAAUGCUAAUGUUAAUGUUAAUGUUAGUGAUAAAGUUGAUUUUAAUGAUAAUCCUAAUGUUGUUGUUGAUGAUAAUGUUGAUUUUCACACUUUUGAUAUAUUUGAUCCAAGAAAUCGGGAUGCUCUUGAUUCUAGUAUGAUAAAUAUUUUAGUGUUGAAAGGUCCUAAAAGAGAUUUGUCUCUUACAAAAGGUCCUAAAGAUAAAUAUUUAAGAAGAUUUUCUGCAACAUAUUAUACUAAAACUUUACCAAAUGGGGAAAAAUGUGAUAGAGAUUGGCUUGUUUAUUCUAAAGAAAUUGAUAAAAUUUUUUGUUUUUGUUGUAAAAUAUUUCGAAAAGGGUGUCGGAAGGGUCAAUUAGCAAAUGAGGGUUUUAGGGAUUGGAUACAUCUUAACACUAGAAUUAAAGAGUAUGAAACUAGUAUGAAACAUGUUAAAACUAUAAAUACUUGGUAUGAUUUGCGUUUAAGAUUACAAAAAAAUGAAACUAUUGAUAAUGCGGCUCAAAAACAAUUAGAAAAAGAAAAAGUUCAUUAGAGACAAGUUUUGUUGAGAAUUAUUUCUAUUGUGAAAUUUCUUGCUAAACAUAAUCUAGCUUUUCGUGGUACUAAUGAGAAAUUGUAUGAAGAUAACAAUGGAAAUUUUUUAGGCUUAUUUGAAAUGUUGGCUGAAUUUGACAUGGUUUCUUAUGACCAUAUACAACGUAUUACAAAUGAAAUUGGUAUCCAUAAACAUUAUCUUGGGCAUAGGAUACAAAAUGAAUUAAUACUUUUGCUUUCUUCAGAAAUAAAGUCUAUGAUUAUUAAAAAGAUAAAAAAUGCAAAAUAUUUUUCUAUAAUACUUGAUUGUACUCCUGAUAUAAGUUACCAAGAGCAAAUGACUAUUAUUUUAAGAUGUGUAGAUGUCUUGUCAAAUGUUGUUUGCAUUGAAGAGUCUUUUUUAGGGUUUUUAGAUGUAAAUGAUACAACCGGCCAAGGACUCUUUGAUGUUUUACAAAAUGAAUUGAAUUUGCUUGAUCUUGACAUUAAUAAUAUACGUGGCCAAGGUUAUGAUAAUGGAUCAAAUAUGAAAGGAAAACAUCAAGGAGUGCAAAAAAAGCUUUUAGAUAUAAAUUCAAGGGCUUUUUAUACUCCUUGUGGUUGUCAUAGUUUGAACUUAACUUUAUGUGAUAUGGCUAAUACUUGUGGUAAAGCUAAAGGUUUUUUUUGGAACAAUACAACGUAUCUAUACAAUUUUUGCAAAUCCCACUAAGAGAUGACAAAUUUUAAAAGAUAAUGUGAAAGGGGUAACUCCUAAAUCGUUGUCAUCCACUCGUUGGGAGAGUCGUGUUGAUAGUGUUAAAGCUAUAAGAUUUCAUAUACAAAAAGCUUUACUUCAAGUAGCCAAAAAUGAUAAUGAUCCAAAAAUAACAAGUGAAGCUAAAUCCUUAGCAAAAAAUGAACUUGACAACUUUGAGUUUAUAUUGGCAUUAGUAAUUUGGUAUGAAAUGUUAAACACUAUUAAUUUAAUUAGCAAACAAUUGCAAUCAAAAGAUAUGUUUAUUGAUGUUGCUAUGGAAAAAAUAAUGGGGUUAAUUUCGUAUUUUAAGGAAUAUAAAGAAAAUGGGUUUUUAAAUGCUUUACAAACCGCAAAAGAUAUUGCCUUAGAAAUGGGGAUCGAUCCAAUAUUUCCUAAAAAACGUGAACCUAAAAUAAAAAAACAUUUUGAUGAGAUUUCAAACGACACUUCUUAUAGUUUUUCACAAUCCGCCCAAGAGAAAUUUAGAGUUAAAUAUUUUAUUUAUAUUGUUGAUCAAGCAAUUAGUUCUUUAACUACAAGGUUUGAACUAUAUCAAUAAUAUGAUAAAAUAUUUGGCUUUUUAUUUAAUUCAGAAAAAUUGCUUUCAUUAGAUGAUAUAACAUUAAAGUCUUGUUGUAUGUCUCUUGAAACUUCACUCAAGAAAGAUGAGCAAUCGGAUAUUGAUGGAAAUGACUUAUAUGUUGAAUUAAAAUUACUUUUACAUCUCUUGCCUAAGGAAAAAUUGACAGCAAUUGAUAUUCUAAAUUUUUUAAAACGUGUUGAUUGUUUUCCUAUUACAUCUAUUACAUAUAAAAUUAUGUUGACUAUUCUUGUUACUGUUGCAUCUGCAGAACAGAGUUUUCCAAAAUUGAAGAUUCUGAAGUCCUACUUAAGAUUUACAAUGACUCAAGAACGACUUAAUGGAUUGGUUUUGAUGACGAUUGAGCGUAAUAUGUUGGAUAAAGUUACUUAUGAAGAUGCUAUUGAAAAAGUUUAUUUCAACGAAUAUUAGGAGGAUGACUGUUUUCAAGUAGAAGCUAAUUUUUUUUUGUAUUAUUUUGAAUGAAAUUUUAAUUUUAUGUAUUUGCAAUAGAAAAUUAAACUAUAAUUUUUUUUUUGCUUAAAUUUUGAGAUCUUUCAAAUUUUAGAGCCUAUUUUUUGUUAAAUCGCACAUGGUCUUCAAUAUCUCAGGGCCGGCCCUGCCAUGUAGACCGAGACCCCUACUUGUAACUAACCUUUUCGGUCCUAAUAGAUACACAUGUAAAAAACUAAUAACUACUAACUAACUAUUAAUUAUUUAAUAUAAAAUACAAAUAGAACAUCAAUGAUAAAUAUUAAAAGGGUGUUGCUAAAUUGACACCCCUUAGACACCCUAUAAACACUUUUAUUAAAAGUCAAUUUAUAAUAAACUAUUCACAAUUUACUUUUUCAAAAAACAAUGCAAAUUAACUAAUAAAAAAAUCUUAAAAAUCAAAUAAGGUUUCAACAUGAGAGAAAUUAUAUUGCAAUAAGUUUGUUGUCAGGUGAGGAAUACAAUGCAUAAAUGAUUUACAAAAUCGAAAGUUCCAGACACAAGUUAAAACUUAAAACCCUAAAAGACCACACAAAUUUCAAUCGUCGACAUACCCCACCACAAAGGCACAAACAAUCAAUGAAACAAGUGUAGAUGUAGAGGCCUUUUUCACCACAAUCACCCUUCAUCGGCCAUUUCGAAGGCCACGUGAAAUGUCACUAACGUGGCCCUCUAAAUAUCCACUACUUUGUCUUUAACCCCUCCCCCCUCCCUUAUAAAACACUCCAUCCUCCUCCUUAAUCACCAUCACCAACAACCUUCUCUCCUCCCUCAAAAGUACCACCAUCUUUUCCGACAUGGCUACUUCUUCAAUCUUCAUGGCAACUCCCAUCACACUCCUCAAGAAAACUCCCACCUUCUCCGUCAAAUGUAUGUCACAAACACCUCAAAGCGGUGAACCGGAGGUUUCAAAACCAGCAACCACCCCAACACUACCACAGAUCAACAUUCCUCCUCCUCCGCCACCUGCUCCAAAGGUCAGCACGAAGUUCUCUGACGUGUUGGCGUUUAGUGGACCUGCACCGGAGAGGAUCAACGGAAGGUUAGCCAUGAUAGGGUUUGUGUCGGCGAUGGCUGUGGAACUGAGCAGCGGUCAAGACGUGUUCACCCAGAUCGGCAACGGCGGUGUUGCGGUGUUUGUCGGGACAAGUGUGGUGUUGACGUUGGCGUCGUUGGUGCCGUUGUUUAAAGGAGUGAGCGUGCAGUCGAAGUCGAGUGGACUGAUGACAUCAGAUGCAGAGCUUUGGAAUGGGCGGGUUGCGAUGUUGGGUCUGGUGGCUUUGGCUUUUACUGAAUAUGUUAAAGGCAGUGCCCUUGUCUAGAUAAUGUAGCAUAAACUUUUCUAUUACAGAAUUACAUCUAAGAUAGGCAAAUGUAUAUUCUUUUGAAUAUUUAUGUGUAUCGAUUUACCAUACAUAGUUCAAAUCAUGAAAAUCAUGUUUUUUUGAUAAUAUAGUAUAAAACAAAUAUGAUCAAUCAAAUCGAACGAUUGUGGUAUCUUUCAAUAUAAAAUUCUUUUUACAAAAAUAAACAAACAACAUACUAAGAUAAUUUUUUGAGGAAUGAACCUAGAUUAGCAAUAUAAGAGUCAAAGUCUACAAAGAUAUUGACAUCCUAGUUUCACAACUUCCUCUUUGAAUGUUGAAGGUGAUCAUUAAUUCAGACUGAAUAUGUGGCUAAGUCCAGCCUAGUCAAUUAGCCAAUUUAAGUUGACAAGUAUCCAAAAUUCAAAUAAACUACAUGGCUCAAUUUCAAAGAAAACUGAAAAAUGACUAAUGCUCACAAAAUGAUCACCGAAUCAAUUUAGGCUAUGAGGAGUGGUCACAUUCAAACCACCGGAAAAACGCUGCAAAGUCAGUGAUAUGUCAACUCCAUCACCUUCUAAACAUUGGAAACAAUUACCACUCCGUGUCAUUUAUAUUUUCAUUUUUUUUACAUUAGAUUAAAUAAAAAACAUAAUUACUAACUUAAGUAAUCAUUUUACUAAUUAAAAAAUCAACUAAACAUAUAUUAAUUUUCAAAAUUAAAUAAACAUAUAUAGUAUAUAUAGUUGAGGGUUUAACUUAAUUCAAAGAAAAGUAAGAGGGUAUAAUAAGAUUAAAAGACAUAAUUUUAGAGACCAAAUUUGUAACUUUAGUUAAAGCAAAUAUGAAUGGUCUUCUUCACAGGUCAUUGCUCAAUACCAUUUUUUUUCUUUUACUUCGAUGGAUACAAAGGAAAAGGGAAAAAAAGGGUCAAAUAAAUGACCGUUAUUGUUCUUGCUUUCUUAUCCGUCGUCUUCAUCCGUCUUUGCACCCACAUUACACCCAAACCACCGGCCUUAGGGGUGGUGGUGUUCACGUGUCCUUAGGCCGGACACAUCAGCAAGAUGUGUGAGUUAGUCCUCCCACUCCGAUUAGCCUUAAGCACUUAUUAAAAGCUAGUCUAUUUCUUGUUAGGUUGAAAUCUAAUGUUAUCAUCAAAUCUAUACAAGAUUGAGAUUGAUAUUAUAGUAACAAUCUCCCAAAGAAAAAUAAUAUAUUUAAAAGAAUAUAUAUAUANNNNNNNNUAUAUAUAUAUAUGAAUUAUGCCCCAAGAAGUACUAUGCAUGAGUAUAAGAUUACUAUUAUCUUUGGAUCCAUUAAUUGAUAACUAAGCAUACUUCAAAGUUACUAUAUGGUCGUAUGAGACCCGCGAAUAGGAAAUUGGCUGCACCCUUGGCCCGAUUCGAAGGCUAAAACCCAAAAGAACCAUGCACAUGAUUCGAACCAAGUGCUCUAAUGCUAUUUUGCCCAACUUACAUGAACUACCUCCAUACACAUACUUAAGAAACCCAUAAUCUCAUCCAGAUAGAGCAGGAAUGCCAGAGAUAAUCGGAAUAAUACCUCAAUCAAUUACAAAAAACAUCCGCAUUAUCGGUUGAAACAAGAUCCCAUACUUGAUUGAGACUGAACGGAUUCCAUCGCUACACAACUAGCUCGAGAAGACUUCCACGGAUCUCGAAAGUUGCCUAAACCUGAGUCUGCUAUGAAAUAGGUUCCCACUCCACCAUUGAGGGUAAACACACUUGAAGCCCCAAUGGACAUAGAUCAUACUAAGCUUGAUAACAGAUCAGCCUGACCACUACAUCUCGACUGACACAAUUAAACUUCCAAGUGAACUUUUAUUGAUUGAUGAACCCCACAACCAGUGGUCGAGGACACUUUAACACUUAGUCCAGAGAAUCAAGACCACAUAGAACUGAACAUACCCACUCAUGGAAAGAUCCAUCGACCAACGUCUGCCCAACUAAUAUGAAAAUAGUAAUCCAACAACAAACUGGGAAAUCCCUCAACAGCUAAAAAUACUCAACCUGAGAAUCCCGAUUCUCCUCCACUUAGGGCUUAAACUACCAUUCACUAGCGCUAAAACCAAAUCAUAAAUCAAACCAUAUUGAGGAUAUACUCCCUUCCUAACCCUGGAAGUUACGAGCCUCUUCACUCCUUCCCCGAACUCGGAAAAAAUGAAAGGGCAUAACCCUAGCCAUUGAUAAUGACGUUCCAAACCAACAAUCAACCACUUCCAACUGUAAAACCCAAGUCAAUCUUAAUCAUCGUCCCCUUCACGAGUCCCGCGACUCGAAUACCCGACCUCAAGCAAAACCCCCGAGGCCUCAAACAAAAAAGCUCCCUAGGUCUGCACCAAACAAACAAAAUCACUAACGCCACUGGGGCUCAAAACACUUACCAUAUCCAUCCGCAUGUCGGAGCAUCCACAAGCAAAAUAUUAACAGGAACAUAAACACUGCCGCGAAUCAUGGUAUCCAACCAUGCUAUCUUCACCGACCAACCCUUAGAAUCCCCAAAACCUUCCUUGAUUAGAUUAUGGAUCCUGUGCUUCAAGUAGUACUGGCCCAAUACUACCUUCCAUACCUAUCCAUACUUUCCUCAAGAAUCAUCCCAAGUCUUUUAAGUCCUAGUCAUAAAAUACUCCUGAAACUUGCUUAACAAUGAAGCAACCACGCUAAAAUACUCACCUACACUCCCUCUGCCAUCAACUGCUGAUAAACCCCUACCAAUGCCAGCUAACCACUUCAUGAAUACAAUUACACACAACCAAGCUUAAAUAAUCCUUCGAAUAAAGGGCUUAGCCCUACAACGAUUGGACUCAAACGAGAGCUGCACAAUAGGUUUGAGUCCUUCAUUCUAAGAUUAUUUAACCUUCAUAGCAUGUAAUUUUAUUAUAUUCACUUGAUGGUUAACUCCCAUCAACAUGGGUCCCACAAAGCACAAAGCAAGCAACAUUCGGGUAGAGAAGCCGACUGCGACUAAAACGCAACAAAAUCAGACAUAUCCUCAUAGAAAAUCCUCGAUCUCAAACUCCUCGCACCACGAGUGCGCCUUCACCCUGCUCUCACUCUCCCCAGAGUGGUUAAUCAUUCCUCGUGCUUACCCGCUAUACACUGCACCCACUCAUGAAACUUCCACCAACCCUACAACACUCGUGUAUGCUAGCCGUACAUAACACUGGAUCCUAUAGACAGUCGAAUAUCUGAUCCUACUCUAAGCCCUUCAUCAAACAAGAACAUGAAAUAAGGCCAAACCAAACAUUCUCAGGCUAUAGAAUCUUAGUUAUGUACAACUAUGAUGUAUACACUAAGUAACUGUAGUAGAUGAUGUCAAUUUCAUUUAAGGAAGAACCCUAGGCUAUCAGACAUCAUAUAAUCAUGCAACUUUGUCAUGCAAUUCCUGAAGAUCCCUAGCCUAUCACUACCAUGCUAUUCUAAUAUUUCACAAGAUCAAAUAAAGUGUGGUAAUUUGGGGUCUACUUACUAGCUCCGACUGAUCAUACACAUCGUAUCCUCUUUAGUUUGAAAGUUAUUUUUAAAACCUUUACUUUGAAAAUUACUUUUUUUAAAACACCUUUUCCUUAGUUUGAGACCGGAUUCACACGAGUUUUCCUCCCAUUCACUCAAACCAAGGCUCUGAUACCAACUAGUAACGUCACAAAAAUUUCAACAAAUCUAAACCUUUCAAAACAACCCAUAUGUUAACAAAAGUGAUUUGAUCCGCAGGCACUCUGCACGCCUUGAACUCCCGUAAUGAGGGAGUUCGAGCCCCAAUCUGACCCACAGUGAUCUCAGAUCGGAAAGAACAAUCCGCUCCUCCAUAUCCUCCAUGAUCCCCUCCUUGACGGUACUGAACCCGAUCUCGAACCUGAACCUCCUCGCGUAGCCAUCAUAAUCUUCAACUGAAAAUACAACAUAGAAAGAAAUUGAUAAGGAAGUUCAAAGGGAUUUCUCCCCACUGGACUCCUUAAAGCCUUCAGGUAUGUCCUUGUCUCGGGUACAAGUCUUGUGCUUUUAGUAGUACGGACCAAAUACUACCUUCCACACCUACCUGUACAUUCCCCCAAGGCCAUACCUGAUACCUCCAAUUCACCAAACCAUAGAUAAAACAUGACCUACGAAACACAGCACAUACACAUAUCUUAGAAUCUUCGGGGAUUUCUCAAUCCUCAUAGAACCAGAAACCUCAAUCAACACCGCAUGUUGCCUUAUGCAUGCAAGUUAUACAUUAAUAGAAUCAUAGAGACUGUCAAAUAAAGUUUCUACCCUAAGACCACAACCAAACAAGGAACAAGAAGUAAGGCAGAAUCCAUCGUUCUAGGGCUAUAAAAUCCUAAACAUAUACAACUUUGAAAGCAUACACUUAGCAAAUAACAACGUCAACAUCGAUUCCAAGCAUUAUAUUCAUAGCAUUGAACUCUCCUAGGCUACAAGGCAUCUCACAAAUCAGACAAUUCUCAUAACACCUAAAGGUAUCCUUAGCCCUAUUCUAGCAUGCAUUUCACACAUUAACAUACUAGUUGCAAUUCAUAAGCAUGGUUAAAUUUUUGGAAACACUUACUUGAGCUUGGCUGAUUUCGCGCAUUGCGCUCUCCCUUUUUACUUAAGAAAACCGGUUUAAGAAAAACUUGACUUUUGUUUCUUUUUUUAAAAAGGUUUACCAUUUCCUCAGUUUGAGUUGUGACACAUAGUGUGCCCGAAUUCCUCAAACCAAGGCUAUGAUACCAACUUGUAAAAGCCCAAAAAUCCAGAUAAAAAUUUUCAUUUAAAAAAAAAUAGAAAUUACAAUCAUAAUUUGUUUCUUAAAAUCCAUUACAUCAUUUCAUAUCAAAAUAUCAGAGUAUCAAUAUCAAUAAAUGAGGAAAUUCUUGGGAGUGAAUGUUGCGCCAUCUAGCUAGGCCCUUCCCCUUAGUACCGAAAGUACCUGAAAACACCUAAAUAAACUGUAAGCAAAAACUUAGCGAGUUCCCAAAAUACAACAUAACAUAUAACCACAGAAUACCACGCCACAUACAUAAGAUUGCCAUGGACAACCCCAUGGUCUUUACUUGGAAUGCCAUGGGCUACCCCAUGGUAUUUACCUAGAAUGCCAUGGGAUACCCCCAAGGUCGGAUAUCCAAGUGCCAUGUGCUACCCCAUUGGUCUUUACCUGGAAUGCCAUGGGCUACCCCCAUGCUCUAAUAUCCAAGUGUCGUGCGCUACCCCCAUGGUCUUCAUAUAAGUGCCACAGGCUACCCCCGUGGUCUUCACAUAAUGAAUUGCAUAAAAACUAUCAAUCCACAUGUCAGGCAAUGGGCCGCCAUUGGUGCCUUCGACCCAUUGAUAUAGUGAGAAGACUCACCUCAGACUGCUGAUAAAAAUACUGCUCGGCUAACGCUCUAGAUAUCUGACACUGAAUAUACACAAGUUAACCUAAUUAGAAUUAAGUCACAAACUCAAGGCCUAGGCCAAAACCCUAAGUACAAACUCCUCCAAUAAGGCCCAAAGUCUUUUUCCUUUAAUGGGCCUAACAUCCAAGAUCCAAAAAGGGGCAUAAGGCCCAAAAGGCCUAGCCAUGCCACUUAUGGUCCAACAACAAGUUCAAAGGCCCAAAUACUAUAAUAGAUCCAGGCCCAAGUCUAAGUAGAGCCCAAAUAGCUUAAAGGCCCAACAAAAGCCCAAAACUCAUUGGAAGCGUACGCCCAACGUACAUCAUCAGUACGCUUAGCAUACUGGGUUCUUUGGCGGUUAGCGUAGUGUACAAGCUAGUAUGCCCAACGUACAAGCUACUUUGCACAAAAAGCCAUUAAGUGCUUAAUUCAUGAAGCCAUUUCGUCCGAUUCCAGAUCUUGGUCAUCUUAAAGGUCCUAGGGCAUAAAGAUGGUAACUUUAUGUGUUUACAUGCCAUAUGGGAACCCAACACCUGAUUUUAUCCAUUAAGACUCCCUUUAAGAUCUUAAACUCAUGCAUGGUGCCAUAACAACCAUCAAGUUAGCAUUUUUAUGCUUUUAACAUGCCAAAGGAACUAGGAUCUAACAUUUAUAAUCUCUGGAGUUGUUCAAACUUACAAAAGAGGAUCCAUGGACCAAAAAUGGACUUAUUACCAAACCCUAACUCAAACUAGCGAAAGGAUAAGCAAGUUCUGGACUUUUUACCUCCAAAAGUUUUCCAAGAUGAAGUAGAUGCAGGAUCUAGAAGCUCAAACACGUCUAAGAGUUGAUCACAACCUUCUCCUUCUUACACACACAUUAAAAUAGCCACCAAAAUCACUUUUAAGCUCAAGAAUCACACUCACUUGCAAACUAGGGUUUAGGGACGAUAAGAGGCAAUAAAAGCUAUGUAGGGUUAGGUCCAAAUGUCAUAAGAGUGUUAAAAUAGGGUUCAUGCGCAAAAAUUAGGGUUUUUGUCAUAUGCCACGUACUCCUCGCAUACAUGGUGCAUGUACGCAUCUAAACCACCCUAGUACGCUAAGCGUACACGUAUGUACGCCCUGUUGGAUUAGUGUUUAAGUCCAUAACUAUAUUUGGUAUGUAUUUGACCAGGUUGUGCAUGGUCCUUUUAGGUUGCCUUCACCGAAGCAACUUGACUAGAGGAAUUAUAUAGAAAGAGGUGAUUAUGGUUUAUUAAUAUAUUAUAAGAUUUAUAUAUUAAAAGAGAAAUCAUGUUUGAUUAAUUAACAUUGGUCAAGAGUUAAUUAAACAUUAGUUUUGUGAUCAAAAGAAGUUAAUUGAACUUAAGGGGCUGAACUGUAAUUAUGUGAUAGUUACAAAGUUAGGCAAGGAAACCCUAAUGGAUAGGGUGGAUGAAUUCUAGGGAUAUAGCCUUAAGAAUUCGCCCAUGAUAGGGAUUCUAGAAUUAUCUUAUGGGCUGCUUGGUGGCUAAGUAACCAUAUAAGAAUAAUGAAUGAAACCCUAAUUCCUAAACCUAUAUAAAGGACCCUUGGUCAUGGGAAUUUCGGCAACUUGAACCCUAGAAGUCCUAGAGCCGAAAUUCUCCUCUUCCCUCUCUUGCUUCCUCUAAUUGCUAUUGGUGUUUGUUAUUAAUUAGAGGCACAACACUUGAGGUGCUAAAGUUGUCAAGGCUUCAAGAUCUUCAAUCAACAACGAGGUAAGCAUCUUGAUAUACUUUGCUAAGUUAAUUUCAAUUAUAUACACUAGAUCUAGGGUUUGAAAGUCUUGGAUGAAUGCACGUACAAUUAGAGAAACCUAGAUCCAAGCAUUAGGGUUUGCAUGAGCACAUAGGAUGUUCUUUUGGCUCAAACCUAUCAGUGGUAUCAGAGCUUUUGUUUGGUUUCUAUUGUAUUGAUGCCUUGCUUGUUCAUCCUCUCUUGAAAAUCGUGAUUUUGUGUUCUCUGCCUGACGAACUCGAUGAGUCCCAAUGUGGGCUCGACGAGUAGGAUGAACUCGACGAGUCCAUAAGGGCACUCAACGAGUCGGAGCGUCAGACAUAGAUUUUCGGGAUUUCUUGUUGUUUUGCUUAAUGAUAAUUACCUAAAUCGUUUUUGACUAAUAAAAUCUGAAUUUUAUUACUGCUUUAUGUUUAUCCUUUCCAAAACAAAAGAUAAUUUCCAUUUAUUUGAAUAAUAAAUUCCUUAUAUGAUAAUAAUUGAUUAUUUAAAUUAUUUGUUGAAUUAUCUUAUGAAUAAAAUUGAUUAGGUCAAAUUUAGAUAAUCAUUAAAUUAAUUGUUUAAUUUAAAUUAUUUGCUAUUUGAUCCUUUAUGUUUUGAAAAGUUCAAAACUUGUCCUCAAGUUUUGAAAUUUAAAUUUGUGAUUAAAAGUUUAAUUUAAACUAUUUAAAUUUCAAACCCUAGAAUUUUACAAGUUUAAAAUUCAACCUUAUACUUUACAAUANUUAAACGCUAGUCUUACUGUUAGUAGGCCUCAUUCACGAAGCCGAUCUAGAAGGAGGUAUAAGGUUAUGACCUAUAAAAUGGCCAUUUAAUGGGUGUCCACUCUCACCCACCACAUCCUUGAUUGGUGGAGGGUCGUUAGCCGAACGGGUAAGAUAGGGCAACCCUUUCUCAUGAAUAAGUAUAAUGAAUUAUAAAAGUAACUAAAUGUUUUACAAAAUUCCCAAUCUUAAUUACUUUAGGCAAAAGUGAAAUUGAUGCAAUUCCAUUAAAUUACAUUUUGUACCCGUGCUAAGACGUUAGUGGAGCGUGUGUGGUUAACUGGCACACUAAUUCGGUUCUAAGAAAAGGUGGUAAAGGGUGACUCAUUGUUUCUCAUUGUUCGAUGGAGCAUGUGUGGUUAACCAGCACAUCGAAUAGGUGACUGUAACAAUGAGGGCACCAUGUAUAUUUGCAUGGUUAUUCAUACCCACUUUGUGAUCCUCAGCAUCCCAGUCACAAACUAGAGGGGCAUAUCAAGAUUUAUACAUGCCAUUGAAAAGUUCAAUGAAUCUCAAAAUAUCUAGGAGUUUUCAAUACAUUUAAAACUUAAUCUCUUUUUCGUUUUUCAUGGUGGAGAAUUAGUGAAUCGUCAUUCACUUACCUUCAAAUUAUUUGCAUGUUAGAUUACGACACCCCUCUUCUAAUAUGUAAAUAAUGUUGUUGGAUCCUAGCCCUAAUUUCUCAUUUAGGUGUUUCAUUAGGGAUUCAUUUCUAAUCAAACUUUGUUCUUUUUCCUUUUCAGAUGUCGAACAACAACAAUGCUUCCGGAUCGUUCUCACUCAUGAACUUGUGUGGGAGAGUGAUCUUUGACGAGUCCAAUUUCAAUGAUUGGAUUCGCAACAUCCGAAUGGUCACUCGUUACGAGGACAAAGAGUAUGUCCUUGAUAAGAAGCUGAAGGAAAUCAACCUCAACACUGCUACUACUGAAGAGAUCGCCACCUUUAAGGCUCAUGAGCGUGAUGCCACGAAAGUCCAUUGCAUCAUGCUAGCGACCAUAACUGCAGAACUCCAAAAGUCCUAUGAGGACAUGUAUCCCUAUGAAAUUCAUCAAAACUUGUUGGACCGGUACCACCAAAGUGCAAGGCAAGAAAGGUAUGAGAUCAUCACUUCGAUGAUCACUACCAGAAUGGGUAAUGGAGAGUCCCUUACCGCCCAUCUGCAAAAGAUGCAGAGAUAUGUUGAUCACCUGCUAAAGUUGAAAGUUAACUUUGAUGAAGAGAUGGCAAUCGACAUUAUCCUUCACUCCUUACCUCCCUGCUACAACCAGUUCCGCAUGACUACCACAUGAAUAAGGAAGAGGUCACCUUGAGCAAGCUUCACGGCUUGCUAAGAACUGUUGAGAGCAAUUUCAAGGAUAAGUAUGUUGCAUCAACUCCAACUCCCACUGCUGCCCUUGUCUUGGAAAAAGGGCAAGGGAAGGGUAAGAAAAGGAAGGCUCCCUCAAAUAUCCACCACAAGGGAAAGUCCCAAGAUGUUACCUCUUCUAGUGGAACCAAGGCUGGUUCUGCUAAACCCAACUCUAACCCUAAUGAGCCAGAGUGCCACCACUGCCACAAAAUAGGGCAUUGGAAGAGAAGCCGCCCAGAAUAUCUGCAAGCUAUCUAGGAUGGGACGAUCAAGCCAUCCUUCGCAGGUAUUUACACUAUUAAAUCUAAUGAUUCAUCGCAUGCUAUUUCUUGGGUUAUUGAUACAGGAUGUGGUUUUCACAUAUGUUCUGAUUUGCAGGGACUAAGAAGAAAUAGGGAUGUGGAGCAUGGAAGAAUAAACCUAAUAAUGCGAAACAAAAGAUUGUCGCCUGCCACCAAUAUUGGAGUAUAUAUAUUCCUUAAUGCUUAGUAAUGGAUUAGGUUUUGAUUUAAACAAUUGCUGCUAUUCGCCAGAUAUGGCAAGAAACAUCAUUUCAUUUCAUGGUUUAUAUAGGCAAGGAUUUAGAUAUUCAUUUGAUAAUGAAAAGGGUUCUAUUUAUGCUUAUCUUAAUAGUGUUUUAUAUUUUGAAGCAUUGCCUUGUAAUGUAAUAUAUGAAACUGUGAUGGUUGUAGAUAACUUAGGAAAUGAUGUAUUGUGUGUUGAUUCUUCCAACAAUAUAGAUAAAGCAUGCUUGUGGCAUUGUCGUCUUGGACAUGUCAACAAGAAACGCAUAGCCCAACUCUAAAAGGAUGGAGUGUUGGAGUCAUUCGACCUUAGGGAUGAUGACGUGUGUGAGUCUUGUUUACUUGGAAAGAUGACCGAUGUGUGUGGGCACUUGUGAAAGGGGUGAGGGUUUAUUGGAUCUCAUACACACCGAUGUGUGUGGGCCCUUUAGAUUACCACAAAAGAUGCAAGCCACUUCUAUGUGACUUUUACCGAUGAUUAUAACAGAUAUGGGUAUAUCUACUUAAUCAAGCACAAGUCGGUAACCUUUGAAAGGUUCAAAGUGUUUAAAGAAGAAGUGGAGAAUCAUUUGGGCAGGAAUAUCAAGAUGCUUCGAUCCGAUCGAGGAGGAGAGUACCUAAGUCUUGAAUUCCAUGACUAUCUCAAGGAAUGCGGAAUCGUUUCACAAUUGACGUCACCUAGGACACCGCAGUUAAAUGGUGUGGCUGAGAGGCGUAAUCGAACCUUGUUGGACAUGGUUCAUUCCAUGAUGAUUCGUGCUUCACUACCUAUCUCAUUCUGGGGGUAUGCCUUAGAGACUGCCGCCCAUAUCCUUAACUUAUUCCCUACGAAGAAGGUUGCCAAAACACCUCACGAGAUGUAGACAGGGAAAGCUUCCUCGUUAGCACAUAUCAAGGUUUGGGGGUUGCGAGGCUUUCGUAAGACGAGAGACUCACGACAAGCUCGAACCUCGUAGUGAGUGGUGUAUUUUCACCAGCUACCCACAAAAGACCUUUGGAUAUCUCUUCUAUAGUCCGAGUGAGAACGUUGCCUUCAUUGCGAGGAGAGGGGUUUUCCGUGAGCGAGAACUCAUAAGCCUAGGGGACAGUAGGAGGCAAAUCGAUCUUGAAGAGAUUCAAGAGUUGAGCGAUGAAGGAACCUCCAACACCGGGGCUUACCCGAGGAGGAAACUCCGGUUGAACCGAUUGACGAGUCCUUACCUCUUAGACGUUCCGAAAGAGUUAGGUUUCAACCCCAGUUAUAUGGCUUUCAUAUUACUACAGAAGGGGAUACGUAUAUUAGUGAUAUUAUACUAAUAAAUUUGGAUGAACUUAACAGCUAUAAGGAAGCCAUUGCAGGCCCAGAGUCUGCAAAGUGGAAAGAGGCGACGGACAGUGAGAUUCUGUCCAAGUAUGACAACCAAGUUUGGAAUUUGGUUGACAAUGUACUAGGUCGUAAGAUGGUCUGGUGCAAAAUGAUCUUUAGGAAGAAGGUACUAAAACGUUUUGUGACAACCCGAAAUUUCCAUUUUGUACGAACAUUAGCUAUUCAAUAGAAGCUAGUCCAAUUUCAAUGAAUUUCAGACUUUUCUAAAUAAAUUUGUGUACAUUAGGGUUUACGUUUAAGGAGAUAUCAGGAGAGUGGAUGCUCAUGGGUUUGUGAAACUUGAGCAUUUCAAAACUUCAUAAUGUUAGAGUCCAAUUCCGGAAUAAAAAUAUUUUCUGCCAAAAUAUUUCAGGACUAUAAAUAGAUUUCUGAACUAAAUUCAUUCAUUAUUCACACUUCCAACUAGAGAAAAGCCAUUUUCUCUCUCACAGAUCUUCGGGUUUUCAUCCCAAAUCGUGAGUACACUUCUUUAGUUGUUUUAUAAUGCUUGUUAUAUGCUUAAUAACAUAGAUUACAUGUCAAAUAUGUGAGAUCCGGGAGUUUACCGCCCAAGAACGUUCUUGGGGAGUAAACUCGAAAAUAAAGCUUUAAGGCUAUCUAGUCCCAUUUCCUUGUUAGGUAACUAGCUUAGGAUAAUAUGUAGGAUCAUUUGAGACAAGAAAACAAUCCAGAACACAUAGCUUUAGGAGUUUUCGGCCCAAGAGUUUCUUGGACCGUAAACACCAAAUACAAGGGCUUAAAUGUGCCCUAAUCACUCCCAAAGGCUUUAGACUUUAACCCUAAAUUACUUCUAGCUAAUAUGGGGACAUUAACACAUCAAAAAAACCCCUAAAAGGGAGUUUACGGCCAAGAAAUGCUCUUGGGCCGUAAACACCAAUUAAGGGCACCAAAGUGUGCCUAGGGCCCCCCUUAGCAUAAAUCAAAUGCCUCGAAAGUAUUCUACUUGUGUUUGAGACUUGAAAGAAUUAAAACAUCCAUCCCAUGAGAGUUUACGGCCGUAAACUCUAAGGGAUAUGGCCUUUUGGCCGUAAACUCCUCAAAGGAGUGUUAUCUAUGCCCUAAACUACCCAAAGGAUUAAACCACCAAACUAGGCUUAUUCUAGAAAUCAUUUAGCACUUUAAAACACCCAUUACCACCAAGAUUGGAGUUCACGGCCGUAAACUCAAGGUUUUACGACCGUAAACUCCUUGUGUGGGGUUUAUUGGGUAGUAAACUCUUAUACAAAGUCCUUGGAAGCUUUAAACCCCUUUAGCUUGUCCCAUAACAACUUAGAUGCAACCAUUAGGACCUAUAACACUUAUACAAGGUGUUUACAUGUUCCUAAGUGUCCCAACUUAUUUCAUUAAGUUAUUAUUUGGCUAAUUAGUUAUAUAUAUGCUCAUUAUAUGAUAACUAGGCUCGUGCGUGUGAACAAGUCUCCGUUUGCCACCUAGCACGGUAUCCGACACUACAAUCCAAACCACUCACCACAAGUGAGUUCAUACCCCUUUAAUUAACCUUUGAAAUACUUUUAAAUGUUUUAAAUACUUUAUGGGGGGGAUACAAGUUAAAUGCUUAUAGUUAUUGCAUCAAUCACAUGUGAUUACAUUAAUCAUAUGUGAUUAAUAACUAGAAAACCAAUGAUCUUAUCACUGUUUAAACUGUUUAUCAAACUGUUUUACUUCAAACUGUUUUACAAACUCUUUUACUCAUCAAAUACUUUUAUUUAAACUUUGUUAUACUUCUUAUAAACCGCAUGCCCAUAUAUGUAUAGAUAUAUAAGCAAUGUUUAAAGGGUUUAGGAAGGUCAUCCGCCCUAUUUCCUUUUUCUCGAUUUGGAUGUGGUCUGGUGGGAUUUCGGGUAACCAUCCGAAGGUCGUUUCAAUAUUAAUUAUAUAUCAAAUGUACAUAUAUAGACAUAAAAGUACUCCUUNUAUACUAGGAGAAGAACAUAUACAACUAUACUAGAGGAAGAACAUAUACAACUAUACUAGAGGAAGAACAUAUACAACUAUACUAGAGGAAGAACAUAUACAACUAUACUAGAAAGAGAACAUAUACAACUAUACUAGAGGAAGAACAUAUACAACUAUACUAGAACAGUUCAUUACAUUACACAUACUAGAAUACGUUCAUUAUUGUGAUAUGAAUCGGGGCAUGACUUAAAUGCCAUGGCCCGAGUUGUAGCCAGAGUCUCUUGAAGGGAGAGCGUGAGUUUGCGUAUAGAUCUAUACUGGAUUGACUAUCCUACACCUUGCUGCUAGCUACAGCCGGACCUGCAGGUCUGCGGGUGCCAAACGUCAUUCCGUUAUUACGACCAUUCGUAUGUCGUUGUUACCAGUCGAUAGUAUGGUGCAAUUAGUCACAUGAUACCUUAAUAUAAAUCCGGUUUAAGGUAGUUAGUACAACAAUAGUUCCUAUAAUACAACACUACAGUACUACAAUAAUUUACCCAUUACAUAUAUUUAGUGAUUAUUUCACUUAAACAUUAAUGUACAAACUAUAUUUUGUUAAAUGAUAGUUACACUUGGGAAAUUACACACUUUUACAACAAACGAGCAUACAAAACAGUUAAGCCUUGGUAGAAGGCUACUUUAAUAGAAAAUAUAGGUUUUUCUGAGAGAUUCAAACUUUUACAAACACUUACAUACAUUUUACAAACUUACACUUGAGACACGUUCAAACGUUUUGAUAACAAACAUCGACACUAAAAUACUUAUGAACUCACCAGCUUAAUGCUGAUAAACUCUUUCAAAAUAACUUGUAUUCUCAGGUCAUCAAUAGACAGGUACUUAGGCCAGCUUUUGAGAAGAUGGAGCGCAUUCAAGACUCAUCUUAUUAUUUUGAUUUACAUUAUAUUUUGGUGUCUAAAACUGUACAGAACACGCUUGUAUUAAAAUUAUAUAUUUAAUGCAAUGGAUGAUGCUGUUUGCUUAUUUACAUUUACUGUGUUGUGAUACUUUACAUGACGUCCUCCGCCCCACAACGUUUCCGCCGUUCUUGGUUUUGGGGUGCGACACGUUUUAGUAUGGAGAAUUCAAAGAAGGCAGAGUUACCAAUCCAAAGUAAUGCGAAGUUGAGUACGACUCAAAGUCCGAGUACUGAAGUCGAGAUAGCAGAAAUGAGCUAAGUACCUUACGCUUCCGCAGUUGGCUCGAUCAUGUACGCUAUGACUUGUACUCGCCCUGAUGUGGCCUUCGCUUUGAGCAUGGUCAUUAGAUAUCUAGGGAACCCUAGAAAAGCACAUUGGACCGCAAUCAAGAAUAUUCUUAAGUACCAUCGAAGGACCAAGGAAUGGUUUCUAGUCCUCGGUGGGAGUGAUGACUUAAAGGUGCGAGGGUAUAGUGACGCCAGUUUUCAGACCGACAGGGACAACUACCGUUCGCAGUCGGGCUGGGUCUUUACCCUAAAUGGUGGAGCAGUGACUUGGAAAAGUUCCAAGCAAGAGACCGUAGCUGACUCAACAUGUGAAUCAUAGUACAUUGAAGCAAGCGAAGCGUCAAAUGAGGCAAUAUGGUUGAAGAACUUCAUUGGAGACCUUGGAGUUGUGCCGACCAUACAGGAGCCUAUUGAGAUUUUCUGUGAUAAUGAAGGAGCGGUUGCCUUGACCAAGGAACUGAGGGAUCACGGCAGAUCUCAACAUAUUGACAGAAAAUAUCACUUUAUUCGAUAUCAGAUGGAAAAAGGACUCCUCGUAGUGAAGUGCGUAUCGUCAGAAGAUAACCCAUCAGAUCUGCUUACGAAGGGACUGAGCAGGGUUAAGCACUUGCAGCAUGCUAGGAGCAUCGGGCUGAAGGACGAUAUUAGUUUAGAUUAGAUAGUUUGGAAACGUGUAAUAGAUAAAUUAUAAUUAACAUCUGAUGAUUAAAUAAAAGAGUAUUAUUUAUUAGUAAUGUUACUAUCUUAUGUUAAUUGUUUACCUAUUGUUUCAUUUUGCAUGUUUUGACUUCCUGAAUAAUAAGAAUUAUUUAAAUGGUCUACAGUUGUUCAUAUGUUGGAACUAGGUAUGAAUGAAGACUGUCAUGAAUUGGUGUGUAGAUUGUCUAAAGUGUAUUAGACAUAGCAAAAGUUUGCUACAACAUUCAUGAGUGCUUAUGAAAAGUUUUGAGCAUUGGAAUAAACCCAUGCUUGCUGGAAUCACUUCAUGGAAUUCAUCAUGAGUGAUCGCAAGACGAUAAUAUAUCAUAUGGUCUUAAAACAUAGAUAUAUGGUUUAUUGUUUUCUAAUUGGUUGUGCAUUGAUAAUGCGUAAACACAUCAGUAACUUGAUGUUAUAAAACGCAUUGUUGUGUAUGAUUUGAUUAGUGGAUAGUAAAUGCAUAUAAGUCUAAGUUCAUCUGUUCCUUUUAUCCUAAUAGGUUAAAAGUGAUAUCAGGACCCCUUGAUGAUUUGAUUUGACUUAUGUGUCGGGCCCGGUCAGGACUGAAUUGAUGUGUUCAAUUACGUUCUAUGUCAAAUGAAUCAGAGAUUAAGAAACAAACUGUUGGAUAAUAAGUAUGACUAUGUUCCAUGUAAUUGUCCGCAUGAUAUCUAGAACAAAGGAUUAUACGAUCCCUUAUCUUAAGGACAAGUUACUGAUAAGAUCAAGAGUUUUGAGAACUGUGAUUGCUAAUCGAAUCCAGAAGUUGCAUUUGCAUUUAUAGUUAUUAUCAAGGUUGUAAAAAAUUCUCGACGUUAGCUAGUCGGUGGACUGGGGUUAAGAGAUUAAUCGGGUAGGCGGAGAUUAAUCGGGGGAUUAAUGGAGACCAUUAAUUGAUAAUUUGUUGAAUUUUAAAAAAUUGAAUAUGACUAAUAUCAUAUCAAAGUCCGUAAGUACCACUAAUAUCAUAACAAAAUAGGUUGAUAUGUUUAAUACAACAUUAAUCAUGCUUGAAAUAGUUUCUAUUGAGAUAAAACUUCUUAAAAAUGUUUAAAUUUCAUCGUUUUAUACAGUUUUACUCAUUAUUUAUGCAUGGAUUAAUCGCUAGGUGCCAUCUAGUUGGUUGAGUAAUGCCUAGGGAUUAAUCGGAGAUUAAUCGGGACCUAGUCAUGAUUUUUACAAUAAUGGUUAUUAGACUUAUCCAAGUAGGGGAAUGUUGGAUUAGUGUCCAAGUCCAUAACUAUAUUUGGUAUGUAUUUGACCCAGUUAUGCAUGGUCCUUUUAGGUUGCCUUCACCAAAGCAACUUGAUUGGAGGAAUAAUAUAGAAAGAGGUGAUUAUGGUUUAUUAAUAUAUUAUAAGAUUUAUAUAUUAAAGGAGAAAUCAUGUUUGUUUAAUUAACGUUGGUCAAUAAUUAAUUAAACAUUAGUUUUGUGAUCAAAAGAAGUUAAUUGAACUUAAGGGGCUGAACUGUAAUUAUGUGAUAGUUACAAAGUUAGGCAAGGAAACCUUAAUGGAUAGGGUGGACAAAUUCUGGGGAUAAUGCCUUAAGAAUUCGUCCAUGAUAGGGAUUCUAGAAUUAUCUUAUAGGCUGCUUGGUGGCUAAGUAACCAGAUAAGGAUAAUGACUGAAACCCUAAUUCAUACACCUAUAUAAAGGACCAUUGGGCAUGGGAAUUUCGGCCACUUGAACCCUAGAAGUCCUAGAGCUGAAAUUCUCCUCUCCCCUCUCUCUCUUGCUUCCUCCAAUUGCUAUUGGUGUUUGUGAUUCAUUAGAGGCACAACACUUAAGGUGCUAAAGUUUUCAAGGCUUCAAGAUCUUCAAUCAACAACAAGGUAAACAUCUAGAUCUACUUUGCUAUGUUAAUUUCGAUUAUAUACACUAGAUCUAGGGUUUGAAAGUCUUGGAUGAAUGCAUGUACAAUUAGAGAAACCUAGAUCCAAGCAUUAGGGUUUGCAGGAGCACAUAGGGUGUUCUUUUGGCUCAAACCCAUCACGCCCAAUGUACGUAGGGACCUCCUUUACAAAUAAGUUUCAUUCCAAGGGUUAAAAGGGUAAAUACCUACAUUCCGAAUGUUACAUAUAGAUAGUAAAAUACUUGAUUCUACCCUAAGCCCUUCAUCAAACAAGAAAAUGAAAUAAAGCUAAACAAAAAUUCUCAAGCUAUACAAUCUUAGUUAUGUACAACUACGAUGCAUACACUAAGCAACUACAAUAAUGACGCUAAUUAUAUAUAAGAAGUAAUCCUAGGGUAUCAAGCAUCCUAUAUCAGGAAAUCCUUUCAUGUAAUUCCUGAAGAUCCCUAUCCUACCACUAGCAUGAUGUUAUAUCAUGAAAAACAUAUCAAGUAACCGUGUGGGUAACUUUGGGUAAAUUUUCUUGCUCUGGCUGAUCAUACACAUCGCAUCAUUCCUUGGUUACUUUUGAAAACAAUUUUUGAAAACCAUUAAAAGAAAACUUUACAGCUUCCUAGUUUGAGUUUGGAUUCACACGAAUGUUCAUCCAGUUCUCUCAAACCGAGGCUCUGUUACAAACUUGUAACACUCCAAAUAUCAUAGAAAAUUAAAAAUUUUAAAUUUCAACCAUUAACCAACAUUUUUUACAAAAAGAGUCAUUGCUUCAAAAGUAUUAUUCAAAAUCAUAGUUUUUCCUAAGACCUAAUAACACAAAAUAGGAAGAUGUGCACGAUCACGCCUUCUCCUUCCUACGAUCAUCCGAAGUACCUAAAACAAUAAACUGAAAUUGUAAGCCAAAGCUUAGUGAGUUCCUCCAAAGUACCAUCAUGGAACAUAUAAAAUACAUAGAUUAACAUGUUGGGUCCAUAACCUCCCAGUUGGAUUACCUUGGCUCACAACCUCCCUGUUGGAUUGCCCUGCAUACCACAUACUGGGUCCACUACCUACCGACUGGGUUGACUUAGAUGGUUUGUGGAGUUUGGCCUAUUUUGACCCAAGGAUAUUUUGGAUAAGUUGGUAGUUAUUUAAGUCGACCAAUAUUUUGGGAUAAUAGGUGUCGAGUAGAGCCGGUUGUCAGGGAAGAGAUUUAUUCAGCUUAUGUUCAGACUGAGAGGUGAGUUUUCCUCACUGUACUUACGGGUCGAAGGCACCAAGGCCGACCCAACGAAUUGAUAUCCUGUCUAUACUGAUUGAAGAUAUGUUGAGUAUGCGAUAGAUCUGAAUGAUUAUAUGAUAGUUAUGAUAUACGUUAGACUGGUAGAUCUAUAGGGCUACCUAUGAUUAUUGGUUGUAUAAUCAUCUGUAUGUUGUAUAUAUAUUAUAUGUUAUAUGCCGACAUGUUACAUUGGGGUUGAGACUACUGCUUUGUGUCGUCAGUCAACAGACCAUGUCAAUCCAAUUGGGAUGUUGUGGGCUAGGGUAAUUCAACCAGGAGGUUGUGGACACAAUAUGCUAAUCUGUGUAUUUUAUAUGUUGCAUGAUGGUACUUUGGUGGAACUCACUAAACUUUGUGUUAUAGUUUCAGUUUAUUUUCAGGUACUUCUGAUGAUCGCGGUACGAUGAAGGUGUGGUCAUGCACAUCUUCCUGUUUUGUGUUAUUGGGUCUUGGUGAAAACUCUGAAAGUCAUGACACACUUCAAAUUGAAGUAUUUCGAUGGUACAAUCAAAAUCUCUAUUGGAUAAAAUUUAGUGACAACAACAGAGAAUUAAAAGGUUACGAUUCUUGUGUGUACCAUAUUCAAAUACCCAAAAAGGGAUAUAACUCCUUGUUCGAAAUAAAGCUAAACCAAAAAUUCUCAAGCUAUAGAAUCUUAGUUAUGUACAACUAUGAUGCAUACACUAAGCAACUACAAUAAUGAUGCCAAUUCUAUAUAAGAAGUAAUCUUAGGGUAUCAAGCAUCAUAUAUCAAGAAAUUCUAUCAUGUAAUUCCUGAAGAUCCCUAGCCUACCACUAGCAUAUUGUUCUAUCGUGAAAAACAUAUCAAAUAAUAGUGUGGUUAACUUGGGGUAUACUUUCUUACUCCGGCUGAUCGUACACAUAUCAUCAUUCUUUGGUUACUUUUGAAAACCAUUAAAAAAACUUUUACAGCUCCCUAGUUUGAGUUUGGAUUCACACGAAUGUUCAUCCAAUUCGCUCAAACCAAGGCUCUAAUACCAACUUGUAACACUCCAAAUAUCAUAGAAAAUUAAAAAUUAAAAAUUUCAACCAUUAACCAACAUUGUUUACAAAAAGAGUCAUUGCUUCAAAAGUAUUAUUCAAAAUAAUAGUUUUUCCCAAGACCCAAUAAUACAAAGCAGGAAGAUGUGCACGAUCAUGCCUUCGCCUUCCCGCGAUCAUCAGAAGUACCUGAAACAAUAAACAGAAACUGUAAGCCGAAGCUUAGUGAGUUCCCCCAAAGUACCAUAAUGCAACAUUUAAAAUACAUAGAUUAACAAAAUGGGUCCACAACCUCCCAUUUGGAUUACCUUGGCCCACAACCUCCCCGUUGGAUUGCCUUGCAUACUACAUACUGGGUCCAUAACCUUCCGACUAGGUUGACUUGGCUAGUUUGUGGAGUUUGACCUAUUUUGACCAAAGGAUAUUUUGGAUAAUUUGGUAGUAAUUUAAGUCGGGCAAUAUUUUUGGAUAAUAGUUGUUGAGUAGAGUCGGUUUUCGGGGAAGAGAUUUAUUCAGCUUGUCUUCUUACUCAGAGGUGAGUUUUCCUCACUGUACUUAUAGGCCAAAGGCACCAAGGCCGACCCAAUGGAUUGAUAUCCUGUUAGGUACUGAUUGAUGAUUUGUUGAGUAUGCGAUAGAUCUGUAUGAUUAUAUGAUAGUUAUUGAUAUACGUUAGACAUGUAGAUCUAUAGGGCUACCUGUGAUUAUUGGUUGUAUAAUCAUAUGUCUAUUGUAUGUAUAUUAUAUGUUAUAUGUCAACAUGUUACGUUAGGGUUGAGACUACUACUUUGUGUCGUCAGUCAACAGACCAUGAGAAUCUAACCGGGAGGUUGUGAGCCAGAGUAACCCAGCCGGGAGGUUGUGGGCCCAACAUGCCAAUCUAGGUGUUUUAUAUGUUGCAUGAUGGUACUUUGGAGGAACUCACUAAGCUUUGGCUUACAAUUUCAGUUUAUCGUUUCAGGUACUUGUGAUGAUCGCAGGACGGUGAAGGUGUGAUCAUGCACAUCUUCCUGUUUUGUGUUAUUGAGACUUAGGAAAAACUCUGAUUGUGAAUAAUACUUUUGAAGCAAUGAAUCUUUUUGUAAACAAUGUUGGUUAAUGGUUGGAAUUUUUUUUUUUUUUUAAAUUUUUAUGAUUUUUGGAGUGUUACAUUGGUUUUGUCUUAUAACUGAUCCAAACCCCCACACACCCUUGUUAAUCAUCAAAGAAGAAUCCAAUUAGAACUAAUUCUAUUCAACAAUAACAACCAUAGGGUGUUAGAAAUCCAUUACCUCAAAUGUAGGGAUCUUUUGAUGUCUAAGAACAUUAAUCAAGAUAAAUUAAUAAGGAUAUUCAAUUAAACCAAAGGUCUUUUGGCCUAGCACUAUCAUAUGUUGGAAAAAUGACCCUUCCUAAUGUUAGAAAAACGGGUUAUUUCGAUUGCUUGGAUUCCACUGAAAGUCAUGAUACACUUUCAAAUUGAAGUAUUUCGGUGGUACAAUCAAAAUCUCAAUUGGAUAAAAUUUAGUGACAACAAUAGAGAAUGAAAAGGUUAUGAUUCUUGUGUGUACCAGAUUCAAAUGACCAAAAAGGGAUAUGACUCCUUGUCCGAAAACUGUCAUAUUAACAGUUACAAACUGCCACAAAGCUGUCACUAAACUUGUAACACCCCAAGUUCAGAAGUGCAAGUUCAGGGUUCUUGGUGUAAUUAAGGAAGAUCGACUCGGCGAGUCGAGUCGUGAUUUGGCCAUGUGCUAAGUGACUGACUCGGCGAGUAGGCAGCUAGACUCGACGAGUCAGUGCUGGAGUGAGAAACCCUAAUUCAUGGGGUUUGCACCCUAUAUAAGGAACCUUAAGUCCCACCCCAGCCUCUUUAGGACUCCCUCUGAUGUCCAGAAACUUUCCACAUCGAUUUCAAACCCUAAAUUGAGAGUGAGAGGGAUUUAAGUGUGUUUUGGAGCUUGAAGAAGAAGGAUACUUGAAGCAAGAGUUGGUGGGAUCAUAGAGGAGCGAAGUGGAUCUGAUUUCCUUGCUUCUUGGCAUCAGCAUCAAGGUAAAAAGUUGUUGCCUUGACUUUGUUGUGUUUAGAUGGUUCAUGAAUGAAGUUUUAGGGCCAAUUUAUCAUAUAUGAGCCUCUUUUCGAGUAUUGGGUUUAGAUCUGUGGUUGCUACUACAGAUCUAGACUGGUCCUGACUCAUGAAUCUGGAAAGUGAUAGCUUUGGGGCUUGAUUGAGAGUGUCCUUGCCUUAAAACUUCACUUUAGCUUGAGUAGAGCUUGUUGAGCCUUGCAUGCACGUAAAGUUGGAAACUUUACAUGUAGAUCUUGCCCUAGGAGUCCAGAUCUAUGUAUUGAAAGCAAUAGUUUGGCCUGUGAUCAUCUGAAUGAAGGUAUUACGUAUGGACUCGGCGAGUCUGGGAGAUGACUUGACGAGUCGGACAAAAGAUUUGGAAUGAAUCGCGUAGUAACUCGGCGAGUCACAUGGGUGUACUCGACGAGUUGGAUGAAGAUAGGCAAGAACUCGACGAGUUGGAAGAACAACUCGACGAGUCUAUUGAAGAUUGCCUUGGGCUCAACGAGUCUGUUCUUGGACUCGGCGAGUCUGGUCGAGGAGUCCUAACCUUUUCUGGUUAAGUCGUGAAUCGGUGAGUCGAAGGAUGACUCGGUGAGUUGAGCAUGAAGGGACUCAGAGUUUGUUGGACUCGGCGAGUCUUGGGGCAACUCGACGAGUUGAGUCGUAAUAUGAGAGUUUUGAGUAUGGGAACUCGAAGAGUCAACGAGUUGACUCGGCGAGUAGGGUCAACCAGGAAGGUUGACCUUGACUGAGGACUUGGACUUUAACCAAGGGUUGACCAGUUGACUUCCGGGGGUAUUUUGGUAAUUAUUGGUAUUUAUUGAUUUGGUUUUUGGUAAUGAUCAGUGGCGGAGUUCGUGCUGGUGGUUGGAGCAGCGUGAUCUUAUUCUUCAGUCGGCAGUGACAGUUGAGUUAUCCUCACUAUACUGACAGGGUCUACGGCACCAAGGCCGACCCUCCAUCGGAUGGAAAUCCGGGUAUUGUUGUUAUGUUAUUGCUAUAUGGAGAUCCUUGUUGAUGGAAAGGCGGCCGACGAACGCUCGGUGGACUCUAUAUCCUCAAGGAAUCAAUUUGGAACCCGGAAAAUCAUAUUUAUUUAGGAAUGUAGCAUAUGGUUUUAGAGGUUGUCCUAAAUGGGAGGAUGUGGAUACGGUUAGUUAAGUUUAAUAAUUAUUAUUUUAUAUAUAUAAUAUUACUGAAAUUACUAGUAUUUAAUUUAUAUUUUUUUUGCAGGUUAUAUCUGUAAUAAAUGUUGUGCAUACCCAUUGGUUUUUGGUGGUUCUACAUUUAGAUACCUGGAAAGUAGAAAUUUUUGAUUCAGCACAAGUUGCGGGUUACUUCUCAACAUACAACACUAAUGGAGAAUUCAAAAGUUUUGGAGAUAGUAUUAUCUCAGAGUUGGAUGCCAUUGAUUACUGGAGCCAUUUCCCCCAUUGGACACAGAGACAAGCAAAGGUCGAGUUUUUUGAUGUUUNGACACAGAGACAAAGCAAAGGUCGAGUUUGUUGAUGUUGUAGACGCCCCACAACAAGAAUAUAGUCUUGAAAGAGGGGAUUGUGGAGUAUUUGUAUGCAUGUUUAUGGAAAUGAUUGUUUCUGGGGGUACCAGUGGCGAUUUCAAGGACAUGUAGAGAAGCUGCAUUUCUCUAUAGAAAUAAGAUGGCAAAUGUUAUUUGGGAUACUAUAUAAGUUGAUAUUAGGAACUUUGUAUAUAUAUUAAUAUUAAAUACUUGUUUCUAGUAUGUAAUCGUGUCACUUCUGGUAGUAUGUAAUCUUGUAAUUAUCUUUUAUAUUUUUUAAACAUAAUUCACCAAAAAAUGUUACGAAACCAUACAUUCAAACAAAAUAAACAUUACAAAUAACAUGAAUACAUUACAAUAGAGUCGUCUACAUAAAAAUAAGGUUUCUUACGACUAACAAACAUUAGAUAAAACAUUGGAAAUAAAAUACUCAUCUACUUGAAAAAAACUUUAUCUUUUACCAGAUUCCAAACGUCCGUAUACUCGAAAUCAUGUCCAUCAAACUUGCAUAGGUAAUAUCCAUUCACAUCUUCAAGAAGUUCUUCAUUAUCUGCUUGAGAGCGUCGCAUUUUCUCAGGAUUGUAGCAUCGAUUGAACCAUGUGACCUUAAACUUUAAAUCCAUCCAUUUACUAACAAUAGCAGGUUUUAGUCGUUCGUGUCCUUGCCCGACUUGAUAGUUGAACAAAGCUAUGAGGCGGGACCAUUCAUCACCUACAAGGCAAUUCAGGGGAGCCAUCACUGGUAGACCCUCGUAAAUGGUAAUCCAACUUUGUAUUAGGACCAACAACUCUGUUGGCGUCCAUGGAGAUGUACAAUUUGUUGGAGAGGCUGCAUUAGAUGGAUUUGUUGCAUUCGAAGAACUUGGUACAUUGGACGCCAUUUCUUAAUUGAUCUACUAUCAACUAAAGAAUUGAAUUUCGUAUAGACACUACGUUUAAUAUAUGUACAAACAUAUGUUAUACAAAGAUAUGUCAGUAACGCGGACUGACGAGCCAGUAACGCGGACUUACGAGCCAGUAACGUGGACUGACAACGAUUAAUAUAUAUAAAUAGUUUCUUAAUGCGGACUGACGAGUCAGUAACGCGGACUUACGAGUCAGUAACGCGGACUGACAACGAUUAACAUAUAUAAAAAGUUUCUUAACGCGGACUAACGAGUCAGUAACGCGGUCUUACGAGUCAGUAACACGGACUGAAAACGAUUAAUAUAUAUCAAAAGUUUCUUAACGCGGACUGAUGAGUCAGUAACACGGACUAACAAUUACUAGACAAAACAGUUUUGCGGACUGACAAGACAGAAACACGGAUUGACAAGUCAGUAACGCGGAGUGAUCAUUGGCUUUGCGGACUCACAAGUCAGUAACGCGGACUGACAACGAAGUAACACGGACUAACAACCCCGUAACGCGGAUUGAGAACGCAGUAACGCGGACUAACAAGUCUAUAUAAAACGACAAACAACAAUGUAUCACUUCAUCUAAGGUAUUUUAGUUCAUGUGCUUUGUAUGUUUUACAANUUCAUGUGCUUGUAUGUUUUACAAUGGGUUCAAACCAAUGGACCGCUAACGAGUAUUUCCUUCUAGCUCGUGCAUAUAUUAAUGUCAAAGAGAACACCAGUUUGGAGGAUAUAAUGUUUUUCUCCCAACUAACGAAUACCUUCAACACUGACGCUGAAACCACCAUACAAAACCAUCGCAACACGCUUGAUAUAGCUACAAAAUGGUAUGAAUUGAAAACGGAAGUUGUGUUAUUAAACGAUCUUUAUAAUAAGAUUGAAGAUGAUCAUGUCAAUGAUACUGAGGAAGAGAUCUUGGAGGUGUCUAAAGAAGAAUACAAAUCCAUUAGCAACGGACAGAGUUUCGAGUUUGAAGCCCCUUGGAAUCUUUUGAAAAAUGUACCGUUUUUUUAAGUAGAACUGCAUUUUGUAUUGUUCUUGUAUUUCUUUAUUUAAAUGUAAUAUGGUAUUUAUCCUUUAUUUUAAAAAAAAAUAUUUGACCAACAAAUGUUACAAAACCAUACAUUCAAAAAACAUUAUCUGACAAACAGCUUACGCGGACUGACAAAUAAGCUACGCGUAAUGACAACACAUUUACGCGGACUGACAAGUAAGUUCUGCGGAAUAAUGUAUACUAAUUCCUUAUAAAUUUUGACAACCAUGACGAAAAUUUACAAGGUGUCGAAAGUUGUGAAAAUGAGUUCAGUCAAUCAGGUAUUAAGGAAAAGUUUCUCCAGCCUACCGACUUUUUUCCAUAAGCUGCAAAGAAGCAAUCCUACCACCUUCACGUACAUUACGAAGGAUCGGUACAAUCGUUUCCAAAUUUGUUUCGUGGCAUUGGGAUGCGUGGUAUGUAAUCCCUUAUAGUAAAUAAAUAUUUAGUUAUUUCAAGUUGGUAUAUGCCUAAUAUUCUUAUGUUGACUUACAGAUUCGUACAUUUCUCACGUCUAUGAUAUCAAUCAUAUUCGUUGGUCAAGUACCUCUAAUUGGGGCAUAUGUAACAUCCAUGUACAUUGCUUUUGCUUUAGAUGGAAAUCAUGAACCCCUUCUCAUAGUGUUUGCCUUGGGAACCAUAAAUUGUGACAAUUCAUGGUUAUGGUUCAUAAGGAGGCUUAAAGACUGUUUAGGUGACAAUACAUAAUUUGGUUUCAUAAGCCAUAUGUCUGAUUCUAUGGACUUUGCAGUCCACAGAGUCUACCCUGAUUCAUAUCAUGGCUAUUGUUGUAAAAAUAUAGCCAAGAAAAUACGCGCUUCCAUCGGAACCAAUACAGUCGUAGAACAGUGGUUCUGUAAGACGUGUAAAGCAUAUAAUUUAUCUCAAUUUUAUGCAUGUUUGAACAAUUUAAAAAAUGAGGUAAAUGGGAAUGAUCUUCAUUGGCUUGACAAUAUUCCCAUUGCAAAAUGGGUACGGGCUUGUUUUCCAAGAGUAAGUUUCAAUGUUAAAUUCAUUGACAUUCCCGAUGUUUUCAAUUGGUUUAAAACAAACACGCAUGAGUUUCCAAUAACAACAAUCAUUGAAAUGGUUCAUGACUCGAUGUAAGAAGUUUAUCUUCGACGUGCUGUUUUUGGAGGUAAUUAUAAGUUAUGACAUCAUUAAAACGGUGAAUUGAUAUGUUUAUUAUACGUUAUGACCUUAUAAUUUUUUUUAUUGAUUCAGUUGAUUUCACAGGGGAUAUCCAUAAUCUUCUAACCCCUUAUGCACUUAAGGUGAUUCAUAAAAGAUUUAUCCACUCGGAUGGUUGUAGGAUUACGCAUAUUGUUGGCGAUAGAUAUGAAGUGACUAAGUAUUCAACAACCGAAUAUGUACAACUAGACCGUGGUAUUUGUAGUUGCGGUAAAUGGCAAAAAUGCGGUAUACCUUGUGAGCAUGCUAUAGCUUCACUACACAGACUCGAAAUUGCAGAAAUCCAUCAAAUGGUAAAUUUAAAGUUAAGUACAGCGGUGUAUCGAAAUGCUUAUCAAACUGAGACGGUCUAUCCUAUUCCAACCCUUAGGCAUUGGGAAAAACCAGUCGAAAGUGUUGUGGUCUUACCUCCACGCCAAUUCAAUUGAACUUUAUUGUAUGGAUCACAACGAAUAUUAGUUUUUAUUCAGUUCUAUGUUAACCGUACUUGUAAUGGUUUGUUGGCAUUCUUUACUUUUUAAUAAAAAAAAUGUUUACCUUUAAAUAAAUAAUUGUAUUUUCAUAAUUGUAAUAUGUAUGCAUGACAACGACUAGACAAAAAAACUAUGCGAACUGACAAACGCAGUAACGCGGACUGACAAAAACCUCUACGGACUAACAACAGCUCUCUGCAGAGUGGAAGGGACUAUAUAUAGUCAUGGAUGGUCGUCGGAUUUUUCGUAUAGAGUUAUAAUUUUUUAAAUUUAAAAUGACUUCAUCUUCAUCUUUGUAUAUUUGCUCGUGCAACGAAGUUGAUUGUUUCUAUUGUGAUCCGAUCGACCCUUUUCUUGCACCAUCACCAAAUUUAAGAGAGUCAUAUAUGUCGGAGGAUACUUUGCAACAACUACAAUGGGCUGAAGAACAACAAAAAAAAAGAUAAAGACUCGUCUCGGGCUCUCACUGAACGACGUGACCUCAUUGCGGCGGAGUGCAAAGAUGUUGAGGAAAGGAUGACGAUUACAAAAAAAAAUCAAAAAUCAUGGGGAAUGGAAAAAAAAACNCUAAGAAGAAUCUCAAACUGUCUGAAAAAUGGCUUGCUGACAAGGAUGCAGAAAUGAUAGAACUUGGUAGGCAAAAGGACCGUAUGGAAGAUAAAAUAAGAAUAAGGGACGACUACAUAACAAUGGAGAAAGAAAAGUAUCCUUUGCAAUUCCCUUAAGUUAAUUACCGUUGUUGUACGUUUACUAUAUGUUUCUAGUUUGUUGAAUGUAUUAACUUCGAGUAUUAGUUAUUAUUCUACUAGUAAUUAUGCAGUAAUAUAAUCAUAAUAUUACCCAUCAUCUUUAAAAUAAACACACCAGCUCAAAGUAGACAAAUUAAUGUCCUCUAAAACAAAACAUAAUUAAUUAUAAAUACAACAUCAAUCAUUCAAAUCAAACGUUGAACAAUAGUCUUCUCUCUACGUCCCACUCGUCCAACGCGUGUCUUGUGUCCCGUGCGUCUCUAGCGUCUCCUGAGUCCCUUCUGUCCCUUUCCCUUUUCCUUUUGUGUUACUACUUGAUGUCGUAUUAGUUUUUCUAGCCUUUUUUUGUUUCUUUGGGACCAAUGUCGGACAAGUCGCUGCAUUAUGUGUUGUACUAUCACAUCUACUACACCUUCUUAUUAUAGGUUCCUCACCUUGUGACGGAAUACGAUUUCUGUUUCUCGGUCUACCAGCUUGACGUGUAUCCAUUAUCGGGGGUUUCACAACCAUCAUGUUAGCAGGAAUCUCCCAAUCACACGGUUCUGGAAGGGGGUAAACCGGCUCCUCAUACGUACUUCGGUAUGUUUCCAUUUUGUAAGCAUCUAUAGCCAGAUGUCCGAAGUUAGUUUUUUUCAAGUGCUUCAAGACCAUUAUCACAUGACCACAAGGCAACCCAGUUCCUUCCCAAUAUUUGCAUGUACAAGUCUCUUGCCUCAGAUCAACUAUGCCACCAUGUUUGAAAUCAUGAACUUCAUAAAGUGCAUCUGAAACACCAGAAAUGGACCAUCCUGUCGUACGCUCUUCAUUUUUACUAACUACUUUUUCAGCCCACUCGGUUAGCACUGUUGAACGUUUCCCUAUAAAGAAGAUAUAUAUAAUUAACUAAUUAUUCGACCUAAUUAAAGACAAAAUAAAAUUCAUACCUCCUUCGAUGCGACGCUUGUAACACCAUUCCUGUGAAAGACGUCGGAAGAACUCAAGAAGGGGUAUUAUAGGCAUCUUCCUUGCAUCUACAGAUAAAGCAUUCAUGAACUCUGCACUGUUCGAGGUCAUGUAAUCGUAACGUUUCGAUGGCGAAUAUGCUCUAGUCCAUUUAACACAGGGAAUUUCACUUAGAUACGCUGCUACUUGCGGCCUAGUAGAACUAAAUAUAUACCACAAUUCUUCAAAAACAUUUCUUUUGUAAGCUUUCACAAGCCUCCAAAACAACCCUUUUGUUUUAUCAUUUUUCCCAAACUUGUGUACUAUGUUUCCUAGUGUGACAUCCCCAAAAUCUUGGCCAGAAAAGACCGAUUUCAUUGAUGCUUUUUAAAAUAAUUUCAGAGUAAAUCCUUUUGAUUUUAAAAGAGAUGCGGAAUUUGUUCCCAAAAACAAAACAUGAUAAAAUAGAUCUUUUAUCAAAACAUUUCAUAAAGAAAUAUAAUUUCAUUUCAUAAUCAAAACCGGGAUGUCAUGUUCCGAUACAGACCAUAAAGCAUAAACGAUAACAUUACAAGUCAUUCAACAAAUAUUAUACAUAUGCAGACUUGUAAACAAAACAACUUGAUGAUUCAUCCAUCUUAUGCCCUUACGCCACUUCCUGUAAUACAAGUAAACUGAGUGGGUCAGGCUUGGGAGCCUGGUGAGCAUAUAGGGUUUUCAACCCACAAUAAAUAAUUAUAUUUAAUUCAACAAUCAACAAUAACCCGAUUACCCAUUCCCGUUUUCCUUACUUUACGUCCCUAAAACAACAUCUAUUAUAAGGGACCUAAUCUAGGAGUUUCAUCGGGACAAACAUUACUGCAAAGGGGCUUCCUUAGCAAUAAAUAUCCUAAAGGCAACCAUGAGGGGGAUAUAGUUCACCGGUGAACACGUCGUUCACAAGACCUACAGGUUAUGAGCCUACUAGUGUUCCACAGGACUGUCUAGAAUAGUCCGUGGUCGUCAUCCAUACUCUGCUGAAUGACUAGAAUAACACCAACAACAUCGAGGCCUCUCAUCUGUUUAUUACACACCAACUAUCUACCCAUGUUCUACCCAACAUAUUAGUAGAUAAAAAUAUACAUUUGUAUACAUAGUUUAAAACCUGUAUAGCAUGCUCAAUCAAUACAUUUUUCCACAUAACAGAUGAGGUACACACACAUAACACGUAUUUCAUAGAGAAUAAAUCAGAUCUAUGAGAUAGAAGAAAGUGAAUAUACAUCCACACAUAUAGUCAACAAAGUAUACACGUAACACGUAUUUCGUAUAAAAUACUUCAUAAUAAUGUGUUAGAAGAAAAUGACUACACACUCACUUGAUCAGAAGAUGAUCGGGCAACACUACGACUUGUAGAAGUAGUGUUUCUCCGUAGAUCUGGAAGAUCUUCACAUAAACCGGGCUCCUCGCGGGCAGGUCUUCGGCUCUGAAAUCUCACUUCUCGGGAUUCUCGGGACUUCGGAUCUUGCUUCGGGGCUCGCGAAUAAUAUUGGGGCUUCGGGGUAUGAUUGGCAAGCAAAUCGAGGCAAAAACUAGAGAGAAGAAAGAGUUUGAACUAGAGAAAAUGGUUGAUCUCGCAUUCUAUUUAUAGGCUGCUGGGUCUAGGAUUAUGCCGGGCGUAAUUUCCAGGUACGCUGGGCGUACUAAGUACACUGGGCGUAAUUAGGUUACGUUGGGCGUACUUUGACGUCACUGCAUGCGUCAAUUGGUGGCACUCGAGUAUUGGUCAGACAAGUUGCACCCCUCUGAGUACGCUGGGCGUACUCAAAUUACGCUGGGCGUAAUUUGACUCGUCAAACUUCUAAAUUGCGUAACUUUGGCAUACGAGCUCCGUUUUCGACGUUCUUUAUAUCAACGCGUAGGUUAGACCAUACUCUACAACUUUCAUUUAGACUCAAUUUUUACUUUUAUUUUUAUUAUUUAUUUUUAGUAGGCCGGGACAGGAAAACUUCGUUAUAAAUUCAUAACUUCUUCGUUCGACGUCCGUUCUCGCCUAACUUUUCAUCGUUUCACUACUAACAACGAGAUAUUCGAUUCUCGUUUAGAUUGUUCUGGCUAAAAACCGCUCGAUCUCAAAUCGAGUAUUCGGGCUGCAUACUGCCAAGUCGAAACUUCAGANGAAAAUCAUAUUCCUCAUACGAAGUCAGAUUUGGGCGUUCUAUAUAUAUUUAGAAACCUAGUUUCAACUACUACAACAUUAUCCAAAGAUAUCGAGUUUAUUUUACACUUCAUUUUGACGCUAAUUUUUAUUCUUAAUUCAAUUAAAUUAUAAUAAUUAAGAAAACACACACAUAAUUCACAUAAUUCACAAAUAAUACAUUUUUAUUAUUUCAGAUUGGGUUACAAAGGUUAACCUAGACUAUUACAUUGCUAAAAAUGGCAAGCCCAUAAUCACGGGCGUUACAAUUUUCUCCACCUUAGAAUGAUUCCGUCCCUGGAAUCACACAUCAACAAAUAAAUGCGGAUAGCGACCCAUCAUGUCACUCUCCGUCUCCCAGGUGAGAUACGACCCAUUCGUGUGUUUCCAACGGACAAGCACUAACUCAACCAUCUUACGUCGCAAUUUCUUAGUCUUCCGGUCAACGAUUGCUUCUGGUUCUUCAAUCAAUCUUUUGUUUUCAUCAAUUAUUAACUCUGAAAGUGGAAUCAUGUCGGGAACUUCUCCCGUGAACUUCCUCAAGUAACACAUAUGAAAAGUGUUAUGAAUUCCAUUCAGUUCUUCGAGUAGUUCGAGCUUGUAAGCUUGGUUCCUAAUUCUCUGAAGAACUUUAAACGGUCCAAUAAACCUUGGACUUAACUUUCCCCUUUUACCACAUCUUAUAAGUCCCUUCCACGGCGAGACUUUAAGCAAAACCGAAUCUCCAACUUCAAAAGUCAUCGGUCUUCGCUUUUUGUCAGCAUAGCUCUUUUGACGGUCGUGAGCUGCUAACAUUCUUUCCCUAAUUAUUUUCAACUUUUCAGCCGUUUGAUGGACUAUCUCUGGUCCCAUAAACUGCUUUUCCCCAGCCUCAAGCCAACAAGACUGCGUACGACACUUCUGUCCGUACAAAGCUUGAUAAGGUGCCAUCUUAAUGCUCGAGUGGAAACUAUUAUUAUAGGAAAAUUCUACCAAUGGUAAAUGUUCAUCCCAAUUACCUAGGAAUUCCAAGGUACAUGCUCUCAGCAUAUCUUCAAGUGUUUGUAUCGUUCUUUCACUCUGACCAUCAGUCUGCGGAUGGUAAGCUGUGCUUAAACACAACUUGGUACCCAAUUCCUCUUGUAGACUUUUCCAAAACCGUGAGGUGAAACGACUAUCACGAUCCGACACAAUUGUUAACGGAACACCGUGAAGCCUCACAAUUUCCUUCACGUAAGAAUUCGCAAGCUUUUCCAUAGACCAUUUCUCAUUGGCUGCUAUGAAAUGCGCACUCUUAGUGAAUCGAUCAACGACCACCCAAAUCAUGUCGUGACCAUUCUUUGUUCUGGGCAGUUUAGUGACAAAAUCCAUAGCAAUGUCUUCCCACUUACCCAUAGGCACAGGCAAUGGUUCUAAACUCCCGUACGGUUUCUGAUGUUGUGUCUUGACUCUCGCACAAGUCACACACUCGGCCACAUACUUUGCAACAUCAAGCUUCAUCGUCGGCCACCAGUAGUAGGGUUUCAGGUCCCUAUACAUUUUAGUGCUACCCGGAUGAAUCGAGUACAUGGUCUUGUGAGCUUCUUCCAUCAGAAGAUCUCUGACUCCUCCUGUCUUAGGUAUCCAAAUCCGAUCUUGGAACACCUUCAGUCCAUGACUGUUUACACCGAACACCAACGUUUUGCCCAAACGUUCCUCCUUUCUGUCAUUCUUCUCAGAAGCUUCGCUCUGAGCUUUCUUUAUACUUUCCAAAAUAGUUGAGACAACUUCAAUUCUCAACGCUCUUGGCCUUUUCCUUUCGGGAUUGACUUUCCGACUGAGAGCAUCAGCAACAACAUUAGCUUUACCGGGGUGGUAAAGUAUCUCGCAGUCAUAGUCUUUAAGUAAUUCUAGCCAGCGUCGUUGCCUCAUAUUCAAUUCUUUCUGAUUAAAGAGGUAUUGGAGACUCUUAUGAUCAGUGAAAAGUUUGCACUUCGUGCCAUAGAGGUAAUGCCUCCAUAUUUUCAGAGCGAAAACUACCGCUGCCAACUCCAAAUCAUGAGUCGGGUAAUUCUUUUCAUGCUCUUUCAGCUGUCGAGACGCAUAUGCUAUCACCUUUUCUCUUUGGGUCAAAACACAACCCAAUCCAACACCAGACGCAUCGCUAUAAACAGCGAAGUCUUCAACUCCAUCGGGUAGAGAAAGUAUCGGUGCCUCGCAUAGCUUCUUCUUUAACUUCUCGAAUGCUUCUUUAUGCUUCUCACUCCAAGCAUAAGUAGCUCCUUUGUGGGUCAAAGCUGUCAAUGGAGUAGCAAUCGAAGAAAAGCCUUGGAUAAACCUUCAAUAAUAUCCGGCUAAUCCCAAAAAGCUUCGAAUCUCCGUGGGACUUUUCGGUUGUUCCCACUUCAUCACAGCUUCGAUCUUCGCUGGAUCAACCAUUAUCCCUUCUUGGUUGACCACGUGACCCAAGAAUUGUACUUCUCGAAUCCAAAAAUCACAUCUGGAGAACUUUGCAUACAACUUAUCCUUCUUUAAAACUUCUAACACUUCUCGCAAGUGUCUGCCAUGCUCCUCCUGGCUUUUCGAGUAAAUCAGAAUGUCGUCUAUGAACACUAUNGAACGGAUUACAAACCCUGUUCAUUAAAUCCAUGAAUGCUGCUGGAGCAUUGGUUAGUCCAAACGACAUAACCAAAAACUCGUAGUGCCCAUAUCAUGUUCUGAAUGCAGUCUUCUCUAUAUCCUGCUCUCUUACUUUUAGCUGAUGAUAUCCUGACCUCAGGUCGAUUUUUGAAAAAUAACUUGAACCUUGUAGUUGAUCGAACAGGUCAUCAAUCCUCGGCAACGAAUAUCUAUUCUUUAUUGUUGCCUUGUUCAGUUCUCUGUAAUCGAUGCACAUCCUCAUACUUCCAUAUUUCUUUUGACGAAUAACAUCGGAGCUCCCCAGGCCGAUGAACUAGGUCUUAUGAAACCUUUGUCCAAUAACUCCUGAAGUUGCAUCAUCCGCUCCUUCAUCUCCAUCGGUGCUAGUCGGUAAGGUGCUUUUGCUAUAGGCGUCGUUCCCGGCAACAAGUCGAUACGAAAUUCUACUUGUCGAUCAGAAGGUAAUCCAGGAAGAUCUUCGGGAAAUACUUCCGGAUAAUCACAUACGACAGGAAUAUUCUGCAUCACCUUUUUUUCCUUCUUAGCAUCGAUCACGAAUGCUAAAUAUGAUGUACACCCCUUGGUCAAACAUUUUCUGGCUUUCAUUAGAGAAAUGAUUCCAGAAUUUACUCUGCGUUUAUCUCCAUACACCAUAAACGAUUCCUUCCCAGGCGGGUUCACUUUCACUAUUUUCUUCUUGCAUAAAAUUUCGGCAUCAUUGGCGCUAAGCCAAUCCAUUCCCAAAAUGAUGUCGAAACUGUUAAGUUCGAUAUAAAGGAGUAGUUUUCUACCAAAUUCAUGCGAUAUAAAGGAGUAGUUGGCUCCAGAAUCAAAUAAAAUUUGGGCAGACGAUUUGUUUACGAGAAAGGUACCUGAACGACAUCAGCUUCAUCUUUAGCAGCUUCCAGUGUCAUCUGGAAUGCUCUCGCCUUCGGCUUUGGCGAAAUGUUGGGUUUUGUUGCCUCCUUCUUCUUCGGACAAUCUCUUGAUAUGUGCCCUUCCUCACCACAACCAUAACAAACAUUCUUGGUGAGGGUGCAGUCGUUGGCAUAAUGCCCUGGCUUUCCACAUUUCAAGCAUGUGGCUUCCCCGCCGCACUUCCCAUGAUGCUUCUUCUUGCAUUUGUCGCACCAUUUCGCUUCGCCUCCUCCACCCCCUCUCGAACUAGACUUCGAGAAUUUACCCUUUUUGCUGGACCCUGAAGAUCCCUCGAACUUCCUCUUUUCACCAACCUCUGACCUUUCCAGACCUUUUUCCCUGAUCUGGGUCUCAACAUUUCUAGCAGCCCAGAUGGCGGCUUUCAAUGUGGUUGCUUGCUUAACCAUUAGACCAUAGUCCGCUGGUAGUCCAAGGGCAAACUUGUUGACCUUAGAGAGUUCUGUAGGCACCAAAUAUGGGAUAAACUUCAUCUUUUCUGUGAAACUUGCAGCGUAUUCAGUAACGCUCAAUUUCCCUUUCUUCAAAUUCUGAAACUCAUUACUGAUUUCCAGAAGGUCCUGCUCGGAGCAGUAUUGCAGUUUUAGUUGUUCCACAAAGUCUUCCCAAGACAUUUUGCUUGCUUCUCCCUUGGGCAUAGAGUCAGCUAACAGCUUCCACCAACUCAACACGCCAGAUUUUAGCAGAGGGAUCGCAAGAGCGGUCUUCUGCCUGUUGCUGCAUUCGCAACUUUCAAACAUAGUCUCCAUUUCGGAGAUCCAGUCCAUAACUUGCACCGGCGUCGGGCUUCCGGAUAGACAUGGUGGUUUGGAUGCCAUGAAAUCCUUAUACUUGCACCCACGACCAUCAUUUCCUCCAUACUGGUUAUUGCGUCUAACCACUGGUUGUUCGUCUUGACCAAUGAUCCCACUAAAGUUUUCUCCUUCAGACUGCCCUCCAUUCUCCUCGGGCUCUUCCGCUUGAAUUGACGGUUCUUCACGAUUCUGCCUAAGCAGGCGUCUUGUUUCUUCCAUCUGACGAUCCAACAUCAUUUGAAUCAUCAUUUGUACACCAGCCAUUGUUAUCGGCUCAGGUGCAUCAGCUACGACAGGUACUUGUUGAAUUACAGGCGGUUGAUUCCUGUUUUCAUCAGCAUUUCCAACUCCGCUUCUUGUUCUCACCAUUUUUGAUCUACACACCGAAUAAUUUCACCUUAUUACUCCAAACGAUUACAUGCUAGUUCUAAUAUCGUAUACAUACGCUUAGAAUCCUAAACACAUAAACCUUCAGAUCCGGUUGGCAACAAACCGUAGAUCCGAACAAAUAAUAUCAUAUAUGGCAACAUAUAACAUUUAGCACAUAAAAGCAUUUUAGGCAACUUUCCUAAAAUAAACUAGUGCUCGUGUCUAAAAUUUAUCAGACACACAUCUCACAAUCUCCACUUAGCAUACUAAGUUUAAGUCUAGAAAUCCUACAAAUUCCUAGUUCGCUUAAACUAAUGCUCUGAUACCAACUGUGACAUCCCCAAAAUCUCGGCCAGAAAAGACCGAUUUCAUUUAUGCUUUUUAAAACAAUUUCAGAGUAAAUCCUUUUGAUUUUAAAAGAGAUGCGGAAUUUGUUCCCAAAAACAAAACAUGAUAAAAUAGAUCUUUUAUCAAAACAUUUCAUAAAGAAAUAUAAUUUCAUUUCAUAAUCAAAAAUCGGGAUGUCAUGUUCCGAUACAGACCAUAAAGCAUAAACGAUAACAUUACAAGUCAUUCAACAAAUAUAUACAUAUACAGACUUGUAAACAAAACAACUUGAUGAUUCAUCCAUCUUAUGCCCUUGCGCCACUUCCUGUAAUACAAAUAAACUGAGUGGGUCAGGCUUGGGAGCCUGGUGAGCAUAUAGGGUUUUCAACCCACAAUAAAUAAUUAUAUUUAAUUCAACAAUCAACAAUAACCCGAUUACCCAUUCCCGUUUUCCUCACUUUACGUCCCUAAAACAACAUCUAUUAUAAGGGACCUAAUCUAGGAUUUUCAUCAGGACGGACAUUACUGCAAAGGGGCUUCCUUAGCAAUAAAUAUCCUAAAGGCAACCAUGAGGGGGAUAGAGUACACCGGUGAACACGUCGUUCACAACACCUACAGGUUAUGAGCCUGCUAGUGUUCCAUAGGACUGUCUAAAAUAGUCCGUGGUCGUCAUCCAUACUCUGUUGAAUGACUAGAAUAACACCAACAUCAAGGCCUCUCAUCUGUUUAUUACACACCAAUUAUCUACCCAUGUUCUACCCAACAUAUUAGUAGAUAAAAAUAUACAUUUUUAUACAAAGUUUAAAACCUGUAUAGCAUGCUCGAUCAAUACAUUUUUCCACAUAACAGAUGAGGUACACACACAUAACACGUAUUUCAUAGAGAAUAAAUCAGAUCUAUGAGAUAGAAGAAAGUGAAUAUACAUCCACACAUAUAGUCAACAAAGUAUACACGUAACACGUAUUUCGUAUAAAAUACUUCAUAAUAAUGUGUUAGAAGAAAAUGACUACACACUCACUUGAUCAGAAGAUGAUCGGGCAACACUACGACUUGUAGAAGUAGUGUUUCUCCGUAGAUCUGGAAGAUCUUCACAUAAACCGGGCUCCUCGCGGGCAGGUCUUCGGCUCUGAAAUCUCACUUCUCGGGAUUCUCGGGACUUCGGAUCUUGCUUCGGGGCUCGGGAAUAAUACCGGGACUUCGGGGUAUGAUUGGCACGCAAAUCGAGGCAAAAACUAGAGAGAAGAAAGAGUUUGAACAAGAGAAAAUGGUUGAUCUCGCAUUCUAUUUAUUGGCUGUUGGGUCUGGGAUUACGUUGGGCGUAAUUUCCAGGUACGCUGGGCGUACUCAAUACACUGGGCGUAAUUAGGUUACGUUGGGCGUACUUUGACGUCACUGCGUGCGUCAAUUGGUGGCACUCGAGUAUUGGUCAGACAAGUUGCACCCCUCUGAGUAUGCUGGACGUAAUUUGACUCAUCAAACUUCUAAAUUGCGUAACUUUCGCAUACGAGCUCUGUUUUCGACGUUCUUUAUAUCCACGCGUAGGUCAGACCAUACUCUACAACUUUCAUUUAGACUCCAUCGGCUAAUUUUGACUUUUAUUUUUAUUAUUUAUUUUUAGUAGGCCGGGACAGGAAAACUUCGUUAUAAAUUCAUAACUUCUUUGUCCGACGUCCGUUCUCGCCUAACUUUUUAUCGUUUCGCUACUAACAACGAGAUCUUCAAUUCUCAUUUAGAUUGUUUCGGCUAAAAACCGCUCGAUCUCAAAUCGAGUAUUUGGGCUGCAUACUGCCAAGUCGAAACUUCAGAAAAUCAUAACUUCCUCAUACGAAGUCAAAUUUGGGCGUUCUAUAUAUAUUCUGAAACCUCGUUUCAACUACUACAACAUUAUCCAAAGAUAUCGAGUUUAUUUUACACUUCAUUUUGAUGCUUAUUUUUAUUCUUAAUUCAAUUAAAUUAUAAUUAAGAAAACACACACAUAAUUCACAUAAUUCACAAAUAAUACAUUUUUAUUAUUUCAGAUUGCAUUACAAAGGUUAACCUAGACUAUUACAUUGCUAAAAAUGGCAAGCCCAGAAACACAGACGUUACACCUAGUAUAUGAAAAGCACACAAGCCAUGAUGAGCAUGUGGAAAAACAUUUUCAAUACUAACGCGAAUUGUAUCGGCCCUAUCAGUUACAAAAGUCAAUUCUUGACAAUCACUAACACAUUCAUACAACUUUUCAAGAAACCAUGUCCACGUAAGACCACUUUUUUUUUUCAUAUUCCGUGCGUAAGGGGCAGUAUCUGGUUGUUCCCAUCCAUAGCUACUCCAUGCAAUAUGGUUCCCUUAAAAGCACCCUUCAAAUGGGCACCAUCCAUAAUUAUAACUUUACGACAAAAACUUUUGAACGCUCGUAUCUGCAAUAUAUAAAAAUGGAACACAUAAACACUCUAUAAUUUGUUUACAAAAAUUAUAUAUUAAAUAACAACAAGUUUUUUGUAUUUACCGUGCUCCCAAUGGCAUAAAAACAACACUCGAAACAAUCUUCAGAAUCUGUUUGAAUAUACGCAACUGUACCGGGAUUAUGCCUCUUCAAAUUGUGAAAAUAAAUAGGAAGUUUGGCAAAACAUUCUUCAGAGGAUCCCAACAACAGUUUCAUAGCAUAUUGUUUUGCACGCCAAGCUUGUUUGUAAUCUACGUUGAUUUCCAGCAAAGCAUUCAAAUCCCUUGAUAUUUCAUUAGGCCUCCAAACCUUGGAACGAGUUUUUCCCAUAAUCUCAUGCAAUAUAGUACCCAUGACUUUUUUAUUAGCAUGCUUAUGAUUAGGGUGUAUCUGUAAUGACGAACAUGUGUACACGUUGUUGAAAGUCCUGAUUUCAAAUUCAUCAGUGAGAUCAAGGCGUUUUGCAUACAAACGCCAACUACAGUUCUCAAUUUCACAAUAUACCUCAUAACGAUUUUUGUUAGAAUGUUUGGUCUUAAACUGAAACUUUUCUCUUGUUGCUUUAAGAAUCAAUGCAAAAAUUAGUUGUUGUUUGUUGUCAUAUGUUUGACGAACAAACAUAUCAUCAUUUGGACCUAAACUGUGAAAUGGUCCGGGUUCAACAAUAGGAUCAGGACAAUCAGGUAUGGGAGACAUACCGUAAAAAAUGUCUGAAGCUUUUUUCCCGUAUGUGAACUCAUCUUCUGACCAUCCUUCAUUUGACUCUUCACUGUCUGAGAAAGUUUUGUUAGUCAAUCUUCUAAACCCAUAUAAAUUUUUUUCUUCAACCGUAUUCAGUGCCACCGUUUCUUCUUCUGGACAAUCUUCAACAUUAUCAGAUACAAUGUUAUCAACAUUGUAUGGUACAACUUUCUCAGCUGCUUCUGUCUGUUCGACCAAUCCCUGAAACACCUCUAAAUACAAAUGCACAAUCUCCUUCGUUUCAGAAAUUACAUUUCUGAGUUGAUUAACAUCUGCUUCAUCUAAAAUAUUCAUCACAUACCCAUGAACCGGGUGUUGAAAUGACAAUGAUAUAUUACUAUUGAACACCUUAGCCUUACUUUUGACCAAAUCAAACAAUAUUCGAAAAUCAAAAUUAGGCGGAGGCAGUAAACCCAAGUUGUUUAACUUUGGUCUAACGUAGGUGUUAAUCGCAUUACUUAUCUGCAAAAAACCUCCAGUACAUAAAAUAACAAAACUCAUAUUUGGUUUUGAAAAUCAAAUGAAAACGAACUGAUCUAUCGACCAAAAUAAAACAAACAUAUGAAAAAGAAACUUUUGUAUCAAAAAACUCUUCAAAAUCCGCUCCAACCACCCAUUCCACGGAGGCAUUACUCUCUCCGCAGAGACCCAUUCCGCGGAGCAUGAUUAAAAAGGCUAACAACCUAUUGUUCGACCACUUCGCAGAGAUGACUUCAUUCCGCGGAGGUCCGCGGAGGGUCCUCCGCGGAAUGCAUGUCUAUAGCUGGAAUUUUUUUUUUGUGUCUAAAUUUUUAAAUUUCCCCCUUUUUUCGUCUAUAGCCUAUAUUUUCUCUAAAUGAUUUACAUAUUGAAAGUUCAGAAACAAGUUAAAACUUAAACCCUAAAAGAGCGUACAAAUUUCAAUCGUCAACAUACCCCACCACAAAGGCACAAAUAAUCAAAGAAACAAAUGUAGAUGUAGAGGCCUUUUUCACCACAAUCACCCUUCAUCGGCCAUUUCGAAGGCCACGUGAAAUGUCACUAACGUGGCCCUAUAAAUAUCCACUACUUUGUCUUUAACCUUUCCCCCCUCUCAUAUAAAACCCUCCAUCCUCCUCCUUUACCACCAUCACCAACUACCUUCUCUCCUCCAUCAAAAGUAUCCCCAUCUUUUCCGACAUGGCUGCUUCUUCAAUCUUCAUGGCAACUCCCAUCACACUCCUCAAGAAAACUCCCACCUUCUCCGUCAAAUGUAUGUCACAAACACCUCAAAGCGGUGAACCGGGGGUUUCAAAACCAGCAACCACCCCAACACCACCACAGAUCAACAUUCCUCCUCCUCCGCCACCUGCUCCAAAGGUCAGCACGAAGUUCUCUGACGUGUUGGCGUUUAGUGGACCUGCACCGGAGAGGAUCAACGGAAGGUUAGCCAUGAUAGGGUUUGUGUCGGCGAUGGCUGUGGAACUGAGCAGCGGUCAAGACGUGUUCACCCAGAUCGGCAACGGCGGUGUUGCGGUGUUUGUCGGGACAAGUGUGGUGUUGACGUUGGCGUCGUUGGUGCCGUUGUUUAAAGGAGUGAGCGUGCAGUCGAAGUCGAGUGGACUGAUGACAUCAGAUGCAGAGCUUUGGAAUGGGCGGGUUGCGAUGUUGGGUCUGGUGGCUUUGGCUUUUACUGAAUAUGUUAAAGGCAGUGCCCUUGUCUAGAUAAUGUAUCAUAAACUUUUCUAUUACAGAAUUACAUCUAAGAUAGACAAAUGUAUAUUGUUUUGAAUAUUUAUGUUUAUCGAUUUACCAUACAUAGUUCAAAUCAUAAAAAGCAUGUUUUUUGAUAAUAUAGUAUAAAACAAAUAUAAUAUCAAUCAAAUUGAACGAUGUUGUGGUAUCUUUCAAUAUAAAAUUCUCUUUAUAAAAAUAAACAAACAACGUACUAAGAUAAAUUUUAGAGGAAUGAACUUAGAUUAGCAAUAUAAGAGUCAAAGUCUACAAAUUAAGGUAUUGAAAUCCUAGUUUCACAACUUCCUCUUUGAAUGUUGAACUGAGGUGAUCUUCAUUAAUUCAGACUGAAUAAGUGACUUAGUCCAGCCUAGUCAAUUAGCUAAUUUAAGAUGACAAGUAUCCAAAAUUCAAAAACAUUAUAGAGCUCAAUUUCAAACAAAAGUGACAAAUGACUAAUGCUCACAAAACGAUCACCGAAUCAUUCAAAGCAUUUACUAAAAGCCAGUCUAAUUCUUAUUGGUUUGAAAUCUAAUUUUAUCAUCAACUGUAUACAAGAUUGAGAUUGAUAUCAGAGUAAUAAUCUCUAAAAGCAAAAUAAUGUAUUCAAAAGAAUAUAUAUACAAAAUGAAUUAUGUCCCAAGCAGUACUGUGCAUGAGUAUAAGAUUACUAUUAUGUUGGGAUCCAUUAAUUGAUAACUAAGCACACUUCCAAAUUUACUAUAUGGAAUUUAGUUAAGGAUUAAUGUCAAGUGGGGUGCAUCCACCCCACUCAAAGGCCUUGUAUAUGUUACGGUCCCAAGUGAUAUUUUAUAAGGGUCUUUUUGUAGUUUUUCUUUUCCUAAUAUAUUAACAUUUUUUUUUGAUAUUUUUGGAACUUUUUAUUUUCUGAGAAAAGUAUACAAAAUAAUGUAUAUACAAGCUUACUUGAAGAUAUGAUCGUUUAUGAGGUUAUUCAAGACUUAUUCUCUUGAAGUAUCUAUUCCUAGCUAGAUAUGAACAAAUGUGUUUGCAUUUAUCCUUUUUUGCCCUUUGUCAAUUCUUGACUAAUAAGGUAAUGGUAGUUCUUGGUGAGGGAUUCACCUCUGUAUUGAUUCUUCAUUCUAUUUAAAUGUUUGGAUUCACCUCUGUAUUGAUUCUUCAUUCUAUUUAAAUGUUUGGAUUCACCUCUGUAUUGAUUCUUCAUUCUAUUUAAAUGUUUGGAUUCACCUCUGUAUUGAUUCUUCAUUCUAUUUAAAUGUUUGGAUUCAACAAUGUCUAGUUGAGUAGUUCUUUAAAAGCACAUUCUACCAUAUGCAUCUUUAUGUCAAUAUUAAUUGGGGAUUCCAUAAACUGAAACUCUUGGAGCUCAAUAGUGUAGUUGAAAAACUUUUGUUGAGCCCACCACUUACAUGAAAUAGGAGACUUUUUUCAAUAAACUAAGUGGUUCCUUCUUUAUGGAUCAUCUUUUCGUUUCUCCUUUUGAAAGGUCCCCUGGUGAUACUUUUAUGUGUUAAUGAAACUCAGUCCUUAUGGCAUGCUUUUUGGAUAUGAUAGUACGUGACUAUCAAGAGCUUAUUUCUACUCAGUAUAGUCAUACUCUCAUAAGUCUCUCAAGAUUUUACACUCAGAAGCAUCGUUAGAUUGUAUGGCUACCUACCUUGUACUAUAAGCAUGUUUAUUAACAUUUAGGGAUUUAUUUAGAAGGAUAUCAUUUUUCAUAUUUUUUGUCUAACACCAGAUCUUUUUUCUCAGCUCAAUUGUUUCAAGUAAAACUAAGUGUCUUCUUGAUUCGACAACAAACCAUUGGUCAUCUUUCCGAUUUCAAGUAUUUUGCAUAUCCUCUCAAAACUUCUUUAUUUUUUAACACAAAUUCAAAAACUAUUAGGUAUCGGGAUUUUAAGGCUUCUUUAUUUUCACCCUCAAUUAGAUUCAUAUUUUUCAUUGCCUUGCAGAUUUCCUUUUUAGUUUGAGUCUAUUUAUCACGAGCCUGAAGUCAUUUUCUUCCCCUACCCUUGUUAGUUUUGGCUAUUGCUAGUGCACGUACUUCAUUGGCUAAAUGAGAAGACACCUCGAUAAUGGUGGAUGACUUGGUGAAAUUUAUAGGUUGUUCCUUAGGCUAUCCAAAGUGGAGGUAGAAGAAGACGCAUGAUGCUGAAUGGACAUCCAAGUCAUGCGUGAACACUGCCCGAUGGCUUGGCUAUGGAGUCUCCAUGAAGACGAUGCAUUCGAUUGGUUUAGAAUCUGGUCCCUCAUAUUUUCUCUCCUCCUUUUUGUCCCUUCACUACCAACCCACCGGUAAACACCAUUUCCACAACCUAAUGGGUUGAUUGUGGAAUGGUAAACUACCUAUGUGGCGCUGAGUUAGAAGGUGUUUUGGAUAUAACCACUCCCCACAACCUUAGCAUUAGAACAUCCUGAUGCUCCACAUGAACUAAGAACAUCACUUAAUCUUCAUUAAAUACUUUGGGGUUGUACUCAUAAAGUAAAAUAUCUCCCCCCUUAGACAUAUCAUCAUUUUCCUCAUCUGAUGACCAAGGAAUUUGUGGAGAUAUAUGUGACUUUGGAUUAAAGGGGGUUAUAUUGGUCAUCCUUUUUAGACAACUUUUUAAAUUAAUCAAUCCAAGCUCCUAUACCGACGACAUUUUCUGGAAUCUCUUUAGAUGGGGAUGAUGGUUCAUUAAGCGACGACAUUUUCUAACCGUGUACCGACGACAAGUCGUCACAGACAAGUCAGGAUAGGUCAAAAAAGUCGUCGGCAUAGGUGUCGUCGGGAUAGGUACCCCAUAUACCGACGACAUGACGUUGGUACAAGUACCGUCUGGAAUGAUUUUCGAGAAAAAAAAUAAAGUUUUAUUAAUUACUUGUGGCGACGACAUGUCGUCGGGACAGGUGCCACCUAUAGCGACGCCAUUUUGUCGCCACAUGUUUUCCACAAAUAUCAAUCAAAUACCUAUAGUGGCGACUAGUCGUUAGGAUAGCCACUGGGUGUUUUUUUUUUUUUUUUUUUUUUUUUUUUUUUUUUUUUUAGUUUUUACAGAUUUUGUACAUUUACCAUUCGUGCAUUUUUAACAAAUCCAAACAUUUUGCAGCAUAUAUCAAAUAAGAUACAAUAACUGGGUACCAUUGUUUAAAUUCAAAACAUCAAAUUCAAGUUUAAUAUUACAUACCGAAUUAGAUAAAAUAAGUAGUUAACAUUGUUCAAAAUAACACAAAACAUAAACAUCAUUAUAUUCUUUUUUUUUUCUUCUUCUUCUUCUUCCAUCCUCUCGGGUUCACAUUUUGUUGAGAGGUAUUUCCUUGUGAUGUACUUCCUUCUGUGUUGGAAUUGAAUAGAAAACUAGCAAACGGUGGUGGUUGUGUAACAUCCCAAAAAUUUUAACAAAUAUGAACUUUUCAAAACAACCCAUUUAUUAACAAAAGUGUUUACAAAAACAUGAUUUAAAAUUAGAGUCUCCCAAGAUCCACUUUGUUCUAAAACCGAGGAUGCGUACGGUCACGCCUUUGCCUUGCCAUGAAUCAUUUGAAGAAACUGAAACCAUAAACAAAUCGUAAGCAAGAAUCUUAGUGAGUUCCUCCAAAAUACCACCGCACAAACAGAUAGCACAUAAAUAACGACAACAUGUACUAGGUCCACAACUAAAAGACUGGAUUACCCCUGAGCCUAUAAUAUGAAUCUGGCUUGCCUAUUGGGCCCACAACUCAUAUCUGGUUUGCUCUUGAGCCCACAACAUAAGUCAGACUUGCCCCUGGGGCUCACAACUUAUGUCAGGCUUGCUCCCAACUCAAUCAGUCAUCGGACUAGAAUACCAAUGUUCAGCCCUGUGACAACCUGAAAUUUCCAUUCUGAACAAACCAUAUCAAUCCAAUAGAAGUUAGAACAGUUACAAUGAAAUUCCAGACUUUGGGCAUAAGUUUGACAGUUUUUCAGGAUUUACACUUAAGGAGAUAUCAGGAGAGUGGAUGCACUAGGGUUUUGUGCAACACUGUUAUUCCAAAACUCUAGGAUAUUAGGGUUCAAUUCCGGAAUAAAAAUAUUUUCUGCCAAAAAUCUCAGGACUAUAUAUAGAAAUCUGAGCCAUAUUCAUUCAUUAGUUACAUUUCCAACUAGAGAAAAGCCAAAUUCUCUCUCACGGAUCUUCAGGUUUUUAUCCCAAAUCGUGAGUACUUCUAUCUAGUUGUAUUAUAUAGCUUAGAUUGUUUUUUAUAACAUCAAAAUCGGAUCAAAACCCCAAGAUUUGGGAGUUUACCGCCCAAGAACACUUGGAGAGUAAACUCCUUUUUAAGGGCCAAAAGUGUGCCCAAUGUCCCUCAAAGCCUUGGGAAUGAACCUAGAAGCUACCAUUACAUGUUUAAGACCACAAAACAAUUAAGAAUCAUGGCUAGAAGUGAGUUCACGGCCAAGGAAGUUCUUCGUCCGUGAACUCCAUUUUUAUGUGCCAAAAUGCCCUAAAAGCCUUCCUUAAGCCAAGAGACUAAUUUAGACAUGUACCUAGAUGAGUUUAGGACUAGCAAACACCUUUAGAACACCAAGAGUAAGGUGUUCACGGCCCAAGAAGUUCUAGGGUCGUGAACUCCAAACAAUGGUGCCAAAUGGUGCUAUAAACUCUCCUAAAGCCUUGGACAAUUUCCUUGCUUCAUUCUUAGAUAAAUUAGGGACUUGAAAACACCACAAACACCCUCCUAAGGGAGAUUACGGCCGUAAUCUCCAUGGGAUAUGGUCCAUGGCGCGUGAACUCCUCAAAGGAGUUAAAAGGAAGCCCAAACACUUGUUUAAGCCUAGAAGCACUUCACCACUUAAGUUGUAAUAAUGUUAGGCUUCAUUUAGUGACCCUAUAGAGAGUUUACGGCCAAGAGUUUACUCCCCUAGGCCGUAAACUCCAACACAUAUGGUCUUUUGACCAUAAACUCCCAUAAGAGGUCUUGCACUCCUUUGUUGCAACCCAUUAGCCUCCUAGCACUUGACCAAAGUGUUUUCCUCACAUUAGGAUGUUUAUACAUGUUUAAUUAGUGUUAUAAUCACUAAUUGUUUAUAUACAUAUGUCUUCAUAUGUAAUUAGGACCAUUGUGUGUGUCUAAAGUCUUCACUUGACACCUAGCAGUCCUACCUCUUCAGUUCAUCCGUAUCACCCACAACAGGUGAGUUUAUACCUNGGGGAUACAAGUAGAAUUAUGCUAAUUAUUAUAUCAAUCACAGGUGAUUAAUAAGCAGCAUUCAAAUGAUUAGCUACUCAUUAGCCGUUUUACCAAACCGUUUCCUUCAAAUGUUUUUCAUAAACACCUUAUGUGUUUAAAACUCCUUAUUACACUGUACCUUUUAUUCUGUAUGUUUCAAUUCAAACUUAUUUACAAUUGUGUUUCAAACAAAUGUUUCUUUAUACUAAACUAUUUUGUCAAACCCAUGCCUUCAAAACCGUUUUAUAGAUUGACAUCAAGUCGAUCUUUUCUUAGAUAAUAAUUAUGUUCAAAGGUUUUACAAAACUUAUUUUAUGUUUUUAUAUUAUAAAUUGGAUGCCUAUAUAUGCAUAGUUAUAUAAUAAAUGUUGAAAGGACUUAGGAAGGCUAUCCACCCUAUUUCCUUUUCCUCGAUUUGGAUGUGGUCUGGUGGGAUAUCAGGUACCCGUCCGAAGGUUGUUUAAAUAUUAAUUAUAUAUCAUGUGUACGUAUAUAGUCAUAAAAGUCCUUCCAGCUCAGCCAAUGCCCUUGGGUAGCAAGGGUAUAUUUAACAUCCCCCUCUUGCACGUAUCACAAUAUUAUCCGCUUUGGGCCACUCGGCACGAGGACUUCCCAGGGGGUCACCCGUCCUGGUACUACUCCCGCCCGAGCACGCUUAACUACAGAGUUCUUAUGGGAUUUGCUGCCCUCACGGCUUUAAAACGCGUUGUGCUAGGGAAUGUAUCCACACCCCUUAUAAGGAAUGCUUAGAUCUCCUUCCCAGCCGAUGUGGGAUCAGAUCUAACCCACUUUCACCCCCCAUUAUAGGGUUCGACGUCCCCGUCGAACACAUCGACCCAUGCCCUGGCUCUGAUACCAAUUGUGACAUCCCCUAAUUUCUCGGCCAGAAAAUACCGAUUUAAUUUAUGCUUUUUAAAAUAAAAUCAGAGAAAUCUUUUUAAAAGAUGUUGCGGAAUUGGUCCCCAAACAACAUAUGAUAAAAGUUUAUCAAAAUCCUUCAUUAAGAAGGUAUAUAUUUUCCAUAUAUAUCAAAACCUCGGGAUUUCAUGUUCCGAUACAGAUCAAAAGCAUAAACAAGACAUUAUAAGCCUUUCAACAGUUAUUUACAACUACUGGCCUAUAAUCCAAAAAUUCUCUCGUCGUCCUCCGACUAUGCUCAGGGUCCACUACCUGUAAUCAUAAAAACUGAGUGGGUCAGGCUUGGGAGUCUGGUGAGCAUAUAGGGGUUUCAACCCACAAUAAUAAUAUACUUAUUAAGUUCACCAAUCAACAAUAACCCUGAUUACCCAUUCCCGUUGUCCUCACUUUACGUCCCUAAACACCUAUCACAAGGGACCUAGCCUAAGGAUUAUCAUCGGGAUGGACACUACUGCUAAGGGGUUUCCUCAGCCAUACAUGUCCUUAAGGCAACCAUGAGGGGGAUGAAGUACGCCAAUGAACAUUUAAUUCAUCAACACCUACAAGUUGCGAACCUGCUAGUGUUCGACUGGACUAUCUAGAAAGUCUGUGGUCGUCAUCUAUACUCCGCUAGAUGACUACAACAACAACAACAACAACAUCGAGGCCUCUCACCUUUUUAACACACAUCAACUAUUUCAUCUACCCAUGUUCUACCCAACAUAUUUUGUAGAUAAAAAGAAUAUACAGUUUGAAACUUGUAUAAAACAUCAAAUCAAUAGUCACCUUAGUUAAACAAUUACUAUAUUUACACAUAACACGUAUUUCAAGGUAAAUACUUCAUAUCUAUGUGUAAAUUGAAAGUAACUACACACUCACAUAUUUUGAUGAACAUCGGGCAACAAUUCAUUUCCUAAAACGAUCGUUUCUAAUAAAACCGGGAGUUUUAUUGAGAAACUGGGCUCUGCAAAAGUCGGGGUUUGAAACCGAAAAGAUAAAUUUUCCGGGCUUCACGGGCACUUCGUGGAGUAUUCCGGGCUUUACAAUCGAUACCGGGGCUUUGCGGGAUGUUAAGAUGAAGAAAAUAUGGGUUUAGGGGUUAAAUAUGGCAAAAUUUCAAAGUUACCUGGGAGGUCUCGCACCCUUCUAUUUAUAGGGGCGAGGCUUCUGAUCCAACGGAUAGAAAGAGGACACGCGUCGCAGAUCCGAAGGCUCGCAGGGAAGCCUCGCACGUGGCUGCGCAUGGCUCGCACCUGUGAGGGGCUCGCUGGCAGCUUGUGAUUGGACCGAGGUCUAGGGUCCGAAGUAGAGGGUUCGUGGCAUGUUGCGAGGGCUCGGUCUCGUGCAUGAGGGUACGUGUCACCUUCUCAGUGGACCACUUCGGAUAAGGCCAUGUGCUCGGAUGACUCAGCAGCUCGGGUGACUCAACAGCUCGGAUGACUCAGCAGGACACAUGGCACUUUUUCAGCGAGGGUGACGUGGCAACUCGUGACUAUGCGAAUUUUCUCGAUUUUCGCGCCAAAACUUCUAAAAUCCAUAACUUUCGCAUACGAGCUCCGUUUUUGACGUUCUUUAUAUGCACGCGUAGCUAAAAUUACGCUCUACAACUUCCGUUUAGACUUCGUCGGCUAAUUUUGAAUUUAAAUUUUAUAUUAUUAUUUUUAACAGACCGGGACAGGAAAUCCGUUAAAAAUUCAUAACUUCUUCAUCCGACGUCCGUUUUCAUCAGAAUUUUUACCGUUGUGCUCCUAAUGACGAGACCUUCAAUUCUCGUUUAGGUUGUGUCGGCUAAAAAUCGCUCGAUCUAAAAUUCGAGUUUUUUAGCUGUCUACUGCUAAGCUGAAACUUCGAAAAAUCAUAACUUCCUCAUACGAAGUCAGAUUUGGGCGUUCCUUUUAUCGAACUUCUCAGUUUAACGACUACUACGACUUUCAUUUAGAUUACUAAGGCUAAAAAGUAGUUUAUCGAAAACUCACUUUUUACAACAUUCAGCACCGUGCCGGUUUUGUCGCGAAACUUCGACAUGUCAUAACUUCUUCGUUAUAACUCGGAUUUUGGUAUUCUUUAUAUCCCCGAAAUCCUUGUUUCGACCACUACAAAUUUAUGUAAAGAUAUCGGGCUUAUCUCCCACUUUAAUUUUGACGCUUAUUUUUAUUCUUAACUAAUUAAGCCCUAAUAAUUAAGCAUAAAACACAUAAUUCAUAUAAUAUUCACAUAAUUCCUUUUCAUUUCUUCAAAAUGAGUUACAAAGGUUAACCUAGACUAUCAACUCAAUAUAAAUGCCUAGGAUAGAAACAUGAGUGUUACAAAUUGUAUCAAGACAUGUUAUAUGGACGUGUUGAACUUCCGUGUCCAUUUCUCCUUCUGCUGUUUGUUCUUCUAAAGAAUGAGGAAAGAUAUCCAAGUCUAGCAUAUGCAGAGAACUAGCAACAAGUAGAUCUAAGUCGUCCAAGUUGUUGGCAAUUUCGACUGGACUCGUCGGGUCUAGGAAAGUGACUCGGUGAGUCAGAUCAUAUUUCACCAUUUCCACUGUGUUUUCCGAGUCGGCUCCUUCCAGUAGCUUUUCUAUCUCCUCCAAGUCCUUGUUAACAUCUCCAUCCUCUCCAGAAGGUAGCAAAAGCUUGCUUGGAUCUUCUUCUUGCAAAAGUGCAAGUUCUUUUUGUAGUAUCUCAUCAUCCAAAUCGAUAAAUGAGAUAUCUUCUUUUCCUUCCUCUUCUUGCUUGGCUUCUGGUAAAGCUCUAAAUAUUGCUGACUCGUCUCCUACCCUUAAUGUUAGUGUAGACUCGCAUACAUCAAUUAAAGCACAUGCGGUGUUUAAAAAUGACCUCCCCAAAAUAAUCGGAAUUUCGGGGUCUUCUUCCAUAUCAAGCACCACAAAGUCUACUGGAAAUAUGAACUUGUCGAUUUUAAUAAGAAGAUCCUCACAAACGCCUCUUGGAUGAAUUGUUGUCUUGUCUGCCAAAUGGAUCUUCAUGUUUACCGGCCUUGGCUCCGAUAAAUUCAGUUUCUUGAAGAAAGAGAAAGACAUUAGGUUAAUGCUUGCACCUGAGUCGGUCAACGCUUGAGUGACAAAUGCAUUUCCAAAUUGGCACGGAAUUAUGAUACUCCCCGGAUCGCCCUUCUUUUCGAGUAACUCACUCAAUAUUAUUUCCGUGACUUCAGCCAAAUAUUUCCUAGCAGCAAAGAGACCCUUUAGUAAGUUGAAGUACUUGGGUGUUUUAAGCAUCGUUUCUACAAAUGGCACAUUGACUUGUAGGGAUUUAACAUGCUCCAUAAAAGCUCAAUAAGCUUCAACUUUUUCAACUGGCAUGGCUUUGAUUGGGAAUGGCAAAGGGGGAUUAUAUGGCUUUAAGGGAAUGACGGUUUUGUCAUUAACGCAUGGACUCGUCGAGUCCAUUAGAGGGACUCGGCGAGUCUUGUCGGGCUUAGCUGGAGCCGACUCUUCUGCCUUUUCUGUCUUCCUAUUGGAGAUCCUCUGUGCAUGUGUGAAAAUUUCUUCAUUGCUGGAAGUUACUGCACUCACAUUCUCCAUUCUCGGAUUGUUUUCGGUGUUACUUGGAAGUUGACCCGGUCUUCUUUCGUUCACUUGAUGUGAAAGUUGUCCCAGCUGUUUCUCAAUGUUGAGAAUGGAUGCCUGCUCAUUCCUUAGCAUAUUUCUGGUCUCGUGUAUUGCAGCAUCGUGAUCAUUGUGUCUCUUUUCGGACACGGCUAUGAAUCUAGUGAACAAUUCUUCUAAAUCGGCUUUCUUUUCCAUUACCGGUUCUUCCUUUUGAUAAAAUACCCUCUCCUUCUGCUUGUAUUUCUCCUCCUUAUCCUUCUUGUAUUCUUCGUAUGGGAGCCAUUCCUUCUUCGGUUUCCCCCAAUUCUCGUCGUAUCUAUCGCCACUUGAGUAGAACACUUGAGCCUUCUUGUUUCCAUUUUCAUCCAAAUCACAAUCCUUUGUGAGAUGGGGCCCUCUACAAUUCUCACAUCCAACAUGAAUAGCAUGGAUUGUUUGAUCCAUUUUUGUCAUCCUUCUAUCUAGACUAUCGAGCUUAGCUAUCAUCGCCGCCAUGCUAUCAUUUGCCGAGUUCACUACCCCCCGACUUACUUCAUUUAUUGGAUUGUGGUAUUCUCUAGAAUGCUUAGAGAAUUCUUCAAUUAACUCCUUGAUUACCGGGGGCGCCUUCUUCGUGAGCGGGCCUUGUGAAUCGAGCAAUUGCCUUGUGGUGACAUUGACUCCAUCAUAGAAAAUGGAGACCUCUUGUUGGAUAUUGAGGUCAUGGUGUGGGCAAUUUCUAAGCAAGCUCUUGUACCUUUCCCAAGCUUCAUAAAGAGAUUCUCCGGGUUGUUGCUCGAAGUUGGCAAUGGCUUUCUUUAGUUUAGCUAUUUUGGAGGGCGGGCAAAAGUGGUCUAUGAACUCUUCUUUCAUCUUGGCCCAUGUGGUGACCGAUCCGGGAGGAAGUGACUUGAGCCAAUCCUUUGCAUCACCCUUGAACGUGACUGGAAGCAUGCGAAGUAGUUGGGUCUCGCGAGGCAUAUUUGGUACAUUGAAGUAGUCAGCCACAUCAUUUACUUCAUCCAAGUGCUUGUAGGCGUCUUCGUGGUCCUUCCCAUAAAAAGGAAUCUCCUUGAGUUGAGCGAGAAUAUGGCCUUUUAGUUCGAACGUAGUGGUUGCGGGAAUUGCGGGUUGCACAAGUCCCGAGCCGGUGUCAUCGCGCAUCCUUUUCUUCCAUUACCCCAUGGGGACUUCAUCGAUAUUAGCCAUAGCGAUAGCUAAAUCGUCUUCAAACUCGGAUUCUUGCUCGUAUGUGGGUUCUUCUUCUUCCUCGGUCUCGUACUCGAUGUCUUCUUGAAUUGGGUCUCUGAUUGUCAAAGAGGCACUGGAUGCUCCUGAUUUGCUGCUCCUUGUCUUGCUGAAAACGGACUUGAGGUUUUUGAGUGGUAAGUUCUUUGAAGAAGCGGAUUCUCCAACGGUUUUGCCUUUGCUCCUCCUUAGUGCGGAUUCCGGGUCUUCAAGAGGAGGGACCAGAGGUGUAUCAGAUCCUCAGGUCAUGAAACAACUGUAAACAAAACAAAAAACGCGUAAAAAGAACAAAAAAUAAAUAAAAAUUAAAACUGUGAAUCAGCGAUGUACUCGCCGAGUCGGCACGAGUGCACUAGGCGAGUCUGGUCAAAACAUAGAAAAAUUUUUCUAGUUACUUUAAAAACGGAUUUUUAUUAAAACUUAUACUACUUACUAAAUUACCUUUUAAAUAACUUUGUGUAAGAUAAAUCCCACACAAAUGAUCGAUUAAAUUAGAAUUUAACGUUAAUUUUAGAACCGUUCCCCAGCAACGGCGCCAAAAACUUGAUGUGUGCAAACUCACUUAGUUUUAAACCUACUUUUAAUUUUAAAAUAAACACACAAAGGCAGUGGACCUAUCAAUUGUGGUAUAGUUAAAUAAGUAGGGUAUCGAACACAGGGAACGGCAAAUUAAAACUAAAAACUAAUUCUAUCUAAAUUAAUUAAUAAGUAGGAGGUUUUCUCUAGUUUUUCAAGACUAGAAACUUACUAACUAUUACUUAUUCUAAAACUUAGAAAAACAAAGAAUUAACUAGAUUCAAUAAUGGGAAGGAACUUCUGUUUAGUUCAACUCAAUUGAUCCUAUGGUUGAUAUCAAGGUAAUGGUGCAAUGGAUUAACUCUUUUGUUGGUUACCGAUUCAAGUGAUUAGAUUUGCGUUCACUACACUAAUCCUUAGCAAAUAAACUAACUUAAACAGUGGCCAGUUGUCUAAUUUAAUUAAAUUCACUAGAUUAAUUAUUCGGGUUAAUUUAGACUUGCAAUAGUUAACUAAUUUGGUCCUUUAAUUAACUUNUUUGUUGAUGGUCAUCACAAGCUCACACAUGAAUUUACUCAAUUUUCUUAUUAAUUCUAGUUUCAUGUUCAUUAAUCCUAGACAUAUGACAAAGUGGUCACAUAGCAUAUGAGGUUGAUAAUCAAUAGAUGUUCAUGCUAUUCAAUUACCUUCCUAUUAAUAGAAAAUUAAUUAUCAUUCACACACAAGGUUCUUUAGCAAGCUAAAAUAACAAAAAUCACUAACUUUAAAUUAAUCCUACCAAUAAUCAAACCAUAGUAUCAAUUUUGUAUCCCCAAACAGAAGUUUAAGAGUUUUAGCUCAUGAUUGAAGUAAAUUACAGCAAACAAACAGAUUUUAAUUGUUUAACCAUUAUGAAAAAUAAAAAAUUAAGUAGAAUGAUGAAAUUUGCCUCAAAUCUCCUUCGGAAUUGGAUUCUAGCUUGUAUCUUCGUCCUCUAGGUUUUUUCUGACUCUUCAAUCGCAGCUAACCUCUCCAGAAUCGUUCCAGAAUUCCUCCCCAUCGUUCUCAGAAGUUAUCUUUAUAUAUGCAAAACGACUCGUCGAGUCAGAUGCCGACUCGUCGAGCCCAUCUCUAAGUCCCCGUAUGCGAUAAGUCUCUAGGUCUCCGAGUCUUUAUCUUCUCGAAUAUUCGCUUGGGCUCGCCGAGUAGUUGACCCUACUCACCGAGUAUGUGUUGUUUUUAGUGUUUUUCUUCUUUGUUCGAUUCCCGAGCUCUCAACCGCUUCUCCUGCUUCCUUUUGCUUCCGAGCUUCACUUUUGGACUGAAAACAUAAUUCAAACACUUUUAAGUACCUUUUGUCCAUGAAAUGCAAUAAUUUAGCUAAUAAAUGAAUAAAAAUCUACACUUAAUAUGAACUAAAUAUGCACAUAUCACUUUCCUUAGAUUCAUAGUCUCUCCAACCAAAAUUCCUAGAUAAUUGAAUGGGAUGGAUGAAGGUUCACAUCCAAGAGGAGCUGCCCAAUUUAUUACUUCCAUGUGGGUAGCUCCUAUCCCAUACACCUUCGAUUUCCUAAAGUUCACCUUUAGCCCCGAUGAUACACAGAAGCACCUUAAUAUCCGGGCCAAGUUUGCAAUAUUUCGCCUUGACCAUUAGCCUAUAAACAGUGUGUCAUCUGCAUAGAAUAAAUGAGACAAACAUUGAUUAGAUUGUGAAAAUUUGAUGCCUUCGAAGAUUCCUUUUUCCACAACUGUCUUCAUCGCCUGAUUUAAUCCUUCAAUCACAAUGAUAAAAAGAAAUGGGGAGAGUGGAUCUCCCUGUCUGACACCUUUUGACAUAGAGAACUCCUUGGUCGGACUGUCGUUGAUCGACUGGGAAGGAGAACUAAGCAUUCCUUAUAAGGGGUGUGGAUACCUUCCCUAUCACAACGCGUUUGAAAACCGUGAGGGAAGCAGAUCCCAUAGGAACUCUGCAGUUAAGCGUGCUUGGGCGCGAGUAGUACCAGGAUGGGUGACCCCCUGGGAAGUCCUCGUGCCGAGUGGCCCAAGACGAACAAUAUUGUGAUACGUGCCAGAGGGGAAUGUUACAAAUGGUAUCAGAGCCAGCGCACAGUUCGAUGUGUUCGACGAGGACGUCGAACCCUAUAAUGGGGGGUGAAAGUGGGUUAGAUUUGAUCCCACAUCGGCUGGGAAGGAGAACUAAGCAUUCCUUAUAAGGGGUGUGGAUACCUUCCCUAUCACAACGCGUUUUAAAGCCGUGAGGGCAGCAGAUCCCAUAAGAACUCUGCAGUUAAGCGUGCUCGGGCGGGAGUAGUACCAGGAUGGGUGACCCCCUGGGAAGUCCUCGUGCCGAGUGGCCCAAGGCGGAAAAUAUUGUGAUAUGUGCCAGAGGGGGAUGUUACAGUAUAUAGCCAUGUUCAUACGUACCAGUUAAAUUACUAGUAAGCUAUUGACUAUCCUACACCUUGCUGCUUGCUACAGCCGGACGUCAUUUCUUUCUACAUAUAGAUCAGUUAAGUCUUGGUAGAAGACUCCCUGUUAUAGUAGUAGGAAUCAUAGGGAUUUCUAGAGUUUUUCAAACGUUUACAGUUGUUUUACAUACAUUUUCAAUACUUACGAUUUACAUACAUUUUCAAUACUUACAAAUUCUUACAUACAAAUUCUUACAUACAAAUUAAGACACUAAAAUACUUAUGAUCUCACCAGCUUCAAAGUUGAUACUCGCUUUCAAAAUUACUUGUAUCCUCAGGUCAAACAUAGACAGGUACCGAUGCAAGGUUUAGAGAAGAUGGAGCUCGUUCAAGACUCAUCUUUCAUUUUGAUUUAUGCCUUAGUGUUUAUCAAAAUUUGACAGAACACAGUUGUAUAAUAAUUAUAUUAUUAAUGCAAUGGAUGAUGUUGCUGCUUGUUUACUACUUUUCAUUGUUGUGAUAUUGUACAUGACGUCCUCCGCCCCAGAACGUUUCCGCGGUUCUUGGUUUUGGGGUGUGACAAGCCCUCAGUAAGAGUCUAGCAUACCAACUGGUCCUCAGAUCAUAUCUGGAAUGCUACUAAUCCCCCAGUAUGAGUCUGGCAUGCCCCAUCCGAGACUCAACUCAUAUCUGGAUUUCUCCGAUACCCUCAACCCCUUAGUACGAGUCUGGCAUACCAAUCGGGUCCUCAGCUCGUAUCUUGAAUGCACCUGAGCCCUUAGUAUGCGUAUGGCAUGCCCUAAUCAGCUCUUAGCUCAUAUAUGGAAUGCUCCAGGGUUUGUUGGCUACAGAACGAAGCAGUACAACCUCAACCCAACACAAUAUGUCGACAAAUAACCAACAUAUACAGAUAAUCAUGCACACAUAAUCAUAGGUACUCCUAUAGAUCUACCAUACUAACAUAUCGGCAACUAGCAUACUCAUGCAGAUCUAUUCCAUACUCAGAAUAUUAGUGAAUUGUAGGAUAACAAACCAAUACACCGGCAUUGGUGCCUUCGACUCGUAAAUAUAGUGAGGAAAAAUCACAUCGCACUGCUGAACAUAAAGACGAUCCAUGGUUGAUGGCUGCCAGAUCCCCGAACCGCCAAUAUCAAGACAACACCCCAUCACAGCUGAUCCCAUGAAUAAUUUCUGACUACAGAACCACUAUGAUCCACGUGCUAUCAAAUACUACAAUGACAACCCAUCAAUAGACCUGGCAAUGGAGCGGGUUUGGAGCGAAUCAGCCUUGAUCCAAACCCUUUUAACAAAUUUCAAAAUCCGAUCCAAACCCGCUCCGUAACCCACAGGGUUUUAAAUAAUCAGACCCAUACCUUUAUCCGCCGAAUCAACGAAUAUUCAAGCCCGCCCCAUAACCCAAAGUUUUUUUAAAUAAUCAAACACAUUUUAAUAAACUCCUAAAAUAAAAUUUCUUAAAUAAGAAACUGUAUACUAUAUCUUAAUACUUAAAAUAACAUUUUUUUAAAUAAAAAAAAUUGAUUUAGAAAAGGACAUUACAUACUCGAAGAAUUUCAAUCGGAAUUAAAAAUCACUAUUGCAACAACUUUGAAUUGAUUUAUGACUGUUGGUUGUAGUGAUAGCGAAUUGCAAUUGCCAUCUUUUUUCAUGUUAAAAAUUGAUUUAUUGAAUUAGAAAUGGAUAUGAUGAUUUCUUGAUGCAAAUAAAUUAAAUGACAUUAUGAUUCUUGAUAGAAAUCUAUAAGUUUAGAAUCUGAAUUAUCGAUUCCUAUGUAAAAGCAUUUUUUUUCUUUGGCCUUUGCAUUUUGGACUUUUGAUUGGUAUUAAAAUUAAACGUUAAGAAGUAUAAAAUAUAAAUAUAUAAUUCUAAAUUUAUAUGGGGCGAGUUAUAAAUGGAGCGGAUCGGUGAUGAUCCAUACCUGACCCAUUUAAUAAAAGGGCUAGUGGGAAUGGAUCGUUAACGGGUAAACGAAUCAAAAACUACACUCCAAACCCAUAUAAUUCUUACGAGUUUGGAUCGGAUUAGGGUCAAAACCCACUUCAUUGCCAGGUCUACCCAUCAACCUUUAGCCCCUGACUCACGUUAUGAGUGAAAAUUAGGGUAAAAGACCUUUUUAUCCUUCUUAAGCUUGGCCCGAAGCCAAGGCCCAACUAAAUGGUUAAUGGCCCAAAAUCCAAAAUAGACUUCUAAGGCCCAAAUAUGGCCCAAUUUUCCAAAUUGGGCCCAAUUCCUUUCUUGGGCCUUCAGCUAAGAAAGUCCAUCAAAACAAAAGCCCAAACCAUAAAAUCUAGAUGGCCUAACAUGGCCCAAGACAAUCCGAGCCCAAAACCGGAGCCAAAAAUGAAGGCCCAAUAGUACCGCAUACGCGGGGAGUACUCCAAAGGCACACUUAGCGUACAUGAGGCUGCGUAGAAUCCACCAUUGGGGUGGCAGAUUGGGUAUGCGGGGCGUACACCUCCCUACGCGGGGCGUACCCUCUUAAAACUCAAUUUCUUCAUAACUGCUUAAUGGCUUAGCAUUUGAGCUCAUACUUCAGAUCCAAGGUCCAGAGCCAUACUAUGGCCAUAAAAUUCCCAACUUUAUGAAUUUCCACGUCCAAAAAGUCCUUAAUGAAAGGUCUUAAUGGAUUAAUACUUUCUACAAGAAGUAUGGAGAAAAACUAGCUAAGGUGAUCUCACUUUUAUGGCUUAGAACCCCUCUUAGGGUCUGAAAGGACAGCCCAAAAUGACCAAAACCAAACAUGCAUAACAAUGGGACUUUUGGGACAAAAAGAACAUCAUAAUGCUACCAAAAUGAGAUCCAAGCAAACAAAGCAUAAAGGUAGAAACUUUUUACCUUCUGGAGCUUCCCAAGAAGAUGAUGAUCCAAGAUCCACAAGCUUGCUUCAACUACUAAUCUCCUUGAUGCAACUCCUUCUUCCUUAAGAACACAAAGAACACACUUUUAGCUCAAAACACUCUCUUAUUGGGUUAGGGUUGCCAAAAAUGACUCAAGGGUGUGGAGGCUGAAAAGAUGAGGCUAAAUGAUCUAUAAAGGUGAUUAAAUACCCCACAAACCCUAAAACUUAGGGUUUUUUCUAACAAGAGUACACCCAUCGUACAUAUGAGUACGCCCAACAUACUAGGGUACACCCUAGUAUGCUUAGCGUAUGCACAUGUACGCUUAGCGUACCACUCCUUCUCCCAAAAUUACGAUUUUUCCAAUAGGGCUUCUUGCGACCACUUCCUUCCAAAACAAGGACCAAAAUGGUAUACUCUAAAGCCAAGAGAUGAAUUUGAAAAUGCCUGAAAACUGGGGCAUUACAGGUUGGGAGUUCGGAAUACAUGUCGCCAAUGAUGCAUUAUAUUGUUGCAAGUAUUCUUGCAUUUGUUGUGCAUUAGAUUGGGAUUGAGAUUGGAAAGAUGUGGAAGUUGAAGCACAUUUAUUUGGAAUUAGACCGAAGUUGGUGACUGGUCUCCUACCCACUACGCGAGCCUGCCCUUGUCUCGUCCUGAGGGCACGUGCAAGCCAUUCUUCCUCAUCUACUUCUUCACCUUACCCGACCCCGCUUUGCAUUUUCUCGUAUUUAUCUUGAAUCUUCUUCUAAAAUAAACAAGAUAAUAAACAUACGAUAAUUAAAACAAACAACUAAACUUAAACAUUAAAAUAAUAAUAAUAUACCUUAGACAUAAACUAUAAUUAAUAAUAAUAACAUAUUUAACUAACGUAUUAAUUUCGCUUAUGACUUACCUAAUCUUGUUGUGCUCGACUUGUACACCAACCCUAGCCUUCUUUGUAGCGCAUUUGUCUCCAACCCUCAAUAUGUUGCGGCUUCAGUCCUAGUUUUUCCUGUAAUAUGUAAAAAACAAUAAAUAUAUUUAUACGAGUGAUAGUAACAUUUUUAAAUAAUACUAAUAUACUUUAUUACUUUUAAAUGACGUCGUUGAGCAUACGACCUACAUCCAUGAGAACUUGUGUCCGGAAGUUUAAUUCGACCUAGUAACUUUAUUUUUGGCCGAUGUGUGUAUAUAUUCAUCAGUAAAAAACAACAUGCCAAUCGUCUUAUUCUAAGCUUUGGCAGACCAAUCAAUCUGUGGAUGUUUUUUUGUCCUUUCCACAUCCGCAUAUCCACCAGCUUUUUCAAAAUGAUUUUCCAUGUCAUGCUUGCAAUCUCGAUAAGCUUUUUGCAUACUAUCUUGGGUACCCGCUCGAACGGGUUCCCACAACUCUGUGCCCUAGUGCAUAUCGGGAUCAAAAUAAGUCUGCAAAAAAUACAUAUUUGAUUAGUAAUAAGAAAUAUUUAAUAAGUGUAAAAUUCAAUACAUAUAAAAUAUUUUGUAUAUACUUACUUCUAGCUCGAGAUAUAAAUUAUCUUCGUACUUGGUAGAAACAUGGCGCCAAGAAUGAUAAUGCAACAGUACCUCUGAUCCCACCAGAUUUGAGAUCAAUCUAACAAAUAAGUGUCUGUUGUCCCGCACGAAUCGAUACGUCCUCCUGGAGGUAUCAAGGCUCACAACCAAAGGAUUACUACCUUUAUCUUCAUACUCAUCGUACAAUUUUAAGUUUCUCCAUCUGCCAUGUACAUUCACAUUCUUCACUUUUGUUACAUUUACACAUAGAAUUGGAAAUUUAGAAAUUUAAAUCCAAUACUUAAUAUUUUCAUGUAACUUACAUGAUUGGCAACCCGAUGGUAAACCAUGUGUGACCAUGUGUGGGGCUCUAUCACCACUGUCUCCUCCAUGUUACCUCAUGACUUCUGCCAUUUAUUUAACAAAUAUUAUAAACAUUCAAAAUCUAUAAUAAAGCUACUUAUAAAUAGGCAAAAUUUAAAAACUUAACACAUAUUAUAAACAAUCAGGAUAUAUAAUAACCGUAACAUACCAUCAAUGAGAAUCAUCACUAGAACAAUAUAACAUCAUCAUCGUUAUCAUAGUCUUUGUUAUUUAUUUCUUCUUCUGAAGAGUACGUAUCCCCACCAUCAUCGUCAUCGUUAAUUGUCACACCCCUGAACCAGACGACGGAAACGUCUGGGGGCUCGUGUGACUAACAAUUGAAUUAUCAUCACAAUGAAUAUACAUGAAACAUUACACAUUCAUCACCAACAUUACAUAUUACAACCAGCAUUGUUCACAGCAAGUACAUUGUUAAAGAUUACAUAAAUUCAAAGUAUUAAUAGUAAGAUAGGUGAUGUUACACAAAAUAAAUCGAUACACUUGAAAAUCUUCCUGCUUAACGAUUACCUGAGAAUACCAGUUAUUUUGAAAAACGGUCAACAUAUAUAAUGUUGGUGAGUUCAUAAGUAUGUGUGAAUAAAAGUCUUUGCAUCUUUUGUAAAAACCUAGAAAAUCUGAUAUUUUCUGUAAAAUGUCUUAAAAUGAUGUGAAAAUCAAGUAUAAAUGCAUGUGUGAAUUUCAUAGCAAUAACAUAUAUGAUUUCAGUUUAAAUUUCUUUGUAUUUUAAGUAAGUGAUAAAUGAAUAAUAGUAUUUCCCUAGAAAAUCUGAGUAUUUCCUGAUUUAUAAUAAUGUCGAGGUUCUUGUAUCAUUAAUUAAGUUGUUUCGUAUUGACACAAUCGAAGGGUUAAUCUUCGAAAUGUCAAAUUGGUAUUGGAUCUCUAUAUGAGCAGUUAUAACCAUGUAUGAUAAUGACUAGGUUGUCUUUCUUGGCAUUUUCCAAACGUCGGUAUUUGCUCAAGGUUUUGUCGCCCAAGACUGGCCUAGUCUAGUUGUAGCGAACAACUAAGGCGUGGGGGGUCACCCCAUAUAGAUCUAUACACAAACUCCCGCUCUCCCUCCAGGAAACUCUGGUUAUAACUACAGACUACGAUUGUACACUCAGAGGUGUCAACCGACAUGUCUCACUAGAUUCUCAACUUUUCAUACCAUGUUUAAUGUUUACGUGAAUGUUGUAUGUUUUCAAAUCCAAAGGUAUAUAUAUAAGUAUACGAACUUUAGGGCUGGCAAUUGUUGACACGAUACGCGACACGACAUGAAAUAAAUGGGUUUGGGUUGAGUUUUUCAACCCGCCAACCCGCUAACCCGUCAACCCACCAACCCGUUUAUUAAACGGGUCAUAUAUGGGUUUCUCAAAAAAUAAACGGGUUGACCCGCCAACCCGUUUAUAUUCUUAAUAAAAAAAUUAUUAUAUUUUUAAAUGUAUUUAUGUAUCAAGUAUUAAUAUUUAAUAUGUAUUAUAUAAUAUAUACCAUUUAUUCAUAGACCAUUUGAUUGUUUUGACAUUAUUACUCGUGGUGGAUGGUCUAAGGUCAUAAGUCGUAACCUAUAAGACUAAGUCUGUAACAUGUUUCUAUGAAUGUUUUUAAUUUUCAUUUGGAUGUUUAAGACUUAAAUAUCUAAAAUUUAGACCCACGAACCCAAAUCUGACCCACGAACCCGCCAACUUGUCAACCCGUAUAAAUAAAUGGGUUGGUGGGUCAUAUAUAGGUUUAAGUUCCAAACCCGCCAACCCGUGACCUGUAUAUUUAAAUGGGUCGUCAUUGGGUUGGCAUAUUUUGACCCGCCAACCCGCCAACCCGCGACACGCCAACUCGAACACAACACGAUUGCCACGCCUAACGAACUUCAAGAAUUAUGUAAAGGUAUAGUUACAAUCUACUAAGCAUGUGAAUUUCAGUCCAAGCCCAACUAGCAUGUAAAUGGACCACAAAGGUCCAAUGACAUGUAAGAAGGUAAUUUAGACCCAAUAGGCAUGUAAGUGGACCACCAAGGCCCAACAAACAUGUAACCUAUAGCUCAGGCCCAAAUUAACAUGUAAAUGGGUCGCAAGGCCCAAUAAACAGGUCAUUGAAAAUAUUGGGCUCAAUAUAUACUUGAAUGGGCCCUUAAGGCCCAUUGGCCAUGUAAUGUGAAUAUUAGGUCCAAUAAAAUUAUUAUCGAUGUAUUUCGUCAAUUCGUUAUUAUUUCAUGGUUUGCUUUAGCUCGAUGUUUACCGAAUUAAAUAUAAAAGUCCCCUUUUUGUAUAAACGACGUUCUUGGCCAAUAAGACUAAAAUUUUGAAUUAAGGCCCAAAGUUUUGUAAAAAUUAACACUUUAGUCCAUAAUGUAUAAAAAUUUGUAAUUUUGCCCCAAAUGUUUAGAAAUUUACGGAUCUAGUCCAAAAAAUUAUAUUUUGACAUUUAUGGCCCAGUUUCGCAGAAUAUUACAUUUUCAGACCCUUGUUUGUAAAAAUGACACUUUUGACCCAGUUUUUAUAAAAGUUACAUUUUUGGUCCAAUUUAGAAAUAUAUGUUAUUUUUACCCCUAAAUUUGGUUUAUUUACAUUUAUGACUAAAACUUUGGUCAAAUAACAUUUUUAAUCCCAAAACUUCCAUUUUUUCGCAAAUUUGGCCCCAAAACCGUGAGGCCCAAAUAUUCAGCCCAUUAGGCUAAAAUUUACGUUUUUGGCCCUUUGGAAAGCAUGUUUAUCAUAAAAAUCCCUUUUUAUACAAACAGGACCUGUUUGGUCCUUUAAAAACCGUAAAUGUCACUUUUUUCCCUUAUCUUUUGUUUUCUUGACAGUUUUGACCCUUAACAAGGUUUUUGCUUUAAAUUUUUGUAUCUUAAACAUAUAAACACUUUUAACUUGAUAAUAUGAUGUAUAAGGUGUUUUAGUGUUGGAUUAAUGUCUAAGUUUAUAACUAUAAUUGGUAAGACUUGACCCGAUCCGGCAUGGUCCAUUUGGGUUGCAUGGCAUCAUGCACUUGGAUAGACUAUAAUGAGAGAAAUAAGACACUUAUGGUUAUUAAUAUAUUAUAAGUUCUAGUAUAUUAAUAAUAAGAAUAAUAAGAUUAUUUAAUUAGUAUUGAUCAAGAAUUAAUCUAGGAUUAAUUAAGUGAUCAAAAGAAGACUAAUUAAAUAUAUGGGUUGAUUGUGUAAAUCAUCCAUACUUAUAUAGUGGGCUAAUGCUCCAUGGAUAAUCAAGUUGGGCUAAAACCCAUAGGAUGGUCCAUGGAUGCUCCAUGGUGUAUUUGAACCCAUGGAUCCAAGGAAAUGGAAAGUCAUGACAAUUAGGGUUUACCCUAAUUGUAACACUAUAUAAAGAUCUUAUUAUUGACCAAAAUCGGCCACUAGAAUCAUUCUAGAGAAGGGCUAGCCGAUUUCAUGUAGUGUAGAUUUCUCUCAAGUUAUUCCAAGUGUAUUUGGUGUUGUGUGAACCAUUUGAGGUGUCACACUUGGGGCACUAGACACUCAAGCUUCAUGAAGACUUUCUACAUCAAAGAAGUAUGUAUUCUAUCUUGUUACAUUCAUUGUUUUGUAUGCUAGAUUAGGAUAAUACCUUGGAAGUUCUUAUUUGCAUGUAUAAUAGAGAAAACAUAGAUCCAAGGUAUUUAGGGUUGCAUGUACACUUAGGAGUGUUAGAAUGCUCAAAACCCAACAGUGGUAUCAGAGCCUAGGCUUGUUUUCUUGUUAUACUUGCAAAAGAAGCUGAAAAAUCGAGUUUUGAUGCUGUCUGCCCAGCAGACUCGCCGAGUCCAUGAAUGGACUCGCCGAGUCCAAGGCAAAAUGCAUCCAACUCGCCGAGUUGGUUCGUGCACUCGACGAGUUGGACCCCCAGACAGCAUAAAUUCGACUUUUUUGGCUGGAAUUGGACUAGGAACAUUACCCUAAGAUGUUUUUGGACUUAUAAACUUGUUUUUGAUGUGGUAAUGUUCAUGCUAAUCCAAUUUCAAAGAUAAUUGUCAAUAGAUUCAUGUUUUGUAUUAGUUUAAGGUUUAGACUAAUUACAUGAAAAAGUUUGAUUUGAAUUAUCUUGUUCUUAUGAGUUGCUUAGAUUAAUAGAAAAGUUGAGUGAAAUAGUUGUUUUCAAUCCAAAUUAAUCUAAGAGUUGAUUCUAAAAUGUGUUUUUGUAACUUGUCCUCAAGUUAUAUGAAAAGUCACAUUUAAGUUUCAUAAAACUCAUAAAAGUUGGCAAAGGUUACAAAAUGAAGAGUCUAGUUCUAAUUAAAUGGUUUUAUGACUCCAUAACUUGUCCUCAAGUUAUGGAGGACCAAGAGUCUCUUCAUUAAAUAAUAAAUAAAAAAAAAAAGUAACCUUAAUUAAUUCCAUAAGUUAUAAAAUAAAGAAAAGUUAAUUCUUUUAUUAGUUUAAAGUCUUCCAUAACUUGUCCUCAAGUUAUGGAACUUGAAGAGUUUUUGGAUUAAAACUACUUUAAACACAUAAGUUAUGGAAUUAAUUAGUUUUGAAUAGUUUCAAAACUUGCCCUCAAGUUUUGGAAUUUGAAAAGUUUUCACUUAUGAAUACUUUAAUUCCAAGUUAGCCCUUAGAAUUUUAAAAGUUAAAAUUCAACCCUUAUACUUUAUAAUAUUAUAAGUUAAUAAUAUAUAUAUGUAUAAGAGUAAAGUCAGUCUUACCGCUAGUACGCCUCAUUCACGAAGCCGGUCUAUAAGGUGGGUAUAAGGUUGUUGCCUAUAAAAUGGCAACUUAAUGGGUGUCCACUCUCACCCACCGCUUGCUUGACUGGUGGAGGGUCGUUAGCCGAACGGGUUUGACAGGACUAGAAUUCUCCCUUCAUUAAAAGUAUUAAUGAUAAUACUAAGUAACUAAACUCUUAAUAAUACCCAAUCUUAGUUACUUAGGAAAAAUGUGAAUAAGGUGCUAAUCCAUGAAAUUACACUUUGCACUUUGUUUAAGUCGGUUAGUGGAGCGUGUGUGGUUAACCGGCACACUAACUCGUAUUUAACAAGGUAGGCAAAGGGUAACUUAAUGUUUAUCAUAGUAUCGAUGGAGCGUGUGUGGUUAACCGGCACAUCGAUUGAGGGGUAAACACUUAAGGGUACCAAGUAAUUUGCAUGGUUACUUCACACCUUGUUUUGUGAUCCUCGGCAUCCCAGUCACAAAACCUGAAGGGCACACUCGAGAUUGAAACAUGCCAUUGAACAGUUCAAUGAAUCUCAAAGAUCUAGGAGUUUCAAAACCAAUUAAAACCUAAUAAUACAUUUCGUUUAUCUUGGUGGAAAUUGGUGAAUCGUCAUUCACCUACCUUCAAAUAUUUUAUAGCUUGGAUUACGGCAUACCUCUUCUAAGUUAUAAAAUAGUUUGUUGGGUCCUAGCCUUAAUAUUUCAUAUUGGGUGUCAUAUUAAGGACUUUAAAUCAACUAUCUUGAAUAUCUCCCAAAAGAUGUCUGGUUUAGACACCUAUGAUCUUCCCAAAUCUCUUGAAACAAGGUUUCCUAAUGAAGAUGAUGUCCCAUGGAUAUCAUACUUCUUCACCUCUUCAAAUUAUUCUCCCUAACCCACAAGUUCUUGAAAAGUUUAAGGUCACUCAGGCCCUAUUGGCAAGGCAAGGUCUAGGUGUGAUCACAUCUUGGAGAUGUAGUCACAUAUUGACAAGCCGGGAGAGUUGGGUGUCAAAGUCUUGAGAAAGUUGGUGGUUCAAUCACUUUCUAAGUCACAUAGUGAGUUCCUUUGGGACACCUAUGAAACAGACUAUGACAAGACCCUUAAUGAUCUUAUCUAUUUGAUAAGAUCAACUUCCUAAAACUUUAUGGACAUUGACAAUGAUAACAUUGGAUAUCUAGUAAAGCUCUCUCUUCCCAGUGGAAAGGGAUCAGCCAUAGUCAACUGGGUUGACCAAAAUGGUAAAGAGAAAAGCUAAGUCUGUGAUAGUCCCGUGUACCAUUAUCAAAGGGUCCAUAUGUUUAUAUUGCCAAAGGAAGGGGGAUUGGUUGCGAAGCUGCCAAAUUUACCUAAAGAUGUUAAAGUCAAUAAGUUUGACUCUACUUCAUGUAAAGUCCACUAUCUAACUCUGUUAAGUUUCUAUUCUGAGAUUCCUGAUACAUGAUGUGACUGGGUCACAUGGUGAUGUUUUAAGAAUCGGAGCAUAUCCUCGAGUGUCUGGAUGGUGCACUCACUCUGACCAUCCGUCUGUGGGUGGUAGGCAGUGCUCAUAUCUAGCUGUGUUCCCAUUGCCUUCUGAAGAUAUUGCCAGAAACUUGAAGUGAAUCUGCUAUAUCGAUUUGAGAUAAUAGAUAUUGGCACUCCAUGGAGUCUCACAACCUCCUUGAUGUAGAUUCGGGUCAGCUUUUCCAUCUUGUAAGAUUCUUUUAUUGGUAGGAAAUGAGCGGAUUUUGUUAAUCUAUCCACGAUUACCCAAAUAGCAUCCAAUCCGUCUGCUAUCUUUGGCAAUUUUGUCACAAAGUCCAUGGUAAUCCUCUCCGAUUUCCACUUGGGUAUCACUGGUUGUUGCAGUAGUCCCGAGGGCUUUUGGUAUUCCACUUUCACUUUGGCACAAGUAAAACACUUGCCCACGAAAGUGGCUAUCUCUGCCUUCAUAUUAGGCCACCAAUAUUGUUGCUUGAUAUCCAAAUACACCUUAUCUGACGCCGGAUGAAUAGAAUAUCGCGUCUUGUGGGCUUCAUGCAUGACUACUUCUUUGAAUCCCUUAAAUUUGGGAACCCAGAUUCUAUUCAUGAAGUAGUGAGUUCCAUCGUCUUUAACUUCGAGCACCUUCUCCAUUCCACGUAGUGAGUCACUAGCGACAUUCUCUGGCUUCAAUGGUUCCAAUUGGUCUUCCUUGAUCUGUGAGGCUAGAUGAGAUUGGAUGGUGAUUGAUAGAGUUUUCACACGACGACUUGAAUACUCCUUUUGGAUCAAGGCAUCGGCUACCACGUUAGCCUUGCCUGGAUGAUAUUUGAUCUCACACUCAUAAUCAUUUAACAGCUCAACCCAUCUCCACUGCCUCAUGUUUAGUUCCUUUUGAUUUAGAAUGUGCUGGAGGCUCUUGUGGUCUGUAAAGAUGGUGCACUUGGUACCAUAUAGGUAGUGCCUCCAAAUUUUCAAGGAGAAGACCACCUCCCCCAAUUCGAGAUGUUGAGUAGUAUAAUUUACUUCAUGUGUUUUCAAUUUUCUAGAUGCAUAUGCAAUUACCUUCCCGCGUUGCAUAAGGACACAACCUAAACCAUGAUUCGAAGCAUCAUAGUAAAUUAUGAAGUCUUUAAUUCCCUUCGGUAAGGAUAACAAUGGAGCACUACAGAGGGCUUGCUUCAAGGUUUGGAAGGCGAUCUCUUGCUUCUCAGUCCAGUUGAAAGGUACGCCUUUCUGUGUCAAUGUGGUGAGGGGUUUGGCUAUCUUAGAAAAGUUCUGAAUGAAUCUUCGGUAGUAGCCCACAAGACCCAAAAAUUGGCGAAUUUAUGUUGGCGUUGUUGGAAUUUCCCAGUUUUUGAUUGCUUUGAUCUUUGAAAGAUCCAUGUGUAUUCCUUCCUAACUAACUACAUGGCUUGGAAAGUUUACACUGCGGAGCCAGAACUCACACUUGGAGAGUUUCGUAUACAACUUUUCAGCUCGAAGGGUCUUCAAGAUCUGUUGGAGAUGUUGACUAUGCUCUUCUUUGCUUCGAGAGUAUAUGAGGAUAUCAUCGAUGAAAACGAUCAGGAAUUUGUCAAGGAAUGGGCGGAAGACUCGAUUCAUGAGGUCCAUAAAUGCAGUGGGGGCAUUUGUUAGACCGAAGGGCAUCACGACGAAUUCGUAAUAACCGUAACGGGUUUGGAAAGCAGACUUAGGAAUGUCCUCAUCUCGGACCUUGAGUUGAUGAUAACUGGAUCUUAGAUCUAUCUUUGAAAAGUAACUAGCCCCUUGAAGCUGGUCAAAUAGAUCAUCGAUUCGUGGAAGUGGAUACCGGUUUUUGAUGGUGAGCUUAUUUAGUUCCCUAUAAUCAAUGCACAUCCUGAAGGAUUCGUCUUUCUUUUUAACGAAAAGAAUCGGAGCUCCCCAUGGAGAGAAGCUUGGUCUUAUGAAUCCUUUAUUCAAGAGUUCACUUAGUUGGCUUGACAAUUCAUGCAUUUCAGCGGGAGCCAACCUAUAGGGUGAUUUGGCUAUUGAAGUGGCUCUAGGCACUAGGUCGAUUCAGAAUUCGAUUUGUCGUUCUGGGGGUAUUCCUGGAAGCUCUUCUAGAAACACAUCCGGGAAGUCACAUGCCACUGGGAUGUUUUGAAUGUUCGCUUCCUCUUUGGUAUUAUCCACCACAUGAGCAAGGAAUGUGUAGUUCUUCUUUUGUAGACACUUUUGUGCCUUGAUACACGAGAUAAGGUAAAGGUUUGCACCGGGUUUAUCUCCGUAGAUUAUUAGGGUUUCGUGAUUAGAAAGAUGAAAGUGAAUGACCUUCUCGUGACACAUAAUAUCGGCAUGAUGGGGGCUUAACCAAUCCAUGCCGAUGAUGACAUCAAAACUCCUAAUAUUUACUGGCAUCAAAUUUAUUUGGAAAAAGUGGUUGUUUAGUGUUAACGUACAUCCUAUAUAGAUAUCUUUGGUUGUUUCAGUGUUCCCAUUAUCCAUUUCCACCGUGAAGGAUUCGUUGAGCUUCUGGGGUUGUUGAUUUAGAAAGUAUUUGAAUUUAUUACUAACGAAACUUCGCUCCGCCCCACUAUCAAAUAAGAUGCAUGCAUACGAGUUGUUAAGUAGGAACGUACCGAUGAUAACAGCUGGGUCCUACACUGCUUCAUCCUAACCCAUUGUCAACACUCUCCCUGCUGCUCCUGCCCCUUGAUUGUUUGCGUUGGGGAAAUUUCUCCUGAAAUUCCCGGUUUUCCCACAUACGUAACAGGUAUAAUUGGCCCCAACAUUGGUGUUGUUGUUAUUGUUGUUGUUGUUGGUGUUGUUGUUGUUGUUGUUUUUUGGCAUCUGGUUUUGUUGAAGCUGAGUCCUGCAAUACUUUGUUGUAUGGCGUUUCUGGUUGAACCUUGCGCAAAUCAUCUCUCUGUAUUCCCCAUGAUGGUGGAAGUUGCAUUUGUUACACUUGGCGAGAUUUCCUGAAUACUGCUUUGGAGCAUUUGGCGUGGAUGAGGCUGGAGCAUGGGGUGUGGUGGUAGCUUGAGUUACAGCAUGGACAGUCACAGUUUGUUGCUUCUUAGAUGAUUCUGAGUUAUGUUUUCCAUUUCUCUUGUUGUUUAUCCCUUUCUUUCUCUCUUCUUCCUUCUUAACCUCCGCUUCCACUGUUUUGGCACGCUUCUUAUUUCCAUGAUCAUACGAUUUCUUGUCCAGUCUCUUGGCGCUAUCAAACAUCUCAGGGUUUUGCUGCAAUAACAUUCCCUUAGAUAGGUGCAGUCAAUCCCUAGAUAAACCUAUCAAUCUUUUUCCCUUCUAAGGUGAUCAUUCCGGGACACAAAAGAGAUAGCUCACUAAACCUAGAUAUGUAUGCGGUUAUAUUGGAGUUUUGAACUGUGAGGUUCCACAACUCUUGUUCCAUCUUCUGAAUUUCACCUCCAAGACAGUAUUCUGCCAACAUCAUUUCCUUAAGCUCUUCCCAGAGCAUCGCGUUCGCUACCGGGAGUGUCAUGGCCUCUACAUGCCCAUUCCACCAGGAGAUGGCUUGAUCAAUGAAUUUGCAGGUUGCGAACAUGACCUUACACUCAUCUGGGCACCCACAGAUUUCAAAAAUGGAUUCUACUUUCUCGAUCCAUCGCUUCAGGGCUAUUACGCCUCCUGUCCCAUUAAAGGUUCGAGGUUUGGCAUUGGUGAAGUCCUUGUAGGUGCAUGUUCGUGUGGCUCCAUGGAUUGUUCCUUGAUUUGUGCUUCCGUUUCCCUGUCGGUUGCCUUCUCUAUUGUUUCCAUUGCGAAUCUGCACAAGUGUUGUAGUGACCGCAACAGACAAUGUUGCCUGGAAUGCAACCGAGAUUAUUUUCGGCGGGUUUGGUGUUGCGUUGUUUCCACGAUUGGGCCUUUGAGGCAUCUUUCUGUCAUGGAACGGAAAGAUGUAGAGUGACUAUUGUUUUGCGAGUUUGGAAUCCCCUAGGCUAGGUGUAUCGAGUGUGUAUUUAAGUAAUUUCAUACAUUAACAUAAAAUAGGGAAGUAAAACACAUAGCAGAUGACAACAUCAUGAUAAAACGUAAAGCAUUUUCAUUAAUACUAAUUGUUUUGAUACAUGAACAUUUGCCAGAAGGCAUACAGUACAUAGGGAAAUAUAAAAUAUGGCAGCAUUACAACCCUAUGAGCAGUGUGAUCACUUAAACAUAGAGUCGAUAGUACAUAGCAUAGUACACAUAAGGGAAACCUAAUAGUAUUAAGAGAUACUACUGGUCCUGAUCAUACUGAGAAGUGCCUAAUGGUGGUGGUGAAAUCAUAUCCCAAAAUGUUAUGCUAAUAACUGAUCCAUCUCGGUCAUCUCUCCGAUGACCUCAUCUUUUUCCUACUCAGUUUGCAUGGCUCGUGCCUCCAUAGCAAAUAGUUGUUGUCGAAGUGUGGCAACCUCCGCUUCCAGAGACCGAUCCUCAUCAACGGGGUUCCCUAGUGGACCAGGGUGGUCCUGGUGUGCCUCAUUGGUAGGUGGUUCGACGGGGGCUUCAUUUUUGUCCCCAUCCUCCUCCAUGUCUUCGUCAGUCCUAUCAAACUCAUAGUCUGUAUUAGUGUACUCGUCGGGCCCAAUGGUAGGGGCUCCUCCUUGUUCCUCCUCGGGAUUCUCCUCAAGCAUCCCAUGUGCCACUAGGGAUUGAUAAAAAUGGACUCCUUGCUGAGCGUCGUCCAUGGUGACUGCAUGAGGGCGUAUGAAUAAGUCAUGUUUUGAUUAUUCCUAUAGUAUAUUUUACUUAUUUAGGUUUGGUUUCCCUAGAGUUGUUGGAGAGUGAGGUAGGCUUUUGGAUUCAUUUCCCGCUAUGAUUACUCCCAAACACAAUUUGGUCAUAUUCUGAAUAAAUAUAGUUGAUCAGGCUAUAUUUAUCCCUAAUAGGACUACAUAACUGCCCAUGUUUAAUUAUAAUGUUCAAUAUCCUCCAAAAGCUUUUAUUAAAUAUUGUUAGGUUAUUAUCCUAAUAUGCGCAUAUAAGUAUGAAAUUUUUGUUUUGUUCACAGUUAUUUAGUCCCAUUGUGUUUAUAGUUGCAUAUCAUGUAUGGUUAGAUAUGCUAGUUCACUAUAAACAUUGCUUUGAUACCAACCUGUCACACCCCCGACCCAGACGGUGGAAACGUCUAGGGGCUCCUGUGACUAACAAUUGAAUUAUCAUCACAAUGGAUAUACAUGAAACAUAACACAUUCAUCACUAACAUUACAUAUUACAACCAGCAUUGUUCACAUCAAGUACAUUGUUAAAGAUUACAUAAAUUCAAAGUAUUAAUAGUAAGAUAGGUGAUGUGACACAAAAUAAAUCCAUACACACUUGAAAAUCUUCCUGCUUAACAAUUACCUGAGAAUACAAGUUAUUUUGAAAAAUGGUCAACAUAUAUAAUGUUGGUGAGUUCAUAAGUAUGUUUGAAUAAAAGUCUUUGCAUCUUUUGUAAAAACCCAGAAAAUCCGAUAUUUUCUGUAAAAUGUCUGAAAAUGAUGUGAAAAUCAAGUAUAAAUUCAUGUGUGAAUUUCAUAGCAGUAACAUAUAUGAUUUCAGUUUAAAUUUCUUUGUAUUGUAAGUAAGUGAUAAUUGAAUAAUAGUCUUUACCCAGAAAAUCCGAUAUUUCCUGAUUUAUAAUAAUGUCAAGGUUCUUGUAUCAUUAAUUAAGUUGUUUCGUAUUGACAAAAUCGAAGGGUUAAUCUUCGAAAUGUUAAAUUGGUAUUGGAUCUCUAUAUGAGUUGUUAUAACCAUGCAUGAUAAUGACUAGGUUGGCUGUCUUGGCAUUUUCCAAACGCCUGUAUUUGCUCAAGGUUUUGUCACCCUAGACUGGCCUAGUCUAGUUGUAGCCAACAACUAAGGCGUGGGGGGUCACCCCAUAUAGAUCUAUACACAAACUCCCGCUCUCCCUCCAGGAAACUCUGGUUAUAACUACAGACUACGAUUGUACACUCAGAGGUGUCAACCGACAUGUCUCACUAGAUUCUCAACUUUUCAUACCAUGUUUAAUGUUUACGUGAAUGUUGUAUGUUUUCAAAUCCAAAGGUAUAUAUAUAAGUAUACGAACUUUAGGGCUGGCAAUUGUUGACACGAUACGCGACACGACAUGAAAUAAAUGGGUUUGGGUUGAGUUUUUCAACCCGCCAACCCGCUAACCCGUCAACCCACCAACCCGUUUAUUAAACGGGUCAUAUAUGGGUUUCUCAAAAAAUAAACGGGUUGACCCGCCAANUGUAAGUGGACCACCAAGGCCCAACAAACAUGUAACCUAUAGCUCAGGCCCAAAUUAACAUGUAAAUGGGUCGCAAGGCCCAAUAAACAGGUCAUGGAAAAUAUUGGGCUCAAUAUAUACUUGAAUGGGCCCUUAAGGCCCAUUGGCCAUGUAAUGUGAAUAUUAGGUCCAAUAAAAUUGCUAUCAAUGUAUUUCGUCAAUUCGUUAUUAUUUUGUGGUUUGCUUUAGCUCGAUGUUUACCGAAUUAAAUAUAAAAGUCCUCUUUUUGUAUAAACGACGUUCUUGGCCAAGAAGCCUAAAAUUUUGAAUUAAGGCCCAAAGUUUUGUAAAAAUUAACACUUUAGUCCAUAAUUUAUAAAAAUUUGUAAUUUCGCCCCAAAUGUUUAGAAAUUUACGGAUCUAGUCCAAAAAAUUAUAUUUUGAUAUUUAUGGCCCAGUUUCGUAGAAUAUUACACUUUCAGACUCUUGUUUGUAAAAAUGACACUUUUGACCCAAUUUUUAUAAAAGUUACAUUUUUGGUCCAAUUUAGAAAUAUAUGUUAUUUUUUCCCCUAAAUAUGGUUUAUUUACAUUUAUGACUCAAACUUUGGUCAAAUAACAUUUUUAAUCCCAAAACUUCCAUUUUUUUGCAAAUUUGGGCCCAAAACCGUGAGGCCCAAAUAUUCAGCCCAUUAAGCUAAAACUUACGUUUUUGGCCCUUUGGAAAGCAUGUUUAUCAUAAAAAUCCCUUUAUAUACAAGUAGAACCUGUUUGGUCCUUUAAAAACCACUUUUUGCCCUUAUCUUUUGUUUUCUUGACAAUUUUGACUCUUAACAACGUUUUUGCUUUAAAUUUUUGUAUCUUAAACAUAUAAACACUUUUAACUUGAUAAUAUGAUGUAUAAGGUGUCUUAGUUCAUGGGUUUUUUACUUAAUGUUGCUUAAGAUGUCGAGACAUGCUAAGAUCUAACAUAUUUUUUACAAAAUAGACUAAGAAAUCACACACGACAUGCAUAUAACACAUAGAUCUACACAUUUUACUUGUAUUCUCCCCCAAAACUAAUAUGAAAACCAAAAACAAGGGGGUAAGAACUCACCUUUGCUUCGAUGUUUCGGUUUUGAAGAAGAAAUGGAAGAAGUUGAUGUGAUUUUUUGCUCUAGCAAGCUCCUUGAGUAGAUUUCGAGCUUAAGAAGUUUCCAAGAGUCUGACCAUGGAAUAAAGCUAUGUAACAAGGAAUUUUUUGAUGUUAAAAUAAAAGGAGAUGUUUGUGUUUGAUAACAACUUACCAAAGAUUGAAAAUGCUUGAUGAAGAUCCUUAAAACUCAAGCAAAAUUUUGAGAUCCUUGGAGAAAGGAGGAUGAUCUUUGAGAGUGUUUGGAGAGGAUUUGAAAGAGUGUGUGUGUGUGUGUGUGUGUGGUUUGCCUCUCGGCCGUGAGUAGAAGAAGAAGGGGGAAAGAGAAGAUGUGAUGGAUACUUAGGAGUAUAAGCUUUGUAUUUGCUUAAUGGGUAAUUAGCUUGGAGAACCACCAUGUAAUUAUCAUGUGUCAAUGCAUGGUAAUUCUCUUAUUUUCCUUUUUUUACAUGUAUAUGAAUGUACAUAUCUAAUGGGCCGAGAAAAAGAAAGAAUGGAGGGGCUUUGGCCUCUUUUUGAUUUGGUUCGAGUUUAUGAGGCCCAUAGAAAGAGGCUUUCGGCCCAUUGGGCCUUUAGGUGUGUUCACGGCCCAUUUCGAAAGAAGAAAGGGUGUUUAUGGCCCAUUACGGCUAAUUAAUUCAUUAAUGGCCUAAUAAGGCCCAUUAAGGAUAAACCAAUUUAUUUUGGACCCAAAAUGGCCCAAAAUGCUAAGUUUCACGGAAGUGGGUCCAAUUAGUGCCCAUUUAAGGGUCCUAAGCCCAAAAUAGUUAAAUUGGAACCUCAUUGGUCCAUUAGGCCCAAUAAGGAAAUCCUAGUCCAAUAUGGACUUAAAUCGGGAUUCUUAGGGUUUUCAAACUCUUUGUUGAACAUGAGAGGUGAAUUUAAAUGAGCAUUGCGUGAUAUUUACUUAAAGUAUAUGUUUUACACUAGUUGAAUGAUUACACGAGAAUAGAGUUUUCUAGCAAAAAUGCUAGUUGUGACAUUAAUGAAAUCGUGAUUAUUUAUAGUAGGAGCAACAUUCCUCAUAGCAACCACACUUGAUUUACCAACUUCACCUAAAGUCAUCUGCAUAGGCAAGGUGCUUAAGUUUACAAACAAGGUAAAAUCAGUUGAUCGAGUUUUGUUCACGACAUCUAUCUCAUUAACAACACUGAUACUUGGAUGAUCCUAAAGUUUUGAUGAUGAACCUCUUCCACAAAUAUCCGUUUAUUGUUUUGAGUAUGAUCUUUGAGAUAAAACACUUGUUUAGCUUGUGUGGAUAAGAUGUAUUAUUGAUCAUCAUACCUUCUUUUAUUGACAUACCAUCCAUGACUGGUAUCUAUAACGACCAUAUUAUUUAUAGUCUUUAAACAUCCAUUACGUAAUGACACAUUGAACCAUUUACCACGACAGAGUAAAAUUGAGUUACCAUAUAAAUAAUGCGAAUCUAGGAUCUCCUCUAAUUGUCCAUAGAAUGGUCUACCAUCUUCUUGUUGGAUUAGUGUCUAAUUCCAUAACUAUAUUUGGUAUGUACUUGACCCAAUUGGCAUGGUCCAUUUGGGUUGCAUGACAUCAUGCAUUUGGAUAGACUAAAAUGAGAGAAUAACACUUAAGGUUUAUUAAUAUAUUAUAAGUUCUAAUAUAUUAAUAAGAUUAUUUAAUUAGUAUUGAUCAAGAAUUAAUUUGGAACUAAUUAAGUGAUCAAAUGGAGACUAAUUAAAUAUAUGGGUUGAUUGUGUAAAUCAUCCAUACUUGUAUAGUGGGCUAAUGCCCCAUGGAUUAUCAAGUUGGGCUAAAACCCAUAGGAUGCUCCAUGGUGUGUUUGUACCCAUGGAUCAUGGAAAUGAAAAGCCAUGAAAAUUAGGGUUUACAUGGUGUAACCCUAAUUGUGACACACUAUAUAAGUAUCUUAUUCUUCCCAAAAAAAGAGCUAUAAAGGAAUGGUGAGGGCUAGCCGAUUUCAUGAAGUGUCUAAUUUCUCUCAAGUUAUUCUAAGUGUAUUUGGUGUUGUGUGAACCAUCUGAGGUGUCACACUUGGGGAACUAGGCUCUUAAGCUCCGUGGAAUCAAGCUACACCAAAAGGAAUGUCUUCUAACUUGUAUUAUUCCUCAUGAAUCAAUAUUUUGUAUGCUAGUUAGGAUAAUACCUUGGAAUAUUAAUAUUUGCAUGUAUAAUAGAGAAAACAUAGAUCCAAGAUAUUUAGGGUUGCAUGUACACAUAGGAGUGUUAGAAUGCUCAAAACCAUUCACUUCUCCAAAUUUAACAACACCACUAUUUUUAGUAGUGUGUCAGAGAUCACGAAUACUCACAACAAAACGAACACCGACAAUAUGUAUUAUGUUGGUCAUAGACAAUUCUUGAAUAUGAACCAUAGAUGGAGGGAGAGUCUAUUGUUUGAUGGUCCACCCGAUACAAGACCGUAUCCUAGACGAUUUAGUAAUUUAACUAUAUUAAAGUAAUGUAACGUCUGUGUUUCUGGGCUUGCCAUUUUUAGCAAUGUANNNNNNNNNNNNNNNNNNNNNNNNNNNNNNNNNNNNNNNNNNNNNNNNNNNNNNNNNNNNNNNNNNNNNNNNNNNNNNNNNNNNNNNNNNNNNNNNNNNNGACGAAGGUGGACCGGUAUGCGAAGGGACUCCCAUGGGAGUAUGACGUGCCAGUACGUCAGGCACAUACUUUAGAGGCAGCUAUCUGGGCUACCAAGUCUGUUGAGAACAUGAUAAAGGGGAGAACCACCAACAAGGUUGAGGUUGGUGAGAAGAGGAAGUUUGAGGGAACAUCUGGUUCCGGUAAGAAAAGCAAAUUUUCGAAAUCUGAUUCGAAAAGGUUUGGUGGGGGUAAAGGAGGGGAAGCGAAGUGGUGUGAAAAGUGUAAGAAAAAGCAUUUCGGGAAAUGUAGCGAGGAUGUAACUUGCUACAAGUGUGGAAAGGUUGGACAUUUUGCCAAUGAAUGUCCGAACAACAAAAGGAUGUGUUUUGGUUGUAAUGAAGAGGGGCAUAUUUUGAAAGACUGUCCGAAGAAGAAGGAGGCAGCUAAGCCCAACAUUCCACCAAAGCCGAAGGCGAGAGCCUUCCAGAUGACACUUGAGGCUGCGAAAGAUGAAGCUGAUGUCGCUUCAGGUACCUUUCUCGUAAACGAAUUACCUGCUCAUAUAUUGUUUGAUUCUGGAGCCAACUACUCCUUUAUUUCGCAUGAGUUUGGUAGAAAGCUAGCUUUGCCUAUUGAUAGACUAGAUGAUGCUUUAUUAGUCGAAGUAGCUAGUGGCAAGUUUGUACCUGUUAGUCAUCGUAUGAAAAGCAUCUUAAUUGAUCUGAAUGGGAAUAAGUUUCACGAGGAAUUAUUGCCUAUCGAACUAAAUGGUUUCGACAUCGUGUUGGGAAUGGAUUGGCUUAGCGCCAAUGAUGCCGAAAUUUUGUGCAAGAAGAAGAUAGUUAAAGUAAACCCGCCUGGGAAAGAUUCGUUUAUGGUGUAUGGGGACAAACGCAGAGUGAAUUCUGGAAUCAUUUCUCUAAUGAAAGCCAGAAAGUGUUUGACCAAGGGAUGUACAUCAUAUUUAGCAUUCGUGAUUGAUGCUAAGAAGGAAAAGAAGGUGAUGCAGAGUAUUCCAGUGGUGUGUGAUUAUCCGGAAGUAUUUCCCGAGGAUCUUCCUGGAUUACCACCUGAUAGACAAGUGGAGUUCAGAAUAGACUUGUUACCAGGAACCACGCCAAUAGCAAAAGCACCUUAUCGAUUAGCACCGACGGAGAUGAAGGAGCUGAUGAUGCAACUUCAGGAGUUAUUGGACAAAGGUUUCAUUAGACCUAGUUCAUCGCCCUGGGGAGCUCCGGUGUUAUUUGUAAAGAAGAAAGAUGGAAGUAUGAGAAUGUGCAUCGAUUACAGAGAGCUGAACAAGGCAACAAUAAAGAAUAGAUAUCCGUUGCCGAGGAUUGAUGACCUGUUUGAUCAAUUGCAAGGUUCGAGCUAUUUCUCGAAGAUCGAUCUUAGGUCAGGAUAUCAUCAGCUGAAAGUAAGAGAGCAAGAUAUCGAGAAGACUGCAUUCAGAACUAGAUAUGGACACUACGAGUUCUUGGUUAUGUCGUUUGGACUAACCAAUGCUCCAGCAGCGUUCAUGGAUUUGAUGAAUAGGGUUUGUAAUCCUUUCCUUGAUAAAUCCGUGAUAGUGUUCAUAGACGACAUUCUGAUCUACUCGAAAAGCCAGGAGGAGCAUGGCAGACACUUGCGAGAAGUGUUAGAAGUUUUGAAGAAGGAGAAGCUUUAUGCGAAGUUCUCCAAAUGUGAUUUUUGGAUUCGUGAGGUCCAAUUCUUGGGUCACGUGGUCAACCAAGAAGGGAUAAUGGUUGAUCCAGCGAAGAUCGAAGCUGUGACGAAGUGGGAACAACCGAAAAGUCCCACGGAGAUUCGAAGCUUUUUAGGAUUAGCCGGAUAUUACCGAAGGUUUAUCCAAGGCUUUUCUUCGAUUGCUACUCCAUUAACAGCUUUGACCCACAAAGGAGCUACUUAUGCUUGGAGUGAGAAGCAUAAAGAAGCAUUCGAGAAGUUAAAGAAGAAGCUAUGCGAGGCACCGAUACUUUCUCUACCCGAUGGAGUUGAAGACUUCGCUGUUUAUAGCGAUGCGUCUGGUGUUGGAUUGGGUUGUGUUUUGACCCAAAGAGAAAAGGUGAUAGCAUAUGCGUCUCGACAGCUGAAAGAGCAUGAAAAGAAUUACCCGACUCAUGAUUUGGAGUUGGCAGCGGUAGUUUUCGCUCUGAAAAUAUGGAGGCAUUACCUCUAUGGCACGAAGUGCAAACUUUUCACUGAUCAUAAGAGUCUCCAAUACCUCUUUAAUCAGAAAGAAUUGAAUAUGAGGCAACGACGCUGGCUAGAAUUACUUAAAGACUACGACUGCGAGAUACUUUACCACCCCGGUAAAGCUAAUGUUGUUGCUGAUGCUCUCAGUCGGAAAGUCAAUCUUGAAAGGAAGAGGCCAAGAGCGUUGAGAAUUGAAGUUGUCUCGACUAUUGUGGAAAGUAUAAAGAAAGCUCAAGAGGAAGCUUCUGAGAAAAAUGACCGAAAGGAGGAACGUUUGGGUAAAACGUUGGUGUUUGGUACUAACGGUCAUGGACUGAAGGUAUUCCAAGAUCGUAUUUGGGUACCUAAGUCAGGAGGAAUUAGGGAUCUUCUGAUGGAAGAAGCUCACAAAACCAUGUACUCAAUUCAUCCGGGUAGCACUAAAAUGUAUAGGGACCUGAAACCCUACUACUGGUGGCCGACGAUGAAGCUUGAUGUUGCAAAGUAUGUGGCCGAGUGUGUGACUUGUGCGAGAGUCAAGACACAACAUCAGAAACCUUACGGGAGUUUAGAACCAUUGCCUGUGCCUAUGGGUAAGUGGGAAGACAUUGCUAUGGAUUUUGUCACUAAACUGCCCAGAACAAAGAAUGGUCACGACAUGAUUUGGGUGGUCGUUGAUCGAUUCACUAAGAGUGCGCAUUUCAUAGCGGCCAGGGAGAAAUGGUCUAUGGAAAAGCUUGCGAAUUCUUACGUGAAGGAAAUUGUGAGGCUUCACGGUGUUCCGUUAACGAUUGUAUCGGAUCGUGAUAGCCGUUUCACCUCAAGGUUUUGGAAAAGUCUACAAGAGGAAAUGGGUACCAAGUUAUGUUUAAGCACAGCUUACCAUCCGCAGACUGAUGGUCAGAGUGAAAGAACAAUACAAACACUUGAAGAUAUGCUGAGAGCAUGUACCUUGGAAUUCCUAGGUAAUUGGGAUGAACAUUUACCGUUGGUAGAAUUUUCCUAUAAUAAUAGUUUUCACUCGAGCAUUAAGAUGGCACCUUAUCAAGCUUUGUAUGGACAGAAGUGUCGUACGCCGUCUUGUUGGCUUGAGGCUGGGGAAAAGCAGUUUAUGGGACCGGAGAUGGUUCAUCAAACUGCUGAAAAGUUGAAAAUAAUUAGGGAAAGAAUGUUAGCAGCUCAAGAUCGUCAAAAGAGCUAUGCUGACAAGAAGCGAAGACCGAUGACUUUUGAGGUUGGAGAUUCGGUUUUGCUUAAAGUCUCGCCGUGGAAGGGACUUAUAAGAUUUGGUAAAAGGGGAAAGUUGAGUCCAAGGUUUAUUGGACCGUUUAAAGUCCUUCAGAGGAUUGGGAAUCAAGCUUACAAGCUCGAAUUACCCGAAGAACUGAAUGGAAUUCACAACACCUUUCAUGUGUGUUAUUUGAGGAAGUUCACGGGAGAAGUUCCCGAUAUAAUUCCAAUUUCUGAAUUGAGAAUUGAUGAGAACAAAAGGUUGAUUGAAGAACCAGAGGCAAUUGUUGACCGAAAGACUAAGAAGUUGCGACGCAAAAUGGUUGGGUUAGUGCUUGUCCGAUGGAAACACACGAAUGGGCCGAAUCUCACCUGGGAGACGGAGAGUGACAUGUUGAGUCGCUAUCCGCAUUUGUUUGUUGAUGUGUGAUUCCGGGGACGGAAUCAUUCUAAGGUGGAGAGAAUUGUAACGCCUGUGUUUCCGGGCUUGCCAUUUUUAGCAAUGUAAUAGUCUAGGUUAACCUUUGUAACCCGUUUUGAAAUAAUAAGAUUGUAUUAUUUGAGUAUUAUGUGUUUUGUGCUUAAUUGCUUAAUUAUGUGGUUUGAUUAAUUAAGAAUAAAAAUAAGCGUCAAAAUUUAAGUGUAAAAUAAACUUAAUAUCUUUGGUUAAUGUUGUAGUAGUUGAAACGAGGUUUCCGAAUAUAUAUAGAACGCCCAAAUCUGACUUCGUAUGAGGAAGUUAUGAUUUAUCGAAGUUCCGGCUUAGCGAUAUACAGCCUGUUUUACUCGAUUUGAGAUCGAGCGGUUGUUAGCCGAAGCAAUCUAAAUGAGAAUCGAAGAUCUCAUUGUUGGUAUUGAAACGAUAAAAAGUUAGGCGAGAACGGACGUCAAACGAAGAAGUUAUGAAUUUAUAACGAAAGUUUCUGUCCCGGCCUAUUAAAAAUAAUUAAUAAAAAUAAAGUCAAAAUUAGCCGACGGAGUCUAAACGAAAGUCGUAGAGCGUGGUCUCACCUUCGCGUGGAUAUAAAGAACGUCGAAAACGGAGUUCGUAUGAAGAAGUUAUGAAUUUCCGAAGUUUAUUAAUCAUUUUGUAUUUAUUUUUAAUUCAAAAUUCGGAAGCAUUAUCCGAAGGAGUCACCGAUCUGAUCCGAGGUACGCCCCGCGUACUCGAGUACGCCCCGCGUACUCCGAGGGAUGUCGACACUCGCACUCGAGCACUUCGGAUACGUAAGCAAUGACGUUUUGGGCAGUACGCCCCGCGUAACGCAGUACGCCCCGCGUACUCCGAGGCUCCAGCCUCCUAUAAAUAGGAUGCGAGGGUUCCGGGUAUUUUUGCCAAUUCCCUCUCGUUUUCGUGUCGAAGCUCUGUGCAAAAACCCCCGAAGCUACCCCGAAGUCCCGGUAUCAUACUCUAGCCCCGAGGCAAGUCCCGAGAUCCUGAAGAUCCCGAAAAGUGCGGUUCCCGAGUCGAAGCUCUGCCCGCGAGAAGUUCGAUUUUCGAGAAGAUCUUCCAGAUCUGCUGUGGAUUACUACUUCUAUAAGCCGUAGUGCUGUCCGAUCAUCUUCUGAUCAAGUGAGUGUGUAGUUAUUUCUUCUAAUACAAUAAUACGAAGUAUUUUAUAUAAAAAUACGUGCUAUGUGUAUAUAUUUUGUUGUUAUAUAUGUGAAUGUAUACCCACUCUCUUCUAUCUUAUAGAUCUGAUUAUUUCUCAAUGAAAUACGUGUUAUGUGUGUGUGCCUCAUCUGUUAUGUGAAAAAUGUUUUGAUUGAGCAUGCUAUACAGGUUUUGAAACUACGUAUAAAAAUGUAUAUUUUAUCUACUAAUAUGUUGGGUAGAAUAUGGGUAGAUAGUUGGUGUGUAAUAAACAGAUGAGAGGCCUCGAUGUUGUUUUGAUCCAGUCAUCUAGCGGAAUUUAGAUGACGACCACGGACUUUUCUAGACAGUCCAGUGGAACGCUAGCAGGCUCAUAACCUGUAGGUGUUAAUGAACUUGGGUGUUCAUUCGCUGUAUUCCAUCCCCCCCAUGGUUGCCUUAUUUGACUUAUAUUGCUGAGGAACCCCCGAAGCAUGUGUAGUCGCCCCGAUGAAAUAUUCUUUGACUAGGUCCCUUGUGUUAGUUAUUUUAGGGACAUAAAGUGAGAAUAACGGGAAUGGGUAACUGGGUUAUUGUUGGAUGAUAAUAAUUAAUUAAAUUAUUUAUUGUGGGUUGAAAACCCUAUAUGCUCACCAGGCUCCCAAGCCUGACCCACUCAGUUGAUUUAUUUUACAGGAAGUGGCGCAAGAGCUUAAGAUGGGCGAACAUCAAGUUGUUUUGUUUACAAGUCUGUAUAUGUAUAUAUUUGUUGAAAGACUUGUAAUGCUAUCGUUUAUGCUUUAUGAUCUGUAUCGGAACAUGACAUCCCGACUUUUGAUUAUGAAAUGAAAUCAUAUUUCUUUAUGAAAUGUUUUGAUAAAUAUCUAUUUUAUCAUGUUUUGUUUUUGGGAACAAAUUCCGCAUCUCUUUUAAAAAUUAAAAGGAUUUACUCUGAAAAUUAUUUUAAAAAGCAUAAAUGAAAUCGGUCUUUUCUGGCCGAGAUUUUGGGGAUGUCACAAGUAAGUAGCUCGUCUCUCUGAUAAUAUGUAUUAUGUUGGUCAUAGAUGAUUCUUGAAUAUGAACCAUAGCUAGAGGGAUAGCCUAUUGUUUGAUAGUCCACCUAACACAAGACCGCGUCUUAGACAAUUCAGUAAUGUAACUAUAUUAAAGUAAGUAGCUCGUCUCUCUGAUAAUAUUCCAGGGGAAUAUCCUAAUCAUGGGGCUAAAAAAGAAAGCAUGAACAUGAAAGCAAAAAGGCAGAGUUGAAUCGGAUGAAACAAAGUAUCUUAUUUGAGCUUGAGUAUUGGUCUUCCCUCCACCUAAAACAUAAUUUUGAUGUUCUACAUGUUUUGAAAAAUAUGAAUGAGAGUGUGUAUAAUACUACACUGAUGAACGAUAAAAGAAAAUACAUAAAAGAAGUAAGAAUUGACUUGAAAAAUACGGUCAUUCGACCAGAUCAAUGGCCAAAAGAGAAAGUCAAGAAGAAGAAGACAGUACACCAUUCUAUGGUCCCUUGGUUGAUGCAUCUCUCAUUUGGACUCCUUCAACCCAUAACAUUUUCAACUCAGCCACCAAAGGCCUCAAGUAAACAUCAAUGUCCUUUGUAGGUGAUCUAGGGCCAGGAAUCAACAAAGUUAGCAUGAAAGAAGAGUCCUUCAUACAUAUCCAUGGUGGUGUAUUGUAGUUAGUAAAUAUAACCAUCCAAAUAAUAUAAGUAUUAUUAAAGUUGUUGAACGGAUUAAAGCCAUCAGCAGCUGAACCUAGACGAAUAUUUCUAUAUUCUUUAGCAAACUCUCGAUAUCUCUUAUCAAAUUAUUUCCAUGACUUCUCGUCAACCGGAUGACGCAUCUUACCAUCCAUUGAGCAUCCAGUAUUAUGACAACUAAUAUAUUUACCAGUGAAUCUGGAACUAUACAUUCGUCGAAGCCUUGAGUCAAAGGAAACUACCACAAUGCUUUUUGUGGUACUCUCUUCCCAUUUUGUUGUUGUGUCCACCCAUUUGCUUGCAUUACAAAUUCGGGCAAUUUUACAUGGAAUCAUUCUCCUUCCAAAACGAAGCACAAUCAUAUUUACAAGUAUGGAUGGAUUGAUAUCAAACCCUAUCUUUCUCAACUUAUUCUUAGCUUCAUAGUGUGAAGUUGCUCUUCGGGAAUGAAACUCUUAGUAACUCUACAAGUUGGUUAAAAAAAAUAUUUGUCCAUUUAUUUAUCACUUUAGUAUGCAACAACUUUGCCAGAAAGUUUAUGUAACGUCCCAAAAAUUAAGACUAAAAGUUUUUAAUUUUAAAUUAAUUAAAACCAUUAUCCAAACAACAUCUUAGAAAUCAUAGUGCAUCAAAGUGUAUCAAUAACAUCCAUGUACAUCAGCAAGAUAUAAAAAUGCAGAACGACGUGGUGGGUGCAUUGCAAUCAUCCCGUGUAACGCCCGUAAACUCGGGCUAGUCAAUUUAGAGACAAUGUGCGUCAAAAAUGACUUUUUGAUGGGAGAUUGUUUACAAGAAACAAUCUUAACCAAGUUAUAUUAUAUGUCACAAAGGUUCCUUAUAUAUAAAGAACGCCAAAAUCCGAGUUAUAACGAAGAAGUUACGACCUUUCGAAGUUCUACGACAAAACCAACACGGCACCGUGUAACGUAAAAAGUGAAAUCUUGAUAAAUUACUUUUUAGCCUUAGGGAUCUAAAUGAAAGUUGUUUUAUACAUUAAAUUGAGAGCAUGCAUAAAAAGAACGUCAAAAUCUGACUUUGUAUGAGGAAGUGAUGAUUUUUCUAAGAUUUCGCACAGAGUAUACAACCUGGAAUUCGAAUGUCAGAUCGAGUGAUUUUUAGCCAACACAACCUAAAUUAUAAUUGAAUAUCUCAUUAAUAGGAGUUCAACGAUAAAAAGACAGUUAAAAACGGAGUCUGUAUGCAGAAGUUAUGAAUUUUACACGGUCGUUAACAAAAUAAUAUUUUCAUACUGUUAUAUUUAAAAUUGGUUGAGAAUUAGCCGAUUCAAUCUAAAGGAAAGUUGUAGAUCUUGUCAAUACCUAUGUGUGGAUAUAAAGAACGUAAAAAACGGAGCUCGUAUGCGAAAGUUAUGAAUUUUUUAAAAUUUGUUGUUUUACCUGCGUCCAGCGCCACGUGUCAGCACCAGGCGAAGCCUUAGUGCCUACACAAGGCCACGACGUGGAUUAUAAGUCUAUGAUGUUGAUUUCCCCAGAUAACCUAUAAAUAGAGGUGGAAAUAAUCCAUUUCCUUCACACCUUCACCCUUCUUUCUGUCUCAACACUCCCAAUCUCUCCCUCCUAAUCCCUAGCAACUUCUAAGUGCUAGAGGCGAGUCCCGGAGCGCCAAAAGGGUCCGAGAAGAAGAGUUUUCGUCUCAAAAUUUCCGCCCCCUCAGAGCCCGGUUCCUAGCCAAACCCCCAGGAAGUGAGUUAUGCUUACACUACUUUAAGUAUACUUAUGUUUAAGUUUAUUAUCGUUAUUAUGAACUUAUAAACAAGAUUUAUCAGUGAUUCCAAGUCGUUAUACUAAUUGAUCUACUUACGGGGAUGAUAUAUAGGUUGUGAUUUAGUGAGGUGUUUAAAGUGGGAUUUCAAAACAGUAUACUUCGUAUACGAAACGGAACUUACCUCCGAUAUGAUCCUACAUGGUUGUUCCUUACUUGAUAGAUCAUGAAAGUAGACUUUGAGUUAAUGAUGAAUCUAGACUAAUAAUUAGUCGUGCGUAAAGAUUAGACUAAAACUUAGCGAUAAUAAUGCUAGGUUUCAUCGAAGGAAAAUAGAAUCAUGAGAAGCAAAGUGCUUCCCGAGUUUGGAAUUAUCACUUUGAUAAGUGAGUGCAUAGUUACUUUCAUCUUACACAUAGAUAUGAAGUAUAUUAUAUAAAUUACAUGCUAUGUGUUCAUAUUAUAUGUUUACUUUAUAUCUAUGCUAGAUGAAUGAUCCUAUACAUGUUUUGAAUGAUUUAAACUGUAUAUAUAUUUUUUGUAUCUAUAAAAUCUAUUGGGUAAAACAUGGGUAGAUGAAUGAUAAGGGAUGAAAGUUGAUAUAGAGGAACAUUGGCAGUUAUAGACAUAGUGUCCUAUAGGUGAACAUUGACAACAAUGGACUUAGUGCCCUAUAGAUGAGCAUUGGCAGCCGUGCCACCACCUGUAGAUGUUUUGAUCUACGAUGUACUCUAAACAUCAUAGCAGCUGCGCUCAAAGGGUAGUAUCGGCAGCUGCGUGUAACGCAUGUGUUUCUAGGCUUGUCAUUAAUAUUGAUGUAAUAGUGUAGGUUAACCAUUGUAACCUGUUUCGAAAUAAUAGAAGUGUAUUAUUUGAGUAUUAUGUGUUUUGUACUUAAUUGUGUGUCUUAAUUAAAUUAAGUAUGAAAAUAAGCAUCAAAAUUAAAUGUUACAUAAAGCUGAUAUCUAUGGAUAAUUUUGUAGUAGUUGAAACGAGGUUUCUGAAUAUAUAUAGAAUGCUGAAAUCCGAGUUAUAACGAAGAAGUUAUGAUCUGUCGAAGUUUCGCGACAUAAAUCGGCACGACGAUGAAUGACGUAAAAAGUGAAUUUAUGUUAGAUUUAUCUUUAGUCCUAGUGAUCUAAACGAAAGUUGUAGAGUUCGUUAAACCGAUAGCGUGCAUAAAAAGAUCGACCAAAUCUGACUUCGUAUGAGUAAGUUAUGAUUUUCCGAAGUUUCGACUUAGCAGUGUGCAGCCCGAAUACUCGAUUUGAGAUCGAGCGGUUUUUAGUCGAAACAAUCUAAACGAGAAUCGAAGAUCUCGUCAAUGGUAGAGCAACGGUAAAAAGAUAAAUGAAAACGGACGUCAGAUGAAGAAGUUAUGAAUUUAUAACAGAGUUUUCCUAUCCCGGCCUACUAAAAAUAAAUAAUAAUAAAAUAAAUUCAAAAUCAGCCGACAGAGUCUAAACGAAAGUUGUAGAGUGUAGUCUCACCUACGCAUGGAUAUAAAGAACGUCGAAAACGGAAUUCAUAUGAAGAAGAUAUGAAUUUCUGAAGGAUUUAUAUGAUUAAUAUUUAUUAAUUAAUCUUUAAUUCGAAUGUAUAUCCGAAGGAGUCACCGACCUGAUCCACACUAUGCCCAGCGUACACCGAAGCGUGACCCACCUCGCACUCGAGUGCUCCGAUGACACAUGCAGUGACGAAUCCGAAGCGUACGCCCCGCGUACUGAGCAUUACGCCUAGCGUAAUGCGAGGCUUCAGCCACUAUAAAAGGGCAUGCGAGGGCAGCCAAUCCUUUUGCUCAAUUUCUUUUCUCUCUCUCUUGUUUUCCAUCGUUUUGCGUUCAACUUAUACCCCGAAUCCCCAGUAUCAUUCCCGAGCCCCGAAGCAAGUCCCGAAGCCCCGAAGAUCCCGAGGAGUAGAGUUCCCGAGCCGAAGCUCUACCCGCGAGAAGCCAAUUUUUGUGAAGAUCUUCCAGAUCUAUCAAAGAAUACUACUUCUACAAGUCGUAGUGCUAUCUGUUCAUCUUCUAAUCAAGUGAGUGUGUUGUUACUUUCUUCUAACGCAUAAUUACGAAGUAUUUUAUAUGAAAUACGUGUUAUGUCUAUAUUUUGUGUUGGAUAAGGUGUCUAAGUCCAUAACUAUUUCUGGUAUGUACUUGACCCGACCCGGCAUGGUCCAUUUGGGUUGCAUGGCAUCAUCCAUUUGGAUAGACUAUAUGAGAGAAUUAACACUUGUGGUUUAUUAAUAUAUUAUAAGUUCAAAUAUAUUAAUAGUAUUAUUUAAUUAGUAUUGAUCAAGAAUUAAUCUAGAAUUAAUUAAGUGAUCAAAUGGUGACUAAUUAAAUAUAUGAGUUGAUUAUGUAAAUCCUCCAUAACUUAUAUAGUGGACUAAAGGGCUCCAUUGAUAAUCAAGUUGGGUUUGUUGGAUUAUUGUCUAAGUCCAUAAACUAUUUUGGUAUGUACUUGACCCGAUGGUGUAUGGUCAUUUUGGGUUGCCUUCACCAAAGCAACUUGAUAGGAUGAAUUAUAAAGAGAAAGGAUUAAAUAUGAUUUAUUAAUAUAUUAUGAUAAUACUAUAUUAAAGGAGAAAUCAUAUUGUUUAAUUAAUAUUAGUCAAGAAUUAAUUGAUAAUUAAUUUUGUGACUAAAAGAGAUUAAUUAAACUUAAGGGACUAGAACUGUCAAUUGUAUGAUAGUUGAAUAUUGAGCUAAUGGACUCCAUAUUAAAGGAGUGGAUGAAUUCUAUGGGGAAACCCAUUAGAAAUCGUCCUAGGCCUUUAAGGAAGGAGCCCAUGGGUUACUUAGGGCUUAAGCAUCCAAAUUAGGGUUUCCUUGUUAGAUAACCCUAAUAGCCUCACUAUUUAAGGACCCUUUGGGCACCAAAAACGUAGGCAACUGAAUCCUAGGGGUUUCUACACGUUUUUGGGUGUUUCUUCUCUUCUCCUAUUCAUCCUCUUGCUCUUGGUGUUUGUGAACCAUUAGAGGAGUGACAUUUGUGACUCUAAGCUUUCUAAAGUCAUUACAAAGGAGGAUUUGAGAUUGUUAUUGCUACAUAACAAUCAAGGUAUGAUCUAAACCCUAAUUCAUAUCUUAUACUGAUUAUCAUAUACUAGAUCCAAGCAUUAGGGUUUGUAUGAGCACAUAGGAUGUUCUUAUAGCUAAAACCCAUCAGUGGUAUCAGAGCCUUGAUUGGUUUCUAUUGUAUUGAUGCCUUGUUAAUUUGUUCAUGCUUGAAAAAUUCGAUUUUGUGAGUCUGCCUAAUGAACUCGGCGAGUCCCAUUGUGGACUCGGCGAGUAGGCCCCUACUCGGCGGGUCCAUAGGGGUACUCGGCGAGUUCGAGCGUCAGAAAGAGGGGACUUCGAGAUUUCUUGCUGAUUUACUCAUGGAUACUUGCCUUAUCUGUUUUAGAUCAUUAAAAUCCGAUUUUAAACAUAUUUAUGAGUAUAUCCUUGAUUAAACAAAAGAUAAUUACCAAUUGAUUAGAUAAUAACUUCCUUAUAUGAUAAAGUUUGAUUAUUUGUAUUAAUUGGGUAACUUAUUUUGCAAGAAAUUGAAAUUAGGUCAAAUAUAGAUAAUGAUGAGAUUAAUUGUUUAAUUUAUAUUAUUUGUUAUUUGAUCCUUGUGUUAUGAAAAGUUUCAAUUUUCCCCUUUAGGUUUUAUAGUUUAAAUUUGAACUCAAAAGUUUNUAGGGUUUCAUGUACACCACAGGAACGAUGUUUCAUAAACUUGACGAGUUCCAUAGACUCGAUGAGUUAAGUGUCCUGGUGCCGGGAUUUUCGAUUUUCUGGCCAAAUUUUAAUGAGGAUAACUGUGAAAACUCGUUUUUCUUUCCUAAAUUCAAAUCUUUAAGAUCGGUAUGGAUAUCCUUAUCAGAUUUGGUGGAUUUAGUUAAAUAUGGAUGAUAUAGGAUUAUUUUGAUUCAAAUAUUUAACCUAGUAAGUUUGAAAAGUUUCAAAUUACACCCUUUAGGUUUUAUAGUUUAAAUUUGAACUUAAAAGUUUUAGUUUUGAAAUUUAAAUAGUUAAACCCUAAUAUUUUGAAAAGUUUUAAAAUUUGUCCUUAAAUUUUGGAAUUUAAAAUUUAAUUAAAAGGUAUUACUUUUGCAAUAUUAAUUUCUAAAACCCUAGUGUUUUGAAAAGUUCAUAUUACACCCUUAUGGUUUUAUUAAAUUAAUUAAGUGCUUAAUUAAGAGAGAGAAUUAAUAAAUCCAUAACAAUAUGGUUUAAGAUUAAUCAAAUUAAAAGUGUAAUUUAUUAAUAGAUUAAACCACCUAAUAUUUUUAAAGUGUAAAAUACACCAUUAUACUAUAUAUAAAAUUAAAAGUCUAAUAUAUUAUAUAUGUAUAAGUAAAGAGUCUGUCUUAUCGUUAGUAAGCCUUAUUCACGAAGUUGGUCUUUAAGGGGUGUUUAAGGAAGCGGCAUGUAAAAUGACCGUCAUUGGAUAUCCACUCUUACCCACCGCACCAUUAACUAGUGGAGGGUCAUUAGCCGAAUGGGUAGGAUAGGACAUAACCUUCCAUUAUAAGUAUAAUGAAAUACGAAGUAACUAAACGUUUAUAUAAAUUCUCAAAUCUUAGUUACUGUAGGAAAAAUGUGAAUUUGGUGCUAAUCCAUGAAAUUGCACAUUGCACCUUGUUGGUCGUUAGUGGAGCGUGUGUGGUUAACAGAACACUAAUAUGGGACCAAUGAAGGAUGGCAAUGGGUUUCUCGUAAUAUUAUCAUUGAUCAAUGGAGCGUGUGUGGUUAACCGGCACAUUGAUUGGGUGGUGAUCGACAUCGAGAGUAUCAAGCUAAUUUGCAUGGUUAUUCACACCUUGUUUGUGAUCCUCGGCGUCCCAGUCACAAACUUGAAAGGCAUAAUCGAGAUUAAACAUGCCAUUGAAAAGUUUAAUGAAUCUCAAAAGAUCUAGGGCUUUCAAUUCAUUAAUAACCUAAUUUUCAUUUUUGUUUUUCAUGGUGGAAAUUGGUAAAUCGUCAUUUACCUACCUUCAAAUAUUUUGCGACUGGAUUACGGCAUCCCUCUUCCGAAUUGUAGAAUAUUGUGUUGGAUCCUAGCCUUAAUAUUCCCUUUGGGUGUUAUAUUAAGGAUUGAAUCAACUAACUUGAACUUCUCCCAUUUUGUAGAUGUCUAAAUCUAACAACUAUGGUAUUCCACAAUCCUUUGGAAAAAGUCUUCCACAUGAAGAUGAUGUUCCACGAUUCGAUCGAGGAACAAGAGAUCAUGCUUCACUUCAUCCUCCUCCUCCCGUUGUUCUCCCUAACCCACAAGAUCGAAGAAUUGAAAGGUUCAAUGUCACUAAAGCCCUAUUGGAAAUGAAACAUGAAGAUAAUGUUGGGUGCGUCAUUCCCCGAUAAGUUGGCUGUGAACUGGGUUCUGCAGUCGCUCCCUGAAUCAUAUAAUGAGUUCAAGAGAAUGUAUUAUAUGAUGGAUCAUGACGAUAACCUCAUUGACCUAACUUACAUGCUCAUUGCUGCUGAAUCAGAAAUAAUUUGGCAAAGCAAUGGAGCGGUUUUGUUGGGAAAGUCAACCAACCAUGCUUUCGAGGACGUUCUAGGAGAACCGACCUGCGUUUGCUGCCAAGAGAAAGGGCGUUGGAUACAAGUUUGCCCUAAGAGCCUGAAGAAUCCAAAAGAUGGGAGAGUCAAAGAGUAUGGUUGUGCUUCAGGUAAAAAUCCACUAUCUAACUCCAUUAAGUUCUUAUUCGUUGAUUCUUAAUACAUGAUGUGAUAAGAUUGCAUUUGAAUGUUUUGCAGGAUCAGUGAAAAGAGAGGAAGCUUGAUGGAAAAGCAAGAUAAGUCUAAUCACAAAGAAAUGGAUCUCGAUCGCAUGGACUUGAAGAUUAGAUUUUGAGCUUAGAAAGUUAUGAUAGAGUUGUUAGGAAUAUUAGACUACAUAGUUUUUCAGUUAAUUUUGCAUUGUAAGGAAAAAUGUUUUCCGCUGCUUUUAUGAAUAAAAUAAAUUUUGAUUUGACUCAUUUAUUUAUUUAUUUCCUUGCAAUGAAAUCGUUAUGAAAAAUUGAUGUUUGCAUAUUUCUACAACGAAUGGAUGUGAUUCUUAAUUAUGUUAAUUAUGGAAAGGUCAAGAAUUUACCAAAUAGGAAAAGUUUCUCAUCGCCCAAGUUUCAAUUGGAUAGAGACUUGGGUCAUGCAACUUGGUUGCACGAUGAAUGAGAAAUUUCAUAUGUGGAAAUAAGACUAAUUCGUUGACAAAGUGUCAAGUGAAGAACUAGGAGAUCGAGUACACAAAGUUGUGUGUUGAUCAAGUCCACCGCAAGAGUAACGAAGAUAUUCGUCAUGAUUUACUAGAGGUUUAGUAAAAAUGAUUAUACUUAUAAGAUUAAGUGUAAUUCUGAAUUGAUUGAAAAAGGUUUAAAUCAAUAGCAUAACGAAUAAGAAGAAUCAAGUAGACAGAAAGAUAAAAGUCUCUCUAUUCUAAGAAGAAGGGAGAGUAUCUUUAUGCUUUAUGAUAUGUCUUAAUGAUUAAGAACCAUAUCUCAAUUGAUCCUCUAAGUAAGUCUUAGUACAAUUGUAUGUCUGAGAAGAGGAAUCAAGAAUUAAAGAAAUGGUUAAAAUCAAGAAGUCAAUCGUAUUUCGUUCCAAACAAGUCUUAGAGUUAAGAUUGUGACAUAGAGUGACAAGUAUUAGGAAGGUUUAUGACAAUCAUCAAAUGUAGAAUUUGGAAAAGGGUUUUCUUAUUCUUGCACAUUUGAAAUUCGUAAGUUGUGAUGUCUUGGAUUAGACAAAGACCAACGAGGACCAAUUUGUGAAGUGUUUUGUCUUGAUAAAAGCUACACUAACUCUUGAAUAUUUGGUUGUCGAGAAAUGUUUAUUGACAAGAGAAUCUUAUAUGUCAAGGAGUCAGUGGGAGUCUUAAUGGUCUUGAAAAGGUUUCAAUAACAAAUCAAAAUAAACCUUAUCAAUCAUCACUAGCACACGAGUUGAGGUUUACAACCUAUCGUGUUGACAUUAUCUUGUUUCUGUGCCGUUCCAAUCGAGUUAAUUAUGCAUGUGAGUUCUAUGAGUUCUCAUUUGAAUGCAUAAAAGGCAAGGACCUUGAUCAAUGGAAAGUACAUUGAUAGGAAAGGGUGAGCUGCUUAACUACUUGGAAGACAUGGUGGGCAGCCGUGUUACCAUAAGGCAAGAAAUCAAGAUUAAGAGUUCGGUCCAUAUAAGUUUGAAUUUGUCAUAAACUUUGGUUUUAACAAAUUCACAUGGAUAGGAACACAUACACUAUUAAAAUCUAAGUGUCAUAAGAUUCCCUCCUUCAUGGAAAUGACUGUGAGGUAAUGCUUUCACUAAAAGAGAUUUUAAGAAGAUAGUAAUUGUGAAAAUUGGAUUCUCGAAUUCGAUUAUGGUUACAGUAUCCCUUUCCAUGAUUCGAAUUGUAAGAUUUGGCAAUUAGUCUGAAUUGUUUAGACACACAUAUGAGCUAUCUAAGGGAAAGGUGUAUAAGCUUAGAUAAAGGAUUAUCAAAGCAUUAGUUAUUAGAAACAUGAACUUAAGAAAUUCAAUAGGUAUUGUUCUUCUGAAAGUUAAGUUGUUUCUAAAUACAUGUCAAAGCUAGUGGGAGCAUAAGUGUUAUGUUUAUAAUAAUCAUCAUGAUAGUGGGAGCAUAAAUGUUAUGAUUAUGUGAUUAUUAAGGCAAGUAUUGCAAGUUAGCAAUAUUAAUUAUAGAAAACAAGAGUUAUACUUUGCAAAGUCACAAUGGUUAAAAGGUUGUUUUGCUAUAAUUAAGGGAGAGAAUAUUAUGCUUCAUUUCAAAACUAAAGGCUUAGGUUGUGGAAUGUUAAUUAUUUUAGUCAAGGAUACAUAGUAUUCUUAAAUUUCGAUUAUGAUUACGACAUUUCUCUUCAUAGUUCGAAUUGUGAGAACAUAGCACAUAAAAUAUUAUGGCAGAAGACUGAUAAAGUAUCAAAUCUUUAUGCAUCGUGUCCCAUGCGCUUCGGGUAUAGGAUCGAUUGCAAAUGCUAUAAUAUUUGACCAUUCCAAAAUUUUCCAAAUGUCUAGCGCAUUUAGAGGGAAAAGGACAAGAAUAGGUUUUGACUAAGAUAAUUAAACAACUAUCAAAGGACAAUCCAAAGUUCGCCAAGGAUUGGUCACUUAUGAGUAGUUGGAAGUAUAGUAUUGAAUAGACCAUAUCGACAUUAUUAUGAAUAGAAAAGAUUCUAUUAAGAAUGAGUUGUCAUAUGGAAAAUAUGGAAACGUUUCCAUAUUGGGAGUCGGAUAUUGAGAAUCUAUGUCUAGAUUAGAAAUUUUAUGCAAAAGGAUGUUCAAAGGAAUGUCCUUUGAGUGAGAGACAUCACAUCUAAGGAAUUGUCUUGUAACAAUCUCCAAUAGACAGCUUUGUAAUUCAUUGGCAAUAGUCAUUGUGACUUUGGUGCAGUGACAUUAUGAAAGGAUGAUUGCAUAAAAUAUUAGAAUCUAACAUAUUCCAUAAGUGGCAAGAAUUUGAUAUUCUUUCACUUGUGAAAAGGAUUGGGAGUUAUGAAAUGAUUAUGAUUGGAAAUGUGUUCAUUUGAUCUAUUUCACAAAGUAAGAACCAUAGAUAAACACUGUGUGCAUGCUAAGAGCAUGGGACAAGUGUUGUAAUAAUUUAAGUAAGAAGUUUAUUACCCGAAACAAGAAAUAAUGAGUAAUCGAUAUGGUGAUAAUAAAAGGUGUUUUAUUUAUACUCAAGGUUUGAGGCCAUAUGGGACUAGUAUUAUUCUUGUGUUUCACUUUGCAUGUUUUGACUUCCUAAAUAAUUUAAAUUGGUUUAGAACAGUUAAAUUAUUCGAACGGGCCCUAGUCGUUCAUAUGUUGGAAGUAGGUAUGAAUGAAGACUGUCAUGAAUUGGUGUGUGGAUUGUCUAAAGAGCAUUAGACAUAAGCAAAUGUUUGCUGCAACGUUCAUGAGUGCUUAUAAAUAUGAUUUGAGCAUUGCAUUAAACCCACGCUCACUUGGAUCACUUCAUGGAUUUUAUCACGAGUGAUUGGUGAGACGAUAAUAUCUUAUAUUCUUGAAACCGAGAUGUGUGAGUUGUAUCUUGCGAGUUGGUUGCACAUUGAUAAUACGUAAACGCACCAGUAACUUGGUGUUAUAAAACAUAUUGUUGUGUGUGAUUCGGUGAGUAAGUGCAAUCGAACAUUGAGUCAAAGUUUAUCCGUUCCUUUUAUCAAAAGUAGGAUAAAAACGAUUUCUGUGGGCCCCUCGAUUAUUUAGUGAUGGCACCUAAGCGCUUGGCCAAGCCGGGACUAAAUUGAUGUGUUCAAUUGUAGUCUAUUGUUAGUCGUCAUAAAUCUGAAUUCGGGAAACAACACAUAGACAGAGAGAAUGUUUUAGAUCCAUGUCUCAGUCUAUACGAUAUCUAGAAUGGAGGAAUAUAUGAUCCCUUAUCUAAAGGAUACGCGAAUAUGAUAAGAUCAGAGUUGACAGCGGCUUUAGAAAGCUACGAUUGCAGAUCAGGAUCUGAAGUCAUACGCAUAAUAGUUAUUAGACUUAUCCAAGUGGGAGACUGUUGGAUUAGUGUCUAAGUCCAUAAACUAUUUUGGUAUGUACUUGACCCGAUGGUGUAUGGUCCUUUUGGGUUGUCUUCACCAAAGCAACUUGAUAGGAUGAAUUAUAGAGAGAAAGGAUUAAAUAUGAUUUAUUAAUAUAAUAUGAGAAUAAUAUAUUAAAGGAGAAAUCAUAUUGUUUCAUUAAUAUUAGUCAAGAAUUAAUUGAUAAUUAAUUUUAUGACUAAAAGAGAUUAAUUAAACUUAAGGGACUAGAACUGUCAAUUGUAUGAUAGGUGAAUAUUGAGCUAAUGGACUCCAUAUUAAAGGAGUAGACAAAUUCUAUGGGGAAACCCAUUAGAAAUCGUCCUAGGCCUUUAAGGAAGGAGCCCAUGGGUUGCUUAGGGCUUAAGCAUCCAAAUUAGGUUUUCCUUGUUAGAUAACCCUAAUAGCCUCACUAUUUAAGGACCCCUUGGGCACCAAAAACGUGGGCAACUGACUCCUAGGGGUUUCUACACAUUUUUGGGUGUUUCUUCUCUUCUCCUAUUCAUCCUCUUGCUCUUGGUGUUUGUGAACCAUUAGAGGAGUGACAUUUGUGACUCUAAGCUUUCUAAAGUCAUUAUAAAGGAGGAUUUGAGAUUGUUAUUGCUACAUAACAAUCAAGGUAUGAUGUAAACCCUAAUUCAUAUGUUAUAUUGAUUAUCAUAUACUAGAUAUAGGGUUUAUAGUCUUGGAUGAGUUGCAUGUACAAUAGAGAAACCUAGAUCCAAGCAUUAGGGUUUUUAUGAGCACAUAGGAUGUUUUUAUAGCUAAAACCCAUCAGGGUUAAACCCAUUGGAUGCUCCAUGGAGGCUCCAUGGGAGUUACAAACCCAUGGGUAAUGGAAAUGAAGAGUCAUGUCACAUUAGGGUUUACAUGGCGUAACCCUAGAUGUGACACACUAUAUAAAGAACAUCAUACUCCCUAAAAUCGGCUACACAUAGUGACAAGAGGGCUUGCCUGAUUUUUUGAGUGUUACACGUUCUCUCAAAGUUGUUCCAAAGCAUUUGGUGUUGUAUGAAGCAUUUGAGGAAUCACACUUAGGGUGCUAGGCUCUCAAGGUUUCAAGGAAUCAUAACAACAACAAGGUAUGUGUUUCUAGCUAUCUUUUAUAUUAUAAAGUUCCCCAUGUAUGCUAGAUAGGUUUAUGAACCUUGGAAAAAAGUAAUUUGCAUGUAUCUUAUACAAACAUAGAUCCAAGGUUCUCUAGGGUUGCAUGUACACUUAGGAGUGUUAGAAUUGCUCAAAACCCUUCGAUGGUAUCAGAGACUAGGCUUGCUUGUUUGAUAUUUGAUGCAAAAUAGUGAAAAAAGUCGAUUUUUUGUUGUCUGCCUGCUGAAAUCGCCAAGUCCAUGGGGGGACUUGCCGAGUUCAUGUGUAAAAUCAUCCUACUCGUCGAGUAGGUUCAUGCACUCGACGAGUAGGAGCCUCAGAAUGCAGUUUUUUGACUUUUGCUGCUGGAAAUGGACUAGAAACGUUACCCUAAACUGUUUGGGUGUUAUUAAACAUGUUUUAGAUGGUGUAAUGGUUGUUCUAAUCCAUUUAUAAUGACUAAUAUCAAAAUUCCAUGAUUUUAUGUUUUCUUGAAAAUUUGAUAUUCAUAUUCAUGUUCUUAUGAGUUUAGAUGAUCAUAGGAAUUAUGUGUAACUUCUUGAUAGUUUUAAUUCUUAAUCAUUAUGUGUUUUAAUGGAAUCCAUAAUUUGUCCUCAAGUUAUGAAUUACCAAAAGUUUUAUCUUUGAAUGUCCAUUGAAGAAACACAUAGGUUACAUAAAAUGAAGAUUUACUCAUUUUAAUGAACCAAUUAAUCUCAUAAGUUAUGGAUUGAAGAGUUUUGUUAAGUUACAAAACUUUCCCUCAAAUUUUGGAACUUGUAAAGUCACCUAAUUAACUUUAGUUCCAACCCCUAGAAUUUAAAAUGUUAAAAUUCAACACUUAUACUUUAUAAUAUUAUAAGUUUAAUAUAUAUAUAUAUAUAUAUAUAUAUNNNNNNNNNNNNNNNNNNNNNNNNNNNNNNNNNNNNNNNNNNNNNNNNNNNNNNNNNNNNNNNNNNNNNNNNNNNNNNNNNNNNNNNNNNNNNNNNNNNNNNNNNNNNNNNNNNNNNNNNNNNNNNNNNNNNNNNNNNNNNNNNNNNNNNNNNNNNNNNNNNNNNNNNNNNNNNNNNNNNNNNNNNNNNNNNNNNNNNNNNNNNNNNNNNNNNNNNNNNNNNNNNNNNNNNNNNNNNNNNNNNNNNNNNNNNNNNNNNNNNNNNNNNNNNNNNNNNNNNNNNNNNNNNNNNNNNNNNNNNNNNNNNNNNNNNNNNNNNNNNNNNNNNNNNNNNNNNNNNNNNNNNNNNNNNNNNNNNNNNNNNNNNNNNNNNNNNNNNNNNNNNNNNNNNNNNNNNNNNNNNNNNNNNNNNNNNNNNNNNNNNNNNNNNNNNNNNNNNNNNNNNNNNNNNNNNNNNNNNNNNNNNNNNNNNNNNNNNNNNNNNNNNNNNNNNNNNNNNNNNNNNNNNNNNNNNNNNNNNNNNNNNNNNNNNNNNNNNNNNNNNNNNNNNNNNNNNNNNNNNNNNNNNNNNNNNNNNNNNNNNNNNNNNNNNNNNNNNNNNNNNNNNNNNNNNNNNNNNNNNNNNNNNNNNNNNNNNNNNNNNNNNNNNNNNNNNNNNNNNNNNNNNNNNNNNNNNNNNNNNNNNNNNNNNNNNNNNNNNNNNNNNNNNNNNNNNNNNNNNNNNNNNNNNNNNNNNNNNNNNNNNNNNNNNNNNNNNNNNNNNNNNNNNNNNNNNNNNNNNNNNNNNNNNNNNNNNNNNNNNNNNNNNNNNNNNNNNNNNNNNNNNNNNNNNNNNNNNNNNNNNNNNNNNNNNNNNNNNNNNNNNNNNNNNNNNNNNNNNNNNNNNNNNNNNNNNNNNNNNNNNNNNNNNNNNNNNNNNNNNNNNNNNNNNNNNNNNNNNNNNNNNNNNNNNNNNNNNNNNNNNNNNNNNNNNNNNNNNNNNNNNNNNNNNNNNNNNNNNNNNNNNNNNNNNNNNNNNNNNNNNNNNNNNNNNNNNNNNNNCUCCUGGAAGAAUCGCGGGGCCACCCCGACUCAACUCGCCGAGUCUGAAGAACAACUCGACGAGUCCCAGUUAAUCUUCAAGCUACUCGCCGAGUCUGUUCAUCGGACUCGGCGAGUCCAUGCCAUGCAACCGCUCAAACUGCUUUCUAAGGUCAGAACUGCUCCGACCAUUCAUAGGUCUGGCCUUCCUAGACUGAUUCAUCACGUAAGGUCCUCAUUUCGGUGCUCAUAAUACACCCCAUGACUCAUAAUUUACAUUUUGACCUAAGGCAUAAGGAUUCCAAUCCAAAACCUCCAUUGAUUCCUGAAAUGCUCAGGCAUGGGACAUUCUGGACUUCCAAAGAUCUCAAUACAGGGUUCCAAUCGUUUGGGGGACUAAAGUAACACUCAAUCUAGCCACAAAAGGGUUCAAUAAAUCCUAAAUCCAUAUACACAUCAACAUAGAAGAAUGUAACUCGAAAUAUUACCUGAAUAACGUGCUCUCUGUGUCCCCAAUCCACAGAACGUGGCUCUUCCUGUUGUUCCCUUAACCAAGCCUCUUCUUCCUUGCAAAACCACACUUCCAAAAUCAACAAUGGUCUUCAACCUUGCUCCAGACGCUCACAAUCGAAUUAGGGUUUCUCUCAGAGGACUAGGGUGAACAAUGACGGCCAUAAAGUCCCUCAUAUACGUCCCAAACCUGAACGGUUAGGGUUUUCGCUAAAUAGCGCAGACUCGCCGAGUCCAUAUCCGGACUCGUCGAGUCCAGUCGCGAACCCGCAACCAGAUCCGCGAUCCUACUCGGCGAGUCUAGGCUCCAACUCGCCGAGUCCCCUCUUAAAACACCCAAAAUCAUAAAUAUAACAAUACCUGAAAUUCCAGGCUGUUACAGUAAUCGGGUUAUUGUUGGUUGGUAAAAGUAAAUACAAUUAUUUAUUGCGGGUUGAAAACACUAUAUGCUCACCAGGCUCCCAAGCCUGACCCACUCAGUUUAUUUGUAUUACAGGUAGUGGCGCGAGGGCAUAAGAUGGACGAAUCAUCAAGUUAUUUUGUUUAUUAGACCAGUUGUUAUAUGUAACUAUUGUAUGGUCUAUCUUUUGUUGUUUAUGCUUUUGUGUCUGUAUCGGAACAUGACAUCUCGAGUUUUGAUUUUAUAGUGAAAAUACAUUUCUUUAUGAAAUGCUUUGGUAAAUAUUAUUUUAUCAUACUUUGUUUUUGGGAACAAAUUUCGCAACUCUUUUAAAUCAAAAGGAUUUACUCUUAAAUUAUUUUAAAAAGCAUAAAUGAAACUGGUCUUUUAUGGCCGUGAUUUUGGGGAUGUCACAGUGGGUAUCAGAGCAUUAGUUUAAGCGAACUAGGAAUUUGUAAGAUUUCUAGACUUAAACUUAGAAUGCUAAGUGGAGAUUGUGAGAAGUGUGUCUGUUAUAUUAUGGACACGAGCACUAGUAUAUUUUAGGAAGUUGCCUAAAAUGCUCUUAGGUGCUAAAUGUUAUAUGUUGCCAUAUAUGAUAUUAUUUGUUUGGAUCUAUGGUCUGUUGCCGACCGGAUCAUGAAACCUUAUGUGUGUAGGAUUCUAAGCAUACGUCUACGACAUUAGAACUAGCAUGUAAACGUUUCGGAGUGAUAUGGAAGAUCGUAAUAUCUAUCAUGAAUAAAGAUCUAAAUUUCACCUUAUUCGGUGUAUUGAUCAAGAAUGGCAAGAACAAGAAGCAGUGAUGGAAAUGCAAACAAGAACAGGAAUCAACCGCCUCUAAUUGAACAAGUAAUUGUUGAAACUGCUGCACCAGAGCAAAUCACUCUGGCUGGGGUGCAAGCCAUGAUUCGGGCUAUGUUAGCCGAACAAAAGGAAGAAAUGCGACAGAUGUUGCAUGAAAAUAGGGACGAACCAAUCAUACCCAUUGAGGAACCCAAACUGAUUCCCGAACAAUCGGAGGAAGGAAACAAUAGUCGCGUUGUGAGUCAAGUUGGGAGUCAAGGAGAACGAAGGAACGACCCGGAAAGGGGAAACAAAAAGGAUGGGAGAAUGUAUAAGAAUUUCUUGGGCGCCAAGCCGCCAAGUCUUUCUGGGAACCUAAAGCCCAUUGAGAUUAUGGAUUAGAUCUCCGAAAUGAAGAUGGUAUUUGAAAGUUGCGACUGUAUCAACAAACAGAAGACUGUCUUUGCAGUUAGACAACUGAAGACCGGAGUCUUGAGCUGGUGGAAGUUGUUGGCAGAUAUUAUGUCAUGAGGAGAAGCCCUGAAAAUGUCAUGAGAGGAGUUCUUAGAACAACUAAGGGCGCAGUAGUGUUCAGAGAUAGAUCUGAUUGAUCUGAACAAUGAGUUCCAAAACUUAAAGAAGGGGAGGAUGAGCAUAAAUGACUAUGCUAUCGCAUUCACUGAUAAAAUGAGGUUAUUUCCAUACCUAGUGCGAAUGAAACUCUCCAAGAUUGAGAGGUUCGCUAAUGGACUACCUUCCGACUUUUGCCCGAUAGUCAAGAUGGCAACUACUCUAAAAAUAGUUGUUUGUGCGGCUAAGAAUGUGGAGACCCAGCAGAAGGAAAAGGGUCUGGAAAGAAUAGAGGUUGGUGAGAAAAGGAAGUUGGAUGGACCUUUAGGGUCCAACAAGAAAAUCAAGUUUUCGAAGUCUAGUUCGAGAGGAGGAGGAGGAAGAGAAGCCAAAUGGUACGACAAAUGUAAGAAGAAGCAUCAUGGAAAAUGUGAAGUAGUAGCCACAUGUUUUAAAUGUGGAAAGCCAGGGCACUAUGCCAAUGAAUGCACUCUCACCAAGAAAGUUUGUUAUGGCUAUGGUGAGGAGGGGCACAUCUCGAGAGAUUGUUCGAAGAAGAAGGAGGCAUCAAAACCCAAUAUUCCCCCAAAGCCGAAGGCGAGAGCAUUCCAGAUGACACUGGAAGCUGCAAAAUAUGAAGCUGAUGUCGCUUCAGGUACCUUUCUCGUAAACAAAUUGCAUGCCCAAAUUUUAUUUGAUUCUGGAGCCAACUACUCCUUUAUUUCGCAUGAAUUUGGUAGAAACUAGCUUCUCCUGUCGAUAGACUAGAUAAUGCUUUAUUAGUCGAAGUUGCUAGUAGCAAAUUUCUACCUAUUAGCCAUCGUAUGAAAAACAUCUUAAUUCACUUGAAUGGGAAUAAGUUCCAUGAGGAAUUAUUGCCUAUCGAACUAAACAAUUUCGACAUCGUGCUGGGAAUGGAUUGGCUUAGCGCCAAUGACGCCGAAAUAUUGUGCAAGAAGAAGAUUGUAAAGGUAAAUCCGCCAGGNGCAAGAAGAAGAUAGUAAAAGUAAACCCACCAGUGAAAGAGUCAUUUAUGGUGUAUGGGGACAAACGCAGAGUAAAUUCUAGAAUCAUUUAUCUAAUGAAAGCCAGAAAGUGUUUGGCCAAAGGAUGUACAUCAUAUUUGGCAUUUGUGAUAGAUUCUAAGAAGGAGAAAAAGGUGAUGCAAAGCAUUCCUAUCGUAUGUGAUUAUCGGGAAGUAUUUCCCAAAGAUCUUCCCGGAUUACCGCCUGAUAGAAAUUUGGAGUUCAUAAUAGACUUGUUACCAGGGACGACGCCUAUAGCAAAAGCACCUAAUCGAUUAGCACCAUCAGAGAUGAAGGAGCUAAUGAUGCAACUUCAGGAGUUAUUGGGCAAAGGUUUAAUUAGACCUAGUUUAUCACCCUGGGGAGCUCCGAUGUUAUUCGUGAAGAAGAAAGAUGGAAGUAUGAGAAUGUGCAUCGAUUAUAGAGAGCUGAACAAGGCAACAAUAAAGAAUAGAUAUCCGUUGCUGAGGAUUGAUGACUUGUUCGAUCAACUACAAGGUUCAAGUUAUUUUUCAAAGAUCGACCAAAGGUCAAGAUAUCAUCAGCUGAAGGUGAAAGAGCAGAUAUAGAGAAGACUGCAUUCAGAACACGAUAUGGACACUAAGAGUUUUUGGUUAUAUCAUUUGGACUAACCAAUGCUCCAGCAUCAUUCAUGGAUUUAAUGAUCAUGGUUUGUAAUCCGUUCCUAGAUAAAUCUGUGAUAGUGUUCAUAGAUGACAUUCUGAUUUAUUUGAAAAGCGAAGAGGAGCAUGGCAUACACUUGCGAGAAGUGUUAGAAGUCUUGAAGAAGGAGAAGUUGUAUACAAAUUUCUCCAAAUGUGAUUUCUGGAUUCGAGAAGUCCAAUUCUUGGGUCACGUGAUCAACUAAAAAGGGAUAAUGGUUGAUCCAGCAAAGAUUGAAGCUGUAAUGAAGUGGGAACAACCGAAAAGUCCCACGGAGAUCCGAAGCUUUUUAGGAUUAGCCAGAUAUUACCGAAGGUUUAUCCAAGGCUUUUCUACGAUCGCUACUCCAUUAACAGCGUUCACCCACAAAGGAGUUACUUAUGCUUGGAAUGAUAAGCAUAAAGAAGAAUUCGAGAGGCUAAAGAAGAAGCUAUAUGAGGCAGCGAUUCUUUCUCUACCCGAUGGAGUUGAAGACUUCGCUGUUUAUAGCAAUGCGUCUGGUGUUGGCUUGGGUUGUGUUUUAACCCAAAGGGAAAAGGUGAUCGCAUAUGCAUCUCGACAGUUGAAGGAGCAUGAAAAGAACUACCCGACUCAUGAUUUGGAGUUGGAAACGGUAGUUUUCGCUCUGAGAAUAUGGAGGCAUUACCUCUAUGGCACGAAGUGCAACUUUUCACUGAUCAUAAGAGUCUCCAAUAUCUCUUUAGUCAGAAAUAAUUAAAUAUGAGGCAAUGAAGUUGGCUUGAAUUACUUAAGGAUGUACGACUGCGAGAUACUUUACCACCCUGGUAAGGCUAAUGUUGUUGCUGAUGUUCUCAGUCGGGAAGUCAAUCUUGAAAGAAAAAGGCCAAGAGCGUUGAGAAUAGAAGUUGUCUCAACAAUUGUGGAGAGUAUAAAGAAAGCUAAAGAGGAAGCUUUUGUGAAGAAUGAUCGAAAAGAAGAACUUUAGGGAAAAAUGUUGGUGUUCGGUAUAAACAGUCAUGGACUGAAGGUGUUCCAAGAUCGGAUUUGGAUACCUAAGACAAGAGGAGUCAGAGAUCUUAUGAUGGAAGAAGCUCAUAAGUCCAUGUACUCAAUUCAUCCCGGUAGUACUAAAAUGUAUAGGGACCUAAAACCCUACUACUGGCGGCCGACGAUGAAGCUUGAUGUUGAAAAGUAUGUAGCCGUGUGUGUGACUUGUGUGAGAGUCAAGACACAACAUCAGAAACCGUAUGGGAGUUUAGAACCUUUGCCUGUGCCUAUGGGUAAGUGGGAAGACAUUGCUAUGGAUUUUAUCACUAAACUGCCCAGAACGAAAAGUGGUCACAACAUGAUUUGGGUGAUCGUUGAUCGAUUCACUAAGAGUGCGCAUUUCAUAGCAUCCAAUGAGAAAUGGUCUAUGGAAAAGCGUGCGAAUUCUUUUGUGAAGGAAGUUGUGAGGCUUCACGGUGUUCCGUUAACGAUUGUGUCAUAUCGUGAUAGCCAUUUCACCUCGCGAUUUUGGAGAAGUCUACAAGAGGAAUUGGGUAGCAAGUUGUGUUUGAGUACAUCUUACCAUCCACAGACUGAUGGUCAGAGCGAACGGACGAUACAAACACUUGAAGAUAUGCUGAGAGCAUCUACCCUAGAAUUCCAAGGUACUUGGGAUGAACAUUUACCUUUGAUGAAAUUUUCCUACAAUAAUAGUUUCCACUAGAGCCUAAAGAUGGCACCUUGUCAAGCUUUGUAUGGACAGAAGUUUCGUACGCCGUCUUAUUGGCUUGAGGCUGGAGAAAAGAAGUUUAUGGGACCCGAGAUGGUUCAUCAAAUUGCUGAAAACCUGAAAAUAAUUUAGGAAAGAAUGUUAGUAGCUCAGGAUCGUCAAAAGUGCUAUGCUGACAAAUAGCGAAGACCGAUGACUUUUGAAGUUGGAAAUUCGGUUUUGCUUAAAGUCUCGCCAUGGAAGGGACUUAUAAGAUUUUGUAAAUGGGCAAAGUUUAGUCCAAGGUUUAUUGGACCUUUUAAAGUUCUUGAGAGGAUUGAGAACCAAGCUUACAAGAAUGAAUUGCCAGAAGAACUGCAUGGUAUUCAUAACACUUUCCAUGUGUGUUAUUUGAGGAAGUUUACUAGAGAACUUCCCGACAUGAUUCCACUUUCGGAGUUGAGAAUCAAUGAGAACAAAAGGUUGAUUGAAGAACCAGAGGCAAUCGUUCACUGAAAGACUAAGAAGUUGGGACGCAAGAUGGUCGAGUUUGUGCUUGUCCGAUGGAAACACACGAAUAGGCCAAAUCUCACCUGGGAGACGGAGAGUGACAUGAUCAGUCACUACCCGCAUUUGUUUGUUGAUGUGUGAUUCCGAGGACGGAAUCAUUCUAAGGUGGAGAGAAAUGUAACACCUGUGUUUCUGGGCUUGUCAUUAAUAUUGAUGUAAUAGUCCAGGUUAACCAUUGUAACCCGUUUCGAAAUAAUAGAAGUGUAUUAUUUGAGUAUUAUGUGUUUUGUGCUUAAUUGUGUGUCUCAAUUGAGUUAAGUAUGAAAAUAAGCGUCAAAAUUAAAUGUUAGAUAAAGCCGAUAUUUAUGUAUAAUGCUCUAGUAGUUGAAACGAGGUUUCCGAAUAUACAUAGAAUGCCGAAAUCCGAGUUAUAAGGAAGAAGUUAUGAUAUGUCGAAGUUUCGCGACAGAAACCGGCACGACGCUGAAUGACGUAAAAAGUGAAUUUACGUUAGAGUGAUACUUAGCCCUAGUGAUCUAAACGAAUGUUGUAGAUUUCGUUAAAUUGAGAGCGUGCAUAAAAAAAUCGCCCAAAUCUGACUUCGUAUGAGGAAGUUAUGAUUUUCCGAAGUUUCAACUUAUCAGUGUGCAGCCCGAAUACUCGAUUUGAGAUCAAGCGGUUUUUAGCCGAAACAAUCUAAACGAGAAUUGAAGAUCUCGUUAAUGGUAGUGCAAUGGUAAAAAGACAGAUGAAAACGGACGUCGGAUGAAGAAGUUAUGAAUUUAUAACGGGGUUUUUCUGUCCCGGCCUACUAAAAAUAAAUAAUAAAAAAAUAAUAUCAAAAUCAGCCGACGGAGUCUAAACGAAAGUUGUAGAGCGUAGUCUCACCUACGCGUGGAUAUAAAGAAAGUCGAAACGGAGUUCAUAUGAAGAAGAUAUGAAUUUCCGAAGUUUUUAAAUGAUUAACAUUUAUUAAUUAAUCUUUAAUUCGGAUGUAUAUCCGAAGGAGACACCGAUCUAGUCCGCACUACGCCCAGCGUAGUUGAGUACGACCAGCGUACACCGAAGUGUGACCCGCCUUACACUCAAGAGCUCCGAUAACGCAUGCAGUGACGAAUCCGAAGUGUACACCCCGCGUACUGAGCAUUACGCCCAGCGUAAUGUGAGGCUUCAGCCUCUAUAAAAGGGCUUGCGAGGGCAGCCAAUGCUUUUGCUCAAUUUAUUUUCUCUCUCUCCCGUUUUGCAUCGUUUUGCAUACAAAUUAUACCCCGAAACCCCGAUAUCAUUCCCGAGCCCCGAAGCAUGUCCUGAAGCCCCGAAGAUCCCGAGGAGUAGUGUUCCCGAGCCGAAGCUCUGCCUGCAAGAAGCCAAUUUUUUUGAAGAUCUUCCAGAUCUACCGAAGAAUACUACUUCUACAAGUCGUAGUGUUGUCCGAUCAUCUUCUGAUCAAGUGAGUAUGUAGUUACUUUCAUCUAAUGCAUAAUUACGAAGUAUUUUAUACGAAAUACGUGUUAUGUGUAUAUUUGUUGUUAUAUGUGUGAAUGUAUAUUCACUUUCUUCUAUCUCGUACAUAUGACUAAUUCUCUAUGAAAUAUGUGUUAUGUGUAUCUGUCUCAUCUGUUGUUUGGAAUAUGUAUUGAAUGAGAAUGUUAUACAGGUUUUAAACUAAGUAUAAAAAUAUAUAUUUUUAUCUACUAAUAUGUUGGGUAGACCAUGGGUAGAUGGUUGAUGUGUGAUAAACAGAUGAGAGGCCUCGAUGUUGCUGUUGAUCUAGUUAUUCAGCGGACUAUGGAUAAUGACCACAGACUCUUUCGAGACAGUCAUGUGGAACGCUGUGACAUCCUCAAAAUCACGGCCAAAAAAGACCGUUUUAAUUUAUGCUUUUAAAAUAAUUUGAGAGUAAAUCCUUUGAUUUAAAAGAGUUGCGGAAUUUGUUCCCAAAACAAAAUAUGAUAAAAUAAAGUUUUUCAAAGCAUUUCAUCAAGAGAUGCAUCUUCAUUAUAUAACAAUAUUCGGGAUGUCAUGUUCCCAUAAACAGACCAAAAAUAUAAACAACAAAAGAUAGAUCAUACAACAGUUACAUAUAACAAUUGGUCUAGUAUCAAAAGAUCUUGAUAAGUCAUCCAACUUAUGCUCUCGCGCCACUACCUAUAAUACAAAUAAACUGAGUGGGUCAGGCUUGGGAGCCUGGUGAGCAUAUAGGGUUUUCAACCCGAAAUAAAUAAUUAUAUUUAAUUUCACCAACCAACAAUAACCCAAUUACCCAUUCCCGUUAUCCUCACUUUACGUCCCUAAAACAACAUCUAUCUCAAGGGAUCUAAUAUAGGAUUUUCAUCGGGACAGACACUGCACAGGGGUUACCUCAAUAGUAGAUGUCCUAAAGGCAACCAUGAGGGGGAUAGAGUACACCGGUGAACACAUCGUUCACAACACCUAGCUAGCGUUCCACAGGACUGUCUAGAAAGAGUCUGUGGUUGUUAUCCAUACUCCGCUGAAUAACUAGAUCAACAACAACAACAUCGAGGCCUCUCAUUUGUUUAUCACACAUCAACUAUCUACCCAUGUUCUACCCAACAUAUUAGUAGAUAAAAAUAUAUAUUUUUAUACAUAGUUUAAAACAUGUAUAGCAUUCUCAUUCAAUACAUAUUCCAAUCAACAGAUGAGACACAUACACAUAGCACGUAUUUCCUAGAGAAUAAAUUAUAUCUCUGAGAUAGAAGAAAGUGAAUAUACAUUCACACAUAUAACAAAAAAUAUACACAUAACACGUAUUUUGUAUAAAAUACUUCAUAAUUAUGCAUUAGAAGAAAGUAACUACACACUCACUUGAUCAGAAGAUGAUCGGACAACACUACAGCUCUAAGAGUAGUAUUCUUCGGUGAAACUGGGUUCACUUCACUCACCAGGCUUCUUGCGGGCAGAGCUUCAGCUCGGAAACUCUUUUCUUCGAGGGAUCUUCGAGCUUCAGGACUUGCUUCGGUUGUCGGGAUGAUACCGGGGCUUCGGGGGUACUUUUUCACGUAAAUCGAGGUAAUAUGAGUGAGAGAGAAGAGAUUUGGCAACCACAAACGGUUGCCCCUUCAAAUCUAUUUAUAGGGCUAUUUUCUCAUUUUCCACGUCGUGGGCACUUCUUCCACGUCGUGAGCUUGGUCGUCAUUGCAUGCGUCAUCGUCCACUUGCUCUGCCAGGCUCCAGAAGGCGUCAGAAGCCAUGCCACGUCGUGGUCUCUGACGGUUUUGGUGUUUCGCACCCCGAACUUCAGAAAUCCAUAACUUUCGCAUACUUACUCCGUUUUCGACGUUCUUUAUAUCGACGUGUAGGUAAAAACAAGAUCUACAACUUUCAUUUAGACUUUGUAUGCUAAUUUUGACUUUAUUUUUAAUAUAUUAAUAAUAUACUAUUGUUAGUAGGCCGGGACAGGAAAACCCCGUUAGAAAUUCAUAACUCCUUCAUCUGACGUCCAUUUUCGACUGUCUUUUCACCGUUGGAGUACAAUCGAUGAGAUCUUUGAUUCUCGUUUAGAUUGUUUCGUCUAAAUAUCGCUCGAUCUCGUAUUCGAACUUCGGGCUAUACACUGCUAAACAAAAACUUCGAAAAAUCAUAACUUCCUCAUACGAAGUCAGAUUUGGGCCUUCUUUUUAUGCACGCUCUCAGUUUAACGAACUCUACAACAUUACUUUAGAUCGCUAAGUCCAAAUAUUUUUCUAAUGUAAACUCACUAUUUACGUCUCGCUGUGUCGUACCGGUUCUGUCGCGAAACUUCGACAAGUCAUAACUUCUUCGUUAUAACUCGGAUUUCGGCAUUCUUUAUAUAUUCAGAAACCUCGUUUCAACUACUACAACAUUAUCCAUAGAUAUUGGGUUGAUCUAACAUUUCAUUUUGACGUUUAUUUUUAUUCUUAAUUAAAUUAAGACAUACAAUUAAGCACAAAAACACAUAAUACUCAAAUAAUACACUUCUAUUAUUUCAAAACGGGUUACAAAGGUUAACCUAGACUAUUAUAUCAACAUUAAUGACAACCCCAGAAACACCGUCAUUACAAUUCUCUCCACCUUAGAAUGAUUCCGUCCCCGGAAUCACACAUCAACAAACAAAUGUGGGUAGCGACUCAUCAUGUCACUCUCCGUCUCCCAAGUGAGAUUUGGCCCAUUCGUGUGUUUCCAUCGGACAAGCACAAACUCAACCACAUUGCGUCGCAACUUCUUAGUCUUUCGGUCAAAGAUUGCCUCUGGUUCUUCAAUCAAUCUUUUGUUCUCAUCGAUUCUCAACUCCAAAAGUGGAAUCAUGUCGGGAACUUCUCUCGUGAACUUCAUCAAAUAACACACAUGGAAAUUUUUAUGAAUUCCAUUCAGUUCUUCUGGUAGUUCGAGCUUGUAAGCUUGGUUCCCAAUCCUCUAAAGAACUUUAAACGGUCCAAUAAACCUUGGACUCAACCUUCCCCUUUUACCAAAUCUUAUAAGUCCCUUCGACGGCGAGACUUUAAGCAAAACCGAAUCUCCAACUUCAAAAGUCAUCGGUCUUCGCUUGUUGUCAGCAUAGCUCUUUUGACGAUCUUGAGCUGCUAACAUUCUCUCCCUAAUUAUUUUCAACUUUUCAGCAGUUUGAUGGACUAUCUCUAGUCCCAUAAACUGCUUUUCUCCAGCCUCAAGCCAACAAGACGGCGUACGACACUUCUUUCCAUACAAAGCUUGAUAAGGUGUCAUCUUUAUGCUCGAGUGGAAACUAUUAUUGUAGGAAAAUUCUACAAAAGGUAAAUGUUCAUUCCAAUUACCUUAGAAUUCCAGGGUACAUGCUCUCAUCAUAUCUUCAAGUGUUUGUAUUGUUCGUUCGCUCUGAGCAUCAGUCUGUGGAUGGUAAGUUGUACUCAAACACAACUUGGUACCCAAUUCCUCUUGUAGACUUCUCCAAAAUCGCGAGGUAAAGCGGCUGUCACGAUCUGACAAAAUCGUUAACGGAACACCGUGAAGCCUCACAACUUCCUUCACAUAAGAAUUCGCACGCUUUUCCAUAGACCAUUUCUCAUUGGAUGCUAUGAAAUACGCACUCUUAGUGAAUCGAUCAACGACCACCCAAAUCAUGUCGUGACCACUUUUCAUUUUGGGCAGUUUAGUGAUAAAAUCCAUAGCAAUGUCUUCCCAAAUACCCAUAGGCACAGGCAAAGGUUCUAAACUCCCGUAUGGUUUCUAAUGUUGUGUCUUGACUCUCGCACAAGUCACACACUUGGAAACAUACUUUGCAACAUUAAGCUUCAUCGUCGGCCAACAGUUGUAGGGUUUCAGGUCCCUAUACAUCUUAGUGUCGCCGGGAUGAAUUAAGUACAUGGUUUUGUAAGCUUCUUCCAUCAGAAUUUCUCUGACUCCUCUUGUCUUAGGUAUCUAAAUCCGAUCUUGGAACACCUUCAGUGCAUGACUGUUUACACCGAACACUAACGUUUUGCCCAAACAUUCUCCCUUUCGGUCAUUCUUCUCAGAAGCUUCCUCUUGAACUUUCUUUAUACUUUCCAUUAUUGUCGAGACAACUUCAAUUCUCAACGCUCUUGGCCUCUUCCUUUCAAGAUUGACUUUCCGACUGAGAGCAUUAGCAACAACAUUUGCUUUGCUGGGGUGGUAAAGUAUCUCACAGUCAUAGUCCUUAAGUAACUCUAGCCAGCGUCGUUGCCUCAUAUUCAAUUCCUUCUGAUUAAAGAGAUAUUGGAGACUCUUAUGAUCAGUGAAAAGUUGGCACUUCGUGCCAUAGAGGUAAUGUCUCCAUAUCUUUAGAGAGAAAACUACCGCCGCCAACUCCAAGUCAUGAGUCGGGUAGUUCUUUUCAUGCUCUUUCAACUGUCGAAAUGCAUAUGCGAACACCUUUUCCCUUUGGUUCAAAAUACAACCCAACCCAACACCUGACGCGUCGCUAUAAAAACAAAGUCUUCAACUCCAUCGAGUAGAGAAUGUAUCGGUGCCUCGCAUAGUUUCUUCUUUAGCUUCUCGAAUGCUUCUUUAUGCUUAUCACUCCAAGCAUAAGUAGCUCCUUUGUGGGUCAAAGCUGUUAAUGGAGUAGCGAUCAAAGAAAAGCCUUGGAUAAACCUUCGGUAAUAUCCGACUAAUCCCAAAAAGCUUCAGAUCUCCGUGGGACUUUUCAGUUGUUCCCAGUUCAUUACAGCUUCAAUCUUUGCUGGAUCAACCAUUAUUCCUUCUUGGUUGAUCACAUGACCCAAGAAUUGGACUUCUCGAAUCCAAAAAUCACAUUUGAAGAACUUAGCAUAUAGCUUCUCCUUAUUCUAGACUUCUAACACUUCUCGCAAGUAUCUACCAUGCGCCUCUUGGCUUUUCGAAUAAAUCAGAAUGUCAUCUACAAACACUAUCACUGAUUUAUCAAGGAACGGAUUAGAAACCCUGAUCGUUAAAUCUACGAAUGUUGUUGGAGAAUUGGUUAGUCCAAACGACAUAACCAAAAACUCAUAGUGUCCGUAUCGUGUUCUGAAUGCAGUCUUCUCUAUAUCCUGCUCUCUUACUUUCAGGUGAUGAUAUCCUGACCUAAGAUCGAUCUUUGAGAAAUAGCUCGAACCUUGUAGUUGAUCAAACAGGUCAUCAAUCCUCGGCAACAUAUAUCUAUUCUUUAUUGUUGCCUUUUUCAGAUCUCUGUAAACGAUGCACAUUCUCAUACUUCCAUCUUUCUUCUUUACGAAUAACACCGGAGCUCCCCAGGGUGAUGAACUAGGUCUAAUGAAACCUUUGUCCAAUAACUCCUGAAGUUGCAUCAUCAGCUCCUUCAUCUCCGUCGGUGCUAAUCGGUAAGGUGCUUUUGCNNNNNNNNNNNNNNNNNNNNNNNNNNNNNNNNNNNNNNNNNNNNNNNNNNNNNNNNNNNNNNNNNNNNNNNNNNNNNNNNNNNNNNNNNNNNNNNNNNNNNNNNNNNNNNNNNNNNNNNNNNNNNNNNNNNNNNNNNNNNNNNNNNNNNNNNNNNNNNNNNNNNNNNNNNNNNNNNNNNNNNNNNNNNNNNNNNNNNNNNNNNNNNNNNNNNNNNNNNNNNNNNNNNNNNNNNNNNNNNNNNNNNNNNNNNNNNNUCUUUCCCAGGUGGGUUUACUUUGACUAUCUUCUUCUUGCACAAUAUCUCAGCAUCAUUGGCGCUAAGCCAAUCCAUUCCAAGCACGAUGUCAAAACCUUUAAGUUCAAUAGGCAAUAAUUUCUCGUGAAACUUAUUCUCAUUCAAAUCAAUUAAGAUGUUUUUCAUACGAUGACUAACAGGUACAAACUUGCCACUAGCAACUUCGACUAAUAAAGCAUUAUCUAGUCUAUCGACAGGCAAAGCUAGUUUUCUACCAAAUUCAUGUGAAAUAAAGGAGUAGUUGGCUCAAGACUCAAAUAAAAUUUGGGCAGGCAAUUCGUUAACGAGAAAGGUACCUGAAGCGACAUCAGCUUCAUCUUUAGCAGCUUCCAGUGUCAUCUGGAAGGCUCUCGCCUUCGGCUUUGGCGGAAUGUUGGGUCUUGCUGCCUCCUUUUUGGGGCAGUCCCUAGACACGUGUCCCUCCUCACCACAACCAUAACAAACUUUCUUGGUGAGAGUGCAUUCGUUGGCAUAGUGCCCUGGCUUUCCACAUUUAAAACAUGUGGCCACUACCUCACAUUUUCCAUGAUGCUUCUUCUUACAUUUGUCGCACCAUUUUGCUUCGCCUCCUCCUCCUCUCGAACUAGACUUCGAGAACUUUUUUUUCUUGUUGGACCUGAAGGUCCUUCGAACUUCCUCUUUUCACCAACCUCUAUCCUUUCCAGACCCUUUUCCUUCUGUUGGGCCUCCACAUUCUUAGCUGCUCGAACAACUUUUUUCAGAGUGGUUGCCAUCUUGACUGUCGGACCUAAUUCGGUAGGUAGUCCAUUAGCAAACCUCUCAAUCUUGGAGAGUUCCGUUGGCACCAGGUACGAAAAUAACUUUAUUUUCUCAGUGAAUGCAGUAGGAUAGUCGUCUACGCUCAUUCUCCCCUUCUUCAAGUUUUGGAAAUCAUUGUUCAAAUCAAUCAGAUCUAUCUUUGAACAGUACUGCACCCUUAGUUGUUCCAAGAAAUCCUCCCAUGACAUUUUCAGGGCUUCUCCUCAUUGCAUAGUAUCUGCCAACAGCUUCCAAAAACUCAAGACACCAGUCUUCAGUUGUCUAAAUGCAAAGACAGUCUUCUUUUUGUUGCUACAGUCGCAACUUUCAAAUACCAUCUCCAUUUCGGAGAUCCAAUCCAUAAUCUCAACAGGCUUCAGGCUUCCAGAAAGACUUGGCGGCUUGGCGCCCAAGAAAUUCUUGUACAUUCGCCCAUCCUUGUUGUUUCUCCUUUCCGGGUCGUUCCUUCGUUCUCCUUGAGUCCCAACUUGACUCAUAAUGCGACUAUUGUUUCCGUCCUCCGAUUGUUUGGGAAUCAGUUCAGGUUCCUCAAUAGGUAUGAUUGGUUCAUCCCUAUUUUCAUGUAACAUUUGUUGCAUUUCUUCCCUUUAUUCGGCUAACAUAGCCUGAACCAUGGCUUGCACCCCAGCCAUUGUUAUUGGUUCUGGUGCUGCUGCUACAACAGGUAUUUGCUCAAUCACUGGUGGUUGAUUCCUGUUUUCAUCUGCAUUUCCAACGCCACUCCUGGUUCUUACCAUUUUUUAUCUACACACCGAAUAAGGUGAAAUUCGAUCCUCAUCCAUGAUAGAUAAUUAAAUCAUCCUUAUCACUCCGAAACAUUUACAUGUUAGUUCUAAUACCGACGUCAUACGCUUAGAAUCUUACACACAUAAGGUUUCAAGAUCCGGUCGGCAGUAUACCAUAGAUCCGAACAAAUAAUAUCAUAUAUGGCAACAUAUAACAUUUAGCACAUAAAAGCAUUUUAGGCAGCUUCCUAAAAUAUACUAGUGCUCGUGUCUAUAAUAUAAUAGACACACAUCUCACAAUCUCCACUUAGCAUUCUAAUUUUAAGUCUAGAAAUCCUACAAAUUCCUAGUUCGCUUAAACUAAUGCUCUGAUACCAACUGUGACAUCCCCAAAAUCACGGCCAGAAAAGACCGUCUUAAUUUAUGCUUUUACACUAAUUUCAGAGUAAAUCCUUUGAUUUAAAAGAGUUGCGGAAUUUGUUUCCAAAACAAAAUAUGAUAAAAUAAAGUUUAUCAAAGCAUUUCAUUAAGAGAUACAUUUUCAUUAUAUAACAAUGUUCGGGAUGUCAUGUUCAGAUAAACAGACCAAAAGCAUAAACAACAAAAGAUAGACCAUACAACAGUUACAUAUAACAAAUGGUCUAAUAUCAAAAGAUCUUGAUAUGUCAUCCAACUUAUGCUAUCACGCCAAUACCUGUAAUACAAAUAAACUGAGUGGGUCUGGCUUGGGAACCUGGUGAGCAUAUAGGGUUUUCAACCUGCAAUAAAUAAUUACAUUUAAUUUCACCAACCAACAAUAACCCGAUUACCCAUUCCCGUUAUCCUCACUUUACGUCCCUAAAACAAUAUCUAUCUCAAGGGACCUAAUCAAGGAUUUUCAGCGGGACGGACAUUACUGCAAAGGGGUUUCCUCAACAGUAGAUGUCCUAAAGGCAACCAUGAGGGGGAUAGAGUACACCGGUGAAUACAUCGUUCACAACACCUACAGGUUAUGAGCCUGCUAGCGUUCCACAGGACUGACUAGAAAGAGUCUGUGGUCGUUAUCCAUACUCCGCUGAAUAACUAGAUCAACAACAACAACAUCGAGGCCUCUCAUCUGUUUAUCACACAUCAACUAUCUACCCAUGUUCUACCCAACAUAUUAGCAUAUAAAAAUAUAUAUUUUUAUACAUAGUUUAAAAACUAUAUAGCAUUCUCAUUCAAUACAUAUUCCAAUCAAUAGAUGAGACAUAUACACAUCGCACGUAUUUCAUAGAGAAUAAAUCAUAUCUAAGAGAUAGAAGAAAGUGAAUAUACAUUCACACAUAUAACAACAAAAUAUACACAUAACACGUAUUCUGUAUAAAAUACUUCAGAAUUAUGCGUUAGAAGAAAGUAACUACACACUCACUUGAUCAGAAGAUGCUCGGACAGCACUACAGCUCUAAGAGUAGUAUUCUUCGGUGAAACUGGGUUCACUUCACUCAUCGGACUUCUUAUGGGCAGAGCUUCGGCUCGGAAACUCUUUUCUUCGCGGGAUCUUCGAGCUUCUGGACUUGCUGCGGGUGUCGGGAUGAUACCGGGGCUUCGGGGGUACUUCUUUGCAUGUAAAUUGAGGUAAGAUGAGUGAGAGAGAAGAGAUUUGGCAACCACAAACGGCUGCCCCUUCAAAUCUAUUUAUAGGGCUGUUUUCUCAUUUUCCAUGUCGUGGGCACUUCUNUUCACAUCGUUACAUCAUCGCAAGUUGGGUCUGGUAGACUCCAGGAGUCGUCAAAAGACAUGCCACGUCGUGACCACUGAUUUCACAUCGUGGUCUCUGACAGUCUUGGAGUUUCGCGCCCCGAACUUCAGAAAUUCAUAACUUUAACAUACGAACUCCGUUUUCGACGUUCUUUAUAUCGACGCGUAGGUAAAAACAAGGUCCACAACUGUUAUUUAGACUUUGUAGGCUUAUUUUGACUUUAUUUUUAAUAUAUUAAUAAUAUACUAUUUUUAGUAGGCCGGGACAGGAAAACUCCGUUAGAAAUUCAUAACUCCUUCAUCUGACGUCUGUUUUCGACUGUCUUUUCACCGUUGGACUACUAUCGAUGAGAUCUUCGAUUCUCGUUUAGGUUGUUUCGGCUAAAUAUCGCUCAAUUUCAUAUUCGAACUUCGGGCUGUACACUGCUAAACCGAAACUUCGAAAAAUCAUAACUUCCUCAUACGAAGUCAGAUUUGCACAUUCUUUUUAUGCAUGCUCUCGGUUUAACGAACUCUACAACAUUCCUUUAGAUCACUAAGUCCAAAUAUUGCUCUAAUGUAAACUCACUAUUUACGUCUCGCUGUUUCGUACCGGUUCUGUCGCGAAACUUUGACAUGUUAUAACUUCUUCUUUAUAACUUGUAUUUCGGCAUUCUUUAUAUAUUCGGAAACCUCGUUUAAACUUCUACAACAUUAUCCAUAGAUAUCGACUUUAUCUAACAUUUCAUUUUGACGCUUAUUUUUAUUCUUAAUUAAAUUAAGACACACAAUUAAGCACAAAACACAUAAUACUCAAAUAAUACACUUCUGUUAUUUCAAAACGGGUUACAAAGAUUAACCUAGACUAUUAUAUCAACAUUAAUGACAAGCCCAUAAACACAGUCAUUACAAACGCUAGCAGGCUCAUAACCUGUAGGUGUUGUGAACGAUGUGUUUACCGGUGUACUCUAUCCCCCUCAUGGUUGCUUUUAGGACAUCUACUGUUGAGGAAACCCUUAGCAGUAAUGUCCGUACCGAUGAAAAUCCUAGAUUAGGUCCCUUGAGAUAGAUGUUGUUUUAGGGACGUAAAGUGAGGAUAACGGGAAUGGGUAAUCGGGUUAUUGUUGGUUGGUAAAAGUAAAUAUAAUAAUUUAUUGCGAGUUGAAAACCCUAUAUGCUCACCAGGCUCCCAAGCCUGACCCACUCAGUUUAUUUGUAUUACUAGUAGUGUCGCGAGGGCAUAAGAUGGAUGAAUCAUCAAGUUAUUUUAUUUAUUAGACCAGUUAUUAUAUGUAACUGUUGUAUGGUCUAUCUUUUGUAGUUUAUGCUUUUGUGUCUGUAUCGGAACAUGACAUCCCGAGUUUUGAUUUUAUAAUGAAAAUACAUUUUGUUAUGAAAUGCUUUGGUAAAUAUUAUUUUAUCAUGCUUUUUUUGGAACAAAUUCUGCAACAAUUUAAAAUCAAAAGGAUUUACUCUGAAAUUAUUUAAAAAAACAUAAAUGAAACUGGUCUUUUCUGACUGUGAUUUUGGGGAUGUCACACUGCGCCUAAUCGAGAACAUCAUAAUCCUGGCAGCUACGCCCAAAGGACAAUAUUAGCACUUGCGCCUAAUAGAGAAUAUUAUAAUUCUGGUAGUUGCGUCUAAAUGAUAAUGUUGGUAGUUGUGCUUAAUAGAUAACGUUGACAACUGUGUCAUUAGGAAAACGGUGGACUGCGUGCCUAUUCCUUAGGAAAAUCCUUAGGAAUGAAUGAGUUAAUGAUAAAUGAUUCUUAGGAUACAUCCUUAAGAAAUAACGAAGAUAAUGGGGAUGGAUAAUUGGGUUAAUUUUUUAAUGAUUAAACAUAAUUAUAUUAUUGUGGGUUGAAAACCCUAUGUACUCACUAGGUUUCCCAAUAUGACCCACUCAAGUUUAUUUGGAUCACAGGUGUCUAUACGAAGCUACUUUACACUGAGAGAUUAAGGAGACGUAAAUCACUAGUGUAAAUGAAUGGAAGGUCUGUUUAUGCUUAUAUUUAUGUAUUAACGAUGACGUCCUAAAGUUUUAAAAAGAAAUGAAAUACAUUUCUUCGAAAAUGCUUUGAUAACACAUUUAUCAUGUUUUUCUGGGAACAAAUUCCGCAACAUUUUUAUAAAAAGGGUACUCUCAUUUUUAAAUAAAGCAUAAACAAAUCGGUCUUUUCUGGCUGUGAAAAUGGGGAUGUCACAAUUGGUAUCAGAGCAUUAGUUUAAGAGAACUAAGAAUAAGGGUUUAUUUCUAGACUUAAACUUAGAAUGCUAAGCGAUGAUUAUGAGUUGAGUGUGUGAUGUUGCGCAUAAAAAAACACAAAGAUAACCAAGAAUGAACCUGUUGAUUCUAAAAGAAUAGCCAGGACAAUCUCUUCAAAACCACGUUGAUUCUACGAAUACUGUGGGAUUGGCUUCAAAAACUGGGUUAACACGCACAAAAUUUGGGAGAAAACUGAAAGUUCAUAAAAUUGAUGAUCGACCAUCCAAAUUACAUAAAAAACAGUUAAAUAAAAAGCAUAAAUUAAAAUGAAACCCUAAAAGUCCAUGGGCGAAAUACAAACCCAAAAAUUAAGGAAAAAUAACAAAAUUGUUCAUAACUCCAUUUAGAAAGCGAUUUCUGGACUCAAAAUGGGUAAGUCCCUUUCGGGGACUUAUCUAGAUGUGCUCCUUGCUCCAAGCUUCGACUUGACUGGUCGUAGGCCCAAAACGGAGACUCGUAGCCAAAGUUAUGGCCAUUUCCGUGAAGCCCCUUUAAUCACACGAUCGUGGGCCUCUAGGAAUGCAAUGGCCCGAUCCUCCACACUAGGGCCCGCAUCUGUGUGUCUAAUAUAUUUUAGGUAGUACACCUGAAUAGACACAGCCACUAUCUUAUUUUGGGAGGAUGCCUAAAAUGCUUUUAUGUGCUAAAUGAUUUGUGAUACUUUAUGAUGCUAUUGUUCGAUCAGAUAUAUGGUAUGUUGCCCACCGGAUCCAGAAACUUUAUGUGUUUAGAUUUCAAAAUGUUUAAUUACAGUAUUAGAACUGGCAUGUAACUUUUCGGAGUGAUAAGAAGAUUUACAUGUGGAUCGUAAAUAAAACCUUUCCUAUCUUAAUUAUCAUCAUUACACAUCAAACGUCUGAUUUGGUGUAUAGAUCAACAUGUUGAGAACUCGAAGCGGAUUAGGAGACGCUAAUGGAAAUGUUGAUCAACGGCCUAUGAUUUAACGUGCACUAAAGGUAGCAGCUACACCAUAGCCAAUCACAAUGGCAAGAGUCCAAGCAAUGAUUCAGGCUAUGAUAGCCAAACAAAGGGAGGAGAUGAGGCAAAUGUUGCUUAAUAGGGAUGAACCUACCAUGCUCAUUGAAUAACUAGAACUAAAUGAUGAACAGUUAGAGAAGGGAAUUACAGUAGAACCGUUGGUCAAGCUGAACUGCCAGUGGUUAGGAGGAAUAACCAAGAGGAAGGGAUCAAGAGAAAUAGAUGCAAGUAUAAGGAUUUCACAACUUGCAAACCAUAGAUUUUCACUGGGAAAGAGGAUCCAAAUCGGAGUUACAGACCGGAUCUCGGAGAUGGAUUUGGCUUUCAUAACAUGUAGAUUCAAAGGAAAGCUAAAAACCAUAUAUGCAGUGCGUCAGUUGAUGGGUGGAGUUGUUCACUAGUGGAACACUUUGGGAAAGAUCAUGAGUCCUAAUGAGCUGCUGCAACUGACGUGGGCAGAGUUCCUAGUGCAUUUCAAACGAAAGUUUUGCUCGGCCCAAAAUCUGUUGGAGCUAGAGAACCAAUUCCUAACAUUGAAGAAGGGCAUCAUGCCUAUUGACGAAUACAGCAAUGCCUUCACCGACAAGAUGGAAUUUUCUUUGCGCAUCGUCCCUGGCGAACUAACUAAAGUCGAUAAGUAUACAAAGGGACUACCAUGGGAAUAUGUUGUGCUAGUACGCCAGGCACCUACCAUCGAGGCGACUAUCUGGGCUGCUAAGUCUGUUGAAGAAAUGAUCAAGAGUAGGGCCACCAACAACGUCGAAGUUGGUGAAAGAGAAAGUUUGAAGGAUCUUCAAUGUCCAAUGAGAGGAGAAAAUGCUCGAAGUCUGGUUCGAAGAAGUUUGAAGGAGGAGGAGGUGAAGCAAGAUGGUGUGAUAAGUGCAAGAAGAAACACUUUGGAAAAUAUGGCAAGAAGGUGACUUGUUUCAAGUGUGGAAAGUCUGGGCAUUAUGCCGAUGAGUGUAUAUUCAACAAAAGGGUGUAUUACGGAUGUAAUGAAGAAGGGAAUUCAAGCUGGACUGCCCAAAGAGGGAAGGAGCUACAAAGCAAAAUGCACCGCCAAAGCCGAAGGCAAAAACAUUCCAUAUGAUCCUUAAUGAAGCAGAUGAUAAUGCAAGGAAUCAAGAAUGAGGACUGAUACCCGAAGAUCAAGUUAUGAAGUAGCCAUGCAGAUAGUAUCAGGAGGUGUAGCCUAUUAGAGGCAUAUUAUAGGUUGAACUUUAACAUCCAUGUAAUCAUUUCAAGAAGUAAUAUAAGCCUUGGUUUUGUUAUCUGGUGCGUUAAGUUGUUAUGUGAUUUUCAAGUAUGGUGACUUGGAAAACUGCGAGACAAUACUUGGGACAAGUAUGAGUAUAUGUGAAUGGUAGUAGAGGCCUAUACUACCAGAAGCACAGGACUCGCACUUGGAUUAGGGAAAGUCACAAGGUUACCAAGGCACUAGUAAUUGAUUCUUUUUUGUUCAUGUUUGUCGUCACCAUCGUUUCGGUAAUGACUAAGAAGAUGAUUGUUAGUCCAACCCUAGUGGUCAUAUCAAAUCGAGUCCGACUAAGAUGAAUAUGUUGCGUGGUUCAAAAAACCAAGGUCGAUGUUGCAUCUGACUUAAGCCAGACGAUUGAAGUGAAAGAUAAUCGAACCGAUCAAUAGAAGUAUCGUAACCUUUGUUAAGGUAAGAAGCUUGUAGCUAGAAGUGCUACAUGCUAGAAUAUGAUUAUAUCACAUUAGAACAUGAAGGAAGGUAUAUUUUGUUCUAUAGUUUGACUCUAAAAGACCUAAGUCUAAGUGUUGCAUCAUACGAUAAGAGGUCAUUACAACAUGACCCAUCGGUUUAUUGUGGUAAUCAAAUAACUUCUCUUAAUAUAAGUAUGUUUAACAAGAAGUAGGAGUCUCUGAUUUGGAUCGAUUUUGUAACUCGAAGGUUACGAUUGGAAGUCCAACAUAGGAUAAAGAACGGGUGCAAGAUUGAGUACCUCCUGCGGUCAAGAAGUCCAAGAGUUUGAUACUCAUUCGAAGGAACAUAAAAGUUACGAUUAUUACCUAAUAUGAAGAGAUAACAUAAGGAUUCAUUAUACAAGCCCUAUUUUGUUGAUUAUUCUGGGACGUAAUCAUCCUAAGGAGGAGAUAACUGUAACGCCCGCAGAUUCAGGCUAGUCAAUUAGAGAUAUUGAGCGUCAAAAAUGACAUUUUUAUGGGAGUUUAUUUAGAAGAAAUAAUCUUAACCUAGUAAUAGUAUAUGUCACAAGGGUUCCGUACAUAUAAAGAACGCCGAAAUCCGAGUUAUAACGAAGAAGUUACGACCCGACGAAGUUCUACAGCAAAACCGGCACGACACCGCGUAACAUAAAAAGUGAAUUUUUGAUAAAUUACUUUUUAGCCUUAGAGAUAUAAAUGAAAGUUAUAAUAUAGGUUAAACCGAUAGCAUGCAUAAAAAGAACGUCAAUAUCUAACUUCGUAUGAGGAAGUUAUGAUUUUUCUAAGAUUUCGCAAAGUAGUAUACAACCCGGAAUUCGAAUUUCAGAUCGAGCGAUUUUUAGCCAACACAACCUAAAUGAAAAUUGAAUAUCUCAUUAAUAGGAGUUCAACGAUAAAAAGACAUUAAAAAUGGAGUUCGAAUGUACAAGUUAUGAAUUUUACACGGUCAUUAACAAUGUAAUCUUCUCAUACUAGUAAAUUUAAAAUCGGUCGAGAGUUAGCUGUUUGAGUCAAAAGGAGAGUUGUAGAUCAUGUCAAUACCUAUGCGUGGAUAUAAAUAAUGUCAAAAAUGGAGCUCGUAUGCAAAAGUUAUGAAUUUUUGAAAAUUGGUUGUUUUACCUGCGUCCAGCACCACGUGUCAGCACCAAGCGAAGCCAUGGUGCCUACGCAAGGCCACGACGUGGAUUGGCUCCAGAUAGCCUAUAAAUAGAGGCGGAAAUCAUCCGUUUUCUUCACACCUUCACCCUUCUUUCUCUCUCAACGCUCCUAAUCUCUCCCUCCCAAUCCCUAGCAACUUCUAAGUGCUCCGAGAAGAAGAUCUUUCGGCUCAGAAGUUCCACCCCCGCAUAGCCCGGUUCCUAGCCAAACCCACGGUAAGUUAGUUAUGAUUACCCUACUUUAAGUAUAACUUAUGUUUGAGUUUAUUAUCAUUAUUAUGAACUUAUAAACAAGAUUUAUCAAUGAUUCCAAGUAGUUAUAUUGAUUGAUCUACUUAUGGGGAUAAUGUCUAGGCUGUGAUUUUGUGAGGUGUUUAAAGUGGGGUUUCCAAAUAGUAUACUUCGUAUACCAAACGAACCCUACCUCUGAUAUGAUCCUACCUGGUUGCUCUUUACAUGAUAGAUCAUGAAAGUAGACUUUGAGUUAAUGAUGAAUCUAGACUAAUAAUUAGUUGCAAUAAAGAUUAGACUAAAACUUAGCGAUAAUAAUGUUAGGUUUCGUCGAAGGAAGAUAGAAUCGUUAGAAGUGAAGCGUUUCUCGACUUUGGAAUUAUCACUUUGAAAAGUGAGUGCAUAGUUACUUUCAUCUUACACAUUGAUAUGAAGUAUUUUAUAUAAAUUACGCGCUAUGUGUGCAUGUUAUCUGUUUACUUGAUAUAUAUGAUAAAUGAACGAUCUUAUACAUGUACUCUAAACAUCCUAGUAGCUGUGCUCAAAGUGUAGUAUCGGUAGCUGUGCCGUCACACCCCCAAACCAGAACGACGGAAACGUUCAGGGGCGGAGGACGUCAUGUAUAGUAUCAUAACAAUGCAUAAUAGUAAAACAAGCAACAACAUCAUCCAUUGAAUUAAUGAUAGAAUUUAUACAUGUGUGUUCUUUGUAAAGUUGUAAGACACCAAAAAUAUAUAAUCAAAAUAAAGACGAGUCUUGAAUACGCUCUGUCUCCUCAAAACCUGGUCAUCGAUACAUGUCUACUGGUGACCUAAGAAUACAAGUUAUUUUGAAAGAGUAGAUCAACAUUUAAGCUGGUGAGUUCAUAAGUAUAUUAGUGUCAAAAAUUUUCAUCUGUUUCAUGAAAAUGUUUGUAAGUAUUUAGAUGUAAAUGUUUGUAUGCUUCCAAGAAAAUCCUAUAUUUUCUACUAAAAUGAAAAGUAGUCUUCUUCCAAGACUCAACUGUUUUGUAUGUUUGUUUUCUCGUAAAAAUUGAUGUAAGAUGUAUGUUUGUACUUGUAAUAGUAUAAAUGUGGGUUUUCCAUAUUUUUUUAAAACUUUCUAUACACGAAAAAUAGUAUGCAUUUCUUACGUGAGAAUAUCACUGUGUGAAUAUGAUGGAAAAAUGACGAUAUUCAGUAGUGUUGUAUAAAAUAUCUACUGAAGCACUAACUACCUUAAAGCAAAUUGUUAAUUAAGGUAAAACGUGAUGAGGUUAUAACCAUGCUUGAUUGACUUGUAUAAAACACAACGAUCAAAAUACAUCGAAAUGGUAUGACAUUUGUCACUUGUAGACCUGUAGGUCCCAUUGUAGCUAGCAACAAGGUUUAGGAUGGUCAAUCCAGUAUAGAUCUAUACACAAACUCACGCUCUCCCUCCAAGAGACUCUGGUUACAAAGCGUGACACAACAAGUAUAUUGAUAUGCCAUGAAGUAGUGGCUCACAUUAAUGUUAUCUUGUUCUAGUUAUAGUAUGUAUGUUCCUUUCUGUUCUAGUUAUAGUAUGUAUGUUCCAAUCUGUUCUAGUUAUAGUAAGUAGUAAUACUCUAAACUAUACCUAUUAUAGUUUACUAGUAUGAUUGUUUGACUGUUACUAAUUUGCAGAAAAGUCUCAAUUACUCACAUAAGCAACUAACUUAAGUAUGUAACUUAAAAAUGGGUUUAAUAUUCAUAUAUGUAUUUAAUAAGCAUAACUAUGAUUUUGCUGACAUUCGAACUAGUGAUCCUACCCUAAGCCCACAACCAAACAAAGAAACAGGAGUUAAGGUAUCUCGCAGUAGUCCUAAGCCCGUUAAAGCAUACUUACACGUAAACAGAUAGACGAAUAUGAUUUGAUAUAAAAGAAGUUUAUAAAAGAUUUAAAAGAGUUUUAACAAGUUUUGAGUAUAAGAAAUCCCUUUGGAUGUUGUUUUCACAUGUAAAUGGUUAACAAAAUUUAAUUGUGUUCUACUUGUUAUCCCCCAUAAAAGCAUUUAAAAGGUAUUUAAAAGUGUAUUGUAGGGGUAUGAACUCAUAUGUAGUGAGUGAUUCGAAUGAAAGAUCGAUAUAGGAUGAUAAGUAUGCCAAGUGAAGUAUCGAGCACAAACGGGUCCUAUUAAGCAUAUAAUAACACAUAUAUGUAUACAAUUAGUAUAUAUAACAACUAAAAUGUAAGGGAAACAACCUUAGGAACUAGGAAACACUUUGAAUGAAGUGUUAGCAUCACAAAUGAUUGGCUGAAAGGUGUUCACGACUAAACAAGGGGUGUUCACGGCCUUAGGAGGGUACAUGUCCAUAGAACGCAUGAUGUGUUCACGGACCAAGGUUGAUCUUAUGAAGGUUUCACGGUCCUAUGAUGCAUCUAUGAAGGGUUCAUGGCCCUAUGAAGGGUUCACGGUCGUGAACUCUUGAAGAUCUUGCAAAUAAGUGUUUGUUUCAUGGGUGGAAUCAAGUGUUUCUAAGGGACAACAAGAUGAUGGAUGAGAUACUUAUGUUUUGGAAGCCUUUAGAAGUGUUCACAGUUGAAGAUAGUUGAGAGAGAAGUGGUGUUCACGGCUAGGGUUUAAAGAAAUGAAGAAAAAUGAGCCAACUCCUUAUAUAUAAGACUUGUUCACGGCCAAGGAUGGGUACACGGCCAUGAACCUAGAUGUGGCCGUGAACUCCUUUUGGUGGUGUUUCCGGCUCGAUUGCAACUCAAUGAACUCAAGCUAACACUUCCUAACUCACAAUCCUUGAGUGUACUAGGCUUAGAAAUUCUCAAACAUACCCUUAACACAACAUAAAGGUAACAGAAACAAGUCUGACUUUAGAUUGAAUUGAUUGACUUUACAAGAUAGAAAUUCCAGGUUGUCGCAUGUGCCUAAUAGAAAACAUCAUAACCCUGGCAGCUACGCCCAAAGGACAAUAUCGACUGUUGUGCCUAAUAGAAAAUAUCAUAAUUCUGGCAGCUGCUCCUAAAUGAUAAUAUUGGCAGCUAUGCUUAAUAGAUAAUGAUGAUAUAUGGUCCAUUAGCAUGGCCUAGACUGCUCUAGCGCGCCAUAUGAUGCGACAUCGGCUCCGACCACCUGCUCUAAGGAGAUGCUUCUGCACCAGAGAUAGAUCUGUGAGGUCACAACAAACAAGACCGUUAGAGCUGCCCCAAAGACUGUGCCCUGGGAGAGAGCUCCGACGGUCAAGUUAGAUCAUUUGGUAGAUCUGAGAUGGAUCUCUUUAGCUAGAGAGGAUCAUCCUUGUGUUGGUGGUGUUGUAUGGUGGUUGACGGCGGCGGGUGCCGGCUGAGCCACCCGGCCAAAGUAUAGGGCGGCGGCUGAGCCAAGGGGAAGAUCCUAAUGGUGGCAGAACCACCUAGGAAAGAGUCCUCCUUCAUGAAGGAGGCACUAUUCUAUUUAUAGGGGGACAACUAGGUCAAGGGGAAUUAGGUCAGGCCUUGGGCCAACCCAAUUCAGGCCCAGCUAGCAAGGAGCUGGGUAAGGCCGCCCGGAGGCGCCGCGCGGGACUUANUGACGGGCGCGUACCAGGAAAGGACGGCAAGGGUGCGCCAGGAAAGGGAGCGUCAGGUCGGGCCUGCAAGAGAUUCCCCAGCAAGGCUGGCAAGGGAGUCCCCAACAAGGUUGUCAAGGGAAUGCCAGGAGAGGCUGGCAGGAGCGCGCCAGGCCAAGAUGGCGCGCUAGAGCAGUGUAGGCCAUGCUAAUGGACCAUAUAUCAUUAGAUAACAUUGACAGCUGUGUCAGUAGGAAAAUGAUGGACUUUAUGCCUAUUCUUUAGGAAAAUCCUUAGGAAUGAAUGAGUGAAUGAUAAAUGAUUCUUAGGAUAGAUCCUUAAGAAAUAACGAAGAUAAUGGGGAUGGAUAAUUGGGUUGAUUGUUUAAUGACUAAACAUAAUUAUACUAUUGUGGGUUGAAAAACAUAUGUACUCACUAGGUUUCUGAACCUGACCCACUCAAGUUUAUUUGUGUGACAGGUGUCGAUACGAAGCUACUUUACACUGAGAGAUUAAGGAGAUGUAGAUCACUAGUUAAAAUGAAUGUAAGGUCUGUUUAUGCUUAUGUUUCUGUAUUGACGAUGACAUUCCAAAGUUUUAAAAGAAAUAAAAUACAUUUCUUCGGAAAUGAUUUGAUAACACAUUUAUCAUGUUUUUCUGGGAACAAAUUUCACAACAUUUUUCUGGCAUCGGGCCUCGCCCGGUAUACAAAUAACAUAUAAGCACAUGCAUAAAAAUCACUUAAACACAUGCAUAAAAAUCACAAUGAUAAAUAGCAUACAAUAUAAUCAUUACGCCCCGCCCGGUAAUCAUAUAAACACAUAACACAUGCAAGAGUAACACAUACAACUAGUAAGGAAACUCACCUCAAGCUGCAAAAUCACUCGGAUAAAAUCUCAAUCUGUUGGUCCGGAAGAUCCUCGCGCUAACCUCAUAAUAUAAAUAUCCAAUUAAUAAUUGGAUCUCGACCCAUAAUAACCAAUCUAAGUUCCUUUUCCAAUAUCCAGGGUAAAAGAUUGUUUUACCCUUUUUCUUACAUGGCCCAAAACCAAGGCCCAAUCCAUUGCUCAAAAGGGCUAAAUUCCAAAAUGGCAUCCAUAGGCCCAAUAAGGCCCAACUUCCAAAUUGGGCUGAAAAUCAUCAUGGACCUAAUCCCAUGAAAGUCCAUAGUCUAUCCAUGACCCAAAGUCAAAAUUCUAAUGACCUAACAAGGCCCAAAUCUUAAAAACCCAAAAUAUGGCCAAAACCCAGGGAAGUCAAACCAAAAGUCAACCUACUGUACGCUUAGCAUACUCCUUCCAGGGCAAGUAUGUGCAUCGUACCAACUGGGUAUGCCCAACGUACUCCCCAGAUUAUCAACCCAACCCAUUAAUAACUUAAUUGGUUAAGCCAACAUGCUAAACUCUCAGAUCUGGUUCUAAAUGGCGACUUACUAUGUAAAGUUGACAACUUUACACCCAUGCAUGAAUUAAUGGGGCCCAACACUAAAAAAGAAGCUUAAUAAGACUCUUAACACUUGCAUGGAAUAAUAUCUUACAUAAAGUUUGCAUUUUUAUGGGCAAAGGACCUCAAAUCAGCGAAGAUCUAACAUCCAUAGCUUCUGGAGUGGACCAUAACUUCAUAUAUGACUUAAAAGACCCAAAAACGCAUAAAUAUCACCAUAAAAUGGAUCUAGCACAAAGGACCAUCCAGAUGAGAGAUUUUUACCUCAAAAGGCUUGCUAAGGUGAAGAUAACUCUAGAUCUACAAGAUUAAGCUACUCCCAAGAAACCUCGAAGUGUUCCUCGUUUUCUUCUUCUUCACCACAAAACACCAACAAACUCACUUUCAAGCUCAAAUCUGACCAAAUACACUUAGGGUUUCGAUAUUGUGACAUAGGGUGAUGGAGGCUGAUCAAUAAAAUGUCCAAAGGUGGUUUAAGAUGUUUAAGUAGGCUGCAAACCCUAAAAAUUAGGGUUUGCCCCUGCUCUACGUAUGUCAUGCAUACUCUACGUACGCCCCACAUACGUGGGUGAAUCUUGCGUCCAGAAAAUAGAUAGUAUGAUAAGCGUACUCAUAGAGUAUGCCCUGUGUACUAGCUAUGGACCAAAAUGAUAAGGAUUUUGCAUUAAGGGGUUAGAAAGAAACUUACCAAAUUACGAAUGUUACAAUUCACUUUAAUCAGAAUUUGUCCUUGAAGUAUGCUGCUCCAAACAACUUUGGGUAGUGCUCUCUCAUCUCGUCCUCCGGCUCCCACGUCCAUUCUGAACCCUUUCGAUGCUGCCACUGAACUUUCACCAAUUCAACAACCUUGUACCUCAAGGCUUCGUCUUCCUGUCAAGAAUUGUUACCGGUCUCUCGAUAUAAUUCAUGCGAUCAUCCACUUAAAUAUCCUCUAAUAGAACCACCACGGAAUCAUCAAUUAAACAUUUUUGUAACUGAGAGACAUGAAAUAUGCUAUGGAUCAUACUAAGAUCCUCGGGAAGAUACAAGCGAUAAGCAACCCGAACCACCCGUGUGAUAAGUCCAUUUUAUGAAUGUACUAAAUUGUCAUAAAUCUGUUGAAUUGAUGUAUAAUUGUCCAAGAAUGGCACUACAUUGCUGAGUUAUUGAACUUCAUAUGCAGGUCAAUAUAUUGUACUAAAAGUGGGUGGAACCUACAAGUAAAACGGAUUGUUAAAGGAAUGAAGAAACGUUGCUGGGAAAAUUGACCAUUCUUCAAUGUUUUGGUCUAAUCUCAAGUUCUGGAGCUCCGAUUGACAUGAGUAUAGAAGUUCUGGAAACUAGACAAGAUUUUCUACAACUUUCGUGUUUUGUGCUUCUGCUAGUUAUGUCGUUUUGACUACCAAAACUUGCACAGAAGAUGAAGGACACCUCCAGACAUCUAAGACGUCCAGGUCAAACAGCCAACAUCUGGUCGUUAUUUCAGAGCAGAAAAGAAGGAAGAACCCCGUCAGCAUCUAACAUGGAAUCUAAGAUGUCCCCUAGGAUGUCUUGGCAUUUUAGGGACGUCCCGUGUUGGAACGGUGUGUUUAGGAAAGUUUAGAAAACAAGGCACGACGUCCUAGAACGCAUCUAAGACGUCUCCUAAGACGUUUGACGUUUUUGGCCAUUUUUUAGUAUAUUUCAAGGACGUACAAAGAUCGCUUGGGCGUUAUACACGACGUCUAAGAUGUCUCCUAGGACGUCCAACGUCCCACAUCGCCCAAUUUCAUUAUUUUUUAUCCCACACUAUAAAUAGGAGCCUAUUUCGUUGGUUAAAAUUCGGAUUCAAAGCAAGAUUCGAUUCAAUUCAUCAUCAAGCUAUAAGUGAAGAUCAUUUCAUUGGUUAAUUUUCAUCAAUUCUUUAUUUUCCAGAAUUAUUUCUUCUUCCCCAAGGUUUAUUUGUUCUACACUUCGAUAAUCAUUAGGCUACAUUUGUUUGAUGAUUCUACGUUUGUUUAUGAAUUCUAUAAUGGAUUUUAUUCAUUUUAAUCAAGUUAUUUGUCUUAUGAACUCAAUGGAAGGCUAAAUCAUUAGGGUUACUUCCGGGGAUGUUUAGGACUUUUUGAUGAACACACUUGAUUAUUACUUGAUUCUAGUUAAUUUCAAUUGUUGUUUUAUGCUUCAUGUGAUGAUCUUUUGGUAAUGAUAAUUGAAAUUGGGUUGUAUGAAUUGUUUGAUGUCAUAAUUAAGAUAGUCUAUUGUCAAUUCAUCAUUUGUUCCAAGUUCACAUAGUUUAGGAAUAAAGACAAGUGAUUGAAUCAACAUAUAUUAUUCCAACUUAUGAUAUUGAAUCUUAAUGCGGUAAUAGGUACUUGUAAGAUAUUUUAUUGCUAGUCCACUAAUUGUUCUUAAUCCAUUGAGGCAUAAAGGAGUAAGACAACUAGUUAAAUGAACAUUUAGUAUGCCCAAACUAUGUAUUACAAGUUAAUAAAUCCCAAUUGUAUCUAAGUAAUUGAAUUAGGAUUUAAGGGAAGAAAGUGUGUGAAUUUAAACUGUCCAUAACUGAACCGGGAGUACUCUAGUUUUCUCAUUGAGAUUUUCGUUGUAAUUAAUAAAUUUCCAUGCUUUUUGUUUGAUCUUUGCGUUAAAUUCUUUUUCGUGACAAUUGCUAGUAGCUUUUUUUCGUUGACUAUUUUAACACAAAGUUUGACAACAAACUCCCUGUAGAUUCGACCCUUACUUACCCUAGCUAUCUAGUGGUUUUGAGGUUAUUUUUGAUUGAUACAACGACAUCAAUCAUAAUUUGGCGCCUUUGUCGGGGAGAUUGUGCGCUUGAGCUAUUGUUUUUAAGUAGUUAUAGCCUUUUACUUUCAUUUUCAAUUCUCGUUUGUAGUUCACAUUUUGUUUUAUUUGUGUUGUGCAGGCACACUGGUGCAUGCAUACAAGACAUAGCAGACGCUCUUCACCGCUUGCAUUUGAUCCGGAAAUCGAACGAACAGCUCGCUCAAAUCGGGUCGCCAGAAGGAACAUCAACACUAUGAGUGUAGAUAAUGUUGUCGUGGAAGAUGUGGUUGAAGGGCAUGAGGAAGAAGCCAACAAUCCUCCACCACUAGUUCCACCACCAGCUCCUCAAUUCCCAAACAACAACAAUGGGAAUAACAACAAUGCCGGUGCACCAAUCAUCCAACCAGUGCAACCAUAACUGAAUAGAAACAACCGUGGCCAAAAUGGUGGAAACGGAGGAAAUUGGGCAUAGAAUAUGGGAGGCAAUGUAGGAAACCACACUGGUGGUAAUGUUAGAAAUCAUAACCAAAAUCCUAGAAAUGUUGGUCCUCAAUUCGGUAAUGGUGGUAAUGGUGGUAACGAGGAUGAUUGGGAUUUUGACGAUGGAAGUUACAACGGACUUGGUUGGAAUCAUAACCACAACGGUGGUAAUAGGCGGAAUCAAGGAAAUCGGGGUGGAAACGGGUACUAAAACAAUAACUGGAACAACCUGAAUUUCCCUAAUGGUGGCAACAAUUACUACAAUGAUGGGUUCGGAAAUCAAGGCUUUGGGAAUCAAUAUCGAAGGAAUCCAAAUGGUGGAUUCAACAAUGCGAAUGGAGGAUACUAAAAUGAAGGUAAUCAAUUCCCUCAUCUUUACUUUCUGCAGCCUAAUAGACAAUCUGUGGCGUCUCAUUUUCAGCCGAGAGAGUAUGAUGAUGCUUCACCCAUACUCUUCGCAGAAGUAAAUGAGCAUCAUGUAGAAGUAAGACCACAACUAAUUAGUGUCUUACCCGUCUUUAGAGGCCAUAAAACUAAUGAUCCAUACAAUCACCUCUAUGAGUUCCUUGCAAUUGCUAACGCGAAUACUCCGCGAGGAACUAAUAGAGAUUCAUUUAGACUUCUCUUAUUUCCGUUCACUUUAAAAGAAAAAGCUAAGUAUUGGUUCACUUCUCUUGCCCCCAUAGUAUCACUACUUGGGAGCAAUUAAAAACUAAAUUUUUGCAAGAGUUUUACCCAGCUAGUAAAACAACGGAAAUAAGAAAAGCCAUAGAAGAUUUUGCACAAAAACCCAAAGAAGAAUUUCAUGAUGCAUUUGAACGCCUCAAGGAAUUGUUCCGUUCAUGUCCCUAUCAUGAAUUUCCCCGUUGGCAACUGGUAGGUUUCUUUUAUGAUGGAGUCGAUACUGCCAAUCAAAGCAUGAUUAAUGCCUCGUCCGGCGGCAUUAUUAUGAUACAAGAUAGUGAAGACGCUUGGCGAUUCUUAGAGUAGUUGAGUCAUGGUUCAAAAACCAAUUACUCAGCUAAGAAACGGGACAAUCCAGUUUCAUCUGUUGCUUCAGUUGGACUAGACAAAAAACUGGAAAAAUGAAGUCAAAUCUGAUAUUAAUUCUUUAAAUAAAAUUUUUGACUUACUACUCUCUAGUCUAGGCAAAAAGAAAGGUGUGUUUUUUCGCAGGGACAGAAGAUAUGUGUAAGCUGUGGAGAUUCAUGACACAUUGCAGAUGAGUGCAUGAGAAUUCAAGAGGAAAUCAAUCAAGUGCAUGGUUAUGGUCAAUUCCAAAAUAAUCCACGAUCAUUCAAUCGGAACUACAUCCAAGGCGGGAACUACAACAACAUUGGGAUUUUCAACAACAACAACCGUCAAGGGAAUUACCAAAACCAAAAUCAGCCAAAACAGUUCCAGCAGUCCAACUUUAACCAAGGUGGAACAUCAAAGAAGGAGGAAAAUGAUGGCAACAAGUUGGACAAAAUCAUGGAGUUCAUAACCUAAACAUAUCAGAAAACCGACACUAACUCCAAGUCUAUAGCUGCUAUUGAGAAGCAAAUUGCUCAACUGGCGGAGCAAAUUGGGAAAAGAGAAGAUGGCAAGUUUCCAAGCACCACAACAGUGAACCCAUCUCAUACCCAGAGACCCCGAAAAGAGCAUCAAGUGAACGAGGUAAUUACCUUGUGUAGUGGAAAAAAGGUUGACAACAAGGUAAGUGCUUCUACAUUAGAUAAUGACAGUGACACUGAAGUCAUCUUUGAUGAAAAAGAAGAGUUUGAGAAAGAUUUUAAAUCCGAAAAACAAAAAGAAGAUAAGGUUAAAAAUGACUCUAAAGUUGGGGAGCAUGGUGUGGAGGUUAAUACCGCACCAUACCCUUCGGCUUUAGAGAAGCCGGCAUCCUUCCCUUUUGGGAAGCGAGGGCUAAAAAUGGAAGACAUGUGAGAUCUAUUUAGUCAAGUUAAAAUAAAUAUCCCAUUAGUCAAACUUAUUAAGGAGGUACCUUCUUAUGCUAAAUUUUUGAAGGAUUUGUGUGUUCAAAAACGCAAACUCCAAGCAUACCUCCCUAAAAAGAUUGAUUUAGUCAAGCAUGCGAGUUCGAUAAUAUCAAAUAAACUUCCACCCAAGCUUAAGGAUCAUGGAGCACCUUUAAUUUUUGUUACGCUAGGUAACAUUAAUAUAAAAAAGGCGCUCCUUGAUCUUGGAGCUAGUGUUAAUAUAAUCCCGGGAAAUUUUUUUGAUCAACAUGACUUAGGCACUUUGGAACAAACUGAUAUUAUUUUACGAUUGGCCGAUAAGUCAACAAAAAUUCCUUGGGGAAUAUUAUCAGAUGUUAUUAUUAAGGUGGGAGAUUUCUAUUACCCAGUUGAUUUUCUUAUGCUUGACACCGUGAGCACUUAUAAAGAAAGUCAACCUUCUAUUAUUUUAGGUCGUCCGUUAUUGACAGCAAUAAAUGCACAAAUUAAUUGUAGAACGGGUGCAAUGGAUAUCUCUUUUGGAAAUAGGAAACUUAGAAUUGAUAUUUUUAAUACGUUUCCUAACUCACCAUCAGAUUAUGAAUGUUAUCAUGUGGAUGUGGUUGAUGACUUAGUGCAUCAAUUCACUCUUAAAAUCUUACACCCUGAUCCAUUGGAGUUUUUUCUUUCUAAUGACAGGGACGAAGUUUUAGAGUUGGAUGACAUCAAGAUGGUUGAGGAGGCAUUUGAAAAUGUUAUUGAGCAAGAGAGGCCACCAUGGAGUUAUCAAGUUGAAAAAUUGCCAACAAGUUUUUCGGACCCACUUAAGCCAUCUUUGGAGGAGCCACCCAGUCUUGAACUCAAAACUCUUCCUUCACAUCAUAGAUACUCUUUUUUAGGAUCUAAGGAGAACUUACCAAUUACCAUAUCUUUUGAUUUGACAUGUCCACAGGAGGAAGCAUUACUGAAGGUGCUUUCGAAGUACAAGGGAGCAAUUGGAUGGACCAUAGCAGACUUGAAGGGAAUUAUUCCAGCCACAUGUAUGCAUUGAAUCAUCACUGAAGCUAGAGAAAAGCCAUCCCGAGAUGCACAACGAAGGCUCAACCCGAAUCUGCGAGAAGUUGUUAAAAAGGAGGUGUUGAAAUGGCUUGAUGCGGGUAUUAUCUACCCAAUAUUUGAUAGUGAUUGGGUGAGCCCGACACAGACAGUGCCAAAGAAGUCGGGCGUUACAGUGGUAGAUACAGAAGAUGGAGAGAAGAUCUCAACAAGAUCGGUCACCAGAUGGAGAGUUUGCAUCGACUAUCGCAAACUCAAUGCUGCAACAUCAAAUGACCAUUUCCCUCUCCCUUUUAUUGAUCAAAUAAUUGAGAAAUUGUAUGGUAAAAAGUUUUAUUGUUUUUUGGAUGGAUACUCGGGGUAUAAUCAAAUUGCCAUCCACCCCGAGUAUCAAUCCAAAAUGACAUUCACGUGUCCAUAUGGCACCUUUGCUUUCCGAAGGAUGCCAUUCGGCUUGUGUAAUGCCCCUGCCACAUUUUAAAGAUGUAUGAUGGCUAUUUUUUUAGACGUGGUGGGGGAUGCAUUAGAAAUUUUCAUGGAUGAUUUUUCUAUUUUUGGAUCAUCUUUUGAGACAUGCUUAGACCAAUUAGAAAAAGUUUUGAAACGUUGUAUUGACUCUAAUUUGGUUUUAAGUUGGGAGAAGAGUCAUUUCAUGAUAAAAUAGGGAAUUGUACUUGGCCAUGUUGUCUCCGAGCAUGGCUUUGAAGUCGACCGGGCCAUAGUACAAAUUAUUUCUACUCUUCUCCCACCAACUUCAGUAAAAGGCGCCCGUUCUUUUCUUGUACAUGCCGGCUUUUAUCGAAGAUUUAUCAAGGAUUUUAGUGCAAUGUCAAAACCUCUUUGUAAUUUACUUUUAAAAGAUGCACCAUUUUCCUUUGAUAAAGCAUGUCUUGAAUCUUUUACCACAUUAAAGAACAAACUUGUUGAAGCUCCUAUCUUGCAAUCACCCGAUUGGACUUUACAUUUUGAAAUUAUGUGUGAUCCAAGUGAUUACGCGGUAGGGGCAAUUUUGGGACAACGGGUGAAUAAAAAACCCAUUGCAAUUUGUUAUGCGAGCAAAAAAAUUUCGGAUGCACAAUUGAAUUACACUACUACCGAAAAAGAGUUGCUUGCGGUCGUGUUUGCACUUGAAAAUUUUAGAUCUUACAUAUGGGGAUCUAAAGUUGUAAUUUUUACCGACCAUAGUGCCAUUCACCACCUCUUGGAAAAGAAGGAUGCCAAACCACGUCUCAUAAGAUGGAUCCUUCUUCUUCAAGAGUUUAAUCUUGAAAUUCAGGACAAAAAGGGUUCUGAAAAUGUUGUGGUGGAUCAUUUAUAUAGAAUAACUAAUAAUGAUAACUCAACGAAAGUUAUUCAAGAAAACUUUCCAGAUGAGCAUAGUCUUGUUGUCAAAACUAUACCAUGGUUUGCUAAUUUAAUUAAUUACUUUGCGACAGGGGAAACUCCAUUGUAUUGGAAUGCUCAACAAAUGAGGUUCUUCCACUCUCAAACAAAAUACUACAUAUGGGAGGACCCAUAUAUUUUCAAAAUUGGAGCAGAUCAAGUGAAUAGGAGAUGUGUACCACAUACAGAGCAAGAAGACAUUCUUCGACACUGCCAUUCAUAUACAUGUGGAGGGCAUUUUAGUGCCAAAAGGCAGGGCAUCGGGUUCUACAAAGCGGUUUUUUCUGGCCCUCUAUUUUUAAAGAUGCACAUACAUUCGUUAAAGCUUGUAUUCGUUGCCAACAAGUUGGGGGGAUCUCAAGACGGGACAUGAUGCCAAUGACCCCAAUUUUAGUAGUUGAAAUCUUUGAUGUAUGGGGCAUUGAUUUCAUGGGUCUGUUCCCCACUUCUUUUGGCAAUCUAUACAUUCUUGUAGCCGUUGAUUAUGUAUCAAAAUGGCUCGAAACCGAGGAUACACACACGAAUGACCAUAGUGUUGUUUGUAAAUUUGUUAAAAAGAACAUAUUUUCUACACACGGAAUCCCUCGAACUAUUAUUAGUGAUGGGGGCUCCCAUUUUAAAAAUUGGCAUUUUGCAAAGUUACUUAAACACUAUAGUGUCACACAUAUGAUAGCUACUCCAUAUCACCCACAAACAAAUGGACAAGUAGAAGUGUCAAAUAGGGAAAUAAAACGAAUCUUGGAGAAGACUGUUCAUCCCGACCGAAAAGAUUGGUCAUUAAGAUUAGAUGAUGUGUUAUGGGCAUAUCGAACAACCUAUACGACGCCCAUUGGAAUGUCUCCGUAUCGGCUUGUUUAUGGAAAGCCAUGCCAUCUCCCGGUGGAGUUAGAACACCGUGCCAUGUGGGCCAUAAAAAAUGCUAACUUUGAAUUGAGUGAUGCAGGUAUAGAAAGGAAACUCCAAAUUGUUGAAUUGGAAGAGAUUCGAAAAGAAGCUUACGAAAGCUCAAGGAUCUAUAAAGAAAAGACGAAGGCAUUUCAUGACCGACAUAUUGUCCGAAAACAAUUCGUUAAAGAACAAUUGGUGUGGCUAUUCAACUCUCGUCUCAAACUCUUCCUCAGAAAGCUUCGGAGUAAAUGGAAUGGACCUUUUGUGGUGAAAAAUGUGGCGGAUCAUGGAUCUAUUGAAAUCAAGGACACGAAAGGCAGUGAACCAUUCAAGGUAAAUGGACAAAGACUCAAACCUUAUAUUCGAAUGGUAAAUGGUGAAACAACAUUCGUUGAGAAAACAACGCUCAAGGCAACACAAUAUUUAGAAACAACUUAGUCGAGGUAAACCGUCCGGCUGAAGACAUAAAACUUACCGCUUUUCGGGAGGCAACCCGUGGUUUGGUGUGUUUUUACUUCUAUUCUUCUUUUGGUGUGUUUUAAUUCUUUUCGUAUCGAGGACAAUCCAAGGUUUAAAGUUGGGGAGGGGGUAUUUAAUUUUUGUUUAAAAUUAAAUAAUAUUCGAAAAAUACUCAAAAAACAGCAAAAAAAAAUAGCCUCAGGCAUCCUAGGGGUGUCUUAGACGUUGUCUAAGACGCCGUCGGGCUGUCACUUCUUUUCCCCCCGAUGAAAACCCUUCGCGAAAAUUAAAAAAAUACCCUUAAUGUGUAUGACGUCCUAGGACGCGUCUAAGACGCCGGCUAGGACGUCGACGUGUUUUUCAACCGUUUUAUGCCGUUUUCUGCAUUAUUGUUGGUAUCUUUCUUCUCCAAACUGCCAUAGCCGAAAACCCACUUGUUCUUGCUUAUUUCCUUUGAUUUCUUGGCCAAAACUCAACCAAAAUUCGUGGUUUUUGUUGCAAUCUUCAAGAAAUCAAGUAAGAAACAUCACAUUGCAAGAUUUACACACUCUAAUCACUUAUUUGGGGCCGAUUUCAAAACCCACAAAAACUAGGGUUUCGAAAUUUUGACUUAUUUUGAGAUUUUACUUCAAGUUCUUGGUUCUUCUUCACUAGAAACACAAUUUCAACAAGGUAUAUGCUUCAAAACUCCAUCUUUUAGUUGAAUUUCAGAAUUUUUGCAUGUAUGUUCAUAUAUGUUUGAAAUUUUGAAAAAGAUGAAGAAUAUGAUAUAUAUUGGUAUGAAUUCUUGUGAAUUAGUGUUUGUAGUUGUUAGAAGUAUGUUCCAAACAAGUUGCAUGUGUUGAUUCGAGAAAUUUCUAAAAAUUGAAUUUUUGUUGUUAGUUGUUAAAAAAUAAUAAUAAUAAAUAAAAGCACAUAUAAUGUUGGAAAAUCAUUCUUAUGUUUAUAUUUGUGUUUGAAUUAAAAAUUCAAGUUUUUAGAAAAUUUCAGAAUGACACUGAAUUUUGACAUUGCAUUGUUAGUCUGAAUAUUUGCCUGUUACAGUUCUGUUCUGGUUUUAGUUAGAACUUGUCAGUUGAAGUUAACUUUUGGUUUAACUGUGUUUUUACUGAUUGGAUAAAUUUUUGAAAAAUAUUUAGUUACUAAAAACAUAACAGGACUUAAAACGGUUAUUUAUUUAGACUGGAUUUAUUUUAACUUUGUUUGGAACAACUUGCCAACUGAAUUAUUUGUUUUAUUUUUGUGACAUUUGAUAUGUUUAAUGGCAAGUUUUGUUUUGUGGUUUUGUGUAUGAAUUAUUUUGCAGAUGCCAGCAAAGAGAUCAAGGGUAGCAUCAUCAAGCAGUGCAUCUAGACAACCAGCUAGACAGUCGGAGCCAAAUGUACAUGUGGCUUUCAACCCACAGUAUCAGACAUUGCAUGAGCAUCUAGAUGACAUUCGUCCAACAGUUUAUGAGGCAACUCAUCCGAAUAUGGGUUUUAUUGUAGAGUACAUGGUGGAGCGACCGAGCUUCACUAGGUAUAAUAUUGUGGAGACGUUUGAUCGCUAUGGAUGGGGUGGAGUGCUAGACUUCAAUCCCACGCAGAUUUAUGUUGAUAUAGUGCAGGAAUGGAUGAGGAAACUUCGACGUGUCGAGGUGCCUGGUAGGCCGGAGGAGUUGCCGCUGAUUGGGACGGUCCGUACUCAUGAUAUAGUGAUAACUGUGCAGGGUAUUCGGGACAUGUUUCAUGUAGAUACUGGCUGUCAUUUUCAUUAUCUUGAGAAUCAUCUGACUGAGUAUAGAUGUAUUGACACGAGGGGGUAACCCUGGGGUUAGUAUGACUGAAGUAUACCGUAUAGUGUUCCAUGAGGGGACGAGGGCAUACGACAGAUUCCGCGAAUUGGUGCCUUUAGCAAAGGCAUUACAUAACAUUAUCACGAAAAAUGUGAACCCAAGGAAUAGUGAUCCUAGGGCGGUGAGGCCACAUGACUUAUAUGUAUUAUAUGGAUUGAUGAUAGGAUCUAUCUUUAUCUCUUAUGCAUAUAAUGCUAUGUGCAACAUAUGGUCCUGUUUUGAUAUCCAGCACAGAGUCACUACCCCCCAUGUUGCCCUGAUAUCGACAUAUGUUGCCUUGCUACUUCUUUUAGACACAUCUCAUUUCAUGUUGAAAAUGGGAGACAUAUUCUGAGGGAUUCUACCACAAAUCCGACAUACACGGCACCACUCGGAGUGGGGGAUGAGGAGCCAUUCGUUGGUGAUUUUUAGGGGGAUCAGUAGCAGCAAUAGGCAUAAGCAGCAGGUCGGGGAUAGAACAUGCAGGCAGCUUGGGAGGACUUUGUGGGGAGGCAGAACAUGCAUAACCAGGAGGUGCAGGCUUGGAUGGGGAGAACGGAUAUAUGGUUGAAGGGUGUCGAUACGACACUAGCUGAUAUUACUGAGCAGAUGCGACAGAUUGGCAUUACAUCUAGCAACACUUAUAGUGUUGCCACUCGUCAGUUGUACCAACAGGAGUACUAUGCAGAUGCUGCCUACACAUAGAGUCGUGUCCAGUAUGAACCGAUGGACAUUGAUCAACCACAGUAUCGAUACCGAGCUCCAGCUCCGUUCUUCUACCGAUCCGGGAAUCUGAGCAACUAUCCACCGCCAUCCGAGCAUGAGCAUUAUCAGCCACCACCAGCUACAGAGGACUCUACUCGCUUUGAGGAUUUAGUUGGAUCGAUCUUUGGGUAUCCUCCACCAUACCCACGUUAUCCUCCACAGUCGCCCCCACAUUGAACUUUGGUGAGAUCCUCUUUUGAUUUUUAUUUUUAUGGUUGUUUGAUGAAGACUUUUUUUAUUUUUAUUUUUAUUUUUCGUUUGCUUUUCAUGUCUUUAUUUGGGAUGAAUGUACUAUUAUUAAACUCAUUAUUAUUAUUACUCUCUCUUGGGUUGGUUCCAUUAAAUAUGUGAUGAGUUAGUAGCAUCUCUAUAUCUUGAACGUAACUCAUCAAAAUGGAAAAUGAUAGGAGUUUCGUAAAUUGAGUCAUAAUAUUUAUUUAAUAUUGAUUUUGUGGAUUGCUCAACCGAUUUGGGAAUAUUUAUAUUUAGUUAAAAAAUUGUUAUGUGAAAUACCCAAGUGUUUGAAAAAUGACGGUUUUUAGCUCGAGCCUACGAUCUUUCAAUUGAGGACCCAACCGAACAAUAUGUGUCAUCACGCUCUGAGUACUUGGUCUUACUUACUCUUGCGCCUUUGGGGUUGGGAGGGGACUAUUAUUGUUUUCACACAAUAAAAAAGCAUCAAAAGACAUUGAAGAACUUCCAAGUAUCUAUAUUCAAGCUCAAGUCAAAUACCAAAAUGAUCAAAUCCGAUGAAGCCAUCAAAGAACUUGAAGAAUGCAAAAUCAAGAUAAAUAUGAAGAAAAGUUCAAGUUGAAGACAUUGUGUGAAAUAAUGUGUGACCCCUCGAUAGCGGGAGCGUAUGGGUUGGUCCAUUAAGUGUUACCGACCGCGCUAACUAUGUUAGUGAACCUUGAAAAAAGGGACUUUGGCAAUGAGUUCAACUGAUUACUCAUGAGGGUGAUUAUUGGAAAGGGUUCAAAAAGUGGAGGGUUUCAAACAACAAAGUAAAAUAAGCAUAACAUGUGUUUUGAGUUUAAAAGUCUGGAUAAGAAAAUAAUAAUCCCCAUAAUCAAUAUAUUGUGCUAUUGGAAAUGUUGUGAUAAAAAGUACAGAAUUCAUGAUUCCAUUGAGUUUUUCUUAGGAUAAGAGAGUAAAGACUACGCUGAUUAUUUCAGGCCAAUCUCGGGACGAGUUUGGAAUAAAGUUGGGGAGGUUUGAUAAGUCCAUUUUAUGAAUGUACUAAAUUGUUAUAAAUCUGUUGAAUUGAUGUAUAAUUGUCCAAGAAUGGCACUACUUUGAUGAGUUGUUGAACUUCAUAUACAGGUCAAUAUAUUGUACUAAAAGUGGGCGGAACCUGCAAGUAAAACAGUGCUAAAGGAAUGAAGAAACGUUGCUGGGAAAACUGACCAUGCUUCAAUGUUUUGGUCAUAACUGAAGUUCCGCAGCUCUAAUUGACAUGAGUAAAGAAGUUCUGGAAACUAGACAAGAUUUUCUACAACUUUUGUGUUUUGUGUUUCUGCUAGUUAUGUCGUUUUGACCACCAAAACUUAAACGAAAGAUGAAGGAUGCCUCCAGGCGUCUAAGACAUCCCCUAGGACGUCCACAUCAAACGGUCAGCAUCUGGCCGUUAUUUCAAAGCAGAAAAGAAGGAAGAACCCCCGUCAGCGUCUUACAUGGCGUCAAAGAUGUCCCCUAGGACAUCUUGGCAUUUUGGGGAUGUCCCGUGUUGGAACGGUGUGUUUCGGAAAGUUUAGAAAACAAGGCAGGACGUCCUAGAACGUGUCUAAGACGUCUCCUAAUACGUUUGACGUUUUUGGCCAUUUUUUAGUGUAUUUCAAGGACGACAGAUGGCAUGCAAGGACGUACAAAGAACGCCUGGGCGUUAUACACGACAUCUAAGAUGUCUGCUAGGACGUCCAACAUCCCACAUCCCCCAAUUUCAUUAUUUUUUAUCUCACACUAUAAAUACGAGCCUAUGAAUUCGUUUUUAGGGUUACCACCUCCGAUUUUCAGAGUUUUUCAUGUGUUUUUGAGGCUUCUAAAACACUUGGAAACAUUUGAAAACACAAAUCCAUUCCAUUAAAAUCCGGAUUCAAAGCAAGACUCAAUUCAAUUCAUCAUCAAGCUAUAAGUGAAGAUCAUUUCAUUGGUUAAUCUUCAUCAAUUCUUUAUUUUCCAGAAUUAUUUCUUCUUCCCCAAGGUUUAUUUUUUCUAUAAUUUGAUAAUCAUUAGGCUACAUUUGUUUGAUGAUUCUACAUUUGUUUAUGAAUUCUAUUAUGCAUUUUAUUCAUUUCAAUCAAGUUAUUUGUUUUAUGAACUCAAUGGAAGGCUAAAUCAUUAGGGUUACUUCUGGGGAUGUUUAGGACUUUUUGAUGAACAUAAUUGAUUAUUACUUGAUUUUAGUUAAUUCAAUUGUUGUUUUAUGCUUCAUGUGAUGAUCUUUUAGUAAUGAUAAUUGAAAUUGGGUUGUAUGAAUUGUUUGAUGUCAUAAUUAAGAUAGUCUAUUGUCAAUUCAUCAUUUGUUCCAAGUUCACUUAGUUUAGGAAUAAAGACAAGUGACUGAAUCAACAUAUAUUAUUCCAACUUAUGAUAUUGAAUCUUAAUGCGGUAAUAGGUAGUUGUAUGAUAUUUUAUAGCUAGUCCACUAAUUGUUCUUAAUCCAUUUAGGCAUAAAGGAGUAAGACAACUAGUUAAAUGAAAAUUUAGUGUGCCCAAACUAUGUAUUACAAGUUAAUAAACCCCAAUUGUAUCUAAGUAAUUGAAUUAGGAUUUAAGGGAAGAAAGUGUGUGAAUUUAAACUAUCCAUAACUGAACCGGAAGUACUCUAGUUUUCUCAUUGAAAUUUUCGUUUUAAUUAAUAAAUUUCCAAGCUUUUUGUUUGAUCUUUGCUUUAAUUUUUUUUCGUGACAAUUUCUAGUAGUUUGUUUUUUUUCGUUGACUAUUUUAACACAAAAUUUGACGACAAACUCCUUGCGGAUUCGACCCUUACUUACCCUAGCUAUCUAGUGGUUUUGAGAUUAUUCUUGACUGAUACAACGACAUUGAUCAUCGUGCCAAAACCCUAAAGAGACCGAUGUGCCUGGGGCCCAAUUUGCUCUUCUUCCUGAAUCGGAUGACACCUUUCCAAUGUGACAAGUUCAGGGGGACCAUAUCCCUAACCUGAAACUCUAAAUCUGAUUGGUGCUUGUCGGCAUAGCUCUUCUUCCGGCUCUAAGCUGUCUGGAGCCUACUCCAAACUGCUGAAUCAACUUGGUAGUCUUGAGUACCGCUUUGGUACUCCCCAUUAGUAGCUGACCGUCCUCACCCCAACAUAUCAUGGUACUGCAUUUCUUUCUAUAGAGCAUCUCAAAAGGAGGUCGAUUAAUGUUGGCGUGAUUACUAUUGUUAUACAAAAACUAUUGGAUUAGGUGUCUAAGACCAUAACUAUUUUGGUAUGUACUUGACCCGAUUGUGAGCAUGGUCCUUUUGGGUUGCCUUCACCAUAGCAACUGAUGGGAUGAAUUAAGGAGAAAAAGGAUUAAUUAUGAUUUAUUAAUAUAUUAUAUGAAUAAUAUAUUAAAAGAGAAAUCAUAUUGUUUAAUUAAUAUUAGUCAAUAAUUCAUUUUGUGGCUAAAAGAGAUUAAUUAAAUAAAGGGGACUGAUAUUGCAAUUAUAUGAUAGUUGCAAAUUGGGCUAUGGAUUCCUAAUGGAAAUCGGAUUGGACAAAAUCUAUGGGAAGCCCAUAUGGAUUUCGUCCAAGGGCUUUCCAAGGGAACUCCAUGGGUUGCUUAAGGCGUAAGCAGUGAGAUUAGGGUUUCCUGAUUCAAAACCCUAAUAGCCUAAGUAUAAAAGGAACCCUUGGCAAGCCAAAAACGUCCCUAACCUUAUAAGAGAAACCCUAGGACGUUUUUGGUGCCUCCUCCCUCUCUCCUUGUUCAUCUUGUUACAUAUGGUGUUUGUGACUCCAUUAGAGGUGCAACAUUUGAGGCACUAGGCUUUCAGAAGUCAAUUACAAGAAGGAUUCGGAUUGUUAUUGCAACAUAACAAUCAAGGUAAGAUCUAAAAUCUAUCCUUUUGUCAAUUUUGAUUAUUGUAUACUAGAGUUAGGGUUUAUGAGCUUUGGAUGAUUAUUACGUAUAUCAGACAAACUAGAUCCAAAGCUUUAGGGUUUGCAUGUACACCAUAGGAUUGACGUAGUGCUCAAAACCCAUCAAAAACUACGCCAAAGGGAUAUAUGUAUCCCAACUCCCACCAAAAUCCAGAACACACGCCCGAAGCAUAUCCUCCAAGGUAUGAAUAGUCCUCUCGCUCUGACCAUCAGUAUGUGGGUGGAAAGUCGUACUGAAAUGCAGAUGAGUACCCAGCUCGUCGUGGAACCUCUUCCAAAAUCUGGAAGUAAACCGGACGUUCCUGUCUAAAACCACAAAACGGGCACACCAUGAAGUGCCACUACCUCCCUGAUGUAUACCUCAGCUAACUUCUCUGAGGAGAUACUAUCUUGAGUCGGAAUAAAAUGUGUGAACUUGGUCAAUCAAUCCACGAUGACCCAAAUCGAAUCCACUCUAUGUUCACUCUAAGGCAACAUCGUAAUGAAAUCCAUGGUAAUCUCCUCCCAUUUUCAAACAGUGAUAUCUAACGGUUACAUCUUGUCGUGAGGCCACUGAUGCUCGGCCUUGACUUUCCUUCAAGUCAAGCAUCUCUCCACGUACCAAGCUACAUCCCGCUUCAUACAGGGCCACCAAUAAUCAGGAUGAAGAUCAAUAUACAUCUUCGUCGUGGUGGGAUGAAUGGAGAAUCUCAAUUUGUGUGCCUCCUCCAUCAGAACUUGACGCACACCAGCCCAAUCGGAACCCACACUCUUCGAUGGAGAUUCAAUAACCCUUGGUUUUCAUAAUAAAAGGAAGCCACCUGACUCACUGUGCGCUCACUCUUCCCAUCACAACCUCAACCUGAGCCUCUCAAAUCUACUCUAAAAGUGGAGUGAUCACAGUCAUCCUGAAACAAAUAUCCUUGAACGGAGCCGCGAUCGCCUUGCUGCUAAGAGCAUCGGCCACCACAUUAUCCUUCCCCGUAUGGUAAAGGAUCUCACAAUCAUAAUCCUUCACCACAUCCAACCAUUGGCACUGCCUCAUGUUCAUAUUUGGCUGAUCCAUCAGAUACCUCAAGCUCUUGUGAUAUGUCUAUAUAGUACAGCGGGCCCCAUAGAGGUAAUGUCAUCAAAUCUUGAGGGCAAAAACCAUAGCCCCAACUCUAAAUCAUGCAUCGGAUAAUUCGUCUCAUGAUGCUUCACUUACCUUGAAGCGUAAGCGAUCACGUGACCCCUCUGCAUCAGAACUACACCUAAACCUGUGAUCGACGCAUCAUAAUAAACCAUGAAAUCUUCAACACCCUCCGGCAGGGUCAAAAUAGAUGCCUCACACAAUCUUUAUCUUAGGGUCUCAAAAGUUGCAUGUUGGUCGGGCGCCCAGCGAAAAGUGACAAUCUUCUUCGUCAACCGAUUUAGAGGAACCGCUAUCUUGGAGAAAUCCUAAAUGAACCUCCGAUAAUAGCCUUCCAACUAAGGAAACUCCAAAUCUUAGAUGGAGACCUCGGUACCUCCCACCUCAUCACGGCCUCGACCUUGGCCGGAUCGACCAGAAUACUGUUUUGGUUGACAAGGUGCCCUUGAAACUGCACCUCGUGCAACUAGAACUCGCACUUGGAGAACUUUGCAAAAAGUCUCUCCCUCCUCAAAGUUUCCAAUACCUCCCUGAAGUGCUCCUCAUGUAGCUCCUGGGUCUUGGAAUAGACCAGGAUAUCAUCAAUGAAUAGGGCAUUUUGUAUAAUCAAUUGUUGAUGUUAUUGAAAAUAAUGAUGUUAUUGAAACAUAUGCAUGGCAUGUAUUCCCAAUAAUUAUAUUUAAUUAAUUGGUUGUUGUGCAUGUUAUUAUAUUGGGAACAAAUUAGAAAGUGGUCCAUGUGGUAGUACAUGAUAUGUAUGGGGACCAUUUGUAGUUAAUAGUCAAUGGGUAUUUUUAUAAUGGAAAAAUGGGACCUUUGAACCCAUUAUAGAACCAUAUCCAUGACUAUAUAACAAAUUCACAUGCAUGCACAUUAUUCCAAAUUUUUCCAUGCAUAAAUAUUCAAACCCAUUGGUCAUGAGUUUACUUAAAAAGGCAACAUACUUUCAUAAGUGAGUAAAAUAUCAUUUCAUGUCAACAAUUUACUUACAAAGGCAACAUACAUUCAUUAGUGACCAAAAUACCCUUUUAUGUCAUGAGUUAACUUAAAAAAGCAUCACGCAUACAUAAAUGACUAAAAUACCCUUUUAUGUCAUGAGUGAACUUAAAAAGGCACCAUGCAUACAUAAAUGACCAAAAUACCCUUUUAUGUUAUGAGUGAACUUAAAAUGGCACCAUGCAUACAUAAAUGACCAAAAUACCCUUUUAUGUCAUGAGUUAACUUAAAAAGCCACCAUGCAUACAUAAAUGAUCACAUCACAUGUAUUCAAAUACACAUACUUUAAAUCCAAAUUACCAUCAUCCUAAUACACAAACUUAAAAUCCAAAUUACCAUCAUCCUAACACACAUACUUUAAAUCUAAAUAACACAAAGGAAAAAUCAACACUAAUAAAUUAGAAGAGCUUUUCCCUUAGAAUUUCCUGGAUCAUCAACACCACCAACUUUCUUGCCUAAUUUCAACUUGAAGAUUCUCUUUGACUUUCUUCUCCUUAUCCUGUUCAAAAUCUUGGAAAUUGGUCUAACCCUUACCUGUUGAACCUAGAUAAUAGGAGUAACCUCCUAAAUUUGAACAUUAUCAACAACUUGGACAUUAGGAAUAACCUCAUCAUCUUGAACAUUACCACCCUCCUCAACUUCCUCACCCAUAACACCCCCAUCACCUUCAUAACUUCUAGGUGGAAUAACUUGCAUAGACUGACUAAAAUCCCUUGCACUACUGGAUUCAACAUGAGUAGAAGUAACUUGCAUAUCAUUUUGAGUAUUAUCCAUCUCAAUUGGAGUCAUUUAACCUCUUCUUGUUGUUGUGGUUCACUUGUACUACCCUAUAUGGCAUGAUAUAAUUAUGUUAGUGGCAAAUCAUAUGUAAAUAAAUUUAAAUUUUAAAUGGUUUUACCUGUUCUGCAUUUUUCUUCACAUAAACUUUUUGUUUCUUCUGUUUCUUUACAUUUAACUUUUGGGGCCUUCUCUAUGGACAAGUGGCCUUACUGUGACACAUCUCCUUGCAUAUAAUACAUCUAAUUUUCUUUCCAUCCUUAGAAACCCUGUGUGUUCCUGUAUUCUUUGUAGUGGAUUUCUUCUUCUUAGUAGCUGGCCUACCAUGCAUCCGUCUACUAAUAAGAGGCAAUGGUGGAGUAUAAUUUGUCUCUGGCCACAUGUCACUGCCAUUCAUGGGGGAAAUUCUGUAAUUGUAUGCCUUCCGAAUUGUGGUGGUGUUAAACAUGUUGUCUACAUAGGCUUCUACAUCUCUAUUAAGAUUGGAUAUGGUAGCUACAGAAUGAGCAUAUCCAUAUCCAUUUAACCGCCACAACCUACAUGAACAUGUUUUCCUUUAUAAGUCCACCUCAUAUGCAUCUGUUUCUCCCUUACCUCGAACUGGUUUAAUCCACUAGGUAGUACCUGAUAAUGCCUCUGAAUUUUUUAAGCAAAUUCACCUUAUCCCUUAUCUCUGGACAAAUAUUAUUUCCCCAUUGUUGUCCCUUUAAUUUCAUGUUGUACAUUUUGUCCAUCAUGUAUAAUCUUAACUCCUCUAACAUGGUUAUUAUGGGCUUCUUCCUGGUAUCCACUAUUACAACAUUAAAACUUUCAGAGAAAUCAUUUUCAACUGCAUCACAACACCUUCCAGCUUGAAAGUAAGCUCUUGACCAUGUUUUAAGAUCUUUCUCCAUGAGAUAUUGAUGGGCAUCUGGGUUUAAUGUCUCAAUUUCCUUCAUCACAACUUUAAAAGCAUGCUCAUUUGUGGUUUUAGAUGCUCUCCAAAACAAGGUAUGAUAUAUGACACCAGUGAAUCUCUUCUGCAAAUUUUGAAAAAUAUGUCUAGCACACUGCCUGUGCAUAUGGAAGAAACUCUUUAACAGCCUCUAUCAAACCUUGUAUUAAUAAAAAGGUUUAAAUCAGAUAGUAUAAAAUAAAUAUAAAUGAAUUACUAUGUAAAAUACUAACCUUAUGUUGGUCUGACAUUAAACUGAAGCAAUUGCCUAAACUUAAGUUUAGAUUAUUAAUGAGAAGCUCUAAAAACCACUUUUAAUUCUACUUGUUCUCCACACUAACCAUUGCCCAAUCAAUAGGAUAUAUCUUGUUAUUUACAUCCCUCCCAAUAACACAAAGCAAUCCCCCCUUACAAACACCUUUAAGAAAACAUCCAUCAAGACCCAUUAUCCUUCUACACCCUUUAAUCCAACCUUGUUUAAUUCCUUGAAAACAAACAUAGAACUUGCUAGAAUAUUUCUUUCCAUCUGGACCAUCCUCCACAUCUAGUUUCACAGUUGACCUAGGAUUUGUCCUUAAAAUCUCAUCAACAUAUUACCAUAGCUUACCAUAAUGUUCAACAAGGCUACCUUCAACAAGAUUUAAUGCAUACUUCUUUGUUCUCCUACAUUAGCCCAUACUAACUUGGAUACUAAACUUGGUCAUUACCUUUACCCUAAGCUUCCUUACACUCAUUUUAUGACUUUGUACAAUCUCUUUGGUAUAGUGACUCCCAAUCCAUGCAUAUGUCACCAAUAAUCCAAACUUGAAGUUCCUAGCACAAUUAUGAUAAGCUUUUUGUGACUUGAUUUGGAAAGUCUCUCCAUCAUUCAUCCAAGAAGCCCAUAAUAUAAAUGUGCAAGCACCCUUGCUACAUCUCACCAAAAGUCUUUUCCUAUCAUAUUUUUUCAAAACACAAUUGAUAUCCAUUAGCCACAACAUAGUUGCACAACCUUGACUUUACUUGCCCUGGACCCUUAGAUCUCAUUCCUAGAAUUGGUUUUUGUUUUUUCCAGUGUAAUAGCUCAUUAAAUAUGGAAAUAGUUUGGAUGUUAGGUUCAACUUCUCUCCCAUUAUCAUCAUCUACAAUGUUGUUAUCCUCCUCAUCAUCAACACACAACUUACUCACGAAAGGAUCAUUUGAUGUCCUAUUCAUAUGCACUGCAUCCUUAUUAAAUUCAAAGACAACAUUCCUAAGUUCAUCUAUGUUAUCUUCAUCUAUGUUAGCGGCGCAGCUUUUUGCCCGUUUGCCUUCAAUCGAUAUGUAUUGAACAAAAAUGUUUGAAUGUCUAUCAAUACAAGGCUCAUGUUCAUCAUCAAACCACCCACCAACACCAACCCCAAUAUGAUCCACAUAAACCGAAAUUACACCAUCUGUUCCAUCAACAUCAAAAAUAAAAGCAGCAUAGUCCACAUCAUCUGAAAAUGGGAUUAAGCUCUUCCAUCAGGGAAUUGCCUGGUUUACAGUAGUAAAACUUUUUACACUCUUCAUGCAUGAAAUGUUCACAGAAGGUCACAAGCUCAGAAUAAGUCAUAGAAGAAAAGUCGACAUCAGUGAACAUGGUUUUCACACCACCAGUGUAAGAGAAAGGAUUUCGAUUAAAUACCCCUUGGUAGUUGAGUUCCACCAUCACAAACACUCCAUUAGGUUCCGAUUGUGCCAUUUUUGCGACUUCUUUGGCUCUUCAGCUCGAUCACAAAAAUGCUUCACAAAACCUAAAUCAAUUUCUUUUAAAACUAAAUAAUGAAGACGAGUGAAGUUCGAUAGCUGAAGACAAAAGGCUUAAAGCUUCGUAUAUCAUCUAUUGAUGUGGCAUAUCUCACAUGGCAUCAGAUUAGCUAAAAAAGAUAUAUUAAUUGACAUAUAUAAAAUGUCAACCAGGAAACCGUUUACAAGUAUGGAAAUGACUAAAUUAAUAAGUCAGAUACCAUUUUAAUGGUCUAAUGUACCCAAAAAACUUUAAUGACCAAAUUAGCCAAAUGUAAAAAGUUUCAUGUGCUACAGUGACAUUAUCCCUGAUGGGUUUUGAGCAUUCUAACACUCCUAUGGUGUACAUGCAACCCUAGAAACCUUGGAUCUAUGUUUGACUAAUAUACAUGCAAAUAAUUAUUUUCCAAGGUUCUUAUCCUAUCUAGCAUGGCAUGGGAACUUGAAUCAAAUAGAGCUAGUAGAAUUACUUACCUUGUAGUUGUUUAAAGCUUCGUAUAUCAUCUAUUGAUGUGGCAUAUCUCACGUGGCAUCGGAUUAGCUAAAAAAUAUAUAUUAAUUGACAUAUAUAAAAUGUCAACCAGGAAACCGUUUACAAGUAUGGAAAAUGACUAAAUUAAUAAGUCACAUACUAGUUUAAUGGUCUAAUGUACCAAAAAAACUUUAAUGACCAAAUUAGCCAAAUGUAAAAAGUUUCAUGUGCUACAGUGACAAUAUCCCUGAUGGGUUUUGAGCAUUCUAACACUCCUAUGGUGUACAUGCAACCCUAGAAACCUUGGAUCUAUGUUUGACUAAGAUACAUGCAAAUAAUUAUUUUUCCAAGGAUCUUAUCCUAUCUAGCAUGGCAUGGGGAACUUGAAUCAAAUAGAGCUAGUAGAAUUACUUACCUUGUAGUUGUAGUUGAUUGCUUGGAGUUUUAGAGCCUAGCACCAAUAGUGUGGAUGCCUCAAAUGUAAAUCACAAAUCACUACAAACUUGGAACUUUGAGAGAAUAGUAACCACCUUUCUUGAAAUCGGCCCUCUUACUUUACUCACCACAACUAGUAUGAUUUCAAGAACCAAAGCCUCCUUUAUAUAGUGUGGUGGAUUAGGGUUACAUCCAUGUAAACCCUAAUACCCAUGUCUUUUCAUUUCCAUGAGAUCCAUGGGUUAAAGCUCCAUGGAGUAUCCAUGGACUUUCCAAGCAAGCCUAGCCCAUUCCAAAUAAGCAUUAGCCCACACUAUAUAAAUAUAAGAGCCCAUAUUUAAUUAGUAAUACUUUUGAUCUCUAAAUUAAUUUUAGAUUAAUUAUAGAUCAAUACUAAUUAAAUAAUAUGGUUUUAUAUUAAUAUAUUAGAACUUAUAAUAUAUUAAUAAAUCAUAACUUAUACUAUUCUCAAAAGAUUAUCCAUAAAUUGUUCGGGUGAAGUGCAACCCAAAUGGACCAUGACGGGUCGGGUCAAGUACAUACCAAAUAUAGUUAUGGACUUAGACACUAUAUCCAACAAUCCCUACAUAAAGUCAUAUGUAGUCAAGGAUCAGAUAGAUAAUCGAACAUAUGACUCACCUAAGAGCGAACAAUCAGAAAAGAACAUCACAAUCAAGCCUUAGAUCAAGAGUUAUCAGUCUAUCCAACUUAAACUAGAUAGACCUAAGAUAUUAUUACCACCUAACCAUGUGACAUAAACAUUUAACAGAUACUAGCAUAUUUAUACACUUAGCAACUAUCCUUCCCUAGUUACCCUGUCAUUGAUCACUUCUCAAUCAAGUGAUCAUCUGGUCAGUCAUGCAUAAUCAUGAUAAUUGACCUACCCCAAUUUCCCUAACUAAACAUAACUCAUAACAAUAUCAUACAAUAAAUAGGAAAGACCUCACAAGAAUAGCAUACCCAGACACCAAGUGUUCUAAACUGCACAUGCAUAUCCUAGCCAACUAGCAUAUUUGUACUCUAACAGUAUCUCCAUCCUAUCAUGCACAGGAUAUAUAAUGAGAUAUGUGGCAUACUAUGAAACUCACCUGAACUGAAGAACCGGAGAAGCACAACAACACUCUUACACAUUUCACUACUCGAUCAUGUGAACCAAUUAACACCAAAAUAGAUAAAUCCUCAAUCAAUAAUCCAAAUCCUCCAAGUUUGACCCUAAGUCAAACUGGUCAAAAGUCAAUAGUCGAUGUAACGCCCAUGUUUCUUUCCAGACAUUAACUAAAUAAUUAGGGUCAACAAUCACCACAACGUGGUAACCUCUUGGCCACAUCCUGGGAAUUUCCAUACAAAAUAGUUACGAAGCUUAGGAUCACCAUGUCGUUGCAAGCCUAUUGCCACGUCGUGGAAAUUCACAGGAAGUCAUAUUCUUCAUUAUGAGCUUAAUGCUUACAGAUCUAAGCUCAAACUUUCAUAUUUGAUUCUUCUUGAUGAAUUAAUGGAUCUUAAACCAUAAGUCUAUUAAGUCUUUAAUAUGACCAAAACUAGAGCAUGGAGAAAAGGGAGCUAUGAAUUAACGCUUUUUCCAUCAAACAAGACCAAAAGAUGGUCACCAAACAAUUCUAAAGUUCUGGAGUUGGCCAAAACUCCAAGAAAAUGCCUUCAAGGGACUUCAAAGCAUGAUAUGAGAGAAAAGGAUGAUAAAGGUGGAAGCUUUAUACCUUCCCAAAAUCCACAAGACAUAGGAGAUGCAAGAUCUGAAGUAGAUACACCAUUCAAACUAGCAAACACACUGUCGUUUCCUUCCCAAAGUGCAACCCAAGGCUUCAAACUUCAAGAACUCCAAGAACUCAUCAAUAUCACUCAAAUAGGGCUAGGGUUUCGAAAUAGGAGGAUGGAGACUGAGGGAAAUGAGCUAACCCUAGAGUUAAGGCCAUUAAAUAUGGGAGAAAAUAUAAAAAAAAAAAUUAUGUGCUUGGGCUACAGCACUCACAACGUCGUGGCAACCCUCUAGUCAUGUCGUGGUGCUCUUCAAAAUGUGCGUUCCCGAAAAUAUGUGUCACGUCGUGGUCAUCCAUGCACCAUACCAAGGCAUAGAUUUUUCUCCUAAAACCCCAUCUUUGAUCCUAUUAGCUCUUUAGUUAAACUAUUAUAGAAAAUAGGUGUUAUAGCCACCAUUCCGAGUUCCUUCUGUGACUGCUAAAUUAGUGUUUGGCGGGUUGGGGAGCCCGACUUCUUUCUCUUAUAUCUUCACAUAUAUAUAUAUAUAUAUAUAUAUAUAUAUAUAUAUAACAUUUUUUUUUCAAAAGUGUAAUACUAUCAAGGGAAAUUGACUUAUCAGGGUAAUUACUGUUUUGUUUUGUUCACAUCGGGGUAACUCUUUUUUUAGUACACAUCUAGGUAACAAACUUUUUGUAAGUGUUCACAUGUGACCAUUAUAAUUGGUUGUAGCAAGUUACAACCGAACGUAAUUGUCAUAUAUGAACACUUCCAACAAGCUCGUUACCUCGAUGCAUACAAAAAAAUGAAGUUACACAUAUGUGAACAAAACGAAAAGGUAAUUACCCUGAUAAGCCAAUUUCCCUUUUUAUUAAGGUGGCAAAUCAUAAUGUUUGUAAUAUUAAUAUAUUCAUUUAAAUUUCUUUAAAACAACAUUUGUAACACCCGGAAUCUAGAAGAUUAAUUAUGGAAACAAAUUCCCUUACCUAAGUAAAAACACGAUGAGUUGAUGGUGGGAAACUCGAUGUGUUGGAGGUUUUUGGGACACACGUUUUUAUGAACCAACUCGGUGAGUUGGUGAAGGAAAAUCGGCGAGUUGGACACUGACUGAGAAACCCUAAUUUUUAGGGUGUUACACCCUAUUUAAAGACCUUAAGUUCUUUAGCUGGCCUCCUUACCGGCCUCCUCUAUCCAGAAACCCUAAAACUGAGCCUUGUCUUCCAUUUAUGAGUGUGAAAGCUUGGGGAGAGCCUUGAGAGUUCAUUUUUGGUGCUUUUUGAAGGAGCUAAGGAAUUAGGAGUUGCUUGGCUUGAAGAAGAAGUCUUGGAUCCAGAAUCUCUGCCUCAUUUGCCAAGUUUUUGAGGAAUCGUGUUCUUACCUUGCUUAUUUGUUGCUUAGAUCUCUUCUUGGGUUAGAGUUUAUGAUUUUUAGCCAUUUUGGGUGAAUGUUGGGGAUUAGGAGGUCCCAAGCAAUUAUUAUUUCAGAUAUAAGGGCUAGCGGCGCUGCUUGUUGCCCGUUCGCCUUCAAUCGAUAUGUAUUGAACUUUCAUUGGAGUAUAUUUUCUUAAUAUAAAUAUAUAAUAGAUAUAAGGUCUACAUGAGCUCUUUAGGCAUAAAGGUGCCAACUUUAUGGAUUUAAUGGCUUCAUGUAUUCAUUAAGUCUUUCAGUUAGCCCUUUUUGAGCUUUUGAUCACCUCCUAGUCAUGCUUAAGUGUAAAGUUGGAAACUUUACACGGCCAUCUAGCCUUAUGGGGACAGAUCUGCAUUAUGGGUUUUAUCUUUGAUGAUUAAGUGAUUAAUGAUUAAGCCUUCACUCUUUUAAGUUUAGGGUUUGGGUUUGGACCCAUUAGGUGAUUCCUAGGGGUAAAGUUGGAAAAUUUACCCUUCUUGAUCUCAUUUUGGUCGAGAGCAGAGCUUUGGAGCCUUUGGACUCGAUGAAGGUACCUUAAUGCAUUAAGAUGUUGGUUCUUGAGAGAACUCGGCGAGUUGACUUGGUUUCCCCGAUUUGUGUAGUUGAUGGAGAAACUCGACGAGUUGGGUUAACUUGGACCGUUGACUUUGACUUUCGAUUUAUGUCUUUGAACAAGUUUGUCCCAAUGGGUACUUGAGGUAAUCUGAAUUGUAAUUAAGGGAAUUAUGAGAUUAGGAUAAGGCCCAUAUGGGGUUGGUCCCAAUUUGGAAAAUUGGGCCAUUACUGGGCCUUUGCGGAUCUUUUGGUUUUGGACUUUUUGGUUAAUGGAAUUUGGGCCUCAGUUUUGGUUCAUGACGCGUUAGGGUUAAAAUGGUCAUUUUCCCCCAAGUAUGGAUGGAGGGCUUUAGAAUGGAACCCAAUUGCUAAUUAGGUGUUAUUUUGAUCUCAUAGCUCGGAGGUCUCAUCAGGGCAGCAGCUAGGGACUUCUUUCUGUGAGUUUCUGCGUUCGAGGUGAGUCUCCUUACUUUUCUAUGGUUUGAAGGCAAUAAUGACGGCCCAUUUGGUUUAUGUAUUAUAGGAAGACCUGGGGGAUAAACCUUGGCAGUUUGUAUGAAAGACCAGGAGGCGGCUCCUGGCAAACUGUAUGCAAGACCAGGGUCUGAACUCUAGCAGUUGACUAGUUAAGUAGUGUAGAUUUUAUACUAUUUGUCUUUGUGACACUUUCAUGGAAGACUCGAAGGUGGAUCCUGGCACUUGUCUGUAAGACCUAGGUUUUUGGCCCCCGGCCUGACAAGGAAGACCACAAGGCGGCUCAUGUCAUAAUGGCAAGACUAUGGAUGGCACAUAUCACCUUUACUAAUUGGGGUAUAUGUAUGCUAAGUAAGACUCAGUGAUAUUAAUGUUAUUUAUAGUUUUGAGUUGAGUUUUCUCCUGCGAUUGAGGUGCAACAGUUGGUGCGAGAGUUUCUGGAUCUCUGUCAGACUACUGAGACUGUGGCAGAUUGUGGAAGGGUGGAAGUGAUGUAAGACUGAGGGGUGGCCCGUAGCAUUCACUAGUUAGAAGUUGGUAUAAAAAUGUUGUAAGACUGUGGGGUGGCACGUAGCAUUCACUAGCGAUCAGAUAGUGUGGGAAGUGUUGUAAGACAGAGGGGUGGCCCGUAGCAUUCACCAGUCCCUAUACAGCGGUGAGAGUGUGGCAAAUUUGUGAUUUGCUCACGGUUUUCUUCGGAUGAUUUUGGCCAGGAUGGAUCAGUUCGCAAGGCUAUGGGAAGGACACAACAUGUUUGGAAUCAAGAUAUGGGAGGUCGUGGGAGACCGGGUUUGAGGUAAGACUAUAGUUGGUCUGUAACGUUCAACCUAGUAUCAGAUUAUUGACGAGACGGUUUGGGUAGUUAUUGCCAGUGAGGCUUUUUUUCAAAAGUUGCGAUGGGCGAUUGUGUGGAGUUUCAAAAGCAGCUACGAGGCAACAAGCUGUUUUGGGCAGUAUUAGUGAUUUUUGGGCAGUAUUUUCGGGUAGUACUAGUCAUUUGGAAUUUGUGUGUGAAUAUGUAAUUUUUCAAACAAUUUUUUUUUCAUUUAUAAAACUCAUAAAAACUCAUAUAUUUCAUUUCAUAAAAUCACAAGUGUCUCAAGUCAACAUAAAUCCACAAGAAAAAUCAAAUCCUAGAAUCCUCAACAUAAUCUCGAACAGGUGUGUACAAUCACGUCGGUGCCUUCCCGCGAUCCUCGGAGGUACUUGAAACACAUAUCACAUAGCACGGUAAGCAUAAAGCUUAGUGAGUUCCUCAAAAUACCAUGCACACACAUAAUUAGCCACUCGAGGCUAUCGCUCUGUAAGACCCUCCGGUUAAUGUGUCUUAGCGAGACCCACCAGUCCUACAAAUCGUCAGACCCUCCGGUCCGGUCUAAGUGAGAACCCUCCGGUCUCACUACUCGUUGGACCCUCCGGUCUAGUCUAAGUGAGGACCCUCCGGUCUCAUAGUUCGUUGGACCCUCCGGUCCGGUCUAAGUAUCUCAUAAUAUAGUACACAGUAUAUAUCACACAGAAAUACAUAACUCAAGCAAGCACAUAAGACCCUCUGGUCACACAUAAUGACCACACUAGGUAAGGUAUAAUGAGAAGACUCACCUCCUAAGAACUCGGAUAAUCUCAAACUCAAAUCACAGGUUUAGCCUCCGCCUAAUAUACACAAUAAUUAUCCCUAAUUAAUAACGGCUCUCACAAGGCUGAACUAACCCUUCCAUACACUCACAGAAGGGUAAAAGACCAUUUUACUCCUCCAUGGGCUUAAUAGACCACAUGUUGACCAAACCCUAAAAGUCAACCGAAAGCCAACAGCAAGGAGUACGCUGUGCGUACCAACUCCCUACGUUGGGCAUACUCGGCUGCCAUGCAGGCAUCGUGGAGACUCGACCUCUACGUUGUGCGUACUGGGAUUAUGCCCAGCGUACAUCCUAGUUUCACUCUCCUCACAAUUUUGGUCUUAAACAGUUAAUACAUUGGCUCAUAAUUCAGAUCUGGACUCCCUAAUGUCUCUUAAUCCAUAAAGUUGGUGACUUUAAGCCUUUGCGUGGCUAAAUAGGUCACAAACACUGAAAACUCCCAUCCCCUUUCCUCAUGAAACUCAUAACUCAUGCAUGGCUUACUCCUAAUGUCCAAGAUUAGAUUUUUAUGACUUUACUCCACAAAAUACACUGAAAAGGGAUAGAUCAAGGCCUCUAGAGUGCAUUAUCUCAUAAAGUCUCCAUCUUUUGGGAAAAAACCCUAAAGUAAUUCAUAUGAAUGCACCAAACAAACAAAUGAGAAAGCUUGAAGAUUUAUACCUUUAUGUGAAACCUUCUUCACAGCUAAGCUCAGAUCCAACUCCUGGGGCUCUCACUCCUUCUUCUCUAAAGCUUCCUCUCUACUUCAAGAACACAAGAUUACACCAACAAGCUCUCAAAUGCACUCUCCAGCUAUAAUGACGGAGAUUUAGGGUUAGGAGGGGUUGGUGUUUGGGAAUGGUGGCCAGGAAUGAGGCCAUCAUGUCCUUUAAAUAGUGAGCUCAUUAAAAUUUAGGGUUUCAUUAUGGGCCUAGCAUGCCCAGCGUACCCACUGGUACGUCGCGCGUACUAGGUGGCCUCCACAUCACUAACACGCAUUGGAGUAUGCUGAGCGUACACUCAAGUACGCCCCGAAUACUCGUUUACCACCUUUUCUCUAAUAAGGCCAAAAUGGACAAAUGCUCAAUAGAUCAAGGUUUACAAGGUAUACCUGGACUUGGGAUGUUACAUCGUGUGUGAGUCUCUUGUAGUUCGGGGAAUAUAAUAAGUUGCUUGUAGUGGAUUAAAUAAUCUCAGAGUGGUUGAUUUGAUUCUAUUGCGCAGUUCUCGUCUGAGUCUAACCAUUGCAGGGAUGAAUCUUCUACUCAAAGGAUUAUCUGAGCCUAUUGUCGAGUAUAAGUGUUCUGUAGCUGCAAAUGAUCUGUUUUUUGGUUCCUUUAAAAGCAUUAAGAUAUUGGUUUUAUAGUGGUUCAGAGAGGGGGAGGGGGUGAUCAGCCAGGAAGUCAAAUCAAAUUGAGAUUUCAGGUAUCAGGAAAGGUAAAGGUGGGUUUUUCUGCAAGGGAUUAAGGUUCGUUCUGCUAGGGUUGGUUUCAGUUGCUAUGGGAAGGUGGUAGUAUUAUGGGGUUGUGAAGAUGAGUCCUUAUGGGGACAGUGUUAUCUGGUGCUAUCUGUCAUGGAGUUCGGCAAUGUCCAGGGUUUUCCAGGUUCAAGUUUAAUGGUUAGGGAUCUUCUAUUUUGGAUUUGUCAUCGGUAUGGGUGGGCGGUUAUCUAAGCGGGGUGACUUCCUUAGUCUUUUGGGGUUCAAGGAGUUUAGUCAGGAUCAUCAGUUCGGUACACGAGAUUUUAGGGAAUGAUUUCGAGGAUGAAAUCUAAUUUAAGUGGGGGAGAGUUGUAACAUCUGGAAUUUACAAGAAUAAUUGUGGAAAUAAAUUCCCUUUCUAGGGACCAACACGGCGAGUUGAUCGUGGGAAACUCGACGUAUUGGAGGCUUUUGGGAUGAGCGUUUUUAUAAACCAAUUCAAUGAGUUGGUGAAGGGAACUCGGCGAGUUGGACGCUAAUCGAAAAACCCUAAUUUUUAGGUUGUUGUACCCUAUCUAAAGGCCUUAAGUUCUUUGGUUGGCCUCCUUACCAGCCUCCUCUGUCCAAAAACCCUAAAAUCGAGCCUUAUCUUCCAUUGUUGAGUGUGAAAGCUUGGGGAGAGCCUUGAGAGUUUAUUUUUGGUGCUAGUUGAAGGAGCUAAGGAAUUAGGAGUUCCUUUCCUUGAAGAAGAAAUCUUAGAUCCAGAAUCUCUGCCUCAUUUGCCAAGUUUUUGAGGUAUCAAGUUCUCACCUUGCCUGUUUGUUUCAUAGAUCUCUUCUUGGGUUAGAGUUAAUGCUUUUUAGCCAUGGUUGGGUGGAUUUUGGGGAUUAGGACAUCCCAAACGAUUAUUAUUUCAGAUCUAAGGUAUAUAUGAGCUCUUUUGGCAUAAAGGUGCCAACUUUAUUGAUUUAAGGGCUUCAUAGAGUCAUUAAUUCUUUCAUUUAGCCGUUUUUGAGAUUUUGUGCUCGUCCUAGUCAUGCUUAAGCGUAAAGUUGGAAACUUUACAUGGCCAUCUAGCCUUAUGGGUUCAGAUCUGCAUUAUGGGGUUUUGUCUUUGCUGAUUAAGUGCUUAAUGAUUAAGCUAUCACUCUUUUAAUUCUAAGGUUUGGGUUUGGACCCAUUUAGGUGGUUCCUAGGGGUAAAGUUGGAAACUUUAACCUUCGGGGUCUUAUUUUGGUCAAUAGCUGAGUUUGGAGCUCUUGGAUUCGAUGAAGGUAGCUUAACGCAUUAAGCUGUUGGACUUUUAGAGCUCAUAUCGUGAGUUCGAUCUUAUCCAUCCGCUGAAUCGACUUCUGACAGCCCGACUCUGGAACCCAUCCAUCACUGGCUCACGUCGUGAGCUUCAUGCUCACGUCAUGAGUCCUCUUAUAGUGUGGGGUUGAGUCUUUUACUCGAAGGAUUAUUUGAUCUUUGUUGCGUGUGGCUAUAUUAAUGAGGAAGCUAGUUGACAUUGGUGGGAUUCCUUUAGCAGUUGAGGGUUUGGUGAGGUCGGGAACCUAGGAAAGCCUAGGAUAUGCUUUAGUGGGUUAGUGGUACGGUUUAGUGAGUUUUGGUGCAUUGUGCUGAAGAAGUGACUUAGAGGAUUCGAGAGGAUUACUGAGGAAAGUAUGGAUAGGUGGGCUUUAGAAUGGAACCCAAUUGCUAGUUGGGUGUUAUUGUGAUCUGAUAGCUCGGAGGUGUCGUCAGGGCACUAAUGUCGGCCCAUUUGGUUUAUGUAUUAUAGGAAGACCCAGGGGAUAACCCUGGGCAGUUUGUAUGAAAGACCAGGAGGCGGCUCCUGGCAAACUGUAUGCAAAACCAGAAUCUGAACUGUGGUAGUUAACUAGUUAACUAGUGUAGAUUGUAUGCUAGUUGUCUUUGUGAUGCUUGCAUGGAAGACUCGGAGGUGGCUCAUGGCACUUUUUUGUAAGACCGCAGGUUUUGGCCCCCGCCCUGACAAGGAAGACCACGAGGCGGCUCGUGACAUAAUGGAAAGACUAUGGAUGACACAUAGCACCUUUACUGAUUGUAGUAUAUGUAUGCUAAGUAUGGCUUGUUGAUAUGAAUGUUAUUUAUGGUUCAAUCGGUAUGUUUGGUAUGUGGUAUUUGGGGAACUCAAGAAGCUAUGUGCUUACAUUUUGUGCUUUAUGGUUUCAUGUAAUUCCAUUUUGAAAGGAAAGGGUUCGGCUUAAUCGCAACGCAUACACCCAUGUUUUCCGCAAUGUGUGAUAUUUAGGAAUGAACUCUGAUAAUUGUUUUAUUUUGAAACUCUUCUAGAUGUCGGAUUAAAGGUUAAUGAAUGUUUUGGGCAUAAUAAAAACGAAAUUUUUACCCCUGAUUUUCGGGAUGUUACAACAUUUAUUACCAUUUAUUGACAUUUAAAUUGGCCACGACAUGUUUGAAACCAUUUGUGAUAGCAUAAUUAUCAAAUCAAAUAACUCUAUAUAUUGAGACAAGAGCAAUGUUAUCCAUGUGGAUAAAAUGUAUUUCUAUUUUUUGUAUUUUAAAUUCAUGUAAUACAUGGAACAAAAUUGAAGAUGAUAUUCUAUUUCAUGUUAUUGGUCUCAAUAUCUGACACUUUUAGUAUCUAGUAAAUUUUAAUUUUCAUAUGUAAUAUCUUAAACAAUAAAAUUCUAUAAAAUGACGAUGUAUUUUUUCCAUGUCAAAUGUGAUUUUUUUUUUGUAUCAAAGUAGUGUAUUUUAAAAAGAUAUUUACCAAGUUGGAUUGAGUGACAAGUGGAUUGAGUUAACUGAAAAAAAAAAUUAUUUUUCAUGGGUUAGAAAAGAUGAAAAAAAAAAGUUGAUAUAGAACUCACACCACAUGAAUGAUUUGACACCGUUCUACUCCUACGACCUUUACCCCCAACAUCGAAUUCAUUAUGAUUGUUAGCCUAUCUUACGAGACAGACAUGACCUCCUACUACCAUGUAUACUAAGUCCCACUAUUUAUAACUCUACCCUAUAAAACUCGACGGAGCGCUGGGGUGAAGGGUUACGGGAUCCUUUCCCGCUCACCGGAACANNNNNNNNNNNNNNNNNNNNNNNNNGGGGGGGGGGGGGGGGGAAGGCUGCUGCACUCUCUCUCUCUCUCUUCUUCCUAUUGGCUGGUUUUUUUCCCAAGCGAACUGUUUGAAAUAAAUAACAAAAUUAAUUUUUUUUUCAAUACAACUAUUGAAAAACAACAAUGAAUUUAUAUAUAUAUAAUUUUGUUUUUACCUCUAUAACAUCUAUAAAUAUACACAUACUUUAACCUUUCAAACUCACACCUCCUUCUAUGAAUUUCUCUGUACUUUCUUCAAAAAAAGGAAUCCAUACAACCAAACCCCAAACUUCGAUAGAAGGAAAAAAACCAAUGUUUCAAAUUUAAGCACCCCAACUCGAAACAUUUUUGAUAUCGAUUCAUCUCAAGGGGUUUAUCGUCCACAACUCGAUGCUCACAUUUAAUCUUCACUACAAUCACAAUACCAAAAUAUUAGACAAUUUUACCCGAUGCAAGUUCCAAAUGUUACUCCAAAUAUGCUAUUAAACUUUGUUGUUUUUCCUGAUCAACUUUCGCCAAAUCAACCCCAAACUCAAAUCCCACUCUUUCAAUCUCAAACCCAAACCCAACCUAAGCCCAAACACAAUAUCAACAACAAUACCAAAUCUUCGAUGAGUCGGAUGAAGAGAUUGUACGGGAAACUCAACCCACAACCCCCAACCCCACAAAGUAAAACAACAAGUGAGAGAGGGUUCCAUACAACCGGGACGACAGAAGCCGCAACCAUGGACUAAACGAGAAGAGAUAAUUGGGGUAAAAGCUUGGGUUGACAUUUCAGAUGAUUCAGCGACAGGAAAAUGCACAACCUGAGGAUCAUUUUUGGUUUCACAUUCUUGAGAGGUUUCAUAAGGAGAUGGGAAAAAGUGACGAGUAUCGUACCAAUCAUCAAUUGAAUUCAAAGUUUCGAGAAAUAGCGUGGGCCGUUUCAAAAAUGAGCGGGUGUACAACAACCUAAAAACCUAAUGGAAAAGCAGCCAAGGAGAUGAAGAAAUACUUCAGGAAGUUUUGCAUUUUUUCGAGAGGAAGUGGGAAAGUCAUUCAAGUGCCACGAUUGUUGGAAAAUAUUGAUUAAAAGUCGUAGGUGGAAAAAAUACGAGCAAGAGUUUAUACGUCGAGUACAACAAUCAAAACGAACAAAAAUGAGCUCUAGUGGUUACACAACUUCCUCCGAUGCUCGGGUCGGUCUAGAUUUAAAUGACGAGGACGCACUCGAGCUAGAAGAAAUUGUCCGACCGAUAGGUAGGGACAAAGCAAAAAUGAAGGGAAAUGAGACUUCUUGGGGUGAAUCGAAUUUCAGCAUGGACGCGGACCAAGUGCGAAAAAUGGUGGAGAUAUUUGAUCGAUAUAAUCUUAAUUUUGCUGAAAGUUUUGGCAUUCGACAAAGACAAAGAAGGAGAAAAAAAGAAGGAGAACGCAUAGAAACAAGAAAUGGAGGAGAUGAUGUUAUUGAUGAAAAAUACCGACCAUCUUUCGGGACUAGCUUCGGAGCUCGUUUUGAAAAAAAAAGGUGCGGAUUAUGCAAAAAUAUUUUCCCUAAGAGUGUUGUUUGUUUUUUUUUUCUAGUUAUUUAAAUCUUAGGUUUUUAUGUAAUUUUUAUUAUAAUUAACAAUGGCGGAGUUACUAUAUCAUUAUAAAUAAUAUUUUGUUUCUUAUAAUGAUAAUCUUUCCUAAUAAAUAAAGAACUUUUUGUCACAUGUCAAACUCUCAUUGAUUUGACCACAUGUCAUUUUGUGGUUAUUUUCAAUUAAUUUUUUUUUACACAUGUCAUUUUGGGGUUUUUUCAUUUUAUUAAUUUUCACAUAAUAUUUAAAUGUAAUAAUUACAAUAAAUAUAAUAAUAAAAUGCAUAUCAAUUUUAUUAAUUGACUUCCUUUUAAUUUUAAAAUUUCUAAAUUAAAGUUUCAUUAGUUUCCUUUAUUUAUUUAUCUAAAUUAUUUGUUUAAUUUAAAAGAAAAACAAACAAUUUAAUUUUAAUAAUUAAAUGUUUUUCUAUUGUUUUCUUAUAAAUUCAAACUUGUCAAAUGUUUAAAAUUUUAUAUGUUUUUCUUUAAAAUGAACUCAUGUAAUACAUGAGUGUUACACCUAGUGAUAGAUUAUAUCACGAGUACAAUUCAUUUAAUGAAACAUAUGUACGUAUAAUUAGAGAAAAUUUUUAAUAUUAGCAUGUUAAUCCUCUCUAAAAAAUAAAAAUAAUUUUGCCACAUAUCACUCUUUUAUUAAUUUGGACACAUGUCAUUUUUUGGUAUUUUUGAUUAAAUGUUUUUUCCAUUUGUCAAUUUUUUAUUUUUUAAUAUUUUCUUAAUUAACACAUCAUAUAUACACCUCAAUUAAUAAUUACCUUAAUUGAAAAUAACCAAUAAAUUACAAUAUUAAUAGUCAUAUAGUAUUUAAUAUGUUUCCUUUUAAAUUUAAAUUUUAAAAUUUUAAUUUCAAAUCUAAAAUUUCAAAUUUGAAUAAAAUUUGUUUGAACUUUUAUAUUUAAUUUUUGUUUUAUCAAACUCGUAUAACAUACGGGUCUCACACCUAAUGGAGAAUUAUAAAUCAACGUUUAUUGUCGGUCUAAACUUUUGAAAUGUCAUUUUUGCAAUGAUCGGUAUAACUUCUCCUUAAAGGAAUUUUUAUAGUCAUUUUCUCUUUCAAGAUUGUAGACUCUUUUACAUUAUUUUGAUAAAAGAUAUAUUUGAAUAUAUUUUUACGACGUCGGCUUUCCUUAUUCUUAAAUCCUGGCUCCGUUCCUUUUAAUUAAUGUAGUGGUUUUUAUUUUUAAUUAUAUAUAUAUAUAUAUAUAUUACUUAUUCAUUUAUAAAAUUAUAAAUCAUAAAAUCAAUUAUUUUUACUUAAAAAAGAGUGAUACACCUUUACAAAAUUAUAAACCAUAAAAAUCAAUUAUUUUUACUUAAAAAAUAGUGAAAAAACCUUCCCACAUACACCUUGGUUUCUAACUAAGAAAAAAAAUGUAGGAAAAAGGAUAAAAUGAUAAAGAAAAAUAAUAAAAAAAAAAAUAAAAACCUUCCCGUACCCACCCUCCGGCAUAAGAAGGUGCGUCCCUACGAGUACAAGAUACACAGGUGUAGAUACAUAUGUAAAAAGCUAGUAAUUAACCAACUAAUUAUUAAUUAUUAAAUAAAAUAGGGAUAUAAUAUUAAUGAUAAACACAUUAAAAUAUUCCAAAUGCUCAUGAAGUCAACAUGAGAAAUUAUAUUGCAAUAAAUUUCUUGUUGGGUGAGAAAUUCACAAGUAAAAUUUGUAUAGUAAAUAACAAACCGAAAGUUCCAGAAACAGGUCAAAACUUAAAACCCUAAAUGAGCUUACAAAUUUCCAUUGGCCACAUACCCCACCACAAAGGCACAAACAAUCAAUGAAACAAGUGUAGAUGUAGAGGCCUUUUUCACCACAAUCACCCUUCAUCGGCCAUUUCGAAGGCCACGUGAAAUGUCACUAACGUGGCCCUCUAAAUAUCCACUACUUUGUCUUUAACCCCUCCCCCCUCCCUUAUAAAACACUCCAUCCUCCUCCUUAAUCACCAUCACCAACAACCUUCUCUCCUUCCUCAAAAGUACCACCAUCUUUUCCGACAUGGCAGCUUCUUCAAUCUUCAUGGCAACUCCCAUCACACUCCUCAAAAAAACUCCCACCUUCUCCGUCAAAUGCAUGUCACAAACACCUCAAAGCGGUGAACCGGAGAUUUCAAAAUCAGCAACCACCCCAACACCACCACAGAUCAACAUUCCUCCUCCUCCGCCACCUGCUCCAAAGGUCAGCACGAAAUUCUCUGACGUGUUGGCGUUUAGUGGACCUGCACCGGAGAGGAUCAACGGAAGGUUGGCGAUGAUAGGGUUUGUGUCGGCGAUGGCUGUGGAAGUGAGCAGCGGUCAAGACGUGUUUACCCAGAUCGGCAACGGCGGAGUUGCGGUGUUUGUGGGGACUAGCGUCGUGUUGACGUU